UGCCGGGGUCCAAAGGAUCGGAGGCCAUGAUGUCCCAGUGGUCAAACACGCACUGGGGGAAGGCCUGGCCGGACGUCGCGGCCCUCAGGGUGCUCGAGAACCCGAAGGACUCGAUGACGGGCAGGUAGGCCUUGAUGUUGUAGAGUGGGGUACCUUGCCUCUGCAUCUCCUCGAACACGUGCCCUCUCUUCUGAUUCAGCACACCAUAGAUACCACCAAGUGCGUUCUCCGGGGCCUGGAUCUCAACCAGGUACACGGGCUCCAGCAGCCUUGGCUUGGCAGUGAGCUGAGAAGCGUAAAUGACCCUCCUCGCCGUUGGGAUGACCUGACCACCACCCCUGUGAAUAGCAUCAGUGUGGAGAACAACAUCACAGACCUCAUAGCAGAUGCCGCGCAUGUUCUCCUCACAUAGUGCUCCUUCUUUUGAUGCCCACUGGAACCCAGCCACAACAGAGUCCUUGAUUUCAUUCAGGUACUGCACUCCCUUACACAUGUCCACAACCAUGUUGGGGCCAGUCGUCUCAGGUCCAAAGCACCAAAUCUUCUUGGCGAGAUCCUUGUCCCAACCAAACUCCUCAGACAGGAUCUUGGAGCGCACCUUAGGAUCAUCACGCGGGCCAAUGCGGCCAUCAUCAAUAGCCUCAGCCAAUCCCUCCUCCAAUGGGCGAGCUUCCAUGUAAAGACGGUUAUGCUUGUUGGGGGACUUGCUCAUAACGGUACGGCAGGACUUCUCCAGAACAGUCUCACGGAAGGAGACGACAGGGGGGGAAACAAUGAUUUCAGCACCACCCAUGAAGUCAUCCUGCAGAUCCUUCAAGCAGAUUUCAAGAUGAAGCUCUCCGGCUCCAGCGAUGAUAUGCUCACCAGACUCUUCAAUGGUACAGAGAACCAUAGGAUCAGACUUGGCCAGACGCUUCAAACCCUCAACAAGCUUAGGAAGAUCAGAAGCCACCUUGCACUGAACAGCAACACGUACAACAGGGGACACAGAGAACUUCAUUGCCCUGAUUGGGCAGGCAUCAACUUCCUUCUCGUUUGUCAGGGUUGCAUUCUUGGUGAUGAACUGAUCCAAACCAACCAAAGCAACGGUGUUACCACAGGGAACAUCCUCAACAGACUCUUGCUUCUUUCCCAUCCAGAUAACAGUCCGCUGGACACUCUUCACAUAUAGAUCCUUCUUCUGGCCAGGAACAAAGUUGGGACCCAUGAUACGGACCUUCAUGCCAGUUGCGACCCUCCCGGCGAAAACACGUCCAAAGGCAAAGAAUCUACCCUUGUCAGAUGCUGGAAUCAUCUUGGAGACAUACAGCAUAAGAGGACCUUCAGGGUCACAGUUUCUGAUGGCAUUUGCAUAUAUGUCAUCAAGGGGGCCCUCGUACAAGUUCUCCACACGAUACCUCUGUGCCUUUGAAGGAGAGGGGAGGUGAAAUAUCAUCAUCUCAAGCAGAGCACGACUGGCAGGCAGCCAAGUUUGCAUCACACGCUUCAUGAGAGCCUUGCCCAUCAAGUCCUUCUCAUCAUUCUUCAUGGUCACACCAAGCUUCUUCAACAUAGGCCACAACUUAUCCUUCUGGUCAUUCAUGCAGGUUGCUAUGAUUUGCUUGAUUGGCUCAUAGCAGAACUGAACGAAACCUCUCUUGCAGGUAGCUGUCCCAGUGUUCUUGGAGGUCCAUUUCUUUGUGGCUGGGUCAAAGAAGUUCUCACCCCACAGCCUCUCCAUCAUCUUCACCUCAUCAACACCAAACUUGGAGGCAUACAUCUUAGCAAAGUUUGUAAGGGUGAAAGCCCACCCAUGCAAACCAGCAGAGAAUGCAACAGUACCCUUCUCUGGGUACACUUGGACAUCACCAAGGAGCACAUCUUCAUAUGUUGCCAUGAUGACAUUGGCAUUUUCGAUGACACGGGAGAAAGUCUGAUAUGCUUCCUCACCUUCAAACUGAAGCUCAAGGAAGCAUCUGUCCAUCUUGUUCACAGUAAGAACAGGCCUAAUCCUCUCACCAAGAGCUUGGCGCAGCACAGUUUCAGUCUGCACACAGACACCCUCAAUGCAGUCAACAACCACCAAAGCACCAUCAGUGAUACGAAGAGCAGCUGUGACUUCCGAAGAAAAGUCAACGUGGCCAGGUGAAUCAAUAAGGUUGAUCAGGUAUUCAUCUCCAUCCCUGUCGCCCUUGUACAUCUCAAGUGAUUCAGGAGUCAUCUGAUAGAAAAGAGAGAUACCCGUGGAUUUGAUUGUAAUACCACGCUCUGCCUCAUCUGCACGGGUAUCAGUCAUGCGAACAUCCCCAGCAACUUCCUGGGCGAUAAUCCCAGCAGCUGCCACAAGGGAAUCCGUAAGCGUAGACUUGCCUGCAAAUAUGUAAAUAAUAUGUGAGAACAAUGCACAAGCAUCUGGUUUGACAGUUGAACACAACCUAUAUGAAUAGAAAAUUGAACAUGUUAACUCAUACAGUAUAAGGCAGAAGUAGGACAGAGCAGUACAGUACUUUCAAACAAUCAAGAAACAAAAGAAGGUACAAAUAAGCUCAACAAGGUUUUUAGUAACAUGGUUAAGCAAAAUCUAGUGGGACAUUGCAAACAAAAUAUGAAGACAUCAAUAUUGAAGUAACUAAGUACAAUCAUGUAAAUUUAAGAUCCUAUGCAGUGUAAUACAUUCAGGGACAAUGUGAGAAUACACCAAACUGGGAGAUACUAGGCCUGGGAUAUUAUGUCAAUAGUACCAUUUAAGCUUGGUGAAGCAGAAAUCAAUCAUAUAAUAAGCAGUGGUGAAGCAGAAAUCAAUCAUAUAAUAAGCAGUAGUAGUAAACUCCAGGACACAAUAAGAUGGAUUGGUUUUAGGGAUGAAACUAAUUAUGGCCCACUUCUUAAAUUGACCCAUUUAAAUAGUCUCAGUAUUUCGAAUUAAAUAGAGUAAAAUUAAGAGCAGGCUACAAAAACAUUGGUUAACAAAGAUUCUACUGUAUGAACUCAAUAAUUAGAGACAACUGUCUGUUUAGGCACAUACCGUGGUCGACAUGAGCAAUAACAGACAUGUUACGAAUAUUAUUUUUCUUGUCCAUAAUUCCGCGGAGCUCCUCCGCUGUAAACUUCACCAUCUUGACUGGUUUUGGAUAUCACACUGGGAAUAUAGUUCCUGUUCAGAAUGGACCAAAAAUCAAGUAAUUAAAACCACAAUUGAAUAAUCAGAAGGCUCUUACUACAGUUGGGCACGCAUUAGUUUCAAGUGCAGUCAACCAAGCAUAUUAAAACUAACAUAUGGGAACCGAAGACCAAGUUCUGAAAACUUAAUUGUCCAAAGUGCACUAAAAAGGAAGCCAGAAAGCAACGAUGGCAACCAAUUUUGAGAGCACUCGACAUGACAGUGUGCGAAAGAAAGCACAAAACAGUAAGAAAGAUAAGAAAGAAAAGCAGUCUAUUAUGUAGAGUGUGCACAAGUAUGAAGCACAAUCAGGCAACGGAUAUCACUAGCUAAACCUGUAUAACUUAUGAGGAUCACAGAAAACUUCGCAGGAAUCAACCAUAUGUGAAUGGAAAAGAAGAGUAGGUCUGAAACAGAAUCGUGGUUUUAUGCAAAGUUGAUUUGUAACAGAAGGGUAGUUUUAUGCACACGUGCUGACUGUACUAGCAUGUACACUACCAGUGUAAACACUAGAAACAAUGGAAGCACAGAAGGUCAUAAUGUUGAGCUCUGAAAUAGGUGCGACCAACCAUGCAUGGGGAGCACUGAGAAGAAUACCAGAAGAUAGCCACAUAUGAUCAAUUUAACCAAAUGAAAGAGAUCAGGGAUAAAUUCACCCAUAAUACCUCAACUAUAAGUACAUAAAAACUGGCACACCCCGAUACAAGAGUCUCCCGUUCUUUCUUUUUUUUUGAAAUAAAUACAAGAGUCUCCCGUUCUAUAUACACAUAGUUAUAUUAAAUUAAGCAUGCCAAGCAAAGAUGUGCAUCACCAUUUCCUCCGCCCUGAACAUGAAGACAGAGAACAAAACCAACCAGGCUACGACAGGCAGGCAAGCAAGCGAGCAAAACCCUACAGCUUGAGCAUUCUAAGAACCCCGUGGACGAACAGCAGCGCAGAAAAAAAUCGCCGAAAAAGCUAGCAGAGCACCAGAUGAAACAGAUCGCCGUCUACCACGGCGGAGCGGGCAGAUCCACGGUAAACACGGCGGGAGGAACACCCUUAGCUACCACAGAAGCACAUCGGAGGCGACGAGCUUAUGUAUCUAGUGACGUCAGCGCAAAGUCGUCGCCAGGAACAAGCGAGCGGGACGAACCAAGCAGCAGAUCUAACGCAUCUAAGAGCAGCGAGACCGCAUAGGAAUAAUCCCGGCGACCACGAGCCCAGCAAAGGGGACCGGAGCGCAUCGAGCUAGCGAGGAGACUGAGCCGGUGAAAUCGGUCGGCUAGGUAGCAGCUAGCUGCCUAGCACGGGCGCGCCCGCCGACGGAGCAGCCGGAGGGCGGCGGAAGGGGAGAGGAGAGGGGAGGUCCGGCUCACCUUGCGGGUUCGCCGAGAGAUGAGAGGUGGGGAAGCGGCGGCGCUCCCGAUCCGUGAGAAUGGAAAGGGUUCAAGGAAGUGAGCACGCUAGGUCGCAUUUGCUGGCCGUUAUAUACGCUAUUUUUGUUGGUUCCGUGCGGGCCAAGAUGCGCGGGGAGUGGAACUUUCCAAGGCCGGCCACGCGAAAUGCGGCCCGCAAGUGAAGCCGGCCUGUCCGGCGUCCACUGUGGUGGAGUCCGGCCCAAAGGGGAUGAUGGCCAGGCGUGGUGAGAAUUUCGGAAGUUGUCGGAGCGAAAGCUCCGAAGCGCCAUCAAAUGGCGAGGAAGCUUUCGGAAAACCUCUAACCACCUAGGAGCCCAAUCUUCAAAAGUAACAAGUGUUGGGUUUGAUGAAAAAAUGUAUGUUGGGUCUUGCUCUCUCUAUCACCAAAGAAUCAACAGGUUUGGGCGCACAUUUUUCAGAAACCAUGCUCAGUUUAGACUUCAUUGAAAGAUGGGUUUAAAUAAAGCAACCACGAAGAUUUUGGAUGGAGUGGUAAUAUUUGAACCUUGAUGUGUGACACGAACACAUGGCAACUCCGAAUGUUUUUUAUGACAAAUGUAGUGACGCGGGGAUGGCAACUUCAUAAGUCAAGCAUGGCCACUUGCUUUUUGGAUGGUAAGUUUCGGUUUUUUCUGGGUUUCUUUUUUUCUUUCUAGAUGACAAUUUCAGCAGUUGUAAAAAACGUGAGGGCAAGAGUGCUUCGUGCCACAUGUGUGGCACUUAUUAUUUAGGUGACAUGUUGUUGGAAUCACGCUCAAACUAAGCUUCGUCCAAAGAUGGUCCAAAGAUGAGUGCGGCCAAUCAAAAUUAGUGUUAGCUCUACCACAUUAUAUCUUCCUUUUUAGUGGAGAAUUUGAUGGAGGAGCUGCAGCCCUAUUUCCCCGUAUUAUUUCUGUUAGCAAUUGAAGGUUUUGUCUUGUCUUUUGAAAAGUAUUGGAAUUUCAUAAAAGAAAAGAAAAAACAUCUAUGCAGCGGCCAAAACACCCUGACCAAGGCCAAUCAUCUCUUAUCGAUAUUUACGAACAUUGUGUCCAAAUUAGGAAACUAGACUAGGAUCACUUCAUGUAUACCUGUUUGGUUUGCAGCGUAAGGUUUUAACGCUUAUUCUUAGUAGUGCCACAACAUCUUAGGAAUGUGUUUGAUUUAUUGCCACACUUUUCUAGCUACAAGGUUCACAUGUCAUAGGCUCACUUUUUGCUUAAUCUUGCAACACUUAUAGUCACCAUUUUAUUAACCACAUUUUUUGUGACAGCCACACUUUGUCUAAGCUUAAUACUUCCUCCAUCACGGUUUAGAAGGCACAGUUAAAUUUGCGUACGUUUUCACAAUAAACAAGGUUUAGAGCGCAUUGCAUUUAUUUCUAGUAGCUAAUUACUACUCCGAUAUACUAUUUCUAUAUGCAUGCGUAGUGUGAAUGCUAUUUUUUAGCCCAUCCCACAACCAAUAGAUAACCACCUAGGUCCCAGAGAAUUUUCAAGCGCGUCUUCUAAACCAUGACGGAGGGAGUAGUGGUUAAGUUAGUCAUGAAAACAAGUCAUGAAACGGCAUCCUAUGUUUCAGCAAAAAAAACUAAAAGGUUGAAGCUUGCUUGCAAGUGUCAUAAUUACAUAGAGCCUAUGUGUAUAACUAUUAAGCACAUGUGCAUCCAGUAACAGUCAUAAGAAAUAUAGCAAACAAAUCUAUUAUAUGCCUAAAUUUACUGAACAACUUCACAACUCAAUUUUGCUACAAACCUGGAAUAAGAGAAGUUACUGAGCAUGAGAAUUAUGCGAAUAUUCUAUUAUGCCUACAAAGGUUCAAUCUGUAAUAUUCCAAAAACAUAAGUUCGGAUACUCUCAGCGUUAACAGAUGCUUCUACUACAGUAUUUCUCUUAGGUCCAAUUUUUUUCCGCUCAAACAGAUGUAUCUUAGCACACAGUAGGGAGCAAUUUCUCAUCAUCAGUGUGUCCACAAAAUUGUAGGGCAUGAAAUGGAGAAUUGUGUACUGUAUACAAACUGCAGCAUAAACAAGUGCAGUAAGUUUUUGAGCAUAGAUUACAACUGCCAAAAGAUGGAACACAUUUUGAUGGUCAUCAAAUCAGGAAGGUAAAAUGAGAUCGAAAAACUGCAAGCAGAGCUCUCAAGAUCAUGAAAAAUAUAGAGCAAGACUGGAGCAAUAAAGAACCAGGCAGAGCUCUCAAGAUCAACACAAAAGCAAACACAAGACGCCAACAAGAACUACCAAUGGAUAACAGAUACUUGUAUAAUCUAAGCUUUAACAUCGACAGACAUCAAAACGAAGUGCCAGUAUCACGACAGAUAUAUAAUCUAAGUUUUAACAUCGACAGACAUCAAAACAAAGUGCCAGUAUCACGACCGAUAGGAAUCCCAAUAGCAGUACAGCGACGACUCAAUAGACAGAUAAUAGUGCAGCUCUCUUAGCAGCAAAAGCAAACUAGACCAUGUAACAGAAGCAAAAGUUCAGAGCUUGUCCUCGAAAUCAGAUAGAGGGGUCAUCUGUUCCUUCAGGCCCUUGCGCUUGCGGAUCUCCGUGACAAGUGUGGCAGACUGGGAGCCGGCCUCCAAAGGAUCAGAAGACAUGAUGUCCCAAUGGUCGAACACACACUGGGGGAAAGCCUGGCCGGAUGUCGCCGCCCUGAGGGUACUUGAGAACCCGAACGACUCGAUGACCGGGAGGUAAGCCUUGAUGUUGUACAGCGGGGUACCAGGCCUCUGCAUCUCCUCAAACACAUGCCCUCUCUUCUGAUUCAGAACACCAUAGAUACCACCGAGUGCAUUCUCCGGGGCCUGGAUCUCAACCAGGUACACAGGCUCCAGCAGCCUUGGCUUAGCAGUGAGCUGAGAAGCGUAAAUGACCCUCCUGGCUGUUGGGAUGACCUGACCACCACCCCUGUGAAUAGCAUCAGUGUGCAGAACAACAUCACAGACCUCAAAGCAAAUGCCACGCAUGUUCUCCUCAGCCAGAGCACCUUCUUUCGAUGCCCACUGGAACCCUGCCACAACAGAGUCCUUGAUUUCAUUCAGAUACUGCACUCCCUUACACAUGUCCACAACCAUGUUGGGGCCAGUCGUCUCAGGUCCAAAGCACCAAAUCUUCUUGGCGAGAUCCUUGUCCCAACCAAACUCCUCAGACAGGAUCUUGGAGCGCACCUUAGGAUCAUCACGCGGGCCAAUGCGGCCAUCAUCAAUAGCCUCAGCCAAUCCCUCCUCCAAUGGGCGAGCUUCCAUGUACAGACGGUUAUGCUUGUUGGGGGACUUGCUCAUAACGGUACGGCAGGACUUCUCCAGAACAGUCUCACGGAAGGAGACGACAGGGGGGGAAACAAUGAUUUCAGCACCACCCAUGAAGUCAUCCUGCAGAUCCUUCAAGCAGAUUUCAAGAUGAAGCUCUCCGGCUCCAGCGAUGAUAUGCUCACCAGACUCUUCAAUGGUACAGAGAACCAUAGGAUCAGACUUGGCCAGACGCUUCAAACCCUCAACAAGCUUAGGAAGAUCAGAAGCCACCUUGCACUGAACAGCAACACGCACAACAGGGGACACAGAGAACUUCAUUGCCCUGAUUGGGCAGGCAUCAACUUCCUUCUCAUUUGUCAGGGUUGCAUUCUUGGUGAUGAACUGAUCCAAACCAACCAAAGCAACAGUGUUACCACAGGGAACAUCCUCAACAGACUCUUGCUUCUUUCCCAUCCAGAUAACAGUACGCUGGACACUCUUCACAUACAGAUCCUUCUUCUGGCCAGGAACAAAGUUAGGUCCCAUGAUACGGACCUUCAUGCCAGUGGCAACCCUCCCAGCGAAAACACGUCCAAAGGCAAAGAAUCUACCCUUGUCAGAUGCUGGGAUCAUCUUGGAGACAUACAGCAUAAGAGGACCAUCAGGGUCACAGUUUCUGAUAGCAUUAGCAUAUAUAUCAUCAAGGGGGCCCUCGUAUAAGUUCUCCACACGAUACCUCUGUGCCUUUGAAGGAGAAGGGAGAUGAAAUAUCAUCAUCUCAAGCAGAGCACGACUGGCAGGCAGCCAAGUUUGCAUCACACGCUUCAUGAGAGCCUUGCCCAUCAAGUCCUUCUCAUCGUUCUUCAUGGUCACACCAAGCUUCUUCAACAUAGGCCACAACUUAUCCUUCUGGUCAUUCAUGCAGGUUGCUAUGAUUUGCUUGAUUGGCUCAUAGCAGAACUGAACGAAACCUCUCUUGCAGGUAGCUGUCCCAGUGUUCUUGGAGGUCCAUUUCUUUGUGGCUGGGUCAAAGAAGUUCUCACCCCACAGCCUCUCCAUCAUCUUUGCCUCAUCAACUCCAAACUUGGAGGCAUACAUCUUGGCGAAGUUUGUAAGGGUGAAAGCCCACCCAUGCAAACCAGCAGAGAAUGCAACAGUCCCCUUCUCCGGGUACACUUGGACAUCACCAAGCAGCACAUCUUCAUAUGUUGCCAUGAUGACAUUGGCAUUUUCAAUGACACGGGAGAAAGUCUGGUAUGCUUCCUCACCUUCCACUUGAAGCUCAAGGAAGCAUCUGUCCAUCUUGUUCACGGUGAGGACAGGCCUAAUCCUCUCACCAAGAGCUUGGCGCAGCACAGUUUCGGUCUGCACACAGACACCCUCAAUACAGUCAACCACCACCAAAGCACCAUCAGUGAUACGAAGAGCAGCUGUCACUUCCGAAGAGAAGUCAACGUGGCCAGGUGAAUCAAUAAGGUUGAUAAGGUACUCAUCACCAUCCCUGUCGCCCUUGUACAUCUCAAGUGAUUCAGGAGUCAUCUGAUAGAAAAGGGAGAUACCCGUGGAUUUGAUUGUAAUACCACGUUCUGCCUCAUCUGCACGGGUAUCAGUCAUGCGAACAUCACCAGCAACUUCCUGGGCGAUAAUCCCAGCAGCUGCCACAAGGGAAUCCGUAAGCGUAGACUUGCCUGCAAACAUGUAAAUCUAUGUGAGGACGGUAAAAAAGCAUCCAGAUUGACAGUCAAAAGCAAUAUACAUUAAUAUACACACUUGGAACUUAUUAACCACUGAGAGAUGUAAGUGUGGCAAAAAGUACACUGAAACAAACAAUGAUUAAAAGACGAUUAAAAGAGGACAAACUGAGAAUUUAGUAACAUGGUUAACAAAUUUUUUGUGUUACUACAUACAACCAUGUAAAUUAUAAUACAUUCAGCAACUAACAGGAGCACACACCAAACUGGGGAGAUUUUGAGCCAUGGGAUUAUAUGCCAAUAGUUGCAUUUAAGCUUGUUAAAGUAUAGAUCAAUCAUAAAAGCAAUAAGAAUAAGCUCCAGGAGACAGCAAGAGCUGGAACUACUUAAUUUAAAACAGUGAAACAGCUCAUUAAUACAGAGAUCUGGUUUUUAGAAAUAAUAUGGAACAACUAAGAGCAGGCUACAGAAACAUCAAUCUACAAGAUACUGUAUGAACAUGGUAAGUAGAGCAACUGACACUGUUCGGUCACAUACCGUGGUCAACAUGAGCAAUAACAGACAUGUUGCGAAUAUUAUUCUUUUUAUCCAUAAUUCCACGGAGCUCCUCCGCUGUGAACUUCACCAUCUUGACUGCUUUUGAAUGUCACACUGGGACUAUAGUUCCUGUUCAAAGAAUAGCAAGCUAUCAGAAUAAAGCAAUAAUACAGUUUGAAUAACUAUUAAAUGAAAAAAAAAAUCUGACAGUGAUAAAAUAAUGACUGUUCAAGUAAUUAGAACCACAAUUGUCCACUCAAAAGUGCACUUAAAUUGGUGUACAAUAAUAAAUUUUAUACACUGCUACCAAACUACUUUAACCAACACUUCCACCAACAUCCCGAAUAAAGUGAAAUAUAUAAGAUGGUCAAUUGAGCUUAUUAAAUUUAAUAUACUAGGACAAAAAGAAAUGCACUGAGAAGGCAGCAACAAAGCAAGCCCAACCGAUAUUAAGAGCACUGACAGUCACAGCAUGAGAAAAAAUAACACAUACAAUAACAAAGAAAUGCAAUCCAUUAUGGAGAGCAUACAUGCAAAAGCAAUGAAGCAAAAAUAGGAAAUGGAUCACUAACUAAACCCCCAAGUACUUCCAGGUCUGUAGAGCUUAUAAAGGGGUAGAACAUAGAGAAAAACUUCUGCAGAAGAUUAUGUCAAGACUUGGGAAAAUGUAAUUUGUAAUGGAAUCACAGUUUUAUGCACAAGUACUGACUGUAAUAUCAUGGCACUACCAACAUAAACACUAGAAACAAUGGCACAGAACGUCAUUGAGUUGGAACUCUCAAGUGGUGCAACCAUCAAUACCAAGGGAAACACAGAAAAUACUUGCACGGACUCAUCCAAACGAAAUAAUUAUCAGAUCAGAGCGAAAUACAUGCAGAGUGCCUGAACUAAAUUUACAUAAAACACUGAAAACACAAAGACGACAAAAAUAUCUGUAGCUCCCUUUCAAAUUAAACUGAACAUGCAAAGCAACGAUACCAUUUUCUCCGACCUGAGUAUGAGCAGGGAACAACACCAACAGGUUAGGGUAGGCACUAGGCAGGCAAGCGAGCGAGCAAAUACCCUACAGCUCGAGCAUUCUAGCAAAACCUCGUGAACGAAAAGCAUGGCAAAAUGGCCAAAACCAACACCGGGACAACAGAUCCACGCUCAACACGACGGAAUAGCACCCUAGGGACCGCGCAUCUACAGACGUCAGAACAAAAUCGACCCCGGAACUUGCGAGCAGGGCGAACAAAGCAGUAGAUCUACGGCGCUUGGGAACAGGAACCGCACAGAAGAACGACGACAGAUCCGGCGACGUGAACUGCGCGCAAAAGCUAGCGAGGAGACUAGAACCGGUGGAACCGAUCGAUCGGCUAGGCAGCAGCUGGUGCGGACUACGGAGAAGCGACGGGCCGACGAGGCGACCGGAGCGCGGGGAGGAAGGGAGGUCAGGCUCACCUUGGGGUUUCGCUUCGGUCUCCCGAGCCGAGAGGUGAGAGAUGAGGAAGCGGCGGCGCUCCCGGAGGAAGAGAAUGGAACAAGGGGUGAAGGAAGAACCCUAGGGCGGCAUCGCUUGCCCGGUAUAUAUAGUGGUGCUGUGCCGGCCCAGGAACGCGAGGGCCGAAAGGCGAGGAAUGGGCGACUGCGGCCCGCGGGAGUGAGGGGGCCGUGUGUGGUGGAGUCGGGCCGACGGCCUGGCCCGAGUGAUGGCCCAGACCUGCCGAGUGAGAUGUGAGACGAAUGGGCGACUCUUCUUCUUGUCUAAAAAAAAAAGAAGAUGAACGACCGACUCGAUGAUCCCUACGGAGAGGGGGGAAGUGAACAAGGUUAUACGGGGUAAAUAAUUCAAAAAUAAGUGAAUUUCUUUUUUUUUUCAGAAAAACUUCCGAUCUAUUAAUCUUUAAUCACGACAUAAUUGAAUUUGUUUAACAAACAUUGUUGACUGUUUGACUAUCGUGUAAACAUUUUUGCGAUGAAAUACAUUCAUGAUAUUCUAGGGACGAAAAACAAAACUGACUUUCAAAAAAGUCUAAGUUUUUAGAGGACUGAUUUUGUUUCUUUUUUUGACAGACACGGAUGCCAUUUCAUCAUGAAAAUGUACAAGUAGGUAAGAAACUAAGCAUGUCCAUUGCCGAAAAAGUAUACUCUUUUAAAACUUCCUAUUUUGGAUUUUUACAGUUCAUCCCAAAUGUACAUCCUCUCGGGAUAAGAGUGACACUUUAGGUACGUGGUUGAACUUUUGUUCUCACGCAUGAACCAUUGUCCCAUAUUCUUUUGCAAAAAAAAGUUAAAAAAUCAGCAUCAAUGCACCAUGCUUGUUCAUCAUAUCAGUAACAAAAAUAGGUGAAGUAGCAUAAGUAGGAUCAUAUUUCAUUCUAACAUUCAGAGAUUUUUCUUUAAGAUUAGCUAAUAACUUCUAAAGAUUAGAUCUAUCAUUGCAAGCAAUUCAUAUCUAGAUGGAGAAUCUUCGUCAUCAUUUUCAUCAAUAUUAUCAGUUUCAAUAAUUUCAUUCUCUCUAGCCCUAGCAAGUUGUUCAUCAAAAAAUUCACCUAGUGGCACAAUAUUAUCAAGUAUAGAAGUAGUCAAGUAUCAUGCAUAACAGAAGUGUCAUCAUCGAUAACAUGCGACAUAUCAGAAUCAAUAGCAUGUGUAGGUGUCGCAAGUUUACUCAUAAUAGAAGGUGAAUCAAGUGCAGAGCUAGAUGACAGUUCCUUACCUCCCCUCGUAGUUGAGGGAUAGUUCUUCAUAGUGACCAGCUGAUAUAAAUCCCAAGUGACUCAAAGAAUAGAGCUAUGCUCCCCGGCAACGGCGCCAGAAAAUAGUCUUGAUAACCCACAAGUAUAGGGGAUCACAACAGUUUUUAGAGGGUAGAUUAUUCAACCCAAAUUUAUUAAUUUGACACAAGGGGAGCCAAAGAAUAUUCUCAAGUAUUAGCAGCUGAGUUGUCAAUUCAACCAUACCUGGAUAACUUAAUAUCUGCAGCAAAGUAUUUAUUAGCAAAGUAAUAUGAUAGUAGUGGUAAUGGUGGUAAAAGUAACGGUAGCAGUUUUGGUUUUAUAGUGAUUGUAACAGUAGCAACGGAAAAGUAAAUAAGCGAAGAAUAAUAUAUGAAAAGCUCGUAGGCAUUGGAUCGGCGAUGGAGAAUUAUGUCGGAUGCGAUCGAUCAUGUAACAGUCAUAACAUAGGGUGACACAGAACUAACUCCAGUUCAUCAAUAUAAUGUAGGCAUGUAUUCCGAAUAUAGUCAUACGUGCUUAUGGGAAAGAACUUGCAUGCCAUCUUUUGUCCUACCCUCCCGUAGCAGCGAGGUCCUAUUGGAAACUAAGGGAUAUUAAGGCCUCCUUUUAAGAGUAACAAACCAAAACAUUAACACAUAGUGAAUACAUGAACUCCUCGAACUACGGUCAUCACCGGGAGUGGUCCCGAUUAUUGUCACUUCGGGGUUGCCGGAUUAUAACACAUAGUAGGUGACUAUAGACUUGCAAGAUAGGAUUAAAAACUCACAUAUAUUCAUGAAAACAUAAUAGGUGACAAGCAUUAAGCAUAGCAAAGUCAUAGCAACAUCAAUCUCAGAACAUAGUGGAUACUAGGGAUCAAACCCUAACAAAACUAACUCGAUUACAUGAUAAAUCUCAUCCAACUCAUCACCGUCCAGCAAGCCUACGAUGAAAUUACUCAUGGAUGGCGGUGAGCAUCAUGAAAUUGGUGAUGAAAGAAGGUUGAUGAUGACGAUGGCGAUGGAUUCUCCUCUUCGGAGCCCCGAACGGACUCCAGAUCAGCCCUCCCGAGAGAGUUUAGGGCUUGACGGCGGCUCCGUAUCGUAAAACGCGAUAAAUCCUUCUCUCUGAUUUUUUUCUCCCUAAACACGAAUAUAUGGAGUUGGAGUUGAGGUCGGUGGAGCGUCAGGGGGCCCACGAGGCAGGGGGCGCACCUAGGGGGUAGGCGCGCCCCCACCCUCGUGGACAGGUUAUGGGCCCCCUGGCCUUGAUUCUUUCGCCAGUAUUUUUUUAUAUAUUCCAGAAAUAAUCUCCGUUGAUUUUCAGUUCAUUCCAAGAACUUUUAUUUAUACACAAAAAUAACACCAUGGCAAUUCUGCUGAAAACAACGUCAAUCCGGGUUAGUUCCAUUCAAAUCAUGCAAGUUAGAGUCCAAAACAAGGGCAAAAGUGUUUGAAAAAGUAGAUACGGCGGAGACGUAUCAGAUAUCUGGCCUGGGCUAGACGGGCCACAGUCCGCCCAGUUAAUACCUGCAGUGAUGUUUUCGUUGUUGUUUAGAGGAGAAAAUUUAAUAGCUGGGCUAAACAUCGCUGAAGAAGAACUCUGUAGUGCUCACACCUCAAAAACACAAAUACUGCUCGAGCUACUUGGUCCCAGUUGUCGACCGCUUCUUGUGCAAUUCUCUCAUUUAUUAACUACAUAGGUUGAUAAUGGUGUGGGACCGUGAUGUCAGGAAACCAGGAGGAAGCAAAAAAAUUGUAGUUUUAUAUACUAAUAAGGAGGCACUUGCGUACGUGCGGCUAUGGCCCUGGUGGGUCCCCAUUGUCAUCCUCUCCAAGUAAAGUCAUCUCCUCAUCCUCAUGUCCAUUGACCAUGUUGACAACGCGAGACGGCGGCGCCACGGCGAGUGCAACAACUCAAAGGACGAUGGAGAGGGCCUCGCGGGCCCUACGGAUGGUCUGAUACAGCGCCCGCUGCUCAUUCGGGAAGCCAGGAUCAUAGGGCCACAUGUCCGCGACAGCAUUGUUGUUCGCUUGUUCACCGGUGCUCGUUGAGCAGACGGAGGUUGCACCACAGGUCCUCCUGCGCUGAUAGCUCUUCCGUCAUUAGGGCGUCGAAGUGUGGCCGCACCUGCUCUAUGGUGAACACGGCAUGAACCGGCUUGGACAGUGGCGCCGGCUCCUGGUCGGAAGCUACAUCCAUCGUCUGAUUGUCGUCGCUCAGCUCAGCGAGUUAGCUGGCGAGCCAGCAUGUCCGGCUGCUGGACCGACCCGCUGCCAAGCACGAGUCUGACUGCCCUGGCCCACCCAGACCGCCUCCCUCGCCUGCGCGCGCUUUCCGCCCAAAACGAUCAGCGCCGCCCGCCCCGCUUCCCGGUGCAGGCAAUUGCUCCGCCUUCCAACGACACAAGUGUCGUCCAUCCGUCCUUCUGCCGCCCACAUUAAUGAUAUGCGGUUGCCGAGGCGGCUACUCUGGCGCCACACGCCCGUCCCUCCGCCGCCCACCAUUGCUAUAUAAACUGUUGCGCCGGCCAUAGCCGUAGUCAUCUGCAUCCGUUCCCUUUCUCCUGUCCACACCACUAUUGCCCACCAUGGCUUCCUCGCACUCCAGCGCUCUUCGAGAUGGGCGGACGACGUACCACAAGGAGAUGGCAGCCAUUAUUGCCGACUGGCUGGCCGGCAGGCAGCCGAAGGAUGACGACGUCCCAAUGGAGAAGAUGGUAGUCGACGAUCCGGCGCCAACCCCCUCCUCCGCGCCAUCCUUGCCGGUGCAUUGCACCAUGACCAUCGGCGAGGCCCGUGCCCAAUAUAUGGACACGGUGAGGCAGAAGCGUGAGGAGCAGUUCCGGGAGGCACAGUCCGACGCCGCCUACAACCACCAUCUCCUUCAGGAGCACCUGCAGGCGGAGGAGCAGAUCACCGUGGAGCAGGCGGAGCAGGAGGCGCUACUCGACUCGUACCGCUCCGCCCGCGAGGGCCGCCUCGAGCGCUGGCGGUACCGCAUGCGGGUGGCGGAGGCUGCGACAGCCUACAAAGAGGGCGAUGAAGCGGGCGAGGCGCUGUUUGGCGAGACCGAGGACGAGGCAGAGGACAAUGCUGGCUCCGAUAAGUCCCCGCUCCGCUGGCGUCGAUGAGGCCCUGCUCCACCGAGGCCCCGCGGCGCCAACAACGAGGCAGAGGACAUCGGCGGCUCCGCCGAGGCCCCGCAACACCAACAACGAGCUAGAGGACACUGCCGGCUCCGCCGAGGCCCCACCCUGCCGGCAACGAGGGGGAGGAUUUCCCCGCUCCGCUGAGGCGCCGCCCGCCGACAAUGAGACAGAGGACAUCGCCGGCUCCUCCGAGGCCCCGUCCCGCUGCCAACGAGGCCGCGCCAUACAAAAAACAAGGAAGAGUAGAACACGGUAGGUCGCCGUCGCUCGGGUCCAAGUAAGGCCACCCCUGCUACCCGCAACUAUCCUUCGGUUGCUGGCACUGAGUUGUACAUCAUGGAGCAAUUCUAUGAUUACAGGAUGAUUGAAGACCGCUCCGUGGUUGAGCAAGUUCAUGAGAUACAGUCAUUUGCUAGAGAACUUGAGCACUUAAGUUGUAUGCUACCGGACACAGGUGGGUAGCUUCCGUUAAUUAAUUAUACAUCCAGCGCACCCUUUUUAGUUGAAGAAUGUAUGAAAUAUAAUGAAAUCCGGCAUGUUUAUAUGAAAUCUGACCGUGUAUGAAUGAAUUUAUUUCGAUUAGUUCAAAUUCUUGUAUCACUGGCAUUGGAUGAACAUGCAAAACAAUGCGUACUAGCAUUAUUCCUAGGGUGAUCACCUCAUUUGCAGCAGUUUCACAUGUACUCCCUCCGGUCCAUUCUAGUCUGCAUACAAGUUUUGUCUGCAGUCAAAGUAUCUCUACUUUGACCAAUCUUAUAGAAAAAAGUAUGCACUUCACGAUGUGCGAAGUAAAAAGGAACAGAAGGAGCACAAAGAGUUUGAGCAGCUUUUUAGCGUUUCUGUACAUUGCAAUCAAACACACAAGCCUGGCAAUUCAUAGAGAACAUUCAAAACAAUCGAUGGUUAUGAAGGAAAUAUGCCCUAGAGGUAAUAAUAAAGUUAUUAUAUAUUUCCUUAUAUCAUGAUAAAUGUUUAUUAUUCAUGCUAGAAUUGUAUUAAUCGGAAACAUAAUACAUGUGUGAAUACAUAGACAAACAGAGUGUCACUAGUAUGCCUCUACUUGACUAGCUCGUUGAUCAAAGAUGGUUAUGUUUCCUAACCAUAGACAUGAGUUGUCAUUUGAUUAAUGGGAUCACAUCAUUAGGAGAAUGAUGUGAUUGACUUGACCCAUUCCGUUAGCAUAGCACUUGAUCGUUUAGUUCGUUGCUAUUGCUUUCUUCAUGACUUAUACAUGUUCCUAUGACUAUGAGAUUAUGCAACUCCCGUUUACCGGAGGAACACUUUGUGUGCUACCAAACGUCACAACGUAACUGGGUGAUUAUAAAGGUGCUCUACAGGUGUCUCCGAAGGUACUUGUUGGGUUGGUGUAUUUCGAGAUUAGAAUUUGUCACUCCGAUUGUCAGAGAGGUAUCUCUGGGCCCUCUCGGUAAUGCACAUCACUUAAGCCUUGCAAGCAUUGCAACUAAUGAGUUAGUUGCGGGAUGAUGUAUUACGGAACGAGUAAAGAGACUUGCUGGUAAUGAGAUUGAACUAGGUAUUGAGAUACCGACGAUCGAAUCUCGGGCAAGUAACAUACUGAUGACAAAGGGAACAACGUAUGUUGUUAUGUGGUCUGACCGAUAAAGAUCUUCGUAGAAUAUGUGGGAGCCAAUAUGAGCAUCCAGGUUCUUCUAUUGGUUAUUGACCGGAGACGUAUCUCGGUCAUGUCUACAUUGUUCUCGAACCCGUAGGGUCCGCAUGCUUAAGGUUUCGAUGACAGUUAUAUUAUGAGUUUAUGAGUUUUGAUGUACCGAAGGAGUUCGGAGUCCCGGAUGAGACCGGGGACAUGACGAGGAGUCUCGAAAUGGUCGGGACAUAAAGAUCGAUAUAUUGGACGACUAUAUUCGGACAUCGGAAAGGUUCCGAGUGAUUCGGGUAUUUUUCGGAGUACCGGAGAGUUACGGGAAUUCGCCGGGGAGUAUAUGGGCCUUAUUGGGCCAUAUGGGAAUAGAGGAGAGAGGCCAAAAGGAAGGAGGCGCCCCCCCCCUCUGGUCCGAAUUGGACAAGGGGUGCAGCCCACUUUUCCUUGUUCCUCUCCCCUUCUUUCCUUCUCUCCUACUCCAACAAGGGAAGGAUGAGUCCUACUCCCGGUGGGAGUAGGACUCCCCCCUUGGCGCGCCCUCCUCCUAGGCCGGCCACCUCUCCCCUUGCUCCUUUAUAUACAUGGGCAGGGGGGCACCUCUAGACACACAAGUUGAACAAGUUGAUCAGUUGAUCUCUCCCAGCCAUGUGCGGUGCCCCCCUCCACCAUAUUUCACCUCGGUCAUAUCGUAGCGGUGCUUAGGUGAAGCCCUGCGUCGGUAGCAACAUCAUCACCGUCACCACGCCGUCGUGCUGACGGAACUCUCCCGUGAAGCUCUGCUGGAUCGGAGUUCGCGGGAUGUCAUCGAGCUGAACGUGUGCUGAACUCGGAGGUGCCGUGCGUUCGGUACUUGGAUCGGUGGGAUCGUGAAGACGUACAACUACAUCAACCGCGUUGUGCUAACGCUUCCGCUUUCGGUCUAUGAGGGUACGUGGACAACAUUCUCCCCUCUCGUUGCUAUGCAUCACCAUGAUCUUGCGUGUGCGUAGGAUUUUUUUUGAAAUUACUACGUUCCCCAAUAGUGGUAACAGAGCCAGGUUUUAUGCGUUGAUGUUAUGCACGAGUAGAACACAAGUGAGUUGUGGGCGAUAUAAGUCAUACUACUUACCAGCAUGUCAUACUUUGGUUCGGCGGUAUUGUUGGAUGAAACGGCCCGGACCGACAUUACGCGUAUGCUUACGCGAGACUGGUUCUACCGACGUGCUUUGCACACAGGUGGCUGGCGGGUGUCAGUUUCUCCAACUUUAGUUGAACCGAGUGUGGCUACGCUCGGUCCUUGCGAAGGUUAAAACAGCACCAACUUGACAAACUAUCGUUGUGGUUUUGAUGCGUAGGUAAGAACGGUUCUUACUCAGCCUGUAGCAGCCACGUAAAACUUGCAACAACAAAGUAGAGGACAUCUAACUUGUUUUUGCAGGGCAUGUUGUGAUGUGAUAUGGUCAAGACAUGAUGCUAAAUUUUAUUGUAUGAGAUGAUUAUGUUUUGUAACCGAGUUAUCGGCAACUGGCAGGAGCCAUAUGGUUGUCGCUUUAUUGUAUGCAAUGCAAUCGCGCUGUAAUGCUUUACUUUAUCACUAAGCGAUAGCGAUAGUCGUGGAAGCAUAAGAUUGGCGAGAAGACAAUGAUGCUACGAUGGAGAUCAAGGUGUCGCGCCGGUGACGAUGGUGAUCAUGACGGUACUUCGGAGAUGGAGAUCACAAGUACAAGAUGAUGAUGGCCAUAUCAUAUCACUUAUAUUGAUUGCAUGUGAUGUUUAUCUUUUUUGCAUCUUAUCUUGCUUUGAUUGACGGUAGCAUUAUAAGAUGAUCCCUCACUAAAUUAUCAAAGUAUAAGUGUUCUCCCUAAGUAUGCACCGUUGCGAAAGUUCUUCAUGCUGAGACACCACGUGAUGAUCGGGUGUGAUAGGCUCUACGUUCAAAUACAAUGGGUGCAAAACAGUUGCACACGCGGAAUACUCAGGUUAAACUUGACGAGCCUAGCAUAUAACAGAUAUGGCCUCGGAACACGGAGACCGAAAGGUCGAGCGUGAAUCAUAUAGUAGAUAUGAUCAACAUAGUGAUGUUCACCAUUGAAACUACUCCAUCUCACAUGAUGAUCGGACAUGGUUUAGUUGAUCUGGAUCACGUGAUCACUUAGAGGAUUAGAGGGAUGUCUAUCUAAGUGGGAGUUCUUAAGUAAUAUGAUUAAAUUGAACUUAAAUUUAUCAUGAACUUAGUCCUGAUAGUAUUUUUCAAAUCAUGUUGUAGAUCAAUAGCUCGCGUUGUUGCUUCCCUGUGUUUAAUUUUUAUAUGUUCCUAGAGAAAACUAAGUUGAAAAAUGUUAGUAGCAAUGCUGCGGAUUGGAUCCGUGAUCUGAGGAUUAUCCUCAUUGCUGCAUAGAAGAAUUAUGUCCUUGAUGCACCGCUAGGUGAUAGACCUAUUGCAGGAGCAGAUGCAGACGUUCUGAACGUUUGGCUAGAUCAAUAUGAUGACUACUUGAUAGUUUAGUGCACCAUGCUUAUCGGCUUAGAAUCGGGACUUCAAAGGCGUUUUUAACGUCAUGGAACAUAUGAGAUGUUCCAGGAGUUGAAGUUAAUAUUUCAAGCAAAUACCCGAGUUGGGAGAUAUGAAGUAUCCAACAAGUUCUAUAGCUAAAAGAUGGAGGAGAAUGGCUCAAGCAGUGAGCAUGUGCUCAGAUUGUCUGGGCACUACAAUCGCUUGAAUCAAAUGGGAGUUAAUAUUCCAGAUAAAAUAGUGAUUGACAAAAUUCUCUAGUCACCAUCACCAAGUUAGUAGAACUUCGUGAUGAACUAUGAUAUGCAAGGGAUAACGGAAACGAUUCCCAAGCUCUUCGUAAUGCUGAAAUCGACGAAGGUAGAAAUCAAGAAAAAUAUCAAGUGUUGAUGGUAGACAAGACCACUAGUUUCAAGAAAAGGGCAAAGGGAAGAAGGGGAACGUCAAGAAGAACGACAAGCAAGUUGCUGCUCAAGUGAAGAAGCCCAAGUCUGGUCCUAAGCCUGAGACUAAGUGCUUCUACUGCAAAGGGACUGGUCACUGGAAGCGGAACUGCCCCAAGUAUUUGGCGGAUAAGAAGGAUGGCAAAGUGAACAAAGGUAUAUUUGAUAUACAGAUUACUGAUGUGUAUUUUACUAGUGUUCGUAGAAAUCCCUCGGUAUUUGAUACUGGUUCAGUUGCUAAGAGUAGUAACUUGAAAUGGGAGUUGCAGAAUGAACAUAGAAUAGUUAAGGGUGAAGUGACGAUGUGUGUUGGAAGUGGUUCCAAGAUUGAUAUAAUCAUCAUCGCACACUCCCUAUACUUUUGGGAUUAGUGUUGAACCUAAAUAAGUGUUAUUUGGUGUUUGCGUUGAGCAUGAAUAUGAUUUGAUCAUGUUUAUUGCAAUACGGUUAUUCAUUUAAGUAAGGGAAUAAAUUGUUGUUCUGUUUACAUGAAUAAAACCUUAUAUGGUUACACACCCAAUGAAAAUGGUUCAUUGGAUCUGGAUCGUAGUGAUACACAUAUUCAUAAUAUUGAAACCAAAAGAUGCAAAGUUAAUAAUGACGGUGCAACUUAUUUGUGGCACUACCGUUUAGGUCAUAUUGGUGUAAAGCGCAUGAAGAAAAUCCAUGCUGAUGGGCUUUUGGAAUCACUUGAUUAUGAAUCAGUUGAUGCUUGCGAACCAUGCCUCAUGGGCAAGAUGACUAAGACUCCAUUCUCCGGAACAAUGGAGCGAGCAACAGAUUUGUUGGAAAUCAUACAUACUAAUGUAUGUGGUCCGAUGAAUAUUGAGGCUCGCGGCAGGUAUCAUUAUUUUCUGAUCUUCACAAAUGAUUUGAGCAGAUAUGAGUAUAUCUACUUGAUGAAACACAAGUCUGAAACAUUUGAAAAAGUUCGAAGAAUUUCAGAGUGAAGUGGAGAAUCAUUGUAACAAAAAUAAAAGUUUCUACGAUAUGAUCGCAGAAGUAAAAUAUUCGAGUUACGAGUUUGGCCUUCAGUUAAAAACAAUGUGAAAUAGUUUCACUACUCACGCCACCUGGAACACCACAAUGUAAUGGUGUAUCCAAACGUCGUAAUCGUACUUUAUUAGAUAUGGUGCGAUCUAUGAUGUCUCUUACCAAUUUACCACUAUCGUUUUGGGGUUAUGCAUUAGAGACAACUGCAUUCACGUUAAAUAGGGCACCAUCUAAAUCCGUUGAGACGACGCAGUAUGAACUAUGGUUUGGCAAGAAACCAAAGUUGUCGUUUCUUAAAAUUUGAGGUUGCAAUGCUUAUGUGAGAAAGUUUCAACCUGAUAAGCUCAAACCCAAAUCAGAGAAGUGCGUCUUCAUAGGAUACCCAAAAGAAAAUGUUGGGCACACCUUCUAUCACAGAUCCGAAGGCAAGAUAUUUGUUGUUUUGAAUGGAUCCUUUCUAUAAAAGGAGUUUCUCUCGAAAGAAGUGAGUGGGAGGAAAGUAGAACUUGAUGAGGUAACUGUACCUGCUCCCUUAUUGGAAAGUAGUUCAUCACAUAAAUAUGUUCCUGUGACUACUACACCAAUUAGUGAGGAAGCUAAUGACGAUGAUCAUGUAACUUCAGAUCAAGUUGCUACCGAACCUCGUAGGUAAACCAGAGUGAGAUCCGCACCAGAGUGGUAUGGUAAUCCUGUUCUGGAGGUCAUGUUACUUGACCAUGAUGAGCCUACGAACUAUGAGGAAGCGAUGAUGAGCCCAGAUUCCGUGAAAUGGCUUGAGGCCAUGAAAUCUGAGAUGAGAUCCAUGUAUGAGAACAAAGUAUGGACUUUGGUUGACUUACCCAAUGAUCGGCGAGCCAUUGAGAUUAAAUGGAUCUUCAAGAGGAAGACGAACGCUGAUAGUAGUGUUACUAUCUACAAAGCUAGAAUUGUCGCAAAAAGGUUUUCGACAAGUUCAAGGUGUUGACUACGAUGAGAGUUUCUCACUCAUAUCUAUGCUUAAGUAUGUUCGAAUCAUGUUAGCAAUUGCCGCAUUUUAUGAAAUCUGGCAAAUGGAUAAACAAAACUGCAUUCCUUAAUGGAUUUAUUAAAGUUGUAUAUGAUGCAACCAGAAGGUUUUGUCAAUCCUAAAGGUACUAACAAAAUAUGCAAGCUCCAGCGAUCCAUCUAUGGACUGGUGCAAGCAUCUCAGAGUUGGAAUAUACGCUUUGAUAAGUUGAUCAAAGCAUAUAGUGUUAUACAGACUUGUGGUGAAGCCUAUAUUUAUAAGAAAGUGAGUGGGAGCACUACAACAUUUCUGAUAAGUAUAUGUGAAUGACAUAUUGUUGAUCGGAGAUAAUGUAGAAUUAUUCUACAAAGCAUAAAGGAAUGUUUGAAAGGAUUUUUUCAAAGAAAGACCUCGGUGAAGCUGCGUACAUAUUGAGCAUCAAGAUCUAUAGAGAUAGAUCAAUACGCUUGAUAAGUUUUUUCAACGAGUACAUACCUUGACAAGAUUUUGAAGUAGUUCAAAAUGGAAUAGUCAAAGAAGGAGUUCUUGCCUGUGUUACAAGGUGUGAAGUUGAGUAAGACCCAAAAACCCGACCACGGCAGAAGAUAGAGAGAGAAUGAAAGUCAUUCCCUAUGCCUCAGCCAUAGGUUCUAUAAAGUAUGCCAUGCUGUGUGCCAGACCUAUUGUAUACUCUGCCCUGAGUUUGGCAAGGGAGUACAAUAGUGAUCUAGGAGUAGAUCACUGGACAUUGGUCAAAAUUAUCCUUAGUGGAACAAGGAUAUGUUUCUCGAUUAUGGAGGUGACAAAAGGUUCGUCGUAAAGGGUUACGUUGAUGCAAGUUUUGACACUGAUCCAGAUGACUCUAAGUCUCAAUCUGGAUACAUAUUGAAAGUGGGAGCAAUUAGCUAGAGUAGCUCCGUGCAGAGCAUUGUUGACAUAGAAAUUUGCAAAAUACGUACGGAUCUGAAUAUGGCAGACCCAUUGACUAAACUUCUCUCACAAGCAAAACAUGAUCACACCUUAGUACUCUUUGGGUGUUAAUCACAUAGCGAUGUGAACUAGAUUAUUGACUCUAGUAAACCCUUUAGGUGUUAGUCACAUGUCGAUGUGAACUAUGGGUGUUAAUCACAUGGUGAUGUGAACUAUUGGUAUUAAAUCACAUGGUGAUGUGAACUAGAUUAUUGACUCUAGUGCAAGUGGGAGACUGAAGGAAAUAUGCCCUAGAGGCAAUAAUAAAGUUAUUAUAUAUUUCCUUAUAUCAUGAUAAAUGUUUAUUAUUCAUGCUAGAAUUGUAUUAACCGGAAACAUAAUACAUGUGUGAAUACAUAGACAAACAGAGUGUCACUAGUAUGCCUCUACUUGACUAGCUCGUUGAUCAAAGAUGGUUAUGUUUCCUAACCAUAAACAUGAGUUGUCAUUUGAUUAACGGGAUCACAUCAUUAGGAGAAUGAUGUGAUUGACUUGACCCAUUCCGUUAGCAUGGCACUUGAUCGUUUAGUUUGUUGCUAUUGCUUUCUUCAUGACUUAUACAUGUUCCUAUGACUAUGAGAUUAUGCAACUCCCGUUUACCGGAGGAACACUUUGUGUGCUACCAAACAUCACAACGUAACUGGGUGAUUAUAAAGGUGCUCUACAGGUGUCUCCGAAGGUACUUUUUGGGUUGGCGUAUUUCGAGAUUAGAAUUUGUCACUCCGAUUGUCAGAGAGGUAUCUCUGGGCCCUCUCGGUAAUGCACAUCACUUAAGCCUUGCAAGCAUUGCAACUAAUGAGUUAGUUGCGGGAUGAUGUAUUACGGAACGAGUAAAGAGACUUGCUGGUAACGAGAUUGAACUAGGUAUUGAGAUACCGAUGAUCGAAUCUCGGGCAAGUAACAUACCGAUGACAAAGGGAACAACGUAUGUUGUUAUGCGGUCUGACCGAUAAAGAUCUUCGUAUAAUAUGUGGGAGCCAAUAUGAGCAUCCAAGUUCCGCUAUUGGUUAUUGACCAGAGACGUAUCUCGGUCAUGUCUACAUUGUUCUCGAACCCAUAGGGUCCGCACGCUUAAGGUUUCGAUGACAGUUAUAUUAUGAGUUUAUGAGUUUUGAUGUACCGAAGGAGUUCGGAGUCUCGGAUGAGAUCGGGGACAUGACGAGGAGUCUCAAAAUGGUCGAGACGUAAAGAUCGAUAUAUUGGACAACUAUAUUCGGACAUCGGAAAGGUUCCAAGUGAUUCGGGUAUUUUUCGGAGUACCGGAGAGUUACGGGAAUUCGCCGGGGAGUAUAUGGGCCUUAUUGGGCCAUACGGGAAUAGAGGAGAGAGGCCAAAAGGAAGGAGGCACGCGCCCCCCUCUGGUCCGAAUUGGACAAGGGGUGCAACCCACUUUUCCUUGUUCCUCUCCCCCUCUUUCCUUCUCUCCUACUCCAACAAGGGAAGGAGGAGUCCUACUCCCGGUGGGAGUAGGACUCCCCCCUUGGCGCGCCCUCCUCCUAGGCCGGCCACCUCUCCCCUUGCUCCUUUAUAUACAUGGGCAGGGGGGCACCUCUAGACACACAAGUUGAACACGUUGAUCUCUCCCAGCCGUGUGCGGUGCCCCCCUCCACCAUAUUCCACCUCGGUCAUAUCGUAGCGGUGCUUAGGAGAAGCCCUGCGUCGGUAGCAACGUCAUCACCGUCACCACGCCGUCGUGCUGACGGAACUCUCCCGUGAAGCUCUGCUGGAUCGGAGUUCGCGGGACGUCAUCGAGCUGAACGUGUGCUGAACUCGGAGGUGCUGUGUGUUCGGUACUUGGAUCGGUCGGAUCGUGAAGACGUACGACUACAUCAACCGCGUUGUGCUAACGCUUCCGCUUUCGAUCUACGAGGGUACGUGGACAACACUCUCCCCUCUCGUUGCUAUGCAUCACCAUGAUCUUGCAUGUGCGUAGGAAUUUUUUUGAAAUUACUACGUUCCCCAAUAGGUUAUGCAUCUCAGUGAUUCACAUGCCAGAGCCAAUAUUUACUUCACAACUACAGAAUAAAUAAAAAAUGGAUUGACGCUGCUGACAGCAAAGGGUGUCCCAUUUGAAAAUAUCAAACGCAUGUCUUCUUGCUAAAAUCAAUGUGCAAAAUUUGACAAGGUUGUCCCAUUCCAAAAUAUCAAAUGCGUACGAUUGUGGAACGGGCAGGGUUUGCCAUUAGUUUGGACAUUGACAUGGCACCUCGUGCUAAAUAAACCAGCUGUUCUUCUUGUGUAGUUUCACCAAAAUUAACCAAAUUUGCUCGGCACCUCCUUUCUUGUGGUGGAAAUGAAUGAUUCGGUGUAUUCAUGAACAUUUUGUGUAGUUCCCAUUGAAAUCAAGCUGAGCACCCCUAUUUGCACAAAUACAAGAAAAGUGAUUAGUAUAAAGCAACUGUACUAUGAAUUGACAGUUUAAACAGGCACCUACAUGGUCCAUGUAGAGCACACUUUUAGAAAAAUGGAACUCAUCAGAAAGAAUCCUAGAACAACAUUGUACUCGCGCAUCGCAGCAAGAAAAUGGAGAUUUGUCGGUCCUUCUGAGAUGAAGUUAGUUUGGUCUUGUGGGGGGUAAUGUAACCAUCCUUCAACUGCUCCUUCUGAUGAGAAGAUAGGCAGUGCUUCUUCAUCCUGGCAUAAUCGGAACUAGUCACUUCACGUACUCCAUAUUCUUCUUCAGAGGAGGAUGAUCCUGUUGUGCAAAGACAAGAGAACAACUAAAUGCUAGCAUCCCUGUUUGCUCAAAAAAAGGAAAGGAAAUAUUUAGGGGCUGUUUGGUUUGAGACUAAGUUUGCCAAAGCUUGCCACACCUAAGGUUAGGCAAGUUUGACCAAUUUAGGUGUGUGUUUGGUUCAAGCCACAUUUUAGGCAAGCCACACUAUGGCCCCACGUCACAUACACACAAAAAGUGUGGCAAGAUUCCCUUAGGCUUGCCAAAUUGUGGCUCUCAUUUUAAAGAACUAACCUUAGGCAAGUUUGGUAACAUUUGUAUGGCAAAGUGUGGCACUCUUAGGCCUAGAACCAAACAACACCUUAAAAUAGCACAGAUGAAGCACUUCUCAAGGACAAUACCACUUUUUGAUGACAAUAUCUAAACAGUAGCACAACACCAAUAGAGAUGACAAAGCUUAAUCAUAUGGAUGAAAUCAGUGGGCGAGUACCAACCUUUGUCAGGAGGCUUAUUGUGUAGAGCAUACAGAUGAAGCAUUUCUCCGGAAUCAUCUAUUGCUAUCUACUGUGGUGGCCAUGCUUACUAUAUACUCCUCGAUUAGUUUAAUGUUUCCAACAUCUUCUUGUGCAGUUCCACUAAAAUAUAUGGUAUCUUCAAAGAAGAUCCCUGUUUGCACAAGUAGAGAUAAUUGCGUAUUACAUUAAUAGUGGCAUCAAAUCAGUGGCAAAACAAUUGCUUGUUCCAGCCAUAGCAAUAAAUUAAGAUGCAAAACUAUAUCAUUACUUGUGUCAUCACAGUUCCAAUGCUUCAUUACAACACCGAGAGUUGAUUUUUGUUUUUCUUCCGCUUGUUCUUCCCCUUCAUCACUUGGUUCAAUAACAGACAAGCUUCGCCUUCAAUGUAAGAUUUGGCAUGUCAAUUAGGUUGCACAAGUAUAGCAAUGAAAGUGACAAAAUAUAGGCCAACAGUUGUGAAAUAUCCUUAUCUUAUCUCAAUGGGAUAUUACGGUGCACAUACAGAUUGGAAGUCUUGUCUCCAUUUGUGUAGUUCACUAAAAUCAAGCAACAUUACCGUACAAGUAGCACAACAUAUGAAAGCACACUGCAGAAUCAUGUGAAAUAAGGCUAGUAUUGACCUCUCAUGACAUGGAAUUCAAACAACUCACACGAAGAAGAUCUGAACCAAAUUUGCCAACACAGAUAGGAAGUAAGAUCUCCUCUUGUGCAGUUCCACUAAGAUCAAGCAAUCAAGCAACGUUGUCGGUGUGACAUUUUGGUUGAAUUGCACAAAACACUCUUAAAACAAAAGUGUUUUGUGCAGUGCAACAAAAGGUCACAAUGGCAACGAGGUGAAGUAGAUAACCAUGUUUACACAGAGGUGCAAAGGAAACAACUAGUGGUCAAUAACGAUGGAUGACACAAAAGCCAACAAAAAGAAGCAUCUACCUUAUCUAAACGGGAAAGAAAGCAAGACAGUAGCAUUUCUCAAACGAUGGCAUUGAUUAAUAUUAAUAGAGAGAUUAUAUUAAUAAUAAAAUUCGUUAAACAUGUAAUUUGCUUUUAACUAUGACAUUGCAUCAAUUUUCCAGCGGCAUUAUUAGAGGGUGUUUGUUUACAGGGACAUUUUGGUGGAGGGACUAAAAAAACUCCGUGUCAGUCCCAUCUAAACCAAACAAGGGGGACUUUUAGGGACUAAAAGUGGGCAUUUGGGACUAAAGAAAGAAGACCCUGCCACGGAUCGCACCUUGUCUCUAUUAGUUCAUUACUAGGGGUAACAUGGUCUUUUAGCAUGUCAUUUAAUAACCUCUAUUCCAUGUUUAGUCCCUGGAACCAAGCAUGCAGGGACUAGGGAGUUUUUAACCAAACAGGGCGUUAGAUUAACAACAACUAAAGAGUUGCGCGGAACAGUGGACGCACUAGCACCAUGUGCAUCUACCGAUGUACUGGGGUGAUGCACAGUCUGUUGCAACAAAGAACAAACAACCAAGGAGCAUAUUUGUGUUGGUCCCAGUUUUGUUAUCUUUAGACACCUUUCCCUAUGUGAGUGCAGCAAAUUUAGUCCUGCUCAAACUCUAUGGCCUUGUCCCCAAAAACAAAAGAUCAGUUCGUUAUAGAUGUGCAUACUGUGUUUGUCAUUGUUUUCCCUUUUCGACCAACGUAGGUGCUGGAUAGCCAGUCUGUACUAGUACUUUCCCCCUUCCUUUCCUCUUUGAACCACGUCCUAGAUUUAUGCUAUACAACUUCCCCCCAUUCCUUUCCUCUUUGAACCACAUCUUACAUUCAUGCGAUACAACUUUCCCCCUUCCUUUCCUUUUUGAACCACGUCCUAGAUUCAUGCUAUACAACUUUUCCCACUACUUUCCCCCAUUCCUUUCCUCUUUGAACCACAUCCUAGAUUCAUGGUAUACAACUUUCCCCACUACUUUCUUGUUUGAUCCAACACCUAGAUUCAAGUGCAGAAGCGGAAAAGGCCCACAUGCAGCUAGAGUAAUGCAUGUGGAAUAAGUAAAUUAUACCUUAAGGUUCUUGGGGUGUGGUUCGGUGGGCGAUCGGAGGCCGUUCGGCCCACAAUAUGUACGACGGUGAAGAAGAAGGGGUCGGAGGCCCUCCCGCUCCGCCGCUGGGUGAAAGUGAACAGCUGCGCUGGUAGUGGAUUCCCUCCCUCGUCGACGGCGACAGCGUUAAGCCUCCUUCCCUUCUCGACGGACGGAUCCUGCCGGCUCUUUGACCAACAGUGAGGGGGGAGAGAGAGAGAGGCCAACGAAGUCUUGUUUAGAUCUGGAGAGGGUGAGAGAGUGUGAAGAGAGCAACUACAAGCAGACCAGCAGUGAGGGGAGAGAGAGAGGCCAACGAAGUCUUGUUUAGAUCUGGAGAGGGUGAGAGAGUGUGAAGAGAGCAACUACAAGCAGACCAUCAGUGAGGGGAGAGAGAGAGAGGCCAACGAAGUCUUGUUUAGAUCUGGAGAGGGUGAGAGAGUGUGAAGAGAGCAACUACAAACGCUGACGCUCCAGCGUGUAUAUAUAUACUGGAGAGAGUGUGAAGAGUGCAAACCCUAGAAAACAAGAGCCGAGGCUGCAGCUGAUCGUAUAGCUCCGUAUCCAUCCAUUUUGAGCAGUCAAAGAAUCCUCCUGGCAGGAAUUAUGCUCAAGUGUAGUUAUUGAACCCGAGACCUCAAGUUUGAUGAGCGAACAGGCUAACCAGCUCCAGUUAUGUUCAGCGAGAGGAAAAUAACCUUUUAUACAUUCCUGCAUUCAUGUGACAAGCAUGCCGUGUUUUUUUGUGGGAGUCAUUGGGAUUUAAAUCAUAAUCAUGUGGCUUUGGUGGUAAGACUAUCCAUAGUGGUGCGGAAAUAAUGCAGCCUUAGUCACCUUACCUCUCUCCACGUAGUAUGUUGGGUCCCACCAGUCAGAGGGUGAAACAAACAAAUUAAAAAAAAUUAAAAGCGCGAGCGUUGUAUCUUACCUCACACAUCUCGCUACUGCUCGGGAACACUGUCCAAUUGAUCCCUCUGUUCGCUCACGUACUAUUUUAAGUGAAUCCUUAUUAUAACAUGCACACAAGUUUGGGCACUUGUAUUUGACCUAAGUCAGUGUGCCACCAUAUCUCAUAUGACUCCCCCCGUCUAGGUGUAAUAAGUCACGUUAGAAGGUGCAGCGGGACCAAGGUGCAAGCAGAUUGGAGGAGAAGGAGAAACUUGACUGGUCAUUCCUCCAAUCAAAGCCCUGAUUUCUGUCUCUAAAUGCAACAAUUAACCCAAACAACUAAGAGAUGUUGUUUUAGCUACCAAUGCAGGGCCACGUAUUAACUCGCAUGCAAGCCGACUUUGAUUUCUUGACUGAUCAAUGCGUAGUUGCGCUUCAUGCAUUGGGUUUCCGGGGGAGAUAACAAGGCAGAGUAAGGAGCGUUUGGUUACAUUGCUUAGGCUGGUCAUAGUGGUGAGUAACUUGGACUAGUAACAUGCAUAUGUUACUAGUCUAUGUUACUACUACGUGAAGUUUGCCGUCGGAAGCGAGCCGAUCUGGCUCUCCUGAGCUAGCAAGGUUUUUCUAGCCCACCCAAGCUAGCUGGCCCACAAAAGCUAACAUAUUUUAACAGUUCGAAAUGCCUAACCUUGCCCAGCUAUGCUAUAAGCUGUUCUUGCUAAGGAGCCAAAUGCUCCCUAGGUAACAACGCUCGCUAGCAACGAGGCCAGGAGGGGAUUGAGAUGCGAAGUUAAUGGAUGAUGCCUAAACAUUUUGGGAAUAUCUGAUUUCCGUAAGAUGACUUAACACCUAGACGGAGGGAGUACUACUCCUCAGUCCAGGUUUGAUGGAAUAUUCGUCACCUCUUCGCUUCUUGUACAUACUCCAUUUGUAUCUCACUUCCUAUGGGUUCGCACUCGCACGAUUUCCCCAUUCUAUGAACCUGUGUGUGCGUGUGCGUGCGUGUGUGUGUGUGUGUGUGUUUAACAGCGCGUGUGUGUUAGAGAGAGCGACAGAUCGACCUACUCCUACAAAGAGAUAGUGCGUAGUGUACGAUUUUAGCAGCGAGAGUCGGUGCAUCCUCUUGUUUCCGGGCGUCCGGUAGGGACAGGCGGACAGCUGCCACGCCCACUCCUGACCAGCCUGGCCCACCCAAAGCCCCUUCAUCGCCUGUGUGCGCUUCCUGCCCAGAACGGUCAGCGCCGCUCCACAGAAUCGGUGCCGCAUUCAUGCCCUGGCAGAGCGGACGCGACCUCUCACUGGCACCUGUGUUGAAGGGAGAAGCGGAUUCAAGGGUGGUGGUUGCUUCGUCCGUCCAACUUACUGCUGGGUCUAUGUGAUUUGACGGCUCAUUGGUCAUUAUUACUGAGGUGGUAGGACUGCUGGAUGUCCCACGCUUUCGGCGAAAGGAGGUACUACUAGAUUACAAUUUUCUCCAUUCUUACGGCGGAGGAGUGCAAGAGCAGUGAAAACACGUAGGCUCAGUGAUUACAUGGCCCACCUCACACUAUCACCAUAUUUUCUAAACACCAUGCGACACCUAACUCUUUACAUAGUACUCCCUCCGUUCCUAAAUAUAAAGUCUUUGUAGAGAUUUCACUAGGUGGACUACAUACGGAACAAAAUGAAUGAAUCUACACUUAAAAUGCAUCUAUAUACAUUUGCAUGUGGUUCAUGGUGAAAUCUCUACAAAGACUUAUAUUUAAGAAUGGAGGAAGUACUAGUAUAGUACGUACUGUAAUUUAUCAGGGAGAUAGUACAAUGCUAUGAAGCUUCCAGCUUCUGUUACAUGUAUCUUGCGUCCAAGGUUGCCUGUUGCAACAUUUCAUCAAAUAAAAAGGAGACUAACAUGCAUGCUAUUGCAUCUCAAUGAUUGACAGAUCAUAGCAAAUAUGUACUCCCUCCAUUCCAAAAUAAGUGUGUCAACUUUACUAGCAAAAGAGCCCGUGCGUUGCAAUGGGAGAGAAAACAUAACACACGCUCUUAACUCAACAACCAUCACUCAAGACCACAAUAGGUCCAUCUCCUUUAUUUUUGCGUGGCAUCAUAUUUGUGUUGCCACUUAUCCUCCUUCUCACCCUCACCGACGAUGGCCUCGGUGUUCACACAAAACAACAAAAAACGUGUGUUGAAUAUGGUUAAUCUUAAGGCGUCUCUCUCCCUCUCUCCUCUCUCUCUCUCUCUCUCUCUCACUUUCUCUCACUCUCGCGAUGAGAAAUCUAUUAUUUCCCCCUGCGACAUUUUUCAGAGGUAUGGAUGUGUAGUUAUCGAUAUUUUCUUUUUCCUAUAUGGUUAUAGUGGGGUGUUUAUUUGCAAUCUGGAUCGCCGCCGGUAUGAAAAAAAUGGAUCUUGCGCUAUAAAUUAUAAGUUUGCUUCCAUAACAAUUUUUUCAAAAUAUUUAACAGGUAAAAUUAAAAUCAUAUUUAGAUUCCACCACAUUUUUCUAAUAAAAUUUCAUAUAUAAUAUAUUAAAAUCGAAGUUACGGUUUAAAAGAUAUAGAUAAUUUAGAAAAUCAUUUGGUUUGACUCAAAUAUAUGCCAAAUAAUAUUUAAAAAUACUUAACAGGUAAAUAUAAUCUCAUAUUCAUAUUCUACAUAUUUUUCUAAACAAAUUUCAUAUAUAACAUGUUCAAAUUGGAGUUACGGUUUAAAAGAUAUGGAUGAUUUUAAAAAGCAUUUGUUUGACUUAAAUAUGAUUCGCGGAUGAAUUACCUAAAACAUCAAGGGGGUUUUAAAAAAAUGUAAAAUAACGGUUCGGGUGUGACUUAAAUCCGGAUGGCGGGUUGAUUUGAAGAAAAGACAAGAACUUUUGUGUAAAAUACGAAAAUAACGAAUCGUUUUAACUUAAAACAGGAUAGCGGGUUGAAUUCUCUGAAAUAGAGGGUCUUUUCUGAAAAAUGCCAUGACGGACGAAAGAAAACCAAUUUGCUUUAUUAUUAGGUAAAGAUGCAGGGGGUGUUUGUUUCCAGGGAAUUUUUAGUGUAGGGACUAGAAAAAGUCCCUCUUAGAGACUUUUUAACCAAACAGGAGGGACUACUACGGACUAAAACUUGCUUUUUGGGACUUAAUGAAGAAGACUCUCAAGGAGAGUCUUUUUUGGGACUUUUCCAACAAUGCCCCUCCCUGCACCCAUUGCCCCGCCGCCCCAUGGCGUUGUUUGGUUGUUAUUUUUCUGUAUACUAGGGGUAACAUGGUCAUUCAAUAACCUCUAGGGAGGAACUAGGGACUUUUUAGUCCCUGAAAACAAACAGGGAGUGACUUUUUAAGGAGUAGGGACUUUUUAGUUGGGACUAGAAAAAGUCCUAGGACUUAUGAACCAAACAUGGCCUCAAUAUGGACUACAUACGGAGCAAAAUGAGUGAAUCUACACUCUAAAAUACGUCUAUAUACAUCAGUGUUUGGAGUAUGUACUAGUAGUUCAUAUUGAAAUCUACUAAAGGACAUAUAUAUUCCAAACAAUAUGAUAAUCUCUCUAACCAAGGUGGUAGGGACAAGGAGUAAACGGAGGGAGUAGUAACAUUUUCUCCUCGUCCUGCGAGCCACCGCACGCGUGGGCAAGGGAGCAGGCAUAAGGCGUACAAUACUACUACUAGUAAGCAAGCUUCACCUCAUCCUAUGAGCCACCGCACCCGUGGGCGGGGGAGACGGCGUACUAAGAAAGCUUCUCCUCAUUCUGCGAGUUGACGGGACACAUCAAAAGUACUCCAAUGUGUAUAGAACCUUGCCUCUAAGGUAGGCCCUGCAUGGUUUGCCUCUUUUUUAACAUAACACGUCAAGUCGCAAUUUGUUUGUUCACAUGUGGUAGACGAUCCUCCCUCCAUCUAGUGGACAACCAAUACACGUGUUAAAUUACCACGUGGGCUGCCUUUUCAUACAGAAAUGAGCUCCACCGUGUACCCGUGUGGGUGUGGUUGGGAAAGAGACGGGAGUACGUGCGCCGUGCGUGCACCUCUUCUCUUCAUGCACGCCCCCACCUACAUGGGUGUGUGAGAGAGAUACAAACCUAGACAAAUGGCUUGUGCGUUCGUGAGUGUUUUUUUUGGGGGGGGGGGAGGUUGAUUCCGUGAAUGUAUUUGUGGGAAUGUGUCGAUGACAUCUCAAACAAAUUUUUGCAUGCAAUGUGUGUGAAAUGGAGGCCUAUCCAUAUCAUAUAUAUAGAGGGCAGGGUGAUCCAUGAGAAGAGAGGGAGGGGUUAUAGAUAUCNNNNNNNNNNNNNNNNNNNNNNNNNNNNNNNNNNNNNNNNNNNNNNNNNNNNNNNNNNNNNNNNNNNNNNNNNNNNNNNNNNNNNNNNNNNNNNNNNNNNNNNNNNNNNNNNNNNNNNNNNNNNNNNNNNNNNNNNNNNNNNNNNNNNNNNNNNNNNNNNNNNNNNNNNNNNNNNNNNNNNNNNNNNNNNNNNNNNNNNNNNNNNNNNNNNNNNNNNNNNNNNNNNNNNNNNNNNNNNNNNNNNNNNNNNNNNNNNNNNNNNNNNNNNNNNNNNNNNNNNNNNNNNNNNNNNNNNNNNNNNGUGUGUGCAAGACAAAGAUAUAGGGUGACUGACCUACCGGAACGUCAAAGGGCACAGGUUAAGUUUGUGUGUGGCAGGGAGACAUGACUAGAGCGCUCGAUGUAUCGGUGUGUGUGUGUGUGGGAGGGGGGUGGGGGGGAGGGGUAGGCAGAGGCCUAACUAUAGAGGUAGAACGACUCGUGUAUGUGUUGACACUAGUAGAAAAAGGGUCAAAUGUGAAGCACAUUAGUGUCGGUUUGAAUUUGAGCCGGCACUAAUGUGUCCAUUAGUGCCGGUUCCAACGGCUAGGCGGGCGGACAUCAUUGGUACCGGUUCGUGGCGAACCUUUAGCACCGGUUCGUGCCACGAACCAGUACUAAAGUGAGUGGUGGCAGGAUGUUGUCAGUCCGGGGCCCCUCCAGCACCUUUAGUACCGGGUCGUAUCACGAACCGGUACUAAAGGUCGUCCUACAUACACCCUUCGUCCACCCUGGCUCACUUUGUUCUUCCCCUUUCCCCUCUCCUCUUUGUUCUUUCCCUCUUCCUCUCAAGCUCAUCACACAUUUUGCCCAAAAUUUGUCAAGAUUUGAAGGCCCCCAUCCAUUCAAAUGAUCACAAAGGUUAGCAACUUUGUCCUUUCAUCUCUCAUUGCUAGAUUAGCUCGUGCAAUGCUUUAUAUAGUGAUUGAUUUUUGAGUUUAGUAAUUUGGGAGGAAUUAUAUAUAUGUGCUAGUAUUUGAUUUAUAUGCAAUUUGAGGUCAAAAAUAACAGUUAGUUUUCAUAUGUAGGUGUGGUUUACUUAGUGCCUUCUAAAUCUUCGUCGUAACCACCGACGAUCGCCCGCAACGUCCCGUCGCUGGCACCACCUUGUGGUGAGCCUCUUGUUCAUGAAUGUUUUAUAUAAAAAAUUGAUGUUUGUGUGAUUUGGAUAUAUAGUUACUCGUAUAAUUAUCUUACCCAUACAUUGUUUGUUAUACAUAGUGCCAUGGUUUUGAUUUCCGUCCCCGUCGGCCCUCGCCCGGGUUAUGAUUCGGAUGUGGUAUAUUCUCUUUUAAAACUAUUUGUUGCAUUUCGUGUUUAUGACAAAUUAUGCCCAUCAAGUUGACAUAGAUAUUUGUAUGUAGAAGGUAGUUGAACUGGAAAUUCCAACCGACCCUAUUGUCGAGAGGUUAAAUUUAGUUGAAAGAGAAAACGAGGAUUUGAAGGAAAAAUUAAAAAGAAUUGAGGGGGAGAAGAUGGAACUAGAGUUGCAUGUUGCCGAUGUCAUCGAUGAUCACAAGAUUAAGAUGGAGAAAAUGCGCUUGAAGAUUAGAAAGAUUAGAAAAUAUGUGGUAUCAUUAUGCUGUUGGAUCAAUUGUUACCUUAGUUGCGAUCUUGAUCGCAUUUGUUGUUGCAUUUAAAUUCUUUAGCUAGAGAGUUAUUUGUUUGUUGCAUUCAAGUGUUGUAUGAACUUUAUGUAUUGUAUUAAUUUGGUGUUUUCGGUGCUGUGUAUUGAAGUUGAGCCGGCAAUGGAUGUACGAUGACCGAUGCUCUCCCGAGUUCAUUAAUGGCGUGCAUACUUUUCUGCUUGCGACUGAGGCAAACAAGCGGGCGGAUGGUUUUAUGCCUUGUCCAUGUGCUGGCUGUAAGAAUGGUCACAAUUACUCUACGUCAAGAACCAUUCACGUGCACCUGUUUGAGUCCGGUUUCAUGCCCCACUAUAAUGUUUGGACCAAGCACAGAGAAAGAGGGGUUAUGAUGGAAGACAAUGAAGAAGAAGAGGACGACGACAGCUAUCCUGGCCAUGGGUUCCCUGAAUACGAUGAUACAACAAUGAGGGAAGAAUCUGAGCCGGCAAUGUGGGAAGAAGCUGAAGAAGAGGCAUCGGAUGAGCCCGUUGAUGAUCUAGGUCGGGCCAUUGCCGAUGCAAAGAGAAACUGCGCAAGUGAUUUCGAGAAUAAGAAGUUGCAGCGCAUGUUAAAGGAUCACAAAAAAAAAUUUGUACCCGAAUUGCAUAGGUGACAAGAAAAAGCUGGGCACCACACUGGAAUUGCUGCAAUGGAAGGCAGAGAAUGGUGUAUCUGACAAGGGAUUUGGAAAGUUGCUGGUAAUGAUAAAGAAUAUGCUUCCAAAGGACAAUGAAUUGCCCGAGAGUACGUACGAAGCAAAGAAGGCUGUCUGCCCUCUAGGGUUAGAGGUGCAGAAGAUACAUGCAUGCCCUAAUGGUUGCAUCCUCUACCGCGGUGAGUACGAGGAUUUGAACGCUUGCCCGGUAUGCGGUGCAUUGCGCUAUAAGAUCAGCCGCGAUGACCCUGGUGAUGUCGAGGGCGAGUGCCCCAAGAAGAAGAUUCCUGCCAAGGUGAUGUGGUAUGCUCCUAUAAUACCACGGUUGAAACGUUUGUUCCAAAACAAGGAACAUGCCAAGGCGAUGCGAUGUCACAGAGAAGACAGUAAGAAAGACGGAAAGUUGAGAGUACCCACUGACGGGUCGCAGUGGAGAAAAAUCGAGAGAAAGUACGGGAAGGAGUUUGCAGAUGACGCAAGGAACAUACGGUUUGGUCUAAGCGCAGAUGGCAUUAAUCCUUUUGGGGAGCAGAUCAGCAACCAUAGCACCUGGCCUAUGACUCUAUGUUUGUAUAACCUUCCUCCUUGGUUGUGCAUGAAGCGGAAGUUCAUUAUGAUGCCAGUGCUCAUCCAAGGCCCUAAGCAACCCGACAACGAUAUUGAUGUGUACCUAAGGCCAUUAGUUGAAGAACUCUUACAGCUGUGGAAUGGAACAGGUGUACAUGCGUGAGAUGAGCACAUGGGGGAAGAAUUUGACCUAAAGGCAUUGCUGUUCGUGACCAUCAAUGAUUGGCCUGCUCUCAGUAACCUUUCAGGACAGACAAACAAGGGAUACCAUGCAUGCACGCAUUGUUUGGACGAUACCGACAAUAUAUAUUUGGAUAAUUGUAAGAAGAAUGUGUACCUGGGACAUCAUCGAUUUCUUCCGAGCAGGCAUGCCGUAAGAAAGAAAGGCAAGCAUUUCAAAGGUGAGGCGGAUCACCGAACGAAGCCUCGCCACCGUACUGGUGCUGAUGUACAUGAUAUGGUCAAGGAUUUGAAGGUAGUCUUUGGAAAGGGUCAUGGCGGACAACCUGUUCCGAAUGACGCUGACGGACGCGCACCCAUGUGGAAGAAGAAAUCUAUAUUUUGGGACCUGCCCUAUUGGAAAGACCUAGAGGUCCCCUCCGCAAUCGAUGUGAUGCAUGUGACGAAGAAUCUUUGCGUAACCCUGCUUGGCUUCUUGGGCAUGUAUAUGAAGACAAAAGAUACACCUGAGGCACGGGAGGACCAGCAACGUAUGCACGGAAAAGAUGGCAUACAUCAGGGUCAUGCCAGCUACGCUCUUACCAAAGAAGAGAAGGAAAACUUUUUUGAAUGCCUACUCAGUAUUAAGGUACCGUCUGGCUUCUCGUCGAAUAUAAAGGGAAUAAUAAACAUGGCAGAGAAAAAGUUCCAGAACCUAAAGUCUCAUGACUGCCACGUGAUUAUGACGCAACUGCUUCCGGUUGCAUUGAGGGGGCUUCUACCGGAAAACGUUCGAUUAGCCAUUGUGAAGCUAUGUGCAUUCCUCAAUGCAAUCUCUCAGAAGGUAAUCGAUCCAGAAAUCAUACCAAGGUUAGAGAAUGAUUUGGUGCAAUGUCUUGUCAGUUUCGAGUUGGUGUUCCCACCAUCCUUCUUCAAAAUCAUGACGCACAUCCUAGUUCACCUAUGCGAAGAGAUUAACGUUUUGGGUCCUGUAUUUCUACACAAUAUGUUCCCCUUUGAGAGGUUCAUGGGAGUCUUAAAGAAAUAUGUUCAUAACCGUGCUAUGCCAGAAGGAAGCAUCUCCAAGGGCCAUGAAAAUGAGGAGGUCAUUGAGUUUUGUAUUGACUUUAUUCCUGACCUUAAGCCGAUUGGUGUUCUUGAAUCGCGACAUAAGGGCAGACUGGAUGGAAAAGGCACGCUAGGAGGGGAUCAAAUAAUAUGUAUGGACGGACAUUCUCUAACUGAAGCACACUACACAGUUCUACAGAAUUCCGCCUUGGUGGCUCCGUAUAUGGACGAACACAAGAAUUUUCUAUGCUCCAAACACCCGGAGCGGUCUGAUGACUGGAUUACAUGUGAACAAACCAGGAGUUUCGCCGGCUGGUUGCAGACACGUACCAUGCAUGACGCCUCUAUUGAAGAUGACCUGUACUCGCUGUCCCAGUUACCAUCUUCGAAUAUAAUGACUUUCAAAGGGUACGAGAUAAAUGGUAGUACAUUUUACACGAUCACCCAAGAUAAGAAGAGCACCAACCAAAAUAGUGGUGUCCGCUUUGAUGCAACAACCAAGAUGGGAAAGGAAACAUAUUAUGGUUACAUAGAGGAGAUAUGGGAACUUGACUAUGGAUGUGGUUUGAAGGUCCCUUUGUUUCGGUGCAAAUGGGUCAAUAUGACACGAGGCGGGGUAACGGAAGACUGACAGUAUGGAAUGACAACAGUGGAUCUCAACAAUCUUGCGUAUGCAGAUGAACCAUUCGUCCUAGCUAAUGCUGUGGCACAGGUUUUCUAUGUGAAGGAUAUGUCUACCAAGUCGAGAAAAAGAAAAGAUAAGGAAGCGAAUGCAUCAUACGAUGAGCGCCACAUAGUUCUUUCUCGGAAGAGAAACAUCAUGGGAGUGGAUGACAAGACAGACAUGUCAGAAGAUUAUGAAAAGUUUGAUGAAAUUGCUCCAUUCACAGUGAAUAUUGACCCGAGCAUCCAGUUAAAUGAUGAAGAUUUUCCAUGGCUACGACGCAAAGGGACACACGCGAAGAAAAAGUUUCACACCCAAAGAUCUGGGAUGUGAUCGGCUUCACUAUCAUCACUUUCUUCUGUGUUUUACACCCAGGAGGGAAUCUCUGUAAUAGUUAGGGUAGUUAUGUGUUUUGGCAUUUGAAACGCGAAGAAAUUUUAUGUGCAAACAAAUUCUUUCAUGCAUUUACUUAUUUUUUCAGCUAAAUGGACCUAAAAUUGAAAAGCAUUUCAAAUGAACUCAAAAAAGGUUGAAAGUUGGCAUGGUAUCAUAAUUUCACCCACAUAGCAUGUGCAAAAAAGUAGAGAGGGUUACUGCAAAAACUGGAUGCACUUCGUGUACAAAAUGGACAAUCUCUUUCAAAGUAUCAGGGUUUCGGACAAAAACUCAUCCGUUACAAAGGCAUUUCAUUUUUUAAAUAACCUAAGCAUCACCAAAUUGAAUAUAAUGAUAAAACACACUAAUAUUAAACAUAAGAAAAAAAUAAUAACUGAAAAAUCUAUUUUCAAAGUUAAGUUAUUCACAAACUAGUGAUUCACACAAAUUUCAAAUAAUUUAAAAUUUAAACUAUUCAAAUUUGUAAACUACCGGCACUAACAGAAAGUUUGUAAUUUUUUGUACCUAAAGCAAAAAUAUUCACAAAGAAACUCUAAAUACAGCAAAAAACAACUCAAAAAUAAAUAAAACAAAAAUAAAUAAAGCAAAAAGCCCGCCUACUGUGCCACAACGGCCUGCAUACGACUAGAAACCCAACUUGUUGUUGGGCCAGGAUGCAGGCCCGCAAAGGCCCAGUAGGCCCACAGGGAAGCACAGAACAUUUAGGCCCAGUAGGCCUGCUUUGGAGAGGAGCUCGAGAGAGCUACCGCGCUGGGGCUUAUAAACCAGUGCGGACGCCCCUCGGCUAGCGAGGUGGGACUAAACAUGACGCACCGCACCUACGCCAGCGCACCCCCUUUAGUACCGAGUGGUGGCUCAAACCGGUACUAAGGGGGGGGGUCUUUAGUACCAGUUGGAGCCACCACCCGGUACUAAAGGGGUGCCAUUCCCGCCGCUUGGCCUGGCCAAAACAGACCUUUAGUACCGGUUGGUGGCUUCAACCGGUACUAAAGGUUGUUCUAUAUAAGAAAACACUUCAAAAAAUUUGUCAGUUUCUCAUCUCUCCCUCUGCUUCUUUCUCCUCUGCCCCAUUGCCGCCGCCCCUCGCUGCCGCCCCUCGUCACCGCCCCCGUCGCCGUCCGUCGCCGUCCCCAUCGUCGGCCCCAUCCGAGUCCCCAUCCCCGUCCCCGUCGUCCCCGUCGCCGCGCCGCGCCCUGUCGCCGCGCCGUGCUCCGUCGCCGCGCCCCGCCCCGUCCUCCCGUCGUCCCCACCCGGCCCGUCCCUAUCCCCGUUGUCGGUGUCAAAACUGGUGGAUCUCGGGUAGGGGGUCCCGAACUGUGCGUCUAGGCCGGAUGGUAACAGGAGGCAAGGAACACGAAGUUUUACCCAGGUUCGAGCCCUCUCGAUGGAGGUAAAACCCUACGUCCUGCUUGAUUAAUAUUGAUGAUAUGGGUAGUACAAGAGUAGAUCUACCACGAGAUCGGAGAGGCUAAACCCUAGAAGCUAGCCUAUGGUAUGAUUGUUGUUGCGUAUGUUGUCCUACGGACUAAAACCCUCCAAUUUAUAUAGACACCGGAGAGGGUUAGGGUUACACAAAGUCGGUUAUAAUGGUAGGAGAUCUACAUAUCUGUAUCGCCAAGCUUGCCUUCCACGUCAAGGAAAGUCCCUUCCGGACACAGGAUGAAGUCUUCAAUCUCGUAUCUUCAUAGUCCAGGAGUCCGGCUGAAGGUAUAGUCCGGCUAUCCGAACACCCCCUAAUCCAGGACUCCCUCAGUAGCCCCUGAACCAGGCUUCAAUGACGACGAGUCCGGCGCGCAGAUUGUCUUCGGCAUUGCAAGGCGGGUUCCUCCUCCAAGUACUUCAUAGAAGAUUUUGAACACAAAGAUAGUGUCCGGCUCUGCAAAAUAAGUUUCCACAUAUUGCCAUAGAGAGAAUAACAUUUACACAAAUCUAAUCUACUGACGUAUUCCGUAGUGUGACACACCAGGACCAAGCCUUUAUCCGAGUCAUUUUAUUAUCCCACCUCAGCGUGUAAUGCAAGGCGGUUUCCUUGGCACGUCUUGUUAAAGCAGAGAUCGUGUCCCCUUAUUCCGGGAUUCUCAUCAAUACGGGCGUGGGUAACCCAACCGCACCAUUGAUUACAGCGCUUGGAGAUAAGCGAGUUUUACCAGGCUGGUGGGGACACGUAGUUGCGUCCACCCAUAUAAGGGGAUAAGGAUCCACCUUUUCACCUACACCUUCUUCCUCCCUUGCUUAUCCAUUUUGCACACUCGAGCUCCAGCGCCCAAGUCCGCACUCCCCACCUCAACCUUCUCCAGCCAUGUCUGGAGCGGGAGGCAAGUGGAUGGUCUCCUCUGUCACGGAGGGACACAUCAAAAAACUGAGGAAGGCCGGAUACUUGUCUAACGACAUCGCGUACCGGCUUCCCGAAAAGGGACAGCUCAUCCCCACCCCUAGGUCCCAUGAGAGGGUGGUGUUCCUCCCCCAUUUCCUCCGUGGACUGGGCUUCCCUCUCCACCCAUUUGUCCGGGGGCUCAUGUUCUACUAUGGCCUGGAUUUCCACGAUCUGGCCCCAAACUUUGUCCUCAACAUCUCGGCAUUUAUCGUCGUGUGCGAGGCUUUCCUCCGCAUCCGCCCCCAUUUCGGCCUAUGGCUCAAGACUUUCAAUGUCAAGCCGAAGGUGGUGCACGGCAACCAGGCGGAGUGCGGAGGCGCCAUGGUGGGCAAGAUGCCCAAUGUCUUAUGGCUCGAGGGCUCCUUUGUGGAGACCCUGAAGGGGUGGCAAUCGGGGUGGUGUUACAUCACCGAGCCGCGCGACCCUGAAUGGGUCGCAUCCCCCGAGUUUCGAUCCGGACCCCCUACGCGGCUCACCUCCUGGAAGGAGACGGGUCUGUCGUGGGGUAAAAAAGGAGAGCUGACCGGACUCCAAACAUGCGUCCAAACCCUGGUGGACAAGAAGCUCAAACUUGUCAACGUAGUCCAGGUUAUGCUCAUUCGCCUGAUCCUCCCGUGUCAACAACGGGCUUUCAACCUGUGGGAGUUCGACCCGGCGCGGCACCGAACUCCGAGCAGGCUCUUCGACACGACGUACGAAGAUGCCUGGAAGGUGCUUUUCAAGGGCGCCGAGGCCCCCGCAUCCGCUACCGAGGAUCGCGGAUUCAGUACGCAGCGUCACGCUCAUGCGGUAAGCUGUUUUUUCCCUUUUACAGGGUAUUAGUUUUUCAUAGUUUGACUCCAUGCGGGAUCUAAGCCCCCUUACCUUUGACAGGACUGGCAGGAGACGUCCGGAUAGAUUAACUGUCCGGCUCCUUUGCCUGAAGGCCCAGCGGACGCUCGUUUGGCGAAGCUGCUGGUUCCGGCACCCUAUGUGGUGCCGGAGAAGAAGGCCACGAAGAAGGCCACGGGGACUCGAAAGAGUGCCCGGCGCCAGGAGAUGUCGGAUCCAUCAUUCGACGGUUCCGAGGCGCAUUCCUCCCGUGAAGACGAGGAGGAAGAAGAAGAGACCUCUCCCCCUCCAGCGGGAGGAGAGAAGAAAAGGAAGGCCGCCCCAACUGGGGAGGCCGAAGGGUCCAAGAAGGGGAAAACCCUUCCUCCGGACUAUUCCACCGACGCCGACGACGGCGGAGAGGAGUGGCCGCCCAGGGCCAAGCCCCUGGCAAAAUCGUAAGUAUCCGGAUACUAGAGUAAUUCAUAGUAUUCGUUUAUUGCACAGCUUUCCCUUAUGUCGAAUAUGUUUAUGCAGCCCACCCAAAGACCGGCUCGACGCGUCGUCGAGCGGCUCACUGGACUCGUUGGAUGUGAACUCGCUUCCGACGGCUUCCUCCCCCCGCCCUACAGACGACACCGAAGUGUUGUCCCAACAGGUUCCAAGCCGGAGGAGGUGGUCCUGGAGGCGCCGCAAGGCGACCUCCCGGACUCCAGGAGUAAAGGGGAUGAAACCCCCCAGGGCUCCAAGUCCGGCUCUAGGCCGGACACCGCUCCGGAACCUUCAAAGGUUCCAGAGUCCAACGGGGGACCUCCUUCCAAGAGGAGCAAGCCCACCGUGCCGGUGACCCCCAUCCAACCGGAGGCGCCGAUAAUAUGUUGGAGGCACUCCAAGGCGCCUCCAUCGACGAGGAGCACCGCACCAUUAUGAGUGCGGUGGUCCAGAAGGUUUAGUCCGCCAAGAGCGGACUGACUGAAGCUUGUACUAGCCUUUUAACAGGCUUUGAGGUAAGUAAAGAAUGUGUAAAUAAUAUUACCGCAUAGACAGUAGCCCCUGAUGCUCUAUUUGGCGUUCAGGAAGAAAAGCCGAAUAGAGGAUCAAAUAAAGUUAGCAGGAGUCUAACAAAAAGGAGUCAAUAUGUGUAUGCAGGCUUCUCUGCUUGCGUCCGCCGCACUUACUGUAGAAGUGGACACGCUAAAGCAGAACCUCGAGCGGUCCGAGCAAGAGCUCGGGCGUGCCAAGAAGCAGCUCGAGGACAAUGAAGGUAAGAAAUACCUUGUUUAAACAUAUAUAAAAAGGUGCAAUUGCAAAAAAUGACAGGAUUAUCAUGGCUAUUGUAGGGGCCACGUCUGAGGUGGCGACCCUUAAGCAAGCGCUGGUUGAGGCCGAGAAGAGGGCGGCCACGGAGCGCACCGAGCGGGAGAGGUACGAGGCCCAGGUUGGCAAGGUGCAGCAAGAGCUCCGGGUUCUCAUGAAAAAACAUGAGAGUUUGGAGCUUGACUCAAAGACGCGAGCGUCCGAGCUCGCGGUGGCUAUUGAAAAUGCCAAGUUUGCCAAGGACGAAUCCCAGAAGACCCUCCAGGAGUUGGAUGAGGUGAAGAAGAUAGCGGCGGGUAAGGCAUUCUUUAUGCAAAGCAAACACAUAAACGUGAGUUACUUGUUACUUACCCGAAUCUGGAGCUCUCCAGGAGCGUUCGCAGAUCUUCCCCGAAGUGUGUCCGAUGCCGCCGCAUUCUAUCGAGCCGAGGAGGGCAGCUCAACAGAGAAGGUGUUCUGGUCUCAGUAUGCUAAGGCCGGACACCUCGUGCCCCUGAGCGACCAGCUGAAGCAACCGGUCGAGCUCCACAAGGCGGCCGAACAGGCCAUGAAGGGCCUCAUAGUUCGGCUGUGGCCUGGAGAGGCUCUGCCUGGGAGCUAUUUCGGGCUGGUGCGGCGGCUGGUGGAGGCCUGUCCAAGGCUCGAAGUCAUCAAACGCUCCGUCUGCAUUGAAGGUGCCCGUAGGGCCCUUGCCCGUGCUAAAGUGCACUAGGGCAAGCUGGAUGCUGAGAAGCUUGUGAAGGACGGGCCACCGCCGGGGAAAGAGCAUCGCAAGCCCGAGAAUUAUUAUAAGGAUGUUCUGAAGGGUGCCUGCCUUGUGGCGGAUGAAUGUUCUAGGGAUGUAAUUUUUGAGUGAAACUUGCUUGUUUUGUCCUGUGCGCUGAAAACUUGUUCAUACGCACUAAGCAAUGCUGUUGGAAUUUAAAAUAUUACCUUCUGUGCGUCUGUUUAUCAAUUCUGAGAGAUGGCGAGUCAUCGGCUUCUGCCCCCGUGCCGCUAGUGUUGGGGUGUUCGGGGAUAAACCUGAGCGCUCUUUUUCCCAUGUUUGGGUCCUUCGAGGGAGGUGCUCAGCCCAACGAACAAGGCAGUCGGACUAUAAUGCGUGAACACUCUCACUUAGCCAUAGGAUUCUAUAAUUUUAAAUUUCGGCGAAGCCCCUGGUAUUCGGAAGACCGAGUUCGGGGCGCUAUCCACGCCUUGGCCGGACAGAGCCGACUCCUCGCUCUAAGCGGCAUAAGUCUUUAGGGACUCGAAAAACUUCUUGAACAGCGACCAGCUCUCACUUCAUCAUGACAGUCAGUUUUAGCUUUCUCCACUGAGGUGCUCGACCCAGCUCAACUGGGGCACAAUCGCAGUGGUUCUCCUAGUGCUACCUUAGCUGAUAUAGCGGAACGUAAGGCACCAAAACAUAGGAGCCGGGCAAACCCAACUAUUGACCCAAGACAGGAUUCGGUGCCAUGUAUAUAAUGCUAUAAGUUCGGGGUGCCACACUUGUUAAAGUGUUCGGACUUCUCACACCAUAUUGAGGGGUAUUAAAGCCCCUGGCGUAUUUUGGCCGUACCAAAGUGUACGGGUGCAACAUGUCAUUAAGGAACAUAUAUUUGUAAAAAAAAGUAAUGCAAAAAUAGACAAAAGCUAUGCAUUGUUUAUUAAAAAAGAGCUGCGAUCAAAGUAGAACGAUACAAAUAAUGCGAUAAGCAAAAGGUUGGACUAUUUUAACAUGUCCGUUCCAGGGGAAGACUGCGGAAUGGUAUGCGAAACAGGUAUACUGCUCAUGAUAGAGACCACCCGGGAGUUCCGUAAUGUGGCAUGGCUUGUUUGCUUCCCUGGUUCUUGCAUCAUUUGUGCGGCAAUUGAACUGCCGAACAGGCCUUCUGAAGAGUGGAGUCCUGAAAUUAAGAGAAAAUUAAAAAAUUGGCAGCCCCUGGUGCGGUUUAAGCUAUGUUUCGGGCGUGCCGUGAUGGUGCCCCUCCCCCUGUACCCAUGGUAUCUCUAGAGCGUAGUUAUGUACGCGAAGUACUGGCAUCGCCUUUUUGCGAGGGUUGGGGUUGGGGACGCAUUGCUACGCCUGCUCGGAUCGUGCCAGGCGGUCUUGUUGUAGGUUACUCUGGGCGCGCUUGACGGUCUCUAGUCGUUUAGUGGCCGGACUGGAGAACUGCCUGGAGAGGCUGCUUUGUACUUCCGCUACAAGGGCCGCCGUGUGCUCCUCCGUUCGGAGGCAGCGUUUGGUGUUUCCAUUGACCGUACCUUGAGGGCCUGGCAUCUUGAGCUUAAGGUAUGCGUAGUGCGGUACCGCAUUGAACUUGGCGAAUGCGGUUCGCCCGAGCAGUGCGUGAUAACCAUUGCGGAACGGGACUAUGUCGAAGAUUAACUCCUCGCUUCGGAAAUUAUCCGGAGAUCCGAAGACCACUUCAAGUGUGACUGAGCCUGUAUAGUUGGCCUCUACACCUAGUAUUACGCCUUUAAAGGUCGUUUUGGUGGGCUUAAUCCUCGAGGGAUCUAUGCCCAUUUUCCGCACUGUAUCCUGGUAAAGCAGGUUCAGGCUGCUGCCGCCGUCCAUAAGGACUCUAGUGAGAUGAAAUCCGUCAAUAAUUGGGUCUAAAACCAAUGCGGCGAAUCCGCCAUGGCGGAUGCUAGUGGGAUGGUCCCUUCGAUCAAAGGUGAUCGGGCAGGAGGACCAUGGGUUGAACUUUGGGGCGACUGGCUCUACCGCGUAUAUGUCCCUUAACGUGCGCUUCCGCUCCCUUUUGGGGACGUGGGUUGCGUAUAUCAUGUUCACCAUCCGCACUUGUGGGGGAAAACCCUUCUGUCCACUGUUGUUCAGCAGUCGGGGCUCCUCGUCGUCAUUGCUAUGCAGCCCCUUGUCUUCAUUUUCGGCAUUUAACUUGCCUGCCUGCUUGAACACCCCACAAUCCCUGUUGGUGUGAUUGGCCGGCUUUUCGGGGGUGCCAUGUAUCUGGCACAAGCAGUCGAGUAUUCGGUCCAAACUGGACGGCCCCCUAGGAUUCCUUUUGAAUGGCUUUUUCCGCUGACCAGAUUUAGAGCCUCUGAAUCCGGCAUUAACCGCCGUAUCCUUGCCGUUAAUGCAGUGCUUCUGCUUGUUGCGACGCGACCUGCCACUACUGUCCCUGGUAUCCGAAUUACCAGGGUUCUUGGUCAUAUUGUUGCUACGAGCAAGCCAGCUGUCUUCUCCCGCGCAAAAGCGGGUCAUGAGUGUCGUGAGUGCUGCCAUAGACUUCGGCUUUUCCUGUCCAAGGUGCCGGGCAAGCCACUCAUCACGGAUAUUGUGUUUGAAGGCUGCUAGGGCCUCAGCAUCCAGACAGUUGACUAUUUGAUUUUUCUUUGUUAGGAACCAUGUCCAGAAUUGCCUGGCCGAUUCCUCUCGCUGCUGAAUUACGUGACUUAGGUCAUCGGCGUCUGGGGGUCGCACAUAAGUGCCCUGGAAAUUGUUGAGGAAUGCGGCUUCCAGGUCCUCCCAACAACUGAUUGAUCCUGUUGGCAAGCUGUUAAGCCAAUGCCAAGCUAGUCCUUUAAGCUUGAGUGGGAGGUAUUUGAUGGCAGGAAAUCAUCACCGCAGGCCAUGUGGAUAUGAAGGAGAUAAUCCUCGAUCCAUACCGCAUGAUCUGUUGUGCCAUCAUAUGAUUCGAUGUUUACGGGUUUGAAACCCUCGGGGAUUUGAUGAUCCAUUAUUUCGUCUGUGAAGCAUAGUGGGUGUGCGGCGCCUCUGUACUGGGCUAUAUCACGAUGUAGCUCCAAUGAGCUUUGUAGACUAUGUUCGGCCUUGCCGAAUUUGUGGCCGGCGUGACGGUUACCGUCUUGAGUCGUGGGGCACCCAUGCGAUCCGUAGAUCGAUCUUGUUUGCCUUGCCUUGUCUUCCAACAUAUCUCGCAGGUCCGGCGCAUUUUCCCGUGCCUUGGUACGGGGUGCGGCUUGAGUGGAGGGCCGAGAGGCCUCUCUGUCGCGGCCACGGGGUGGCCGAUCGGCCGUAUCGAGUGCCGGUGAUGUAGGUUUAAGUGCUUCCUCCUCUAAUCGGGGUAGUAACCUGCGCUUUGGGUAGCUCUUGGAGGGGCGUUCGAGUUUAUGCUCUUCGGCCGCAAGGACUUCAGUCCAUCUGUCGACUAGCAAAUCUUGAUCAGCUCUAAGCUGUUGCUAUUUUUUCUUGAGGCUUCUUGCCGUGGCCAUAAGCCUGCGUUGAAAACGCUCUUGCUCGACGGGAUCCUCUGGCACGACGAAUUCGUCGUCGUCGAGGCUUGCCUUGUCUUCUGAGGGAGGCAUUUAGUUAUCGUCCUCGACCUCUCUGUCUGCCGCUCUCUCAUGAGGGCUGGUUUCUCCAUCCUCCUAUGCUAAAUCUUGCUGGAGGGGGUUUUCUUCGGCACUUUCCGGAGUAUUAUUAUCUCCCGUGCUGGAAUCACCGUAUUUGUUUUGGCGGGAUUUUGAGCGGCGCCGCUGACGCCGACACUUGGGCUGUUUCUUGGAGGAGUCAUCCUCCACUGUUCCAUCGCCAUCUCCUUCUUUUGGGGUGUCCACCAUGUAUAUGUCAUAUGAAGAGGUGGCUUUCCAGGGCCUAAUAGGCGCUGGUUCUUCAUCGUCUCCUUCAUCGGCAUCCACACCGUCGAUGUCUUCGGAGUCGAAGUCGAGAAUGUCGGAUAAGUCGUCGACAGUGGCUACAAAGUGGGUGGUGGGUGGGCUUUGAAUUUCUUCAUCAUCCGUACCCCAACCUUGCUGACCGUAGUCCGGCCAGGGCUCUCCUGAUAAAGAGAGAGACUUCAGUGUCUUCAGAAUAUCGCCGAAAGGUGAGUGCUGAAAGAUGUCCGCGGUAGUAAACUCCAUGAUCGGCGCCCAAUCGGAUUCGAUUGGCAGGGGCGCGGAGGGUUCAGAGUCCGGAGAGGAGUCCGGCUCCUUGGAGUCACGAGUCCCGCAGAGUGCGGGGCUGGUGUUCGGCUCGAUCGCCGUUGGGAUCGCAGUCCCCGAGGCGGCGUCCAACCACCUAUCCUCGAUCGGCGUAGUUGGCUCUGAAUUAAGGGUCGAAGCCGAUGCGGGUGCGGCCUCCAGGGCACUGUUCGGCGGCAGGGCUAGAUCAUGCUCGUCGGGACAGUGCGGCGCGCUCGGCAGUGGCUCGAAUCCGUCGAAGAUCAAGUCCCCGCGGAUGUCAGCCGUGUAGUUUAAACUUCCAAAUCUGACCUGACGGCCAGGGGCGUAGCUUUCGAUCUGCUCCAGAUGGACAAGUGAAUUGGCCCGUAGUGCGAAGCCGCCGAAGACGAAGAUCUAUCCAGGGAGGAAGGUCUCACCCUGGACUGCAUCGUUAUUGGUGAUCGUAGGAGCCAUCGAGCCUGACGGAGAUGACACAGAGGAACUCUCAGUGAAAGCACCAAUGUCGGUGUCAAAACCGGCGGAUCUCGGGUAGGGGGUCCCGAACUGUGUGUCUAGGCCGGAUGGUAACAGGAGGCAAGGAACACGAAGUUUUACCCAGGUUCGGGCCCUCUUGAUGGAGGUAAAACCCUACGUCCUGCUUGAUUAAUAUUGAUGAUAUGGGUAGUACAAGAGUAGAUCUACCACGAGAUCAGAGAGGCUAAACCCUAGAAGCUAGCCUAUGGUAUGAUUGUUGUUGCGUAUGUUGUCCUACGGACUAAAACCCUCCGGUUUAUAUAGACACCGGAGAGGGUUAGGGUUACACAAAGUCGGUUACAAUGGUAGGAGAUCUACAUAUCCGUAUCGCCAAGCUUGCCUUCCACGCCAAGGAAAGUCCCUUCCGGACACGAGACGAAGUCUUCAAUCUCGUAUCUUCAUAGUCCAGGAGUCCGGCUGAAGGUAUAGUCCGGCUAUCCGAACACCCCCUAAUCCAGGACUCCCUCACCCGUCAUCGCCGCCCCGUCCCCAUCCCCGUCGUCAUCGCCCGUCUCCGUCCCCGUCGCCACCGCCCGUCUCCGUCCCCGUUGCUGCCCCUCGUCGUCGUGCCUCGCCGGUGAGCUCCUGCCCCGGCCGCACACACACACACGCAUUAUGUUAUAGAAAUAUUACAAAUGUUAGUUAUAUAGAAAUGUUUUUUAGUUAUAGAAAUAUUAGAAAUGUUAGUUAUAUAGAAAUAUUAGAAAUGUUAGUUAUAUAGAAAUGUUUUUAGUUAUAGAAAUAUUAGAAAUGUUAGUUUUAGUUAUAGAAAUACUAGAAAUGUUAGUUUUAGUUAUAAAAUUUAGAAUUUGCAUAUAUGAAAUCACACUCCAUCAUUUAAAAAAUGUUAUUUUACUUUUGCGGCAUAUAGUAUUUGUUGUGGAUGAUGCCCGACCAGCAUCCUCGCCGUCGACCAGUUUGCGACGACGUCCUGCUUCAGAGGACCCAUGUCCGGGACUGGGCUCCGCCGGGCUGGCACUAGGAGGUGCUACCAUCAGGGGUGCGAUGUUUGGUGAGGAACCCGGCCCCGGGUCCCAUCGUCGACCCUGAUCUCCUUUGGUGGCGUUCGCGUGGGCCACUUUCGGUGCAGAGGGAGCCGGCCCCGCCGGAGGUGGUAUGUCGCCGUGUCAGGGAGGAGGACGAGCACGUCCAUCGCUACAUGGCUGCUAUGGACGUCAGGUUCUCCAAUACCUGGCAGGUUCUUUGGGGAGAUCACCCGAGCUAUGAUCCAGUGAUGGUUCCUUCACUUUGGUUGUCCACCGCCUAGAUUACUCUCUAGUAUUCGAUCUUUAUUAGCUAGCUAGCUAGCUAGUGAUGUAUUCGAUAUAUAAUAUUCGAGAUUAUAUAUAUUAUUCGAGACGAUGUAUUCGAGAUUAUAUCUAUUAUUCGAGACGACGUAUUCGAGAUUAUAUUCGAUGAUGCUUAUUAUGUACUAUGAUUGAUCCAGUUUUUCCUUUUUAAUUGAUUGCAUCCAUGCAUUGUAAUUUGAAUAUAUUUCUUUUGGAUUAGUUAAAUAAAACCUAUGGCGGACAAUACCGGCACAGAGGGAGAAGAGGCCCUGUUCAAUAUCAUACGCAAUCCUCACGGGCCAGAUGAUGAUCAGAAUGAAGAAGAUUAUGGCAGCUCCGAAUAUCUAAACAACACUGGGGAGGGUGAUAUGAUAUUCGAUUGCGACGACCGAAUUGAUGAAGUCAUGAACUAUGAACAUGACAAAGAAAAUGUUGAUCUUGAAACAACAAAGACCGGCGAGGUAUAUUUAUAUAAGCAGGCAUCUGGUGAUCAUCACAUGUUUUAAAUGACUUGAAGAUAUAUAUUAACGAAUCGAUCUUUCUUCUUUCAGCCAUCCGGAUCGGGCAAAUCUUCAGGCAGCAAGACAGUACGAGGCCCGAACAAAAAGUUGAAGGAGGGCGUAAAGUACAAUAUCGAGGCCAUCAAACCUAAUGGCGAACCAUUAGCGCCUAAGAAGGUUGCAGACAAGUUCAUUCGUUAGUGCGGAGUUCUUGUGAAGGACCAACUCUCGAUCUCCCUUCAAGAAUGGAGAGAGCCAGCAAAGCCACGUCCAGAUCUUACUUUUGUCGACGACAGACAAAAACUUCUGCUUUGGGAAACGCUCAUGGAACAUUUCACCCUACCAAAUCAUUUCACAGAUGCAUAUGUGGAGAAAGUCAAGGACACUGCUCUUAGGAAGAUGGCGGUUGCAUUCAACAACCACCAGAAUCGUGUAUGGGACCAGUACAUCAAGGGAGGAAAGAAGACUCCAGUAUUCAAGGGAACACUAGAGAAGCAAAGUGCUCAUUGGGACAAUUUCAUGAAUUUCAAGGAAUCAGAAUUAUCUAAGGAACGGUCGAGAAUAAACAAGGCCAAUGCCGCAAAAAAGGAUAAGUUCCAUAAGGUGGGGCCAGGUGGCCAUGCGGUGGGAAUGCCUAAGUGGGAUAAGUAUGAGAAAGAGAUGGAGGAUGCAGGUGUCACUCCAGAAACAUUGAGCUGGCCCCCCAGGUGUAGGACUUGGUUCUAUGCGCAUGUGGGGGAGUUGGACCCGAAGACAGGCAAAGUUUCGAAGAAGGCAUGUCUGGACGGAGCCGAAGAUAAGCUACUUGUUGCAAUAGAAGAGGCUCGAUCGGGGGUGUUCAAGCCCAACAGAGAGAACGACGAGCUUACGCGUGCCCUAGGAAAUCCUGAACACCCGGGAAGAACACGAGGCAAGGGCGCUAUUCCAUGGUACGAGGGGUUUUCAUACUGGAAUGCCGACUACAGAACCCAUGCGAGAAAGAAGAUUGCGGAGGAGAAGAAGAGGAAGAUGGAGGAGGAGCAGAGGAAGCUGGACUAUGAACGCCUUCAAGGCCUAGAAUCAGCGCACGUGGACUUGGCAGUCAAAUUCCAGCGGCAGCAGGAGCAGAUCGACUCACUUAGCCAGCAAAGGGGGUCUCAGUAGCUGCAGCAGCUAGCGGAUGAUCCAGCAUUGGAUAGCACCGUCCCAUCCAUGCCGAGAAGCAGCGUGGGUUCCGCCCCGGGCGACGCAUUGCUGGAUAGCUACCCACUGGAUGACAUCAUGGAGAACACUAACUGCGAGCUACACUUCAAAAUGAAGAACAUAUCCAUGAAGGUGGCGGACGCCGUUGCUUUUACAAAUCCCCCCGAGGCAACCUUCCAUUGCAACCCGAUUCCAGCGGGCUAUGCUCGUGUCUUGGUUGAUGAGGUGGUGGACCAAUAUUCGGGGCUAGAGCUUGACAUUCCUGGAGGUGACGAGGAGCACACACUGGGAGAGGCCAACCAUCGUAUCAUCCUAUGGAGAAAGGAUUGCAUCAUCUUUCGAAGGCCACCGACACCGCGUCAUCCGACUCCUCGUCGAAGUCCGCCACCGAGUCAGUAGACUCCCGCUCCUCCAAGUCCACCAACGCGUCAGGCCACUCCUCCUCCAAGUCUGGCACAACUUCAGGCCACUCCUCCUCCUCCAAGUCCGGCAAAGCGUCAGGCCACUCCUCCUCCAAGUCCGGCACAGCUUCAGGCCACUCCUCCUCCUCCAACUCAGCCACGUCAGCCGUCUUCGCCGCCUCAGCAAUCACGGAAGAGAGCCGCCUCAGCUAUGGUGCGUAGCGGUACAAGUCAAGGUAGUACUGGAGGUACAGGCGGAGGCAAGCGAUUUCAAUAUGGUCCAAGUAGCCUCGUGCCUCUUCCGCAGAGGCCUUACGACAAGUUCGAGGAGGAAAACACAUCCAUAUCGAAGGCCGAGGUGGAAGCCCAUUUUGCACCAAAACUGCCACCGCCGCCAAGGGAGAAAGUGCCUGAGGAAAAGAUUGACCACUUAAUUCGUAUGGCUAGAGCACCAGCUCCCAAGCCUGUUGACACAGACUAUGAGCGCCAACUCAGGAAGUUAAAUCGAGCAUGUCUACAGAAAGAGGCGAGCUCAAGCUCGAGCAAAUCAGCUGGCAAAAGGAGCGGUAAAACCGUUCCCCAGCUGGGAGAACAGGCGGCGCAAUCAAUCCCCCCGCUUGUUGUGCCAACAACACAUGAGAGUACGCAUGCCCAAUAUUAUUGUGGUCAAACCGUUAACGUUCCCGGACUGGGCGAUGUGGUAAUAACCGAGGAGCAUAUUGAGCAGGCUAUAAGGCUCAUGAUCACUGUUGGACAACUCCUCGAUAUCGAGCCCAUGUCUCUGAUUAGAGAGGAGGAUAUAAAAUGGAAAUAUGUCCGGGGCCAACCUUUGGUCGAGCCAGACGAGGUCAAGAAGCUCCCAACGAGAAUGUAUGAAUUGCAUCAAUGGUACAUGGACAUUACCAAGAUUUCCAAUCGAGAGUCCCUCAUGGUGAAUGUCAAGAAGGAUCAUUACUACCAUGAGAAAGCUGUGUCCGUUGAGUAUUCAGAACUAUUUCAGUUAUACAAUCAAGACGCACUCGACAAAUCUAUCGUCAGUUGCUAUUGUCUGUAAGUAAUUUCUUUUUGUAAUUUAAGUCUCAAGCUAGCUGUAGUGAUCAUUUUGAUCAAUCAUUACCUGUAAUUAUCCUCACUAUAUUCUUUUCUGUGGUAUUAUGCAGGAUGAAGAUUUAUGAAAUGAAAAAAGGUGGACGCUAUGGCAUUGGGUUCAUUGACCCAAAUACCAUUAAUGAAUACACAUGGAAAUUAGAUCCAUAUUAUGAAAAAAGUGUAGAGGAAAGCAUGCUAGAGUUCUUCAAGCACCUCAAUACCAAUGAAGAUAUACUACUAGCUUCCUUACAACUUCGAGUGAGUCACACUGUCUUGUACUACAAAUUCUGUUUUUGCCUACUAGCUAGCUACAUGUUUUUGCUUACAUAUGCCCGCUUAAUUAAGACAUGCAAACGUGUGUGCAUGCAGAUUUCACUAGAUCUUGUUAAUCAUUAAAGUUGAUGAAGGAACAGUUGAAAUACUGGACUCACUACUUAAAAAAGCAAGUGACUACACCAUCUUGUUUGAGAUAGCCAACAGGUAAUUUCAAUCAUUAUUAACUAUAUCUCAGCCUAUUUAGUUCAUCAUUUACUGAUAUGAACUAUUUAAUAACCCCUUUAUUCAUUUUCUUUGUCGGCGGGCAGGGCUUGGGCAAAGUUCAUCAGCGUCACUCCAGGCCAAUGGAAAAAAAGCUAAAAUGGUAUCGACCCAAGAUAAGUAAUUAAGUAGUACUAGCUAGCUACCUGCCAUCUCUUUAAUUAUCAUGCUUGAUUAAUUAUUAUCUGAUCAAAUUCCAUUCUCGUAAAGGCCCUGAAGCAGGCGCCGGGCAAUAAUCUGUGUGCAUACUACGUUUGCGAGAACAUUCGCAUGAUGGCGUCCGAAAGGAGCAGAUCUCAAAGACAGGAGUGGGUACGUUUGUCAGAACACUAUUCACAAUUUUUACAACAUUAUCGAUAUCUAGUCACACAACUAAUACACAUGCAUAUUGAUCUCCUUCUUAACAGUUCAAAGAGGUGUGGGAGUAGCUCCUAGCAGAGGACCGCAUAGAAGCAAUUCAAGAGGAUAGCGGGAUUUUUGCUCGACCAGGUCAUAGAUCCCAAAGGAGAAUACUAUUAUCCGCUACCGCCCCCAUGAACCACUUCCAAUUGUCAUCGUGCUCCGAAGGCACCAAUUAGGCUAAUGCCACUGGCUCUGAAGGGACCAAUUAGGAGAAAUUGUAUAUAGCUAGCUAAUUGUAUAUAUACAUGUGUGUAUAUAUGUGUGAAUUAAUUAAUGGUGGUNNNNNNNNNNNNNNNNNNNNNNNNNNNNNNNNNNNNNNNNNNNNNNNNNNNNNNNNNNNNNNNNNNNNNNNNNNNNNNNNNNNNNNNNNNNNNNNNNNNNNNNNNNNNNNNNNNNNNNNNNNNNNNNNNNNNNNNNNNNNNNNNNNNNNNNNNNNNNNNNNNNNNNNNNNNNNNNNNNNNNNNNNNNNNNNNNNNNNNNNNNNNNNNNNNNNNNNNNNNNNNNNNNNNNNNNNNNNNNNNNNNNNNNNNNNNNNNNNNNNNNNNNNNNNNNNNNNNNNNNNNNNNNNNNNNNNNNNNNNNNNNNNNNNNNNNNNNNNNNNNNNNNNNNNNNNNNNNNNNNNNNNNNNNNNNNNNNNNNNNNNNNNNNNNNNNNNNNNNNNNNNNUUCUAUUUAUAUAUAUGCAUAACGUGUACAAUAUGUAGUAUCGUAAAAUACCAGCAAACGAAAAAGAAUUAAAUGGAAAACACAAAAUUAAAUGAAAAAGAAAUCAUAAACCCAAAACCCCCAACCUUUUAAUACCAGUUGGUGUCACCAACCGGUACUAAAGGGCUCCCUGCCCCCGGAGCUGGCUCGUGCCACGUGGUUGCCCUUUAGCACCGGUUCGUGCUGAACCGGUACUAAGGGGGGGGGGGCUUUAGUGCCCACACUUUAGUGCCGGUUACCGAACCGGCACUAAAGGGCCUUACGAACCGGUGCUAUUGCCCGGUUCUGCACUAGUGUGAGAAGGAGAGACCCAGCUAUGUCUUGAGGGAGAUCGAUCGACAUCCAUACAUAACUAAAGGACGGGAAAUAGGAUGGGACAGAAAGAGAGAGGGGAGAGAGAGGGGUAGAGUGCUGGAUGGGUGAUGGAGUUGCUUCUCAAAGAUGGUGGGAGAGGCCUACUAGACAAACUGAGGGUGGAACUGCAACAUUAUUAAUAAGAGUGGGGAUGUGUUUCUGUGUGUUCCUGUGCGUGAUAGAUCUGUCGAGACGCAUCCAUGGAUGAUGAAGGGGAACCAUGUGUUUGGUAAGCAAACCUAACUAGAUCGGUAGAACAAUUGUUGUUUGUCGGAGGAAGGAAGAGACAUAACUAAUGAGGUGGAUCGAUCUACGCGUGGGGAAUAACGAGUUAUAAGGACCUAGCUAGCUAUAUGAAUAGCGGGAGAUAGGUCGGUGUACGUCCAUUUGUUAGAGGCAAAUAAGGCCCGGCGAGACGGAUAGACAGAGAGAAUGGAGCUAUGAGGUGGUGCGAGAGGCCCAGCUACUAGCUGGAUAGGGGGAGGAGUGUGUGGUUGUGAGAUUGAUGAAAAGAGGGGCGGGAGUUUACACAUGUGUGGGACCAUAUGAGAGACACGAGGCAAGGAAACAUAGAUGAGGAGAUUGAAGGUGAGUGUGUAUGUUGUAGGCAGACAUCGCUGGAGAGGUUUAUUGAUCGGUGUAUGUCACAAAGGAGUUGUGGAGACUGUGGGAGAACGACCUAAAGAAAAAAUGAAUGUGCGCGAUGGAUAGAAUGCUGAGGGAGGGGGAGGGCGAGGAGGGCGUGUGCAUGCACGAGAGAAAGUUAGUGGUAGCUACAAAGGUUAGAGGAUUGUGUGGGUGUAAGAGACUAACAAAGAUCAUAAUUUGAUAUGAAAGUGGAUUCAUAUAUUUGAAUAGGAGAUCAUACUGUUUUAAACAUAUGCAUGCAUGAAUAUAGCGGUGAUACACGUGUUGUGGUUUUGCACAUGUUAUACCAUAAUGUGAUAAUGCAUGGCGUUUGCAACUCACAGCUAAAUGUCAAACAAUCUAAACCAUACUAUACAUCGAACAAUCUCACAUUUUAUUUGAAUUUGUGAUAAUGUGUGGUGUUUGCAGCUUACAACUAAAUAUCGAACAAUCUAAACAAUACUAUAUAUCGAACAUUCUCACAUUUUAUUUGAAUUUGUGGUAAUGUGUGGUGUUUGCCACUCACAUCUAAAUACUUGUAGGCGUAGGAGGCGGGGCACCAUACAUAAUGUGAUAAACACAUUAUACAUAUGAGACAUGGUUUAGAUUAUGAAGAUCUAGCUAGAGCUUGAAAUGUACUAUGACUUGAAAUCAACAUAAAGUGGAUUCAAAAAAUUGAGUUCGAGUUCAUAUAGUACACAUAGUUCAUAUGUAACUCGAGAGUAAUCAUGUGGUGUGCUAUGAAGAUAAUACACAAACGAUGGUUUAACUUGACAAUAAUGAUGAUUGUAGAUCUUAUUAAAACAGAGAAAUGAAUUCAAAUGCUUUGACUUCACAACAACCAUUAUUGUAGAUCUUAUUCAAAUAGAGAAACAAACUCAAAUUUAGUUCAUAUUGAAGCGGUAGUAUAUACGUUUGGAAUGCACUAAAACGUUCAUUUGAGUAGUAGGUUGCAUGCAUUAUACACAUAGAAAAAUAUUUUAAUUGAACAUAACAUGAAUUCAAAGUUUUGAAUGACAUUUGUAGUGCGAAUUGAUUUGGUACAGUACACGUUAGGCUUGUCCGGAAAUUUCAACCCGCGCCUUGUUAGCCUGAAAUAUUUAAGAUAUGUCUUUGUCUCGUUGUGCUCCAACAACACCCUCCAUCUCAACCCGCGCCUUGCUAUUCCAAAAUUACAACGCGCGCGAAAACUCCCACCUCCUGUGAAAUCCCGACACGUGAAAUGCCCGUGAUACCCCUGAACCGAAAGAACUGCCUCAAAUCGGUGGGGGUACUUUCGUAACUUACCCCACAUUUCGGACAAGCGCGUCCCUAAGCCAUGGUUCCCCACUCCCAUCCCAUCCGAUCACCCAUUCGUACACUGUCGGGGAUAUACCCCGCGGCAUAAACCGGCCGGAAGUAUAACCCGGCCGGAGUUGGCGGUUUACUUGAGAUCCGACUGACACUUGGCGAUUCACUGGCGACCCGCCUUGACCUGGCGGUUUACAAGCAACCCACCUGGUCAUUAUGACUCACUGGUGAUCCGGCGUACGGGACAGACAGAUGACAAGGCCCAAGGCCCAGAAGGCCGGUUCACGUUUAAUGCUGGGCCGGUUUAAGGGGAAAGGCAUGACGAAUAUUUACCUUACAAGGAGUUAGACCAGGACCUGUAUCCGGUUUAUAUUAGAGAUAGACUAGUCCUAAUCCUAAUAGGACUCCACAUGUAACCCGCCCCUUCAACAUAUAUAAGGAGGGGCAGGGCUCCCAAAAGAGGACAAGCUACAAGCAAGAAGAAACAAUCUUAAGGCUAGACACAAAGAGGAGAGCCGGUUUACGGCGACUCCCUCGUGAUGAUAAUGAGACCUAGCCUCAAACAACAUGUAGGGUUGUUACCGGAUGAUGUUUCCUGGGGCCCGAAGCUGUCUAAAUCCUUGUCUUGCGUGUUGAUCCGCCCUGCAUCUCUCGUCCCACUCAACCCCUCUCAAGCUACCACAUAGAUGCGUUGACCUCGCGACUAAGUCCUGACACUAAGGACAUCUGCCGUGACAAAUCCACGACAGUUGGCGCCCACCAUGGGGCACGCGCAUGGUGGUGUUGAGUUCUUGAAGGGAGCUCUUCAAAGGAUCGAGAAAGUCGCGGUCGGUCAGAUCAGGAAGAACCGGCUCGAAAGUAUAUUAACUAUGGCAAUGGUCUCGUUGGACAAUGGAAAGUAUGGUUAGCAAUUGACCAUGGAACCAGCUAGGAAAAGUCUACAUCAGAGUUAUAUUCUUUAAACCGGAUUUACAACCGAUAAGAUUGAAGGAUAUGAGGGUUUGGCGUGUUCUCUGUGCGUCACCGAGGCAACGUGAUCCGUCGAAUCCGAGUUGGAAAUCAGAUUUUGGCCGCUACAGCUGGGUAUCGCCAAGGUCGACAUGAGUUACGCUACCUCAUCAUCCGCCGCCUUGCCGCGGUGGUCUGUCUCCAAGCAGUACUGCCGCCUUGCCUUUGCAGCUGCGCCCUGUCUGAGUCACAUCCAUCAUCGACAUCUCCACUUGAUCUCGGAUUGAGUCAUCACCGCUACCGAUUCAAUGUUAAGAAGGAAAUUGGUAUUGCGUUUGAGCCGGAUUCUAAAGCUGACUCGCCGCCCGACCUCUUCAAGUCGCGACCUUGGGUCGCCGUACCACCGGCCGCCUACAGCGCCAAUACGGCCCCAAGACGCGAGCUACCUCGGGCUGCCGCGGACGCCGCUCACCUCCACCGUGAACCGGCCUCUGCUGCUGCUAAACCGACCCUCUACUGCUACUGACUCGGCUUCUACUGCUGCUGACCCGGCUUCCACGCUGCUUCCCUGGACCGGCGUCGCCUCUGAUCCGCCAUCGUUGACCCCUCCAUGGCUCAUUCCCGCGGCCUUCUCCGCUCCACCCGCCACCGGAGCAUCGCCGGGGCCCUCCAAACCGUCUCCACAACUGACUAACAUCACGGCCGCCUCAAGCUCCGUGAGCGUUAGGCUGUCCCUGUUUCAUCAAAGUUGCCGCUCGCCGCUUUGCUGCAGCCCGAGUCGCCGCCGUGGUGCCGCAUCGCCCCGGGUCAUGGCCUCGCUUCAUCCGCUCGCCCCCAAACCGCCUUGUCAGGUUAAGACCAAUGCCGCAGUCUGCUUCAACCACAGCCGCAGGCCUCGCCUUGUCUUCGGUCGUGAACCGCCCCGUUCUAAACCGCUAAUACAGCCACAAGUUGCCGUGCCUCGUCAAUUCGUCGGCCCACCGCGGCCCUGUGCUAAAUCACCGGCCUGCCGUCUCCUUCAGUGACAUUAUAGUGGGAGAGCUGCUGCUGCUGAGCCACCGGCCCCGUCGCCAAGUCACCGUCCACCUUUGACGGCUGUGCUGUGCGCCAUGGUCUUACUUCGCCUCUAUACGAGUCGCUGCGCGGGGUCACCAUGCCCGCUCAUCCUUAUAAACCGGAGCCACUGAGGUCGCGGGUGCUGUUGCUGUGGUGCUGUGGUCGCGGGCGCUGCUGCUGGUUCGAGCCCUCCUUCUAGUGCCAUCCCAGACUUGAGGCGUUUGAAGCCCUAUACUGGUACAUCAGGCUGCAUACUCGAAAUCACCUGAUGAAGUUGAUUCAAUCUGAACAUACGGGUGCGUAGUGGACAUACGGCAUGCCCCGAACGACGCUACUGGUGCAUAGUAGACAUGCGGGUGAAGUAUAUGCCCGUGACAGGAUUCAUAGCACUCAACACCCGAAUGAAGUUCUGACGAUUUGGACCUUUAAAGUCAGAUGUUUAAUGACAAAGCACCUCGGAGAGCCCAAGAGCAGUCCAAGAUAAAAAUGUUAGUGCCGCUGCACAAGUCCCAAAAAAGCUGAUGCAAGGUCAUCAUGAUAUCUUAUCACGUGAGGAAAAGAAGCAAGGUGUAAUACUGCUGCUUCAAAAUUUUGUUUUCUCAAAUGGCUCGAACCACCCACGUGAAGGGCUAAGCACCAACAUCUACGUGAGAAUCAAAAACAAGAGCCGCCCCGGUUUAAGGUCUCCUCAAGAGAGUGAUUAAAGCGCCAUUGGAAUCACCAUGGAUUAUUCAUGGACGCUAUGUACGGAUCAUCCGUCAUCCAGACCAGUCAGGAUAAUCAUUCACUACAAAUAUGGUUUAUACCAUGGGUAUGGAGCACGGGCUGACAAUAUUCCGCCCGGUGAUAGUCCGUAACAUAUUACCCGAUGAAUGGACGCACACAAGCCGCCGCCCGGUCUACAUCAAUUAGCUGGGACAGCGCCUAAGAUUGACUCGCGCAUCCGCACCAGCUUACAAUGCCACGGAUGACUCGCCCGUCCGCUCUCGCGGCCGGUUCACGCGUCCGCGCCGGCUUACAACGAGGAGGACAACUUGCUUGUCCGCACCGACGUACAGUGCCGUGGCCGACUCAUCUAUGUUGCCUCUGAUGCUUACGAUCGUAUUCUUUGUCCAUCUCUCACGGCCUGGUCUACAUCAACACACCGGGCCGCACCUGUCUGCAUGAGUUAUUCAUUGAGUAUGAGCAAGUCACUGCUUGGGAAGCCGGUUUUCUUCCAACAAAUUGGAGGCAAAUUAUCAUGUAUUAUUACCCGCCGUUUGCACUGGAUGGCUCAAUGGGCAGGCACGCAAGUCGCCGCCACUACAGUUUUGGUUAAACUUCAAAUCGCCAGUUGGAAGGAACCAUUGGCCGAGUUGCUGACACGGCUCGUAUGGGAUCAUUUAUAACCUGCCGCAGUCACCUCAACUUUCUGUGGAUUCACAUCGCAUUAUCAACAUCAAUGAUAUACACCUUCUGCUAUGGUCAAACACGGAGAAUCUCAAGCCAACUCCUCGAGUCACCUUUGAGACUCGAGGGCUACGAUGACAUGACUCAACAAAUUUUGCCAGUUUUAGCAAAUUUAAGAACCCCAGGACGAUGGAGGGAAAGAUAACCUGGUCCCGGAGGCUACUGUUGUAUUGAUAACAAUUUAAAGGCCGUCUGAAAAUUUCCGGCUUAGAAAGUAUAUGACAGUUACGAAAUCCCGGCUCAAUGAAGAAGUUCUGGGUCAUCAAAGAGGAUACCAGUUUAAAAUCCGGCUCAAGGGAAGUCAGUCUCACCGAAGCUCUCAAAUAUCCGGUUUACAAUCCAGUUCAAGGGAAAUCUGUUCUCCCACAAAGCUCUGAAGCGCUCAAAUCCAGUUUAACAAUGUCCGGUUCAAAAAGGAAUUAACUUCUCGCAAGUUCGAGUUUAAAGGCCAUCAGAAAAUUUCCGGCUAAAAAUAAAGAUUCUGGUUUAAAAUCCGGUUCAAGGGAAAGAUAUCUCCCACAAAGCUUUGAAGCUCUCAAUAUCUGGUUCAAGAUCCCGGUUCAAGAGGAAUUUAUCUCUUGCAAAAUGUUAAAGAGGACCUGUAGCCAUGAUGCGCGGUUCAAACAUGGGUAUCCCGCCUUACUGGCCUGACAUAUUAUUGAUCACAUGGGGGCUUCCACUUCAUAAAGCGGGGUCUCUGUUCUUUUACAUCAUACAUGGUUACACGGAGUUGUUCUGUCUUAAAGCGGCCUCCGGUUUACCCCUUGAAAAUUUUAUAAACAUCACUUGGGGGCUUGGUCGUGUCCGAACCAAUGCAACACCUUUUGAUAGGCGAAAGCCACCAGAUCACUUGGGGACAUGGUCAAGUCUGAACCAGUCACGCCUCUUGAUCGGCCUAAGGCCAUAGAAUCACUUGGGGGCUUGGUUGAACCCGAACCAUUGCCACGCCUCUUGAUCGGCAUAAUGCCACGGUUUCAUUUGGGGACCUGGCUGACUUGAACCAUAGCUACACCAUUGGGGAGCUUGGUCGUGUUCGACCAUGGUAACACCAUCUGAUCGGCUCAAUAAGCCUCUUUUUGCAAAUGGUUUUAUCAUUGCCUUUGCUUCAAUAUUUUCCUUGAUAACUAUUUCUUUUAUUUUUGUUACGUUUUUAAACCGAUAAUUCUUAAACUGGUUCGACCAUCAAAUUACAAAUUGGCGGAACACGGUCAAAUCUUAAUCCGGAGGCUAUCUGCCCAGUUUGAUUUUCUGUUACCAUCCUAUUAUGGAGUAAACCGGUGUUUAUCAACCCGACUAGGCUUUCAACUACAAGUUGUUAGUACACGAUCAAGUUAUAAUUCGGAGACUAUCCUACCGGUCUGGUUUGACUACAAGUCACCAGUAUUAUAUAUGGUUAAUCUGGGGUUUAUCACAAACCCGAUACGGUUUUAUCAUAAACCGAUACAAUAUGAAAGGAGUUAUCAUUACUCAAAGAUUGGGGUUAUCACUCUUACUACAAAAAGUUGGUAAACCAACGAUGUGAUUCAAUGUCACAGGUAUGAUAUAUUUCAUAUUUUUAAGUGCAGCCUUGGUUAUAAACCCAGGUUAUACGUUGGGCAUUAUGACCCGUCCGGUGGUAAACCGCCAGGACACUUUAAACUUGUUGUAUGCAGAAACAGGUUGAAUAAAGUAUGAUGAUAAAUUCCGGUGUUUGUUAAACCGGCCUGGCUUUUGACUAUAAGUCGCCAGAAUGAUGAUAAAUUAUCCGGUGUUUAUUAAACCGGCCUGGCUUUAAGACAAUAAGUCGCCAGUAUAUGAUGAGAAAUUAUCCGGUGUUUGUUAAACCGGCCUGGCUUUGGACUAUAAGUCGCCAGUAUAUAUUUGGAUUGCACCAUUGGAAUCAUGCGCUUAUAAAAUGAUUGGGUUAUAUUAUUCAAAUAGCCAAACUUGGCUGAAUUUCAUUAUGAUAUUGGAUAAAUAAGAUUUUCAUACCAGAUUAUAUUAUCUUGAAUAGCCAACAUGGCUGGAUUUUUAUUAUGGUUAUUAAUAUUAUGAUUGAGGUUUUCAAAGUCGCUUUAGCGCAAUGGAUAUUAUUUUGUCGAUGAAUAUGAUUUAUUUUGCAAUGGAAGGAAUAGUCUCGAGUCGCUGCAGGCUUAUCACCCGGCACUUGGGGGCUACAUUAUUCAACUUAAGAUUAUAUCAAAUAUGCAAGUCUCAUGUCGCUGCAAGCAUGCACCAUAACACUUGGGGGCUAAUGCAAAGUCAUUUUUUGCUCAUCUUAUUGAAGACCCGACUCAUCAUAUCAUAAUGAGCCGGCCCUUGGGGGCUGCACAUCACUGCUCAAGUUUACAUGAUCAUAUUUAUAAAGUCCAUGCUCAUUAUUGCAUAAUGACCUGGCCCUUGGGGGCUACACUGGUUGAAGUUUUUAUGAGUAUAAGGCAAUUACAAGUCCCAGGUUGCUGCAAGCAUGACAACCCGGCACUUGGGGGCUACAUAUAUGGAGUCUUCAGUUUUUACUCGUGACUGGGAUGAACAACAUGGAUUUCUUCAAAAGUGGCAAUAUUUAUAUUGAAGUAAGUCUUAAACCAUCACUUUGUUCUGCUCAAGACUUGGGGGCUACAGGUAAUAUGCAUAUAAGGAGAAAUAUUUUCAAAUUCUCUGUUUUGAGCAAACCAGAUUGACCCGGUGUCACCAAUUAUUAUGACCCUGUGUCUGCAACCCGGCAUCAUCAGUAAUCAUGAACCGGCGUUAGCAACAGUCAUGACCCGGAAUUAUCAGUUAUUAUAACCCGGUAAUUUUGGUAAUAUUAAACCGGGAAGUUUUACAUCUUCAAACCGGCCGGAUAUCAGAUGAGUAUUUCAAGACCAAAAUUUCUUAAGCCAGCAUUUUGGAAGCCGACUCAAGUGGAUUAUUCUUCACAAUAUUUUUCUAUGAGAAACCAACGUCAGCAAUUUAAAGUAUGAAGUUGGUUAUUGAUCCGGAUUUUCUAGAAGGAGGGAAUGACAAGGACUUAAGGAUGAUCAGGUGCCGGUCUACAAGAAUUCUUAAACUGGAACACAACCCGCCAAAUUUGUUCUUGUGUUUAUGUUGCAGAUCAGUUUAACAUGGACAAAUCCAAAUUAAACUGGGGGCUAAUGUCGGGGAUAUACCUCGCGGCGUAAACCGGCCGGAAGUAUAACCCGGCCGGAGUUGGCGGUUUACUUGAGAUCCGGCUGACACUUGGCGAUUCACUGGCGACCCGCCCUGACCUGGCGGUUUACAAGCAACCCACCUGGUCAUUAUGACUCACUGGUGAUCCGGCGUACGGGACAGACGGAUGACAAGGCCCAAGGCCCAGAAGGCCGGUUCACGUUUAAUGUUGGGCUGGUUUAAGGGGAAAGGCAUGAUGAAUAUUUACCUUACAAGGAGUUAAGACCAGGACCUGUAUCCGGUUUAUAUUAGAGAUAGACUAGUCCUAAUCCUAAUAGGACUCCACAUGUAACCCGCCCCUUCAACAUAUAUAAGGAGGGGCAGGGCUCCCAAAAGAGGACAAGCUACAACAAAGAAGAAACAAUCUUAAGGCUAGACACAAAGAGGAAAGCCGGUUUAUGGCGACUCCCUCGUGAUGAUAAUGAGACCUAGCCUCAAACAGCAUGUAGGGUUCUUACCGGAUGAUGUUUCCCGAGGCCCAAGCUGUCUAAAUCCUUAUCUUGUGUGUUGAUCCGCCCUACGUCUCUCGUCCCACUCAACCCCUCUCAAGCUACCACAUAGAUGCGUUGGCCUCGCGACUAAGUCCUGACACUAAGGACAUCUGCCGUGAUACCCCUGAACCGAAAGAAUCGCCUCAAACCGGUGGGGGUACUUUCAUAACUUACCCCACAUUUCGGACAAGCGCGUCCCUAAGCCAUGGUUCCCCACUCCCAUCCCAUCCGACCACCCAUUCGUACACCAAGGACGGGAAAACCCACGAAGCCCCACGCCCUCCUCCGUCCGCCACCCAGCCGGAGCCUCUUUCCCGAUGACGUAGUCCACAUGAACACCUCGACGUCCCUCAUCCAUCAUACCGGAUGAUGAUCCAUUGUCGAUCUGGUCAUCCCGCCGGUUCAGUCACCCUGUCCUCCACCUCCAAGGAGCUGCCCCGACGUUCCCCUCGUCUUUCGCGCCACCUCCAGUCCCACACCGCCAUCUUCACCUGCACCACCGGAAGAGCAUCAUCAUCACUAUUUCCUCGGAUGAAGCUGCGGCCUAAUCGGCGCCACCAAAGAGGCUGUACACUAAUCACCGCAUUUUCUUCUUGAUUCGAUCUCACGGUGCUGCCGGCGCUCGGUCUCGAGCCGACACGGCGCGACUCCAUCCACGGCGGUGUCACCGGCCACUUCCUCCAUGGCGUUGCUCCCUCGGCGGCGACGUCCACAUCAGUAGGAGCUGCUGCUGCUUUAGCUCUCCCUCGCGCUGCUGCUCUGCUAUUACUCUCGGUCCCCUGCCUUGUCUGCUCUUGCUCUUGCUCGUGCUGCUGCUCUCGCUCUUGCUCUUGCUUGCGAUGCUGCUCUGAUUUAGCUACACUUCAGUCGACUGAAUCGACUUUUGGGUCAUUCGAUUUUCAGGGGGUGGGGGUGCUCGCCGGACUUAAGGAAGAACCAGCCGUAGCGGGGAGGGGGCUCACCGGAGAGGUACCUCACUAUCUAUCUUAGGGUUCAGGGUGGGGGCGGUGGUCGCCGGCGAUGGUGGGGCGGUGACAUCGGGAUCGCCGAAGAAAAAGCUCGGCAUGAGGGGGGGGGUAGAGGGAUGGCCGGGGUGGCGGUGGGGAGUGUUUUCGGGACGGGCGGGGUGGCGCACUAUCGGCGGCGGGUGGCGGGGGGCGGCUGUUUGGCCGGUGGUCGCUGGCGGCUCAGGGGGUGGAGGUUGAAGAUGAAUUGCAGGCCCUUGAUUUCAUAUCCAAUGGCUGCAAAAUCGACUGACCAGAGACGAAAAAGUCAGUCGACUGACGUGUAGCCUCACCUCUAGUGCGUUCAGUUUCGACAGUAAAAUUUAGUUUCGACAGCAAAAUUUAGUUUCGACAGUUAAGUUCAGUUUCGAUAGUUAAAUUCAGUUUUGACAGUUAAGUUCAGAGAUGAGCGGCUGAUGUAUUUUACAUCUAGCACUUUGUGGUUAUGUAUUUUAUGUCAUCUAUUGGAGAUGCUAUUAGAAUUCCACUCAGGUUAAUGUUGUCUCUCUUGUCCUGCUUUAGCCUCGGUGUUGUACAACUCACCAGAGCUGCUCCAACGACGAAACCCUCCAUCACAGCGGAGCAGUACCUCGGGCUCCAUCUACAAACGCCUAAGAUCUUCUUCCCCUCCCCCGACAGCCAAGUCAGCCGGAGCAUCCUCACCAGCCAACCCAAUCACGCUGAGAUCGACAUGGCUUCGCCAAAGAGGUUGUACACUUGUUGCAUCUCUUUUUUACCCUACAUGUUAUAUAUAUAUAUAUAUAUAUAUAUAUAUAUAUAUAUAUAUAUAUAUAUAUAUAUAUAUAUAUAUAUAUAUUGUCCACUAAGCACACGGAGUAACGAGAAAUACGAUUAUUUUAGCCUACUAUAUGACAAGCAGUGAGGUACCAGGCAACUUAGCUAUCUGUGAUGGACUCUCUUGAAUGCCAUCAUUAUUUAUCUCUGCGCAUUUGAGCUGUGCAUUUGUCGAUGGCCAUGGGAGCUGAGCUAGUAGGGCAGUGGCCUGGGUACAAAGUAAUAGAAGUAGCACAAAAACAUUUUUUAGUGUAGACUUUUCCUUGCUCAAGCCUGCCUACUAGAAUCGCCAGUGCUUGAAAGGAAAAGUGAAUGAAAAACAUAGGAAUUGGAAAGUUUCCUAUGGUACUACUUUUCAUGAAUUUGGUGCAAAGGAAUGGAGCAAAGGAAAACUGUAGGAUUUGUUCCUUUAGUGUCUCCUUGAAAGAAAAACCGUAGGAAUUUUAAUUUCCACUUGUCCUCCUUUUCAAUUUCCUAUUCAUGAAGCACAAGACUAAGAGAUAGUAGCAUAAUAGCAUUAUAUUCGUACAAUUUCUUGUGGUUUGACUUAAUCUCACCAUGCUUCUUUGCAUCCUAUGUUCUUCCAAUUCUUGUGAACGAAACACCCAGAUUGGCAAAAAUCCGGUGUUUUUAAAUUCUCUGUUUUGCACGUGCAUUCCUAUCCUAUUCCUGUCUAUUUCCUAUCCCUGCAUUGUUAGAAUCCUCAAAUUUAAACAAGCCCUUACACAAUUACUUCUGUUACAGAUAUAUAUCAUGACAUCAUUUUUAUUACGUGUUAGAUUUGUCAACAAAUUUAGUACAUUCAAUUACUCUUCCUGUGCAUCAGCCAUUCGACACGGUCAUGAAAAAAAUCUGGAGUGGAAACAAGGUCUUCAUAGCAGACAAUGCUAUCUGACGAAGUGCAUGUCUUGCUGGUUACAGAUAGCUCCUUGGAGGAGGAUUCAGAGACAGAUGAUCAGUCCUAUCCCCCCCGAGGUGCAUGCUCUAACUUGGCAGGGUUAUGUUGCUCAUAUCGUGCGUAUGGUAUCUUGCAUUGCUAUGUCAUUUGCUUAGUUUAGACAUGCUUUGUGUGAAUGCCACCUGUUUAGUGUCUAAUUACCAUAUAUGUGAAUUAUGCAAUGCCAUCUUGUUGCAAGACAUUAUAUAUGUGAAUUAUGCAAUGCUAUCUUGUUGCAAGGCAUUAUAUAUGUGAAUUAUGCAACGCCAUGCUGUUUAGCCAAGCGUUAUAUAUGUGAAUUAUAUCAUGCCGCCCUUUUUUGUAUUUCUCAUUGCUUUUGUCGACAAUGUUUGUAUAUUCAACUGCUCUUCCUAUGCAUCAGCCAUUUGAAUUGGUGAUGGAGAAAUCUAGAGUGAAAACAAGGUCUUCAGAGCAGACAAUGCUACCUGCUGAAGCAUAUAUCUUGCUGGUUAUGGAUAGCUCUUCAGAUGAGGAUUCAGAGGCAGAUGACCAGUCCUAUUAUCCCCCUGAGGUGUAUGCUCAAACUUGGCAGGGUUAUAUUACUCAAAUCAUGCAUAUUGCAAUGCUUAGUUUUUACAUCAUAUACACGAUAUUGAAUGCCAUCUCCUUAGUAGACACAUCAUAUAUGCGAUUUCCCUCUGCUCACUUCCUUAGUAUAUAAAUCAUAUAUUUGAAUUAUAUCAUGCCAUGAUGUUUACAUAGACAACAUGUAUCUGAAUUAUGGCAUGCCAACCCAUUUUCUAAAGACAUAAUAUAGUUAUAUCAUCUCAUCCUGUUUACAUAGUCAUCAUAUUUUGAAUUAUGUCAUUCUAUCCGUGAAUUAUAUCAUGCCAUCAUGUUUCCAUCGACGGCAUGUUUGUGAUUUAUGGCAUGCCAACCACUUUAAUAGACACAUCAUAUAGUUAUAUCAUGUCAUCCUAUUUACAUAGUCAUCAUAUUUUGAAGUAUGUCAUUCUAUCUGCUACCUCUCGAGCACUGCGUUGGUUUUUCCUUGAAGAGGAAAGGGUGAUGCAGCAAAGUAGCGUAAGUAUUUCCCUUAGUUUUUGAGAACCAAGGUAUCAAUCCAGUAGGAGAUCAUGCUCAAGUCCCACGCACCUACGCAAACAAAUAAGAACCUCGCAACCAACACGAUAAAGGGGUUGUCAAGCCCUUCACGGCCACUUAUGAGAGUGAGAUCUGAUAGAUAUGAUAAGAUAAUAUUUUUGGUAUUUUUAUGAUAAAGAUGCAAAGUAAAAUAAAAGGCAAAGGAAAUAACUAAGUAUUGGAAGAUUAAUAUGAUGGAAGAUAGACCCGGGGGCCAUAGGUUUCACUAGUGGCUUCUCUCAAGAGCAUAAGUAUUACGGUGGGUAAACGAAUUACUGUCGAGCAAUUGAUAUAAUUGAGCAUAGUUAUAAGAAUAUAUAGGUAUGAUCAUGUAUAUAGGCAUCACGUUCGAGUAAAGUAGACCGAAACGAUUCUGCAUCUACUACUAUUACUCCACACGUCGACCGCUAUCCAGCAUGCAUCUAGAGUAUUAAGUUCAUAAGAAUAGAUUAAUGCUUUAAGGAAGACGACAUUAUGUACAGGGAUAAACUCAUGCAAUAUGAUAUAACCCCCAUAUUUUUAUCCUCGAUGGAACAAUACAAUACGUGUCGGUUCCCUUUCUGUCACUGGGAUCGAGCACCGCAAGAUUGAACCCAAAGCUAAACACUUCUCCCAUUGCAAGAAAGAUCAAUCUAUUAGGCCAAACCAAAUUCAUAAUUCGAAGAGACCUGCAAAUAUAAACCAAUCAUACAUAAAAGAAUUCAGAGGAGAAUCAAAUAUUGUUCCUAGAUAAUCUGGAUCAUAAACCCACAAUUCAUCGGAUCUCGACAAACACACCGCAAAAGAAGAUUACAUCGAAUAGAUCUCCAAGAAAAUCAAGGAGAACUUUGUAUUGAGAUCCAAAGAGAGAGAAGAAGCCAUCUAGCUAAUAACUAUGGACCCGUAGGUCUGAAGUAAACUACUCACACAUCACCGGAGAGGCCAUGGAGUUGAUGUAGAGGCCCUCCGUGAUCAAUGCCCCCUCCGGCGGAGCUCCGAAAAAGGCCUCGAGAUGGGAUCUCUCGAGUACAGAAGGUUGCGGUGGUGGAAUUAGGUUUUCGUGGUGCUCCUGGAUGUUUGGGGGUACGUGGAUAUAUAUAGGAGGAAUAAGUACGUCGGUGGAGCAACACAGGGCCCACGAGGGUGGAGGGCGCGCCAAGGGGGGUAGGCGCGCCCCCCUGCCUCGUGCCUUCCUCCCUUGUUUCUUGACGGCCACUCCAAGCCUCCUGGAUCACGUUUGUUGAGAAAAUCACGUUCCUGAAGGUUUCAUUCCGUUUGGACUCCGUUUGAUAUUCCUUUUCUUCGAAACCCUAAAAUAGGCAAAAAAACAACAAUUUGGGUUGGGCCUCCGGUUAGUAGGUUAGUCCCAAAAAUGAUAUGAAAGUGUAAAAGAAAGCCCAUUAACAUCCAAAAUAGAUAAUAUAAUAGCAUGGAGCAAUCAAAAAUUAUAGAUACGUUGGAGAUGUAUCACAAUCCUGUUUAGUUAGCCAUCAUACAUGUGAAAUUGUGCCAUGCUAUCCUGUUUAAUUAGCCAUCAUAUAUGUGAAAUUAUGUCCUGCUAUUCUGUUUGGUUAGACCACAUAAAUGUGAAUUAUUUCAUGCCCUAUUUUCUUCCCUACUAUCCAUUGCACCUGUCUAUCUUACAAUUUCUGUACAUUCAAUUACUUUUCUUGUUUACCAGCCAUUUCAAUUUGAGGGGGUGAUGGCAGUAUCCGUGGGAGUUAAAACACAGUCUUCAGAAAAGAUCGUGCUACAUGUCGAUGGAGAUAGAACCACGGUUGUACUUGCCCAAGAACCAGCCCCACCACACAUAACCCAGACUCACGCAGAUUGUACCCCUACCCAGUUGGACAGAGAACUAGCUACACCCUUUCUAACCCCAACCCCGGCAGAUAGUAACCCAGUUCCCGUUGACACAUCACCGUCUCCACCACAGAGCACCCAAACACGAGCAGUUAGUAAGGCAACUGCAGUGCCCAAAGCACGAGGACCACCACUUCGAACCCCAAGUCAACGCUUAAAGCAGAAGAAGAAUUGUUCUCAGGUCAGGUUUCAUAGCUAUGGUUCACACUACUUUGCUCUUGCAUCACUGCAUUUACUCAUACCAACUAAUUUCAAAUUUGAAGGAUGCAAUUGAAACUCCAAUGGUGCAAUAGGUAUGUUUUAAACCUGUUUCUUUAACGUGUUUGCUGUUGUAACUUGCACUAUGUUGAUUUCAGUUUCAAUUGAAUAAACAGUUAUGUUCUCAUGCCAUGCACAUUACAAGUGUUGUUAUUGCUGUGUAGUUUCCCACACUUAUAUUCUGUCUAUGCUGCUUUGUCUUACAUAGAUAUGAUUCAAACUGUAUCAAUCUUGAUUUGGCAACAUAAAAUAGAAUGAUAUAGACCAUACAGUGACCAUACCACAUAGAUAUAUGUUUGUUUCAUGAUGUUAUCCCGUCCACCUUACUACUGAACUGGUUUACCAAAAUGAGUUUCAUAUACUACAUUGUAAACCUGUGAUGUGUUUGUUUGUUUAUCUUUUAGAACACGGAUAAAAUAUUGGAGAAGAGUACCCCGUUAUACAGAUAGUGAGACAUCCCUGUUGGUCUCCAAGAAAGUUGAUAAAAACUGUUGGGUUUCGUAGUAAUUUCAAAAAAAUUCCUACGCACACGCAAGAUCAUGUGAUGCAUAUCAACGAGAGGGGAGAGUGAUGUCUAUGUACCCACGCAGACCGACUGCGGAAGCGUUGACACAAUGUAGAGGAAGUAGUCGUACGUCUUCAUGAUCCAACCGGUCAAGCACCGAAACUAUGGCACCUCCGAGUUCGAGCACACGUUCAGCUCGAUGACGAUCCCCGGACUCCGAUCCAGCAAAGUGUCGGGGAAGAGUUCCGUCAGCACGACGGCGUGGUGAUGAUCUUGAUGUACUACACUAGCAGGGCUUCGCCUAAACUCCGCUACAGUAUUAUUGAGGACUAUGGUGGCUGGGGGCACCGCACACGGCUAAGGAGUAGAUCACGUGGAUCAACUUGUGUGUUCUAGGGUGCCUCUGCCUCAGUAUAUAAAGGACUAGAGGGGGGGGAGGCUGGCCGGCCAAGGUGUGGCGCGCCAGGAGAGUCCUACUCCCUCUGGGAGUAGGAUUCCCCCCCAAUCCUAGUUGGAAUAGGAUUCGCGGAGGGGGAAAAGAGAGAGAGGGGGCCGGCCACCUCUCCUAGUCCUAAUAGAACUAGGGGAAGGGGAGGCGUGCAGCCCAUGUAGGGCUGCCUCUUCUCCUUUCCACUAAGGCCCAUCAUGGCCCAUUUAGCUCCCGGGGGGUUCCGGUAACCUUCCCGGUACUCCGGUAAAAUCCCGAUUUCACCCGGAACACUUCCGAUAUCCAAACAUAGGCUUCCAAUAUAUCAAUCUUUACGUCUCGACCAUUUCGAGACUCCUCGUCAUGUCCGUGAUCACAUCCGGGACUCCGAACAACCUUUGGUACAUCAAAAUGCCUAAACUCAUAAUAUAACUGUCAUCGUAACCUUAAGCGUGCGGACCCUACGGGUUCAAGAACAAUGUAGACAUGACCGAGACACGUCUCCGGUCAAUAACCAAUAGCGGGACCUGGAUGCCCAUAUUGGCUCCUACAUAUUCUACGAAGAUCUUUAUCGGUCAGACCGCAUAACAACAUACGUCGUUCCCUUUGUCAUUGGUAUGUUACUUGCCCGAGAUUCGAUCAUCGGUAUCCAAUACCUAGUUCAAUCUCGUUACCGGCAAGUCUCUUUACUCGUUCUGUAAUACAUCAUCCCGCAACUAACAUAUUAGUUACAAUGCUUGCAAGGCUUAUGUGAUGUGCAUUACCGAGAGGGCCCAGAGAUACCUCUCCGACAAUCGGAGUGACAAAUCCUAAUCUCGAAAUACGCCAACCCAACAUCUACCUUUGGAGACACCUGUAAUGCUCCUUUAUAAUCACCCAGUUACGUUGGGACGUUUGGUAGCACCCAAAGUGUUCCUCCGGCAAACGGGAGUUGCAUAAUCUCAUAGUCGUAGGAACAUGUAUAAGUCAUGAAGAAAGCAAUAGCAACAUACUAAACGAUCGGGUGCUAAGCUAAUGGAAUGGGUCAUGUCAAUCAGAUCAUUCUCUUAAUGAUGUGAUCCCGUUAAUCAAAUAACAACUCAUUGUUCAUGGUUAGGAAACAUAACCAUCUUUGAUUAACGAGCUAGUCAAGUAGAGGCAUACUAGUGACACUUUGUUUGUCUAUGUAUUCACACAUGUAUUAUGUUUCCGGUUAAUACAAUUCUAGCAUGAAUAAUAAACCUUUUAUCAUGAUUAUAAGGAAAUAAAUAAUAACUUUAUUAUUGCCUCUAGGGCAUAUUUCCUUCAGUCUCCCACUUGCACUAGAGUCAAUAAUCUAGAUUACACCGUAAUGAUUCUAACACCCAUGGAGCCUUGGUGCUGAUCAUGUUUUGCUCGUGGAAGAGGCUUAGUCAACGGGUCUGCAACAUUCAGAUCCGUAUGUAUCUUGCAAAUCUCUAUGUCUCCCACCUGGACUAGAUCCCGGAUGGAAUUGAAGCGUCUCUUGAUGUGCUUGGUUCUCUUGUGAAAUCUGGAUUCCUUUGCCAAGGCAAUUGCACCAGUAUUGUCACAAAAGAUUUUCAUUGGACCCGAUGCACUAGGUAUGACACCUAGAUCAGAUAUGAACUCCUUCAUCCAGACUCCUUCGUUUGCUGCUUCCAAAGCAGCUAUGUACUCCGCUUCACAUGUAGAUCCCGCUAUGACGCUUUGUUUAGAACUGCACCAACUGAUAGCUCCACCGUUUAAUGUAAACAUGUAUCCGGUUUGCGAUUUAGAAUCGUCCGGAUCAGUGUCAAAGCUUGCAUCAACGUAUCCUUUUACGAUGAGCUCUUUGUCACCUCCAUAUAUGAGAAACAUAUCCUUAGUCCUUUUCAGGUAUUUCAGGAUGUUCUUGACCGCUGUCCAGUGAUACACUCCUGGAUUACUUUGGUACCUCCCUGCUAGACUUAUAGCAAGGCACACAUCGGGUCUGGUACACAGCAUUGCAUACAUGAUAGAUCCUAUGGCUGAUGCAUAGGGAACAUCUUUCAUAUUCUCUCUAUCUUCUGCGGUGGUCGGGCAUUGAGUCUUACUCAACUUCACACCUUGUAACACAGGCAAGAAUCCUUUCUUUGCUUGAUCCAUUUUGAACUUCUUCAAAAUCUUGUCAAGGUAUGUGCUUUGUGAAAAGUCCAAUUAAGCGUCUUGAUCUAUCUCUAUAGAUCUUUAUGCCUAAUAUGUAAGCAGCUUCACCGAGGUCUUUCAUUGAAAAACUCUUAUUCAAGUAUCCCUUUAUGCUAUCCAGAAAUUCUAUAUCAUUUCCAAUUAGUAAUACGUCAUCCACAUAUAAUAUCAGAAAUGCUACAGAGCUCCCACUCACUUUCUUGUAAAUACAGGCUUCUCCGAAAGUCUGUAUAAAACCAAAUGCUUUGAUCACACUAUCAAAGCAUUUAUUCCAACUCCGAGAGGCUUGCACCAGUCCAUAAAUGGAUCGCUGGAGCUUGCAGACUUUGUUAGCUCCCUUUGGAUCGACAAAACCUUCUGGUUGCAUCAUAUACAACUCUUCUUCCAGAAAUCCAUUCAGGAAUGCAGUUUUGACAUCCAUCUGCCAAAUUUCAUAAUCAUAAAAUGCGGCAAUUGCUAACAUGAUUCGGACAGACUUAAGCAUCACUACGGGUGAGAAGGUCUCAUCGUAGUCAAUCCCUUGAACUUGCCGAAAACCUUUCGCGACAAGUCGAGCUUUGUAGACAGUAAUAUUUCCGUCAGCGUCAGUCUUCUUCUUGAAGAUCCAUUUAUUCUCAAUUGCUUGCCGAUCAUCGGGCAAGUCAACCAAAGUCCAUACUUUGUUCUCAUACAUGGAUCCCAUCUCAGAUUUCAUGGCUUCAAGCCACUUUGCGGAAUCUGGGCUCACCAUCGCUUCUUCAUAGUUCGUAGGUUCAUCAUGAUCUAGUAGCAUGACUUCCAGAACAGGAUUACCGUACCACUCUGGUGCGGAUCUUACUCUGGUUGAUCUACGAGGUUCAGUAGUAUCUUGUUCUGAAGUUUCAUGAUCAUCAUCAUUAGCUUCCUCACUAACUGGUGUAGGUGUCAUAGAAACAGUUUUCUAUGAUGUACUACUUUCCAAUAAGGGAGUAGGUACAGUUACCUCGUCAAGUUCUACUUUCCUCCCACUCACUUCUUUCGAGAGAAACUCCUUCUCCAGAAAGUUUCCGAAUUUAGCAACAAAAGUCUUGCCUUCGGAUUUGUGAUAGAAGGUGUAUCCAAUAGUUUCCUUUGGAUAUCCUAUGAAGACACAUUUCUCCGAUUUGGGUUCGAGCUUAUCAGGUUGAAGCUUUUUCACAUAAGCAUCGCAGCCCCAAACUUUCAAAAAUGACAACUUUGGUUUCUUGCCAAACCACAGUUCAUAAGGCGUCGUCUCAACGGAUUUUGAUGGUGCCCUAUUUAACGUGAAUGCGGCCGUCUCUAGAGCGUAUCCCCAAAACGAUAGCGGUAAAUCAGUAAGAGACAUCAUAGAUCGCACCAUAUCUAGUAAAGUACGAUUACGACGUUCGGACACACCAUUACGCUAUGGUGUUCCGGGUGGCGUGAGUUGCGAAACUAUUCCACAAUUUUUCAAAUGUACACAAAACUCGUAACUCUAAUAUUCUCUUCCACGAUCAGAUCGUAGAAACUUUAUUUUCUUGUUACGAUGAUUUUCAACUUCACUCUGAAAUUCCUUGAACUUUUCAAAUGUUUCAGACUUAUGUUUCAUUAAGUAGAUAUACCCAUAUCUGCUUAAAUCAUCUGUGAAGGUGAGAAAAUAACGAUAUCCGCCACGAGCCUCAAUAUUCAUCGGACCACAUACAUCUGUAUGUAUGAUUUCCAACAAAUCUGUUGCUCUCUCCAUAGUACCGGAGAACGGCGUUUUGGUCAUCUUGCCCAUGAGGCACGGUUCGCAAGUACCAAGUGAUUCAUAAUCAAGUGGUUCCAAAAGUCCAUCAGAAUGGAGUUUCUUCAUGCGCUUUAUACCGAUAUGACCUAAACGGCAGUGCCACAAAUAAGUUGCACUUUCAUUAUCAACUCUGCAUCUUUUGGCUUCAACAUUAUGAAUAUGUGUGUUACUACUAUCGAGAUUCAACAAGAAUAGACCACUCUUCAAGGGUGCAUGACCAUAAAAGAUAUUACUCAUAUAAAUAGAACAACCAUUAUUCUCUGAUUUAAAUGAAUAAUCGUCUCGCAUCAAACAAGAUCCAGAUAUAAUGUUCAUGCUUAACGCUGGCACCAAAUAACAAUUAUUUAGGUCUAAUACUAAUCCCGAAGGUAGAUGUAGAGGUAGCGUGCCGACUGCGAUCACAUCGACUUUGGAACCGUUUCCCACGCGCAUCGUCACCUCGUCCUUAACCAAUCUUCGCUUAAUCCGUAGUCCCUGUUUCGAGUUGCAAAUAUUAGCAACAGAACCAGUAUCAAAUACCCAGGUGCUACUGCAAGCAUUAGUAAGGUACACAUCAAUAACAUGUAUAUCACAUAUACCUUUGUUCACCUUGCCAUCCUUCUUAUCCGCCAAAUACUUGGGGCAGUUCCGCUUCCAGUGACCAGUCUGCUUGCAAUAGAAGCACUCAGUUUCAGGCUUAGGUCCAGGUUUGGGUUUCUUCUCUUGAGUAGCAACUUGUUUGCUGUUCUUUUUGAAGUUCCCCUUCUUCUUCCCUUUGCCCUUUUUCUUGAAACUAGUGGUCUUGUUGACCAUCAACACUUGACGCUCCUUGAUUUCUACCUCCGCAGCUUUCAGCAUCGCGAAGAGCUCGGGAAUAGUCUUGUUCAUCCCUUGCAUAUUAUAGUUCAUCACGAAGCUCUUAUAGCUUGGUGGCAGUGAUUGAAGAAUUCUGUCAAUGACGCAAUCAUCUGGAAGAUUAACUCCCAAUUGAAUCAAGUGAUUAUUAUACCCAGACAUUUUGAGUAUAUGCUCACUGACAGAACUGUUCUCUUCCAUCUUGCAGCUAUAGAACUUAUUGGAGACUUCAUAUCUCUCAAUCCGGGCAUUUGCUUGAAAUAUUAACUUCAACUCCUGGAACAUCUCAUAUGCUCCAUGACGUUCAAAACGUCGUUGAAGUCCCGAUUCUAAGCCGUAAAGCAUGGCACACUGAACUAUCGAGUAGUCAUCAGCUUUGCUCUGCCAGACGUUCAUAACACCCGGCGUUGCUCCUGCAGCAGGCCUGGCACCCAGCGGUGCUUCCAGGACGUAAUUCUUCUGUGCAGCAAUGAGGAUAAUCCUCAAGUUAUGGACCCAGUCCGUGUAAUUGCUACCAUCAUCUUUCAACUUUGCUUUCUCAAGGAACGCAUUAAAAUUCAACGGAACAACAGCAUGAGCCAUCUAUCUACAAUCAAACAUAAACAAGCAAGAUACUAAUCAAGUACUAAGUUUCAUGAUAAAUUUAAGUUCAGUUAAUCAAAUUAAUUAAAGAACUCCCACUUAGAUAGACAUCCCUCUAAUCUUCUAAGUGAUUACGUGAUCCAAAUCAACUAAACCAUAACCGAUCAUCACGUGAGAUGGAGUAGUUUUCAAUGGUGAACAUUGUUAUGUUGAUCAUAUCUACUAUAUGAUUCAUGCUCGACCUUUCGGUCUCCGUGUUCCGAGGCCAUAUCUGUAUAUGCUUGGCUCGUCAAGUAUAACCUGAGUAUUCCGCGUGUGCAACUGUUUUGCACCCGUUGUAUUUGAACGUAGAACCUAUCACACCCAAUCAUCACGUGGUGUCUCAGCACGAAGAACUUUCACAAUGGUGCAUACUCAGGGAGAACACUUCUUGAUAAUUUAGUGAGAGAUCAUCUUAUAAUGCUACCGUCAAUCAAAGCAAGAUAAGAUGCAUAAAAAGGAUAAACAUCACAUGCAAUCAAUAUAAGUGAUAUGAUAUGGCCAUCCUCAUCUCGUGCUUGUGAUCUCCAUCUCCGAAGCACCGUCAUGAUCACCAUCGUCACCGGCGUGACACCUUGUUCUCCAUCGUAGCAUCGCUGUCGUCUUGCCAAGUUUAUGCUUCUAUGACUAUCACUACCGCUUAGUAAUAAGGUAAAGUAUUACAUCGUGAUUGCAUUGCAUACAAUAAAGCGACAACCAUAUGGCUCCUGCCAGUUGCCGAUAACUCGGUUACAAAACAUGAUCAUCUCAUACAAUAAAAUUCAGCAUCAUGUCUUGACCAUAUCACAUCACAACAUGCCCUGCAAAAACAAGUUAGACGUCCUCUACUUUGUUGUUGCAAGUUUUACGUGGCUGCUACGGGCUUAAGCAAGAACCAAUCUCACCUACGCAUCAAAAUCACAACGAUAGUUUGUCAAAUAGACUCCGUUUUAACCUUCGCAAGGACCGGGCGUAGCCACACUUGGUUCAACUAAAGUUGGAGAGACAAUCGCCCGCUAGCCACCUAUGUGCAAAGCACGUCGGGGGAACCGGUCUCGCGUAAGCGUACGCGUAAUGUUGGUCCGGGUCGUCUCGUCCAACAAUGCCGCCGAACCAAAGUAUGACAUGCUGGUAGGCAGUAUGACUUAUAUCGCCCACAACUCACUUGUGUUCUACUCGUGCAUAUAACAUCAACAUAAAUAACCUAGGCUCGGAUGCCACUGUUGGGUUUCGUAGUAAUUUCAAAAAAAUUCCUAUGCACACGCAAGAUCAUGUGAUGCAUAACAAAGAGAGGGGAGAGUGAUGUCUACGUACCCACGCAGACCGACUGCGGAAGCGUUGACACAACAUAGAGGAAGUAGUCGUACGUCUUCACGAUCCAACCGAUCAAGCACCGAAACUAUGGCACCUCCGAGUUCGAGCACACGUUCAGCUCGAUGACGAUCCCCGGACUCUGAUCCAGCAAAGCGUCGGGGAAGAGUUCCGUCAGCACGACGGCGUGGUGACGAUCUUGAUGUACUACAGCAGCAGGGCUUCGCCUAAACUCCGCUACAGUAUUAUUGAGGACUAUGGUGGCUGGGGGCACCGCACACGGCUAAGGAAUAGAUCACGUGGAUCAACUUGUGUGUUCUAGGGUGCCUCUGCCUCAGUAUAUAAAGGACUAGAGGGGGAGGCUGGCCGGCCAAGGUGUGGCGCGCCAGGAGAGUCCUACUCCCUCUGGGAGUAGGAUCCCCCCCAAUCCUAGUUGGAAUAGGAUUCGCGGAGGGGGAAAAGAGAGAGAGGGGGCCGGCCACCUCUCCUAGUCCUAAUAGGACUAGGGGAAGGGGGAGGCGCGCAGCCCAUGUAGGGAUGCCUCUUCUCUUUUCCACUAAGGCCCAUCAUGGCCCAUUUAGCUCCCGGGGGGUUCCGGUAACCUUCCCGGUACUCCGGUAAAAUCCCGAUUUCACCCGGAACACUUUCGAUAUCCAAACAUAGGCUUCCAAUAUAUCAAUCUUUACGUCUCAACCAUUUCAAGACUCCUCGUCAUGUCCGUGAUCACAUCCGGGACUCUGAACAACCUUCGGUACAUCAAAAUGCCUAAACUCAUAAUAUAACUGUCAUCGUAACCUUACGCGUGCGGACCCUACGGGUUCGAGAACAAUGUAGACAUGACCGAGACACGUCUCCGGUCAAUAACCAAUAGCGGGACCUGGAUGCCCAUAUUGGCUCCUACAUAUUCUAUGAAGAUCUUUAUCGGUCAGACCGCAUAACAACAUACGUCGUUCCCUUUGUCAUCGGUAUGUUACUUGCCCGAGAUUCGAUCGUCGGUAUCCAAUACCUAGUUCAAUCUCGUUACCGGCAAGUCUCUUUACUCAUUCUGUAAUACAUCAUCCCGCAACUAACAUAUUAGUUACAAUGCUUUCAAGGCUUAUGUGAUGUGCAUUACCGAGAGGGCCCAGAGAUACCUCUCCGACAAUCGGAGUGACAAAUCCUAAUCUCGAAAUACGCCAACCCAACAUCUACCUUUGGAGACACCUGUAAUGCUCCUUUAUAAUCACCCAGUUACGUUGUGACGUUUGGUAGCACCCAAAGUGUUCCUCCGGCAAACGGGAGUUGCAUAAUCUCAUAGUCAUAGGAACAUGUAUAAGUCAUGAAGAAAGCAAUAGCAACAUACUAAACGAUCGGGUGCUAAGCUAAUGGAAUGGGUCAUGUCAAUCAAAUCAUUCUCUUAAUGAUGUUAUCCCGUUAAUCAAAUAACAACUCAUUGUUCAUGGUUAGGAAACAUAACCAUCUUUGAUUAACGAGCUAGUCAAGUAGAGGCAUACUAGUGACACUUUGUUUGUCUAUGUAUUCACACAUGUAUUAUUUUUCCGAUUAAUACAAUUCUAGCAUGAAUAAUAAACCUUUUAUCAUGAUUAUAAGGAAAUAAAUAAUAACUUUAUUAUUGCCUCUAGGGCAUAUUUCCUUCAAAAACUAUAUUGAAGACAGUGAGACAACCCCAAAGUCCUGUCUUGAUGUAGUGUUCGAGUUACUAGCUACUACUACUGGCACCAGCUCUUCGAACUCGCUGCCUGAAUCUGUUCGGCUUCUUGAGUCUCAACUUCAAGUAGAAAGACAUCGAUCAGAUGUUAUGCGAUAGGAAGACAAAGGACCGAGGAAGUCCCUGCAGAAUUCAGAUGCAUACUUUCUGGUGCAACAACAAGUGCUGGAGGAUUUAAGCGCCAAACAAGAGAAAGUUAAUAAGCUUGCUAAGCAUCCUGCCAGCAUUAUGGGUACCUAGGAUAUUGUUUCUUGAGAUCUUCUGAAGUGGUUUCAGUUCUGGACUUGUUUUGCUGCAGCGUUUAUAUGCUGCUUUGUUCCCUAUAUUUGCACUGGUGGCGAACUUUGAUGCCCAGCGGAUGUACUAUGUGUAAUAGCCGUGAUAGCCUAGCGUAAGUUGCUUGCUAAUUUAUUUCCUUAUUGUCUUGUUUAUUUAUUUUCUUGUAGUCAGUGCAGUUCUUUUUCCGCGGCUUGCUAGUGGCCGCAAUAACCUAUUUUUUAAACUAGGCCACAAUAACCAUGGGCUACAUAUUUACUGUAGUUAACAUGGGCCUCCUACGGGCCAUAGAAACAAUGGACCUUCUACGGGGCGUAGAAACAAUGGGCCUUAUACGGGCCGUAGACACAAUGGGCCUUCUACGGGCCGUAUCAUCAAUGGGCCUUCUCCGGGCCGUAUGAUCGGUUGGCCAAACAUGGGCCAACAACAAACCACAUUAUGGUCGUAAAUGAGCUAGAGUUGAAAUCGUCCGUUCAUGGGCCGACCAUAACGGGCCGUCGUUAAUAGGCCGUAUUUGAUGACGCUAUGAAAAUGGCCCAACGUAUUAACGAGCCACAAAUGGGACGACUGUAACCACAGGCUGAAUUUGGGCCACAAGCAGAAAAUGAUAGUAACGAGCCAUAAGUAAACGAAUACUGGAAAUGAUCCCAAGAAUAAAUGGGCCCUGAGAAGGCCGAAAGAUAACAUGGGCUAGAAACGGCCCAACGGAAUAAUGGGCUGUUAAUGGGUAUAAAGUGAUACACUGUUCAUUACGGGCCAGUUUCACCACAUGCUGUUAAUGGGCCGAGGGUUACUAUGGGCCUCAUAUGGGCCGAAAGACGUCAUGGGCCAUACAUGGGCCGGAAGUUAAAACAGGCUGGAAUUAUAUUGGAUGGCCCAGAUGACGCUACUGGGCCUAAUUCGGAUAGGCCGUAAAUGGGCCCUGGGUUAGCGGGCUGUAAAUGGGCUAUAUGUGAAGCAGUCAACAGGCUUGCCAUGGAUCGGCCCGCCACCUUUUGACCAAGUCAAACGGGCUGGCCUUUUCACAGGAAUGGGCCUCUGUUGGGCCGUGCCAUGUGUUGACGUAUCAUAGGCGCUUUGGGUCCAAUGAGUAGAUGACAUCUGUCCCAACGGUGAGCCGAUACGUAUUUCCUCCAGCCAAUGAUGAUUUUACAUGUGGAAAAUCCCCAUUGGUCGGGGCUGUUAACGGGUUAUCGGAUCCAAAACCGGACCGGAUAGCUUAACGGCAUUACGUUACGAUGGAUGCCACGUGUCGGCCACCCUUGAUGAAAGCACAUCUGUGACACGCGAUUUAUCGUCAUGGAAGUGGACACUUCCGUGAUGAUAAUUUUGGUAAUGUCAUGGAACACUUCUACGACAGCAUAGGUAUGUGAUACGUCUCCAACGUAUCUAUAAUUUUUGAUUGCUCCAUGCUAUAUUAUCUAUUGUUUUGGAUGUUUAUGGGCUUUAUUAUACACUUAUAUAUCAUUUUUUGGGACUAACCUAUUAACCUAGAGCCCAGUGCCAGUUUCUGUUUUUACCUUGUUUUAGGGUUUCGAAGAAAAGGAAAACCAAACAGAGUCCAAUUGACCUGAAACUUCACGGAACCCAUUUUUGGAAGGAAAGAAGCCCAGAAGACUUGAAGUGCACGUAAGGGAAGCUUUGAGGAGGCCACGAGGUAGGGGGCGCGCCCACCCCCCUGGGUGCACCCUCCACCCUCGUGGCCCCCCUGACGUACUUCUUCCGCCUAUAUAUCUCCAUAUACCCUAAAACUUCCGGGGAGCACAAUAGAUCGGGAGUUCCGCCGCCAGAAGCCUCCGUAGCCACCGAAAGCCAAUCUAGACCCGUUCCGGCACCCUGCCGGAGGGGGAAUCCCUCUCCGGUGGCCAUAUUCAUCAUCCCAGUGCUCUCCAUGACGAGGAGGGAGUAGUUCUCCCUCGGGGCUGAGGGUAUGUACUAGUAGCUAUGUGUUUGAUCUCUCUCUCUCUCAUGUUCUUGAGGUGAUACGAUCUUGAUGCAUCACGAGCUUUGCUAUUAUAUUUGGAUCCCAUGAUGUUUCUUCCCCUUCUACUCUCUUGUAAUGGAUUGAGUUUCCCCUUUGAAGUUAUCUUAUCGGAUUGAGUCUUUAAAGAUUUGAGAACACUUGAUGUAUGUCUUGCCGUGGAUAUCUGUGGUGACAAUGGGAUAUCACGUGAUUCACUUGAUGUAUGUUUUGGUGAUCAACUUGCGGGUUCCGCCCAUGAACCUAUGCAUAGGGGUUGGCACACGUUUUCGUCAUGAUUCUCCGGUAGAAACUUUGGGGCACUCUUUGAGGUUCUAUGUUGGUUGAAUAGAUGAAUCUGAGAUUGUGUGAUCAAUAUCAUAUAAUCAUACCCACGGAUACUUGAGGUGACAUUGGAGUAUCUAGGUGACAUUAGGGUUUUGGUUGAUUUGUGUCUUAAGGUGUUAUUCUAGUACGAACUCUAGGGCUGUUUGUGACACUUAUAGGAAUAACCCAACGGAUUGAUUGGAAAGAAUAACUUUGAGGUGGUUUCGUACCCUACCAUAAUCUCUUUGUUCGUUCUCCGCUAUUAGUGACUUUGGAGUGACUCUUUGUUACAUGUUAAGGGAUAGUUAUGUGAUCCAAUUAUGUUAGUUGAAAGAUCGUGGAUGUCGCCUAGAGGGAGGGGGGGUGAAUAGACGUUUUAAAAUAAUUACGGUUUAGGCUUGAACAAAUGCGGAAUAAACCUAGCAGUUAAUUUGUGAAGGACAAAACCUAAAACAACUAGGCUCACCUAUGUGCACCAACAACUUAUGCUAAGCAAGAUAAGCAACUAUGUGAUAGCAAGAUAUAUGACAAGAAACAAUAUGGCUAUCACAAAGUAAAGUGCAUAAGUAAAGGGCUCGGGUAAGAGAUAACCGAGGCACGCGGAGACGAUGAUGUAUCCCGAAGUUCACACCCUUGCGAGUGCUAAUCUCCGUUUGGAGCGGUGUGGAGGCAAAAUGCUCCCCAAGAAGCCACUAGGGCCACCGUAAUCUCCUCACGCCCUCGCACAAUGCAAGAUGCCGUGAUUACACUAAGGGACCCUUGAGGGGGGUCACCAAACCCGUACAAAUGGCAACCCUUGGGGGCGGUCACCGAACCCGUACACUUUGGCAACCCUUGGGGGCGGUCACCGGUACCCGUCAAAUUGCUCGGGGCGAUCUCCACAACCCAAUUGGAGACCCCUAUGCUUGCUCGGAGCUUUACACCACAAUGAUUGAGCUCCGAACACCACCAACUGUCUAGGGCGCCCAAGCACCCAAGAGGAACAAGCUCAAGGGUACCAAGCACCCAAGAGUAAUAAGCUUCUCAACUUGUAACUUCCACGUAUCACCGUGGAGAACUCAAACUGAUGCACCAAAUGCAAUGGCAAGGGCACACAGAGUGCCCAAGUCCUUCUCUCUCAAAUCCCACCGAAGCAACUAAUGAUAGGGAGGAAAAUGAGAGGAAGAACAAGAAGGAGAACACCAAGAACUCCAAGAUCUAGAUCCAAGGGGUUCCCCUCACAUAGAGGAGAAAGUGAUUGGUGGAAAUGUGGAUCUAGAUCUCCUCUCUCUUUUUGCUCAGAAACUAGCAAGAAUCCAUGGAGGGAUUGAGAGUUAGCAAGCUCAAAGAAGGUCAACAAUGGGGGAAGAACACGAGCUCAAGAGAUAAGGUUGAAUGGGGAAGAAGACCCCCUUUUAUAGGAGCACCCGAAUCCAACCGUUAAGUGCUCAGUCCGCGCACAAGCGGUACUACCGCUCAGGGGAGCGGUACUACCUUCUGGGAGGUAGAACACGGAGAGCGGAGCGAAACAGAGUGCGUGGCGGAGCUGUAUGAGCGGCACUACCGCUGGAGCCAGCGGUACCACCGUUGGCCGCAACGGUACUGCCGCUUGGGAAACCGGUACUACCGCUUGUGGCGAUAAGCGGUACUGCCGCUCCGGCCCGGCGAUACUACCGCUGGGACCGCGCACAUCGCCUACCACGAGCACAGGGAGAAGGAACAGAGAGGAGGGCCAUUGAGCGGCACUAGGGGUGGUGGUAGCCGCGGUACUACUGCACAUGAGCGGUACUACCGCUCCUACUGCUGCUGAACCCGACACGAGAAAACCACGUCUCGAGUCGAGGCGGUACCAGCACGGAACCGGAGCCGUACUACCGCUUAUGGCCAUGGGCGGUACUACCGCUGUGGGACAGCGGUACUACCUCUUGUGGCGAUAAGCGGUACUGCCGCUCCGGCCCAGCGGUACUACUGCUGGCGCCAUCCUUAAGCCACUUCCAUGAAAGCAAGUAAAUUCCACGGAAAACCAGAACUGCCAUAACUUCUGCAUAUUAGAUCCGAAUUGAGCAAACUCAAGCUUGUUAGAUACAAGACGACGAGUAGCAUAAGAAUCGUGUAUGGGACCAGUACGUCAAGGGAGGAAAGAAUGACUCCAGUAUUCAAGGGAACACUAGAGAAGCAAAGUGCUCAUUGGGACGAUUUCAUGAAUUUCAAGGAAUCGAAAUUAUCUAAGGAACGGUCGAGAAUAAACAAGGCCAAUGCCGCAAAAAAGGAUAAGUUCCAUAAGCUGGGGCCAGGUGGCCAUGCGGUGGGAAUGCCUAAGGGCUUCUUUGGAUCACAGGAUUUGCAAAACAAAGGAAUAGGAAAAAUGGAGGAUUUGAUUGCCAUGACAUAGCCAAUCCUGUGGAUUUUUUCCAGCGGUCGGACCUCAUGUGUAAAUUCCUUUGGAAUCAGCACCUUGAAGACCCAAUCCUGUGGAAUUUUAAUGGCCCAAUCCUUUGAUCCAAAUGCGUUUCAUAGGAAACAAUCCUGAGGAUUGAUAUCCCAUGAAAAUCCUGUGAAAAUCCUCCAAUCCAAAGAAGGCCUAAGUGGGAUAAGUCUGAGAAAGAGAUGGAGGAUGCAGGUGUCACUCCAGAAACAUUGAGCUGGCUCCCCAGGUGCAGGACUUGGUUCUAUGCGCAUGGGGGGGAGUUGGACCCGAAGACAGGCAAAGUUUCGAAGAAGGCAUGUCUGGACGGAGCCAAAGAUAAGCUACUUGUUGCAAUAGAAGAGGCUCGAUCGGGGGUGUUCGAUCCCAAUAGAGAGAAUGACGAGCUUAUGUGUGCCCUGGGAAAUCUUGAACACCCGGGAAGAACACAAGGCAAGGGCGCUAUUCCAUGGUAUGAGGGGUUUUCGGAAUGGAACGCCGACUACAGAACCCGUGCGAGAAAGAAGAUUGCGGAGGAGAAGAAGAGGAAGAUGGUGGAGGAGCAGAGGAAGCUGGACUAUGAAUGCCUUCAAGGCCUAGAAUCAGCACACGUGGACUUUGCAGUCAAAUUCCAGCGGCAGUAGGAGCAGAUCGACUCACUUAGCCAGCAAAGGGGGUCUCAGCAGCUGCAGCAGCUAGCGGAUGAUCCAGCAUUGGAUAGCACCGUCCCAUCCAUGCCGAGAAGCAGCGUGGGUUCCGCCCUGGGCGAUGCAUUGCUAGAUAGCUACCCAGUGAAUGACAUCAUGGAGAACACUAACUGCGAGCUACACUUCAAAAUGAAGAACAUAUCCAUGAAGGUGGCGGACGCCGUUGCUUUUACAAAUCCCCCCGAGGCAACCUUCCAUUGCAACCCGAUUCCAGCGGGCUAUGCUCGUGUCUUGGUUGAUGAGGUGGUGGACCAAUAUUCGGGGCUAGAGCUUGACAUUCCUGGAGGUGACGAGGAGCACACACUGGGAGAGGCCAACCAUCGUAUCAUCCUAUGGAGAAAGGAUUGCAUCAUCUUUCGAAGGCCACCGACACCGCGUCAUCCGACUCCUCGUCGAAGUCCGCCACCGAGCCAGUAGACUCCCGCUCCUCCAAGUCCACCAACGCGUCAGGCCACUCCUCCUCCAAGUCCGGCACAACUUUAGGCCACUCCUCCUCCUCCAAGUCCGGCAAAGCAUCAGGCCACUCCUCCUCCAAGUUCGGCACAGCUUCAGGCCACUCCUCCUCCUCCAACUCAGCCAUGUCAGCCGUCUUCGCCACCUCAGCAAUCACGGAAGAGAGCCGCCUUAGCUAUGGUGUGUAGCGGUACAAGUCGAGGUAGUACUGGAGGUACAGGCGGAGGCAAGCGAUUUCAAUAUUGUCCAAGCAGCCUCGCGCCUCUUCCGCAGAGGCCUUACGACAAGUCUGAGGAGGAAAACACAUCCAUAUCGAAGGCCGAGGUGGAAGCCCAUUUUGCACCGAAACCGCCACCAUCGCCAAGGGAGAAAGUGCCUGAGGAAAAGAUUGACCACUUAAUUCAUAUGGCUAGAGCACCAGCUCCCAAGCCUGUUGACACAGACUAUGAGCGCCACCUCAGGAAGUUAAAUCGAGCACGUCUAUAGAAAGAGGCGAGCUCGAGCUCGAGCAAAUCAGCUGGGAAAAGGAGCGGUAAAGCCGUUCCCUAGCUGGGAGAACAGGCGGCGCAAUGAAUCCCCCCGCUUGUUGUGCCAACAACACAUGAGAGUACGCGUGCCCAAUAUUAUUGUGGUCAAACCGUUAAUGUUCCCGGGCUGGGCGAUGUGGUAAUAACCGAGGAGCAUAUUGAGCAGGCUAAAAGGCUCAUGAUCACUGUUGGACAACUCCUCGAUAUCGAGCCCAUGUCUCUUAUUAGAGAGGCGGAAAUAAAACGGAAAUAUGUCCGGGGCCAACCUUUGGUCGAGCCAGACGAGGUCAAGAAGCUCCCAACGAGAAUGUAUGAAUUGCAUCAAUGGUACAUGGACAUUACCAAGAUUUCCAAUCGAGAGUCCCUCAUGGUGAAUGUCAAGAAGGAUCAUUACUACCAUGAGAAAGAUGUGUCCAUUGAGUAUUCAGAACUAUUUGAGUUAUACAAUCAAGACGCACUCGACAAAUCUAUCGUCAGUUGCUGUUGUCUGUAAGUGAUUUCUUUCUGUAAUUUAAGUCUCAAGCUAGAUGUAGUGAUCAUUUUGAUCAAUCAUUACCUGUAAUUAUCCUCACUAUAUUCUUUUCUGUGGUAUUAUGCAGGAUGAAGAUUUAUGAAAUGGAAAAAGGUGGAUGCUAUGGCAUUGGGUUCAUUGACCCAAAUACCAUUAAUGAAUACACAUGGAAAUUAGAUCCAUAUUAUGAAAAAAGUGUAGAGGAAAGCAUGCUAGAGUUCUUCAAGCGCCUUAAUACCAAUGAAGAUAUACUACUAGCUUCCUUACAACUUCGAGUGAGUCACACUGUCUUGUACUACAAAUUCUGUUUUUGCCUACUAGCUAGCUACAUGUUUUUGCUUACAUAUGCCAGCUUAAUUAAUACGUGCAAACGUGUGUGCAUGCAGAUUUCACUGGAUCUUGUUAAUCAUUAAAGUUGAUGAAGGAACAGUUGAAAUACUGGACUCACUACUUAAAAAAGCAAGUGACUACACCAUCUUGUUUGGGAUAGUCAAUAGGUAAUUUCAAUCAUUAUUAACUAUAUCUCGGCCUAUUUAGUUCGUAAUUUCCUGAUAUGAACUAUUUAAUAACCCCUUUAUUCAUUUUCUUUGUCGGCGGGCUGGGCUUGGGCAAAGUUCAUCAGCGUCACUCCAGGCCAAUGGAAAAAAAGCUAAAAUGGUAUCGACCCAAGAUAAGUAAUUAAGUAGUACUAGCUAGCUACCUGCCAUCUCUUUAAUUAUCAUGCUUGAUUAAUUAUUAUCUGAUCAAAUUCCAUUCUCGUAAAGGCCCUGAAGCAGGCGCCGGGCAAUAAUCUGUGUGCAUACUAUGUUUGCGAGAACAUUUGCAUGAUGGCGUCCGAAAGGAGUAGAUCUCAAAGACAGGAGUGGGUACGUUUGUCAGAGCACUAUUCACAAUUUUUACACCAAUAUCGAUAUCUAGUCACACAACUAAUACACAUGCAUAUUGAUCUCCUUCUUAACAGUUCAAAGAGGUGCGGGAGUAGCUCCUAGCAGAGGACCGCAUAGAAGCAAUUCAAGAGGAUAGCGGGAUUUUUGCUCGACCAGGUCAUAAAUCCCAAAGGAGAAUACUAUUACCCGCUACCGCUCCCAUGAACCACUUCUAAUUGUCAUCAUGCUCCGAAGGCACCAAUUAGGCUAAUGCCACUGGCUCUGAAGGCACCAAUUAGGAGAAAUUGUAUAUAGCUAGCUAAUCAUAUAUAUAUAUACAUGUGUGUAUAUAUGUGUGAAUUAAUUAAUGGUGGUUGUGAGACAUUCGAUGAUAUAUAUAUAUAUAUAUGAUCGGUUCUACUAGAAAUUCUAUUUAUAUAUAUGCAUAACGUGUACAAUAUGUAGUAUCGUAAAAUACCAGCAAACGAAAAAGAAUUAAAUGGAAAACACAAAAUUAAAUGAAAAAGAAAUCAUAAACCCAAAACCCCGAACCUUUUAAUACCGGUUGGUGUCAGCAACCGGUACUAAAGGGCUCCCUGCCCCCGGAGCUGGCUCGUGCCACGUGGUUGCCCUUUAGCACCGGUUCGUGCUGAACCGGUACUAAAGGGGGGGGGCUUUAGUGCCCAAACUUUAGUGCCGGUUACCGAACCGGCACUAAAGGGCCUUACGAACCGGUGCUAUUGCCCGGUUCUGCACUAGUGUGAGAAGGAGAGACCCAGCUAUGUCUUGAGGAAGAUCGGUCGACAUCCAUACAUAACUGAAGGACGGGGAAUAGGAUGGGACAGAAAGAGAGAGGAGAGAGAGAGGGAGGGAGAGGGGUAGAGUGCUGGAUGGGUGAUGGAGUUGCUUCUCGAAGAUGGUGGGAGAGGCCUACUAGACAAACUGAGGGUGGAACUGCAACAUUAUCAAUAAGAGUAGGGAUGUGUUUCUGUGUGUUCCUGUGCGUGAUAGAUCUGUCGAGACGCAUCCAUGGAUGAUGAAGGGGAACCAUGUGUUCGGUAAGCAAACCUAACUAGAUCGGUAGAUCAAUUGUUGUAUGUUGGAGGAAGGGAGAGACAUAACUAAUGAGGUAGAUCAAGCUACGCGUGGGGUAUAACGAGUUAUAAGGACCUAGCUAGCUAGCUAGAUAGGGGGAGGAGUGUGUGGUUGUGAGAUCGAUGAAAAGAGGGGCGGGAGUUUACACAUGUGUGGGACCGUAUGAGAGACACGAGGCAAGGAAACAUAGAUGAGGAGAUUGAAGGUGAGUGUGUAUGUUGUAGGCAGACAUCGCUGGAGAGGUUUAUCGAUCGGUGUAUGUCGGAAAGGAGUUGUGGAGACUGUGGGAGAACGACCUAAAGAAAAAAUGAAUGUGCACGAUGGAUAGAAUGCUGAGGGAGGGGGAGGGCGAGGAGGGCGUGUGCAUGCACGAGAGAAAGUUAGUGGUAGCUACAAAGGUUAGAGGAUUGUGUGGGUGUAAGAGACUAACAAAGAUCAUAAUUUGAUAUGAAAGUGGAUUCAUAUAUUUGAAUAGGAGAUCAUAGUGUUUUAAACAUAUGCAUGCAUGAAUAUAGCGGUGAUACGCGUGUUGUGGUUUUGCACAUGUUAUACCAUAAUGUGAUAAUGCAUGGCGUUUGCAACUCACAGCUAAAUGUCAAACAAUUAAACCAUACUAUACAUCGAACAAUCUCACAUUUUAUUUGAAUUUGUGAUAAUGUGUGGCGUUUGCAGCUUACAACUAAAUAUCGAACAAUCUAAACAAUACUAUAUAUCGAACAUUCUCACAUUUUAUUUGAAUUUGUGGUAAUGUGUGGUGUUUGCCACUCACAUCUAAAUACUUGUAGGCGUAGGAGGCGGGGCACCAUACAUAAUGUGAUAAACACAUUAUACAUAUGAGACAUGGUUUAGAUUAUGAAGAUCUAGCUAGAGCUUGAAAUGUACUAUGAUUUGAAAUCAACAUAAAGUGGAUUGAAAAAAUUGAGUUCGAGUUCAUAUAGUACACAUAGUUCAUAUGUAACUCGAGACUAAUCAUGUGGUGUGCUGUGAAGAUAAUACACAAACGAUGGUUUAACUUGACAAUAAUGGUGAUUGUAGAUCUUAUUAAAACAGAGAAACGAAUUCAAAUGCUUUGACUUCACAACAAUCAUUAUUGCAGAUCUUAUUCAAAUAGAGAAACGAACUCAAAUUUAGUUCAUAUUGAAGCGGUAGUAUAUAUGUUUGGAAUGCACUAAAACGUUGCUAUUCCAAAAUUACAACGCGCGCGAAAACUCCCACCUCCUGUGAAAUCCCGACACACGAAAUGCCCGUGAUACCCCUGAACCGAAAGAACCGCCUCAAAUCAGUGGGUGUACUUUCAUAACUUACCCCACAUUUCAGACAAGCGCGUCCCUAAGCCAUGGUUCCCCACUCCCAUCCCAUCCGACCACCCAUUCAUACACCGAGGACGGGAAAACCCGCGAAGCCCCACUCUCUCCUCCGUCCGCCACCCAGCCGGAGCCUCUUUCCCGAUGACGUAGUCCACAUGAACACCUUGACGUCCCUCAUCCAUCAUACUUGAUGAGGAUCCAUUGUCGAUCUGGUCGUCCCACCGGUUCAGUCACCCCGUCCUCCACCUCCAAGGAGCUGCCCCGACGUUCCCCUCGUCUUCCGCACCACCUCCAGUCCCACACCGCCGUCUUCACCUGCACCACCGGAAGAGCAUCAUCAUCACUGUUUCCUCGGAUGAAGCUGCGGCCUAAUCGGCGCCACCAAAGAGGCUGUACACUAAUCGCCGCAUUUUGUUCUUGAUUCGAUCUCACGGUGCUGCCGGCGCUCGGUCUCGAGCCGACACGGCGCGACUCCAUCCACGGCGGUGUCGCCGGCCACUUCCUCCACGGCGUCGCUCCCUCGGCAGUGACGUCCACAUCGGUAGGAGCUGCUGCUACUUUAGCUCUCCCACGCGCUGCUGCUCUGCUAUUGCUCUCGGUCCCCUGCCUUGUCUGCUCUUGCUCUUGCUCGCGCUGCUGCUCUCGCUCUUGCUCUUGCUUGCGAUGCUGCUCUGAUUUAGCUACACUUCAGUCGACUGAAUUGACUUUUGGGUCAGUUGAUUUUUAGGGGGUGGGGGUGCUCGCCGGAGUUAAGGAAGAACCAGCCGCAGCAGGGAGGGGGCUCGCCGGAGAGGUACCUCACUAUCUANNNNNNNNNNNNNNNNNNNNNNNNNNNNNNNNNNNNNNNNNNNNNNNNNNNNNNNNNNNNNNNNNNNNNNNNNNNNNNNNNNNNNNNNNNNNNNNNNNNNNNNNNNNNNNNNNNNNNNNNNNNNNNNNNNNNNNNNNNNNNNNNNNNNNNNNNNNNNNNNNNNNNNNNNNNNNNNNNNNNNNNNNNNNNNNNNNNNNNNNNNNNNNNNNNNNNNNNNNNNNNNNNNNNNNNNNNNNNNNNNNNNNNNNNNNNNNNNNNNNNNNNNNNNNNNNNNNNNNNNNNNNNNNNNNNNNNNNNNNNNNNNNNNNNNNNNNNNNNNNNNNNNNNNNNNNNNNNNNNNNNNNNNNNNNNNNNNNNNNNNNNNNNNNNNNNNNNNNNNNNNNNNNNNNNNNNNNNNNNNNNNNNNNNNNNNNNNNNNNNNNNNNNNNNNNNNNNNNNNNNNNNNUGGUGGGGCGAUGACGUGGGGAUCGCUGGAGAAAAAGCUCGGCAUGGGGGGGGGGUAGAGGGAUGGCCGGGGCGGCGGCGGAUCGGCGGUGGGGAGUGUUUUCGGGACGGGCAGGGUGGCGCACUACCGGCGGCGGGUGGCGGGGGGCGGCUAUUUGGCCGGUGGUGGCUGGCGGCUCAGGGGGUGGAGGUUGAAGAUGAACUGCAGGCCCUUGAUUUCGUAUCCAAUGGCUGCAAAAUCGACUGACCAGAGACGAAAAAGUCAGUCGACUGACGUGUAGCCUCACCUCUAGUGCGUUCAGUUUCGACAGUAAAAUUCAGUUUCGACAGCAAAAUUUAGUUUCGACAGUUAAGUUCAGUUUCGACAGUUAAAUUCAGUUUUGACAGUUAAGUUCAGAGAUGAGCGGCUGAUGUAUUUUACAUCUAGCACUUUGUGGUUAUGUAUUUUACGUCAUCUAUUGGAGAUGCUAUUAGAAUUCCACUCAGGGUAAUGUUGUCUCUCUUGUCCUGCUUUAGCCUCGGUGUUGUACAACUCACCAGAGCUGCUCCAACAACAAAACUGUCAGGACCCCGACUCAAUGCCACAUCGAUCUAGCAUGUAACACCUCAUAUCACUUUGCGGCCUCACGCACGGUAUUCCCACGGGUGUCGCCUUACCUUUACCCGGGACCGUUUGCGCCUGUUGGCACACGUAUAUGACAGUGUCGCUAGCAUCCAUAUGAUAAGGAGCCCGGGCUGACAUGGCUAGUCGUAAACCCAAAGUGGCACAAACUUACAGGGACAGGCAUCCGUGACCCAGCAUCGAACGUGUCGGUCAUCAGCGAGUGAAUCCAGGCUGUAGCACUGGGCUAGCAGGACUCCGGUGAACCGGGCUGUAGCGGGCUAACAGGACUCCGGUAUUCAUCGCGUGACAUUUCCCCGAAGGGACAGACACAGGAACGAAGAAGGACACAUGCCGGCCAGCCUAAGUGUUCCGGAGCAGUAGCAAGCUACCAUGGCUCGGUGGAAGCACUAGGAGACAUUUCCCGGUAAGAGAGGCUACUAAAGAUAAACAACUAGAUAGUCAGAUCCCACACAUACCAAGCAUUUCAAUAACAUACACACAAUAUGCUCGAUAUGUGCAAACACAACAUGGCAUCACAACAUGACUCUAUGACUCAAGUAUUUAUUCAAUAGGCUCCGAGGAGCGAGAUAUUACAAACAUGAGUCUCAUGACCCAACAUUCAGAGCAUACAAAGCAAAGCACAAGCGGAAGCUAUCAUGUCUGAGUACAGACAUCUAUAAAUGAAAAAGGCUUAGAAGCCUGACUAUCUAUCAGAUCCUGCCGAGGGCACAAGAUCGUAGCUGAGGUAACAAGCUAAACGUCGAAGUCCACGCGGAACUACUAGCGAGACCGAAGUCUCUCUGCAAAAACAUAAAUUAAGCAAUGUGAGUACAAAUGUACCCAGCAAGACUUACAUCAGAACUAACUACAUAUGCAUCAUUAUCAACAAAGGGGAUGGUGGGGUUUAACUGCAGCAAGCCAGCUUUGACUCGGUGGCUAUCCUGAACUACGACUGCAAUGUAACUCUUUUGAGGUGGCGCACACGAGUCCACAUAUUCCCCAUAUCAAUACACCACUAUGGAUCCGCUCCCGUCUCCCUACGAGAGCGCCAUCCAUAGCACUCACGCUUAUCUUGCGUAUUUUAGAGUAUCCACUUUCACUUGUCUAUGAACUGAUAUAAGCAACCCAGAAGUCCUUUACCGCGGACAUGGCUAUUCGAAUAGAUGAUAUUAACCCUGCAGGGGUGUACUUCUUCAUACAUGUUUCCACCACUUAGCGUCUGCACACGACAUGUGCUCGGCAGACUUCAAGCGAAAGCCGACGUGGGUGUAGACCACGACCUACCUAAACACUCAAGUCUCUAGUCCAGGUUUAUCGCCUAUUCGGGUUCCAUCCAUGAGGAGAUCCGGCCGGAGUUUCGCUCACAGCCCCAAAUGAUGUGAACAGGGUUCCGUGACACCAAACGGGCGCCCGGUAUACCCGGCCACGUGCCUACCGCAUCACAGCCCACCCCUACGGUCAGCGCUGUCCACGACCUCCAGCAUACUACAAACACCAGAAACUACUUGCAACUCCUGGACAGAGGACAAGGGUGAAUAAGAAGUCGAGCGGGGUCAUAUUUCAGGGCCCAAUGUAUGGUAGUAGCUGAAUCAUGGAUCACAAACACAGAACUCAGUUCCUGAGGACGGCUUCAAUGAGACAACCCACCAUGUACUCCUACAUGGCCUCUCACCGCUACCUUUACCAAAACGUGUUCACACACUUAGCUCACACACAGUAGGACAUGUUCACACGCCUCUGAUUCAUCCCCGAUGAAUCAGACCUGACUCAACUCUAAGCAGUAGCAGGCAUGAAAAACAAGCAUGAAUGAGUAGGCACAAUAGGGCUCAAACAACUCCUACUCAUGCUAGUGGGUUUCAUCUAUUUACUGUGGCAAUGAUAGGUCAUGCAGAGGAUAAAGGGGUUCAGCCACCGCAGCAAGUAACAGAUGAAUCGGUGUUGUCCUAAUGCAUUAAAAGAGAGCAGGGGCGAGAGAGUAGGAUUGUAUCGGAAUGAACAAGGGGUUUUUGCUUGCCUGGCACUUCUGAAGAUAACAUUGAGUCUUCAUCAGUGUCAACAAUCACAACGUCGAAACAUCGUCUACCGGGAGGGAACAGAUACCGGCAACAAGAAGAAAUACAAUCAAUGCAAUGCACAAUAUGAUGCAUGCUCAUGACAUGGCAAUAUGAAUGUGUUUUGAGCUAAUGCACCUAACUAUGAUUUAAAUGAGGUUGGUUUGAAUACAUGAUUCAAAUUCCAACUCCAUAUAUGAUUAUUUAAAUGCCCUUUAAUUGAUUUGUGCUAAACAGCAGCUAUAAGUUGUUCUAACAUGCAUAAAAUGGUACAGAUGGAUUCCUUGAAUUUUUCUGAUAAUUUUUCAUAUAUAAAUUAUUUAACUUGGAGUUACGGUUGAAUUUCUAUGAUUUAUUGAAGUUUUAGCUAUUUUCUGAAAUUUCCUGAAUUAAAAUAAAUCCAGAAAAUGAUUUAAUUGCGUCAGCCUGACGCCGGGGUGACGUCAGCAGGUCAAAGGCGUCGACCAGGUCAAACCUGACCAGUGGGGCCCACUGGUCAGUGACCCAGUCAACUAACCAAGUUAGUUAGCCCUAACUAACUGGAUUGGGCCCACUGGUCAGCGACUAGCCUAAAUAUGAUUAGCCCUAACUAACUUAGUUAGCCGGGCGGGGCCCGCAUGUUAGUGGCUCAGUGGCUUAGCCAAAAUUAGUUAUUAACUUAACCAAAGUUACCAGGGGCCGGGCCCACCUGUCAGUGACCCUGGGAAAGUCAAACAGGGUCAAAUCCUGGGUCGGUGGGGUCAAACCCACCGGCGACAUGACGCCGGCGAGGCCCGAGACGGCGGCGAUGCGCGGAAUCGCAGCACAGGCCACGGAUCAAGGCGCGGAUGGCACCGUUGGAACCCCGAGCCUCGUCCGCGUCCUCUGGUGCUAGUGGGGUCGCCGGAGACGGCUCAGAUCAACGGCGGCGUCCACUUCCGCGGCGGCCGGAGCUCGGCUAAGUGCGGGCGCGGUGCUGCAGCUCAUAGCUGGGUGAACGGAGGUGCUAGGCAGCACCUAAAGGCGGCAGGAGCAUGUCGGAGCUGCUAUGCGAGGCAGAGGUGCUCGGGGCACGGAGCUCGCCGGCCAUGGCGGACGGCGGCGCUCGGGAAUGUGGGCGGGGGUGCUACGGCACGGGAACGAGCAAAACGAAGGAGGGGAAACAGAGUGGAGCUCACGUGGAUCCCGUAGAGGUGGACGGCGAGCUCGGGGAAGGCCGAACGGCGACGAAUUUGAUGACGGCGAUCCUCGGUGGCCGAGGAGGGGAACGGCGAAGCUGGCAGCAUCCAGGGCUUCCGGCGCCUUCCGUCUUGGUGAGGAGGAAGAGGGGGACGGGGCGGAGCUUCUUGGCGCUUAGGCGAGGCGUGGGGUGGCUGGUGGCUACGGUGGUUCUCGUCGUCGGCGGCGGCUCCGUUCGGGUGAGGAGAACAGAGGAGGGGGAGAGUGUUCCGGGGAGAGAGAGGAGAGGGGCACGGGGAGAGUAGGAGAGGGUCGAGGGGAGUGCGUGGCAUCGUCCGGGGCGUCGAGGAGGAAGCAGGAGGUGGCCAGGGGAAGCAGGAGGUGGCCGAGCAGGGUGGAGGUGGCGCACGCGGCGGCGUCGCGGUGUCCGUCCUCCUGGCAGAGAGGAAGACGACAGGGGAGGGGGGGGGGCGGCGGUGGGCUGGGCCGUUGGGGGAGCUGGGCCAGGUAGGUGGGCGCCAGGUAGGUGGCCCAGGUGGCCUUCUCUCCCUUUCUUUUAUUUCCUCUUUUUUUAUUUCUAUUCUCUGUAGUUUGCUUUUUAUUUAGUUUUAGACACUAAAUCAUUUUUUAUAAAUCCCGAGAAUAAUUGUGGACAUUAACUGAAUUAUUACAGAGGCCCUCAACUAUUUUUAGAAUUGUUGGAGCAUUUAAAAAUAUUAACAGUAUUUAAAUGCCCCAAUUCAAAUACAAUAUGGUUUAAUCAAAAAUCCAAAAAUAUCUUGGAAAAAUAUCCAUCAUCUCUGGAUAUGGUUUUCACCCUUUUCCAGUAAUCAUGAACAUUUUUGCAAACCAAUUUGGGUUCUUUGAAAAUAUUUUGAAGUUGAACCUAUUUGCAAUGCUUUGGUGCUAGGGCUUGGUCAUCCCCAUUUCAAAUUUUCAUAAAAUUUAAACAUGUUGCAUGGAUGCUAAAGCAAAAACAAACAAGGGCUGAUCUGAGGCUGUGACAGCUCACCCCCACUAAACAAAAAUCUCGUCCCGAGAUUCAAGCGUAGGGUAAGGUGAAGGGGGAACGCAAACUAGUACAAUCUUCACGAUCCAGGUUGCACUUCAUAGGAACGUUGUUUCGAUCACCAUCUUUGUCUCGACGCCUUCCUCUGAGAACUCCAACUAACAUGACAAUGAGAGGAAAGGAAAGACCCUAAAAGAAUCGUUCUCCUCGAAGGUCGAACAACUCAGGAUUAACUCUCGGAAUGAGACAUAGCAACAUCUCUCGAGCUGAGAGAUGAAGCACACAUCCAUAGGAAUGGAGUGAAGCAGAUGACAAAGGUUCACUAGGUAGACAACAAUUCCAGACUUAAGAAUGUGGUGACCGGUUGUCAACGUAGCGAGGAGUUGAAUUGCCAUGAUACCAUAACGAUGCACCUUAGGGAAGGUGACUCGUAGAAAUAUCCCCUUAAGUGGCAAAAAGAAUUACCUUUGAUUCAAAGAUCAUUGAAACUCUUUAAACCAGCCUAAGGCAAUUCUCGAGCGAUCGUUUGGAGGGGGUCGGUAGAAUGGCAUACUCGGACUUGGAUGAUGUGGAUUACCUUGUUGAAGACAACGUAAUGGAUGAAUUUGCUUACCACCGGAAAUGGAAGAGACCCAUGGUAGAAUGGCACAUUGGCGGUGCAAGCUGGGAACAAAAUGCAAAUGCUGGGAAUGAUUCUGGUAACUGGGGGAAGAACCCAACAAUAGAGAGUGAAUUCACUGGUUGAAAAGGUCAUAGCAUUGCCGAGGAAACUGAGAGGAAUCCCAGUUAGUGCCGAUGAUAACUCGUAGCGCUUGUGCGUGCUCUCAAGAACUUGAGCAUUUCCAUAAUCAUCAAGGUUCUACCAAUAUCCGUGUCAAGGAUCCUGGCAACACAACUUGCUACCAUGAUGAAUGGUGAUGGAGGAUGCAGAUGCAAAGGGAGAUAACACCUUCUCAGAUUUCACCUUAGCGAGGCCAAGGGGACGAAAUCUGGAUGAUCGACCGAGAGACAUUUAGCACUCCGCUUCUAAUGUUCUCCUUGAUGUGCUAGUGUAACCCAUUCAUAGAUAUGGUUUGAUAUCUAGAACAUCAAGUAAAAGGUCGGACUUCGGGAACACUAAAAUCAUAAGGCAUAGCUAGGGGGUAAAUCCUACGAAGUCCUUAUGGGGAGGUGGCCAACUUCCUCAAACAAGAUACUAUAAUAACAGGUCUACCGGAUGGGUGUGUUGGCCACGACAUCCACCUUACCGGUUAUCGAGAGACCAAUAUUAUAGUUCUUGGGAAAUGUUCCAACCAUCACAUCUGCCUGAGAUUCAGAUCUGGUUGGUGUCAGGAUAUUCCAGACUCAUCGAGUCUAGGAAGAAAAACGAAAGUUUGCAACACAAACCGACGAGAUGACGUUGCGAGAUUCUCGGGAAAUGAACUACGAUAGUAAGCUCCAAAACAUGAGCUGGUUCUGCUACAAACAUGUGAACACGCUGUCCCAGACAAACAUGACCACGUGGUAGUCUUAUAAUAAAACACUACCGAGUUCAGGUGGGGAACCAUCAACGAGGAUAUCAAAAUCCUUGCAUAAGGCAUGCUCUUAAGAAGGAACUUCUUCUACUUGAACAAAUCAAUCAGUGGCUUUGUGUGCUCGGAACACAUAUGGAAUGAAGGUUGCAAGUCUCUAGACCACAGAAUACUUCACACGUAUGCAUGACUGACUUGGGAUGAUUCCAGAGGAAGCAAAACUAACUUUCUCAAAUCCACGGCGGCAACUUUCACCAAAUGCACGUGUAUAAGAGGAAGUCACUCCUUUCAUCAAACACAUACUUCAUGAGUUAGCAUGAAGAAAUGCUUUCAGAAGUUUCCAACACUAACUUGUUGUCCAACAAGAUCAUGGAGGAGAUAAGGAUGUUGUCAAUGGGCUCAACAACAAUUCAUCUAGGUUUCCUUUUAAAAGGAAUUCCAUAGUUAAGUGAACACGGUGAUAGCAUUGGUCAGGCCAAAGAUGUAAUGGUGUAUGCUCGAGGGAUCAACCACGAAUAAGACAACAUUACGAGCAUCAUUGGUACUGAUUUGAUUUGACGAUAGCCCACACUCAAAUCAAAGGAUUGGUAAGACAAUAGGUCCAGCAACUGAUCACAGGGACCAAUCGAUGAAGAUAUCAUCUUUCUUCAACACAUACAAGACAUCCCUUAUAAUGAACUAUAUCGGACAAGCUUCUAUCUUCCAACUCUCCAAGUUGAUGCAUAGCUUAACCAACUAGCUCAGGGGUAUCCAACACGGAUUCUUGGAGAAAGGGUGGUUUACAGGAUAAACCAACUUGAUCACGAGCUCAACAUAACAGUCAGGUGACAACCUGGUGAUACUUUCGAGAAGAUAUCCGGAAAAUCACGAACCAUCGAUAUGUUACUAAGAUCGAGGACAAUCCUGCUUUUCAGAGCAAGACGAUAUGAUCAAUAGGGCAAGGAUUUGAAAUAAUCCUAACUCAUCGAUCGAGGAGUGAACCAGGAGAAUGGACUAGGUAGCACGAUCAAUCUUAGAAUGACGAUUCAAUAAUCAACACGCUAAGAAUGAGGUUAUCGUCCAUUUAACUACCAAGCAACGGAGUUGCUAGGAGUAUCGAUUUCACACAUCACGAUUCACUUGUCGGCAUUCUGGUUACAAUAACACAGGAACCGAGGAAUGAACAAUGAUGGCAAGAAGUAUCACUGUACCAAGAGUUCAUAGGAUGGGGUGCAAUUCCUAUAACAAUCCCGAUAUAAAAGAUGGUAAUACUCCAAGGUAGAGCAGAACAAAAGCUGGAUUAGCAAUUUGAUCUGCGGAGCACAACUUCUUUGACCCAAUCCUGGAUAUGGAAGAGGUACUGGAGUUUGUUUCUCCAAGUUAUUCAGGACAAAAUGGCUUGACGGACCACAAGAGUAAUAGGCAUCGAUGAACGAAUGCACGCAGACUCUUGACUAUCAAUUGAUAAACAAGGGUCAGAAGACAACUAAAAAGGGACAACUCAAAGGAACAUACGAUUUUCUGAGUUGUGGAUGCAUGGAUUAGCAUGUCGAACGAGUUCGACAUAUUUCUUCCGGAUAACCCACGCAGAAAGGUAGAACAGGCAGAGUCACAAUAUAAAAUGGAGAACUCAUCAAGAGCACUCUGGUUGUGAUCGUUCAGUUCAACGAGGAACUUCUGCCAUAAGUAGUUCAUGGUAUUUGGAAGAAGAUGAUACCACGGACUUCAAGGACUAUCGCAAGUUACUAAUAUCCUAAAGGAACUUAGCAAACACUAUCAACAUGAGGUAAGUAGAGUGAAUCUCGGGUUCAAAACCCAGGGAUAGAAUACCUACUACUAAGUAGCAUCAUGGAAUGCUUUCGAGAAUAAAGGCCAGAAUCUUCACACUGAGAACACUAAACAUUGCUAGAUUACUAGGUGACUCCCUAAAACACCUAGGGUCAUAAUAAUAGCUCCAACAUAAAUGUCAAGGCAAUAGAAUACCUCAACUCAACAAUUUGUGUGAUUAACCUGGCCUGAAAGACAUUGAAACCAGAGGAAAAGGAUUUUGCAAAUGCAUCAGACUAUUUAGAAACCUGGGAUGACUCGGACAGCAUAACGGCUGUAAAUGCUCAGGAAAGAUUUGUGACAUUCACAAAAAUGGUGGCAUAACCACUCAGAGGCACAAUAUCAAGGUUUCGAGAUCAACAGUUAACAUACAGAAGUCGUAGGAACUGAACUCAAGCUUAAAUCCAACAAUCUAUAAGUCUACGGAUUAGUAACACGUGAUCCUGAUAGAAAGAAGAGAUAGCCUAGUUCUUAAUCCCCGUAGGAAAGAUAAGAUGACUCAGAUCAGAAGUGCAUGAGGUAUAAGGAGUAAAAAGAGCCUUACGUUCCAUCUCACAAUCAAUUCCCUUAUAUAACUAAAGAAUUUCUAGACUCAACUUCGACCAGUUUGGCUUGGUAAUCCUACAGGCAGUCAAGCUCUGAUACCAACGCUGUCAGGACCCCGACUCAAUGCCACAUCGAUCUAGCAUGUAACAUCUCAUAUCACUUUGCGGCCUCACGCACGGUAUUCCCACGGGUGUCACCUUACCUUUACCCGGGACCGUUUGCGCCUGUUGGCACACGUAUAUGACAGUGUCGCUAGCAUCCAUAUGAUAAGGAGCCCGGGCUGACAUGGCUAGUCGUAAACCCAAAGUGGCACAAACUUACAGGGACAGGCAUCCGUGACCCAGCAUCGAACGUGUCGGUCAUCAGCGAGUGAAUCCAGGCUAUAGCACUGGGCUAGCAGGACUCCGAUGAACCGGGCUGUAGCGGGCUAACAGGACUCCGGUAUUCAUCGCGUGACAUUUCCCCGAAGGGACAGACACAGGAACGAAGAAGGACACAUGCCGGCCAGCCUAAGUGUUCCGGAGCAGUAGCAAGCUACCAUGGCUCGGUGGAAGCACUAGGAGACAUUUCCCGGUAAGAGAGGCUACUAAAGAUAAACAACUAGAUAGUCAGAUCCCACACAUACCAAGCAUUUCAAUAACAUACACACAAUAUGCUCGAUAUGUGCAAACACAACAUGGCAUCACAACAUGACUCUACGACUCAAGUAUUUAUUCAAUAGGCUCCGAGGAGCGAGAUAUUACAAACAUGAGUCUCAUGACCCAACAUUCAGAGCAUACAAAGCAAAGCACAAGCGGAAGCUAUCAUGUCUGAGUACAGACAUCUAUAAAUGAAAAAGGCUUAGAAGCCUAACUAUCUAUCAGAUCCUGCCGAGGGCACAAGAUCGUAGCUGAGGUAACAAGCUAAACGUCGAAGUCCACGCGGAACUACUAGCGAGACCGAAGUCUCUCUGCAAAAACAUAAAUUAAGCAACGUGAGUACAAAUGUACCCAGCAAGACUUACAUCAGAACUAACUACAUAUGCAUCAUUAUCAACAAAGGGGAUGGUGGGGUUUAACUACAGCAAGCCAGCUUUGACUCGGUGGCUAUCCUGAACUACGACUGCAAUGUAACUCUUUUGAGGUGGCGCACACGAGUCCACAUAUUCCCCAUAUCAAUACACCACUAUGGAUCCGCUCCCGUCUCCCUACGAGAGCGCCAUCCAUAGCACUCACGCUUAUCUUGCGUAUUUUAGAGUAUCCACUUUCACUUGUCUAUGAACUGAUAUAAGCAACCCAGAAGUCCUUUACCGCGGACACGGCUAUUCGAAUAGAUGAUAUUAACCCUGCAGGGGUGUACUUCUUCAUACAUGUUUCCACCACUUAGCGUCUGCACACGACAUGUGCUCGGCAGACUUCAAGCGAAAGCCGACGUGGGUGUAGACCACGACCUACCUAAACACCUAAGUCUCUAGUCCAGGUUUAUCGCCUAUUCGGGUUCCAUCCAUGAGGAGAUCCGGCCGGAGUUUCGCUCACAGCCCCAAACGAUGUGAACAGGGUUCCGUGACACCAAACGGGUGCCCGGUAUACCCGGCCACGUGCCUACCGCAUCACAGCCCACCCCUACGGUCAGCGCUGUCCACGGCCUCCAGCAUACUACAAACACCAGAAACUACUUGCAACUCCUGGACAGAGGACAAGGGUGAAUAAGAAGUCGAGCGGGGUCAUAUUUCAGGGCCCAAUGUAUGGUAGUAGCUGAAUCAUGGAUCACAAACACAGAACUCAGUUCCUGAGGACGGCUACAAUGAGACAACCCACCAUGUACUCCUACAUGGCCUCUCACCGCUACCUUUACCAAAUCGUGUUCACACACUUAGCUCACACACAGUAGGACAUGUUCACACACCUCUGAUUCAUCCCCGAUGAAUCAGACCUGACUCGACUCUAAGCAAUAGCAGGCAUGACAAACAAGCAUGAAUGAGUAGGCACAACAGGGCUCAAACAACUCCUACUCAUGCUAGUGGGUUUCAUCUAUUUACUGUGGCAAUGACAGGUCAUGCAGAGGAUAAAGGGGUUCAACUACCGCAGCAUGUAACAGAUGAUUCGGUGUUGUCCUAAUGCAGUAAAAAGAGAGCAGGAGCGAGAGAGUGGGAUUUUAUCGGAAUGAACAAGGGGGUUUUGCUUGCCUGGCACUUCUGAAGAUAACAUUGAGUCUUCGUCAGUGUCAACGAUCGCAUCAUCGGUGUCACGUCUAUCGAGAGGGGACAAUUACCGGCAAAUACAGAAAAGACACGAUCAAUGCAAUGCACAAUAUGAUGCAUGCUAUGACAUGGCAAUAUGAAUGUGUUUUGGGCUAAUGCACCUAAAACCAGAUUAAAUGAAGUUGGUUUGAAUCCAAAAUUCAAAUUCAAACUCCAUAUGGGGUUAUUUAAAUGUCAUUCACUUCAUUUGUCCUAAACAGUAGUGAUAAGUUGUUCUAACAUGCAUGAAAAUGGUACAGAUGGAUUCCUUGAAUUUUUCUGAUAAUUUUUCAUAUAUAAUUUAUUUAAUUUGGAGUUACGGUUAAUUUUCUAUGAUUUUUAGAAGUUUUAGGCAUUUUCUGGAAUUUCCUGAAUAUUUAGAAUUAAAAUAAUUCCAGAAAAUGAAUUAUGGCGUCAGCAUGACCUCAUGCUGACCUCAGCAGGUCAACGGGCGGUCCAGGUCAAACCUGACGUGUGGGGUCCACACGUCAGUGACACAGGGGCUAAUCCCGCGUUGACCCGGGCUUUGACCCACUACGGGGCCCACUGUCAGUGGCUGUGGGGGGGUGUUUAGAGCGUCAUUAGUGCUAAUUAGGCGUGCCACGUCGGCAGUCGCCGGAGUGUCGCCGGCGACGACCACGGCCGACAGCGGAGGUGCGCCGUGCGCUCGCUACGGAGCACCAUUUGACGUGCGGUUUGCUCCUACGGGUUCCUGGGAGGAAGGCGCAUCUAAAGAGGUAAGUGACAGCAGCUGGGGUGGCCGGAGCUGCCGGCGGCGAGCUCCUUUGCGGCUGCCGGAGUUCGGGCAAUCUCGGGGUCGGGGUUAGGAAGCACGGCAGGAGGAGCUGGGGCGUGCUACGGACUCCUGAGAUCACGAUGAGCACGUCAGUGGGCUCGGAUACGAGCUGGGGUGGAAGAAUGGACUGACUCAGAUCAGAAUGUCAUAAGGUAUAAGGAGUAAAAAAAGAGCCUUACGUUCCAACCCACAAACAAUUCCCCUACAUAUAACUAAAGAAUUUCUAGACUCAACAUCGACCAGUUUGGCUUGGAGAACCUACAGGCAGUCCGGCUCUGAUGCCAACGCUGUCAGGACCCCGACUCGAUGUCACAUCGAUCUAGCUGGUAACACCUCAUAUCACUUUGCGGCCUCACGCACGGUAUCCCCACGGGUGUCGUCUUACCUUUUCCCGGGACCGUUUGCGCCUUUUGGCUCACGUAUAUGAUAGUGUCGCUAGCAUCCAUAUGAUAAAGAGCCCGGGCUGACAUGACUAGUCGUAAACCCAAAGUGGCACAGACUUACAGGGACAGGCAUCCAUGACCCAGCUUCGAACGUGUCGGUCAUCAACAAGUGGGUCCGGGCUGUAGCACUGGGCUAGCAGGACUCCGGUAAACCGGGCUGUAGCGGGCUAACAGGACUCCGGUACUCAAAGCGUGACAUUUCCCCGAAGGGACAGACACAGGAACGAAGAAGGACACAUGCCGGCCAGCCUAAGUGUUCCAGAGCAGUAGCAAGCUACCAUGGCUCAGCGGUAACACUAGGAGACAUUUCCCGGUAAGAGAGGCUACUAAAGAUAAACAACUAGAUAGUCAGAUCCCACACAUACCAAGCAUUUCAAUCACACACACAAUAUGCUCGAUAUGUGCAAAUACAACGAAGCAUCACAACAUGACUCUACGACACAAGUACUUUAUUCAUUAGGCUCCGAGGAGCGAGAUAUUACAAACAUGGGUCUCAUGACCCAACAAUCAGAGCAUACAAAUCAAAGCACAAGCGGAAGCUAUCAUGUCUGGGUACAGACAUUUAUAACUGAAAAAGGCUGAGAAGCCUGACUAUCUACCAGAUCCUGCCGGGGCACAAGAUCGUAGCUGAGGUAACAAGCUAAACGUCGAAGACCACGCGGAAAUACUAGUGAGACUUAAGUCUCUCUGCAAAAACAUAAAAUAGGCAAACGUGAGUACAAAUGUACCCAGCAAGACUUACAUCAGAACUAUCUACAUAUGCAUCAUUAUCAACAAAGGGAUGGUGGGGUUUAACUGCAGCAAGCCAGCUUUGACUCGGUGGCUAUCCUGAACUACGACUGCGAGUAACUUUUUGAGGUGGCGCACACGAGUCCACAUAUUCACCAUAUCAAUACACCACUAUGGAUCUGCUCCCGUCUCCCUACGAGAACGCCAUCCAUAGCACUCACGCUUAUCUUGCGUAUUUUAGAGUAUCCACUUUCACUUGUCUAUGAACUGAUAUAAGCAACCCAGAAGUCCUUUACCGCGGACACGGCUAUUCGAAUAGAUGAUAUUAACCCUGCAGGGGUGUACUUCUUCAUACAUGUUUCCACCACUUAGCGUCUGCACACGACAUGUGCUCGGCAGACUUCAAGCGAAAGCCGACGUGGGUGUAGACCACGACCUACCUAAACACUCAAGUCUCUAGUCCAGGUUUAUCGCCUAUUCGGGUUCCAUCCAUGAGGAGAUCCGGCCGGAGUUUCGCUCACAGCCCCAAACGAUGUGAACAGGGUUCCGUGACACCAAACGGGCGCCCGGUAUACCCGGCCAUGUGCCUACCGCAUCACAGCCCACCCCUACGGUCAGCGCUGUCCACGGCCUCCAGCAUACUACAAACACCAGAAACUACUUGCAACUCCUGGACAGAGGACAAGGGUGAAUAAGAAGUCGAGCGGGGUCAUAUUUCAGGGCCCAAUGUAUGGUAGUAGCUGAAUCAUGGAUCACAAACACAGAACUCAGUUCCUGAGGAUGGCUUCAAUGAGACAACCCACCAUGUACUCCUACAUGGCCUCUCACCGCUACCUUUACCAAAACGUGUUCACACACUUAGCUCACACACAGUAGGACAUGUUCACACGCCUCUGAUUCAUCCCUGAUGAAUCAGACCUGACUCAACUCUAAGUAGUAGCAGGCAUGAAAAACAAGCAUGAAUGAGUAGGCACAAUAGGGCUCAAACAACUCCUACUCAUGCUAGUGGGUUUCAUCUAUUUACUGUGGCAAUGACAGGUCAUGCAGAGGAUAAAGGGGUUCAGCUACCGCAGCAAGUAACAGAUGAAUCAGUGUUGUCCUAAUGCAUUAAAAGAGAGCAGGGGCGAGAGAGUAGGAUUGUAUCAGAAUGAACAAGGGGUUUUUGCUUGCGUGGCACUUCUGAAGAUAACAUUGAGUCUUCAUCAGUGUCAACGAUCACAACGUCGGAACAUCGUCUACCGGGAGGGAACAGAUACCGGCAACAAGAAGAAAUACAAUCAAUGCAAUGCACAAUAUGAUGCAUGCUCAUGACAUGGCAAUAUGAAUGUGUUUUGAGCUAAUGCACCUAGCUAUGAUUUAAAUGAGGUUGGUUUGAAUACAUGAUUCAAAUUCCAACUCCAUAUAUGAUUAUUUAAAUGCCCUUUAAUUGAUUUGUGCUAAACAGCAGCUAUAAGUUGUUCUAACAUGCAUGAAAAUGGUACAGAUGGAUUCCUUGAAUUUUUCUGAUAAUUUUUCAUAUAUAAAUUAUUUAACUUGGAGUUACGGUUGAAUUUCUAUGAUUUAUUGAAGUUUUAGCUAUUUUCUGAAAUUUCCUGAAUUAAAAUAAAUCCAGAAAAUGAUUUAUUGCAUCAGCCUGACGCCGGGGUGACGUCAGCAGGUCAAAGGCGUCGACCAGGUCAAACCUGACCAGUGGGGCCCACUGGUCAGUGACCCAGUCAACUAACCAAGUUAGUUAGCCCUAACUAACUGGAUUGGGCCCACUGGUCAGCGACUAGCCUAAAUAUGAUUAGCCCUAACUAACUUAGUUAGCCGGGCGGGGCCCGCAUGUUAGUGGCUCAGUGGCUUAGCCGAAAUUAGUUAUUAACUUAACCAAAGUUAGCACGGGCCGGGCCCACCUGUCAGUGACCCUGGGAAAGUCAAACAGAGUCAAAUCCCGGGUCGGUGGGGUCAAACCCACCGGCGACAUGACGCCGGCGAGGCCCGAGACGGCGGCGAUGCGCGGAAUCGCAGCACAGGCCACGGAUCGAGGCGCGGAUGGCACCGUUGGAACCCCGAGCCUCGUCCGCGUCCUCUGGUGCUAGUGGGGUCGCCGGAGACGGCUCAAAUCGACGGCGGCGUCCACUUCCGCGGCGGCCGGAGCUCGGCUAAGUGCGGGCGCAGUGCUGCAGCUCAUAGGUGGGUGAAUGGAGGUGCUAGGCAGCACCUAAAGGCGGCAGGAGCAUGUCGGAGCUGCUAUGCGAGGCAGAGGUGCUCGGGGCACGGAGCUCGCCGGCCAUGGCGGACGGCGGCGCUCGGGAAUGUGGGCGGGGGUGCUACGGCACGGGAACGAGCAAAACGAAGGAGGGGAAACAGAGUGGAGCUCACGUGGAUCCCGUAGAGGUGGACGGCGAGCUCGGGGAAGGCCGAACGGCGACGAAUUUGACGACGGCGAUCCUCGGUGGCCGAGGAGGGGAACGGCGAAGCUGGCAGCAUCCAGGGCUUCCGGCGCCUUCCGUCUUGGUGAGGAGGAAGAGGGGGACGGGGCGGAGCUUCUUGGCGCUUAGGCGAGGCGUGGGGUGGCCGGUGGCUACGGUGGUUCUCGUCGGCGGCGGUGGCUCCGUUCGGGUGAGGAGAACAGAGGAGGGGGAGAGUGUUCCGGGGAGAGAGAGGAGAGGGGCACGAGGAGAGUAGGAGAGGGUCGAGGGGAGUGCGUGGCAUCGUCCGGGGCGUCGAGGAGGAAGCAGGAGGUGGCCAGGGGAAGCAGGAGGUGGCCGAGCAGGGUGGAGGUGGCGCGCGCGGCGGCGUCGCGGUGUCCGUCCUCCUGGCAGAGAGGAUGACGACAGGGGAGGGGGGGGGGCGGUGGGCUGGGCCGUUGGGGGAGCUGGGCCAGGUAGGUGGGCGCCAGGUAGGUGGCCCAGGUGGCCUUCUCUCCCUUUCUUUUAUUUCCUCUUUUUUUAUUUCUAUUUUCUGUAGUUUGUUUUGAUUUAGUUUUAGACACUAAAUCAUUUUUUAUAAAUCCUGAGAAUAAUUGUGGACAUUAACUGAAUUAUUACAGAGGCCCUCAACUAUUUUCAGAAUUGUUGGAGCAUUUAAAAAUAUUAACAGUAUUUAAAUGCCCCAAUUCAAAUACAAUAUGGUUUAAUCAAAAAUCCAAAAAUGUCUUGGAAAAAUAUCCAUCAUCUCUGGAUAUGGUUUUCACCCUUUUCCAGUAAUCAUGAACAUUUUUGCAAACCAAUUUGGGUUCUUUGAAAAUAUUUUGAAGUUGAACCUAUUUGCAAUGCUUUGGUGCUAGGGCUUGGUCAUCCCCAUUUCAAAUUUUCAUAAAAUUUAAACAUGUUGCAUGGAUGCUAAAGCAAAAACAAACAAGGGCUGAUCUGAGGCUGUGACAGAAACCCUCCAUCACAGCGGAGCAGUACCUCAGACUCCAUCUCCAAAUGCCUAAGAUCUUCUUCCCCUCCCCCGACAGCCAAGUCAGCCGGAGCAUCCUCACCAGCCAACCCAAUCACGCUGAGAUCGACAUGGCUUCGCCAAAGAGGUUGUACACUUGUUGCAUCUCUUUUUUACCCUACAUGUUAUAUAUAUAUAUUGUCCACUGAGCACACGGAGUAACGAGAAAUACGAUUAUUUUAGCCUACUAUAUGACAAGCAGUGAGGUACCAGGCAACUUAGCUAUCUGUGAUGGACUCUCUUGAAUGCCAACAUUAUUUAUCUCUGUGCAUUUGAGCUGUGCAUUUGUCGAUGGCCAUGGGAGCUGAACUAGUAGGGCAGUGGCCUGGGUCCAAAGUAAUAGAAGUAGCACAAAUUUUUUUAGUGUAGACUUUUCCUCGCUCAAGCCUGCCUACUAGAAUCGCCAGUGCUUGAAAGGAAAAGUGAAUGAAAAACAUAGGAAUUGGAAAGUUUCCUAUGGUACUACUUUUCAUGAAUUUGGUGCAAAGGAAUGGAGCAAAGGAAAACUGUAGGAUUUGUUCCUUUAGUGUCUCCUUGAAAGAAAAACCGUAGGAAUUUUAAUUUCCACUUGUCCUCCUUUUCAAUUUCCUAUUCAUGAAGCACAAGACUAAGAGAUAGUAGCAUAAUAGCAUUAUAACCGUACAAUUUCUUGUGGUUUGACUUAAUCUCACCAUGCUUCUUUGCAUCCUGUGUUCUUCCAAUUCUUGUGAACCAAACACCCAGAUUGGCAAAAAUCCGGUGUUUUUAAAUUCUCUGUUUUGCACGUGCAUUCCUAUCCUAUUCCUGUCUAUUUCCUAUCCCUGCAUUGUUAGAAUCCUCAAAUUUAAACAAGCCCUUACACAAUUACUUCUGUUACAGAUAUGUGUCAAAGAAAACCUUGUGUGGUUUGUCCUGCUCCUGCGGUGUUGUGUUCCACCCUAGCUCAGCUGCUCCAACGAUGGAAGGGUUCACCACAGCAGGAAUCCGUUCUCCAGACUGUCUUUUGCCGCCUCAGAUCUUCUUCCCCGCCGCCGACAGCCACGACAACUGCAUUACCAUCAUCAACUGAGCAGAUGACCUUGAGGACUACACGGGUCUGCAAGAGAGGUCGCACUCUUCCGUGUCUGCUUACGUUAUGCAUCGUUUAAUAUGAUGACAUGCUACUUUAUCAUCGUGUUCACCUAUUAGACUCCGAGUCAGGUCCAAACUUAUGUUGAAACUUGAGUUUUUAAAUGGUUGUGGGGUACAUAUUGGGGCAACAAUCAGUACUAUCUGUCUACUAUCUAGUUUAGUAUAGUGUCAAUGCCAUCUGUUUAGUUUCUUUAUCGUAUAUGUGAAUCAUGCAAUGCCAUCUUGUUUAGCUAGGCGUCAUGUAUGUGAAUUUUGUAAUGCCACCCUAGUUAGCCAGUCAUCUUAUAUGUGAAUUAUAUCAUGACAUCAUUUUUAUUACGUGUUAGAUUUGUCAACAAUUUUAGUACAUUCAAUUACUCUUCCUGUGCAUCAGCCAUUCGACACGAUCAUGAAAAAAAUCUGGAGUGGAAACAAGGUCUUCAGAGCAGACAAUGCUAUCUGACGAAGCGCAUGUCUUGCUGGUUACAGAUAGCUCCUUGGAGGAGGAUUCAGAGACAGAUGAUCAGUCCUAUCCCCCCCCCGAGGUGCAUGCUCUAACUUGGCAGGGUUAUGUUGCUCAUAUCGUGCGUAUGGUAUCUUGCAUUGCUAUGUCAUUUGCUUAGUUUAGACAUGCUUUGUGUGAAUGCCACCUGUUUAGUGUCUAAUUACCAUAUAUGUGAAUUAUGCAAUGCCAUCUUGUUGCAAGACAUUAUAUAUGUGAAUUAUGCAAUGCUAUCUUGUUGCAAGGCAUUAUAUAUGUGAAUUAUGCAACGCCAUGCUGUUUAGCCAAGCGUUAUAUAUGUGAAUUAUAUCAUGCCAUCCUUUUUUUUGUAUUUCUCGUUGCUUUUGUCGACAAUGUUUGUAUAUUCAACUGCUCUUCCUAUGCAUCAGCCAUUUGAAUUGGUGAUGGAGAAAUCUAGAGUGAAAACAAGGUCUUCAGAGCAGACAAUGCUACCUGCUGAAGCAUAUAUCUUGCUAGUUACGAAUAGCUCUUCAGAUGAGGAUUCAGAGGCAGAUGACCAGUCCUAUUAUCCCCCUGAGGUGUAUGCUCAAACUUGGCAGGGUUAUAUUACUCAAAUCAUGCAUAUGUUGUAUUGCAAUGCUUAGUUUUUACAUCAUAUACACGAUAUUGAAUGCCAUCUCCUUAGUAGACACAUCAUAUAUGCGAUUUCCCUCUGCUCACUUCCUUAGUAUAUAAAUCAUAUAUUUGAAUUAUAUCAUGCCAUGAUGUUUACAUAGACAACAUGUAUCUGAAUUAUGCCAUGCCAACCCAUUUUCUAAAGACAUAAUAUAGUUAUAUCAUCUCAUCUUGUUUACAUAGUCAUCAUAUUUUGAAUUAUGUCAUUCUAUCCGUGAAUUAUAUCAUGCCAUCAUGUUUCCAUCGACGACAUGUUUGUGAUUUAUGGCAUGCCAACCACUUUAAUAGACACAUCAUAUAGUUAUAUCAUGUCAUCCUAUUUACAUAGUCAUCAUAUUUUGAAGUAUGUCAUUCUAUCUGCUACCUCUCGAGCACUAUGUUGGUUUUUCCUUAAAGAGGAAAGGGUGAUGCAGCAAAGUAGCGUAAGUAUUUCCCUUAGUUUUUGAGAACCAAGGUAUCAAUCCAGUAGGAGAUCACGCUCAAGUCCCACGCACCUACGCAAACAAAUAAGAACCUCGCAACCAACGCGAUAAAGGGGUUGUCAAGCCCUUCACGGUCACUUACAAGAGUGAGAUCUGAUAGAUAUGAUAAGAUAAUAUUUUUGGUAUUUUUAUGAUAAAGAUGCAAAGUAAAAUAAAAGGCAAAGGAAAUAACUAAGUAUUGGAAGAUUAAUAUGAUGGAAGAUAGACCCGGGGGCCAUAGGUUUCACUAGUGGCUUCUCUCAAGAGCAUAAGUAUUACGGUGGGUAAACGAAUUACUGUCGAGCAAUUGAUAUAAUUGAGCAUAGUUAUAAGAAUAUAUAGGUAUGAUCAUGCAUAUAGGCAUCACGUUCGAGUAAAGUAGACCGAAACGAUUCUGCAUCUACUACUAUUACUCCACACGUCGACCGCUAUCCAGCAUGCAUCUAGAGUAUUAAGUUCAUAAGAAUAGAUUAAUGCUUUAAGGAAGAUGACAUGAUGUACAGGGAUAAACUCAUGCAAUAUGAUAUAACCCCCAUAUUUUUAUCCUCGAUGGAACAAUACAAUACGUGUCGGUUCCCUUUCUGUCACUGGGAUCGAGCACCGCAAGAUUGAACCCAAAGCUAAACACUUCUCCCAUUGCAAGAAAGAUCAAUCUAUUAGGCCAAACCAAAUUCAUAAUUCGAAGAGACCUGCAAAUAUAAACCAAUCAUACAUAAAAGAAUUCAGAGGAGAAUCAAAUAUUGUUCCUAGAUAAUCUGGAUCAUAAACCCACAAUUCACCGGAUCUCGACAAACACACCGCAAAAGAAGAUUACAUCGAUAGAUCUCCAAGAAAAUCAAGGAGAACUUUGUAUUGAGAUCCAAAGAGAGAGAAGAAGCCAUCUAGCUAAUAACUAUGGACCCGUAGGUCUGAAGUAAACUACUCACACAUCACCGGAGAGGCCAUGGAGUUGAUGUAGAGGCCCUCCAUGAUCAAUGCCCCCUCCGGCGGAGCUCCGGAAGAGGCCUCGAGAUGGGAUCUCUCGAGUACAGAAGGUUGCGGCGGUGGAAUUAGGGUUUCAUGGUGCUCCUGGAUGUUUGGGGGUACGUGGAUAUAUAUAGGAGGAAGAAGUACGUCGGUGGAGCAACAAAGGGCCCAUGAGGGUGGAGGGCACGCCAAGGGGGGUAGGCGCGCCCCCCUGCCUCGUGCCCUCCUCCCUUGUUUCUUGACGGCCACUCCAAGUCUCCUGGAUCACGUUUGUUGAGAAAAUCACGUUCCUGAAGGUUUCAUUCCAUUUGGACUCCGUUUGAUAUUCCUUUUCUUCGAAACCCUAAAAUAGGCAAAAAAACAACAAUUUGGGUUGGGCCUCCGGUUAGUAGGUUAGUCCCAAAAAUGAUAUGAAAGUGUAAAAUAAAGCCCAUUAACAUCCAAAAUAGAUAAUAUAAUAGCAUGGAGCAAUCAAAAAUUAUAGAUACAUUGGAGACAUAUCACUAUCCUGUUUAGUUAGCCAUCAUACAUGUGAAAUUGUGCCAUGCUAUCCUGUUUAAUUAGCCAUCAUAUAUGUGAAAUUAUGUCCUGCUAUUCUGUUUGGUUAGACCACAUAAAUGUGAAUUAUUUCAUGCCCUAUUUUCUUCCCUACUAUCCAUUGCACCUGUCUAUCUUACAAUUUCUGUACAUUCAAUUACUUUUCUUGUUUACCAGCCAUUUCAAUUUGAGGGGGUGAUGGCAGUAUCCGUGGGAGUAAAAACACGGUCUUCAGAAAAGAUCGUGCUACAUGUCGAUGGAGAUAGAACUACGGUUGUACUUGCCCAAGAACCAGCCCCACCACACAUAACCCAGUCUCACGCAGAUUGUACCCCUACCCAGUUGGACAGAGAACCAGCUACACCCCUUCUAACCCCAACCCCGGCAGAUAGUAACCCAGUUCUCGUUGACACAUCACCAUCUCCACCACAGAGCACCCAAACACAAGCAGUUAGUAAGGCAACUGCAGUGUCCAAAGCACGAGGACCACCACUUCGAACCCCAAGCCAACGCUUAAAGCAGAAGAAGAAUUUUUCUCAGGUCAGGUUUCAUAGCUAUGGUUCACACUACUUUGCUCUUGCAUCACUGCAUUUACUCAUACCAACUAAUUUCAAAUUUGAAGGAUGCAAUUGAAACUCCAAUGGUGCAAUAGGUAUGUUUUAAACCUGUUUCUUUAACGUGUUUGCUGUUGUAACUUGCACUAUGUUGAUUUCAGUUUCAAUUGAAUAAACAGUUAUGUUCUCAUGCCAUGCACAUUACAAGUGUUGUUAUUGCUGUGUAGUUUCCCACGCUUAUAUUCUGUCUAUGCUGCUUUGUCUUAAAUAGAUAUGAUUCAAACUGUAUCAAUCUUGAUUUGGCAACAUAAACUAGAUUGAUAUAGACGAUACAGCGACCAUACCACAUAGAUAUAUGUUUGUUUCAUGCUAUUAUCCUGUCCACCUUACUACUGAACUGGUUUACCAAAAUGAGUUUCAUAUACUACAUUGUAAACCUAUGAUGUGUUUGUUUGUUUAUCUUUUAGAACACGGAUAAAAUAUUGGAGAAGAGUACCCCGUUAUGCAGAUAGUGAGACAUCCCUGUUGGUCUCCAAGAAAGCUGAUAAAAACUAUAUUGAAGACAGUGGACAACCCCAAAGUCCUGUCUUGAUGUAGUGUUCGAGUUACUAGCUACUACUACUGGCACCAGCUCUUUGAACUCGCUGCCCGAAUUUGUUCGGCUUCUUGAGUCUCAACUUCAAGUUGAAAAACAGAUCAGAUGUUAUGUGAUAGGAGGACAAAGGACUGGGGAAGUCCCUGCAGAAUUCAGAUGCAUACUUUCUGGUGCAACAACAAGUGCUGGAGGAUUUAAGCGCCAAACAAGAGAAAGUUAAUAAGCUUGCUAAGCAUCCUGCCAGCAUUAUGGGUACCCAGGAUAUUAAUUCUUGAGCUCUUCUGAAGUGGUUUCAGUUCUGGACUUGUUUUGCUAUGGCAUUUAUAUGCUGCUUUGUUCCCUAUAUUUGCACUGGUGGCGAACUUUGAUGCCCAGCGGAUGUACUAUGUGUAAUAGCCGUGAUAGCCUAGUGUAAGUUGCUUGCUAAUUUAUUUCCUUAUUGUCUUGUUUAUUUGUUUUCUUGUAGUCAGUGCAGUUCUUUUUCCGCGGCUUGCUAGUGGCCGCAAUAACCUAUUUUUUUAAACUAGGCCACAAUAACCAUGGGCUACAUAUUUACUGUAGUUAACAUGGGCCUCCUAUGGGCCAUAGAAACAACGGACCUUCUACGGGGCGUAGAAACAAUGGGCCUUAUACGGGCCAUAGACACAAUGGGCCUUCUACGGGCCGUAUCAUCAAUGGGCCUUCUCCGGGCCGUAUGAUCGGUUGGCCAAACAUGGGCCAACAACAAACCACAUUAUGGUCGUAAAUGAGCUAGAGUUGAAAUCGUCCGUUCAUGGGCCGACCAUAACGGGCCAUCAUUAGUCGGCCGUAUUUGAUGACGCUAUGAAAAUGGCCCAACGUAUUAACGAGCCACAAAUGGGCCGACUGUAACCACAUGCUGAAUUUGGGCCACAAGCAGAAAAUGAUAGUAACGAGCCAUAAGUAAACGAAUACUGGAAAUGAUCCCAAGAAUAAAUGGGCCCUGAGAAGGCCGAAAGAUAACAUGGGCUGGAAACGGCCCAACGGAAUAAUGGGCUGUUAAUGGGUAUAAAGUGAUACACUGUUCAUUACGGGCCAGUUUCACCACGUGCCGUUAAUGGGCCGAUGGUUACUAUGGGCCUCAUAUGGGCCUAAAGACGUCAUGGGCCAUACAUGGGCCGGAAGUUAAAACGGGCGGGAAUUAUAUUGGACGGCCCAGAUGACGCUACUGGGCCUAAUUUGGAUAGGCCGUAAACGGGCCCUGGGUUAGCAGGCUGUAAAUGGGCUAUAUGUGAAGCAGUCAACAGGCUUGCCAUGGGUCGGCCCGCCACCUUUUGACCAAGUCAAACGGGCCGGCCUUUUCACAGGAAUGGGCCUCUGUUGGGCCGUGCCAUGUGUCGACGUAUCAUAGGCGCUUUGGGUCCAAUGAGUAGAUGAUAUCUGUCCCAACGGUGAGCCGACACGUAUUUCCUCCAGCUAAUGAUGAUUUUACACGUGGAAAAUCCCCAUUGGUCGGGGCUGUUAACGGGUUAUCGGAUCCAAAGCCGGACCGGAUAGCUUAACGGCGUUACGUUACGAUGGAUGCCACGUGUCGGCCACCCUUGACGAAAGCACUUCUGUGACGCGCGAUUUAUCGUCAUGGAAGUGGACACUUCUGUGAUGAUAAUUUUGGUAAUGUCAUGGAACACUUCUACGACAUCACAGGUAUGUGAUACGUCUCCAACGUAUCUAUAAUUUUUGAUUGCUCCAUGCUAUAUUAUCUAUUGUUUUGGAUGUUUAUGGGCUUUAUUAUACACUUUUAUAUCAUUUUUUGGGACUAACCUAUUGACCCAGAGCCCAGUGCCAGUUUCUGUUUUUACCUUGUUUUAGGGUUUCGAAGAAAAGGAAAACCAAACAGAGUCCAAUUGACCUGAAACUUCACGGAACCCAUUUUUGGAAGGAAAGAAGCCCAGAAGACUUGAAGUGCACGUAAGGGAAGCUUCGAGGAGGCCACGAGGUAGGGGGCGCGCCCACCCCCCUGGGGGCACCCUCCACCCUCGUGGCCCCCCUGACGUACUUCUUCCGCCUAUAUAUCUCCAUACACCCUAAAACUUCUAGGGAGCACAAUAGAUCGGGAGUUCCGCCGCCAGAAGCCUCCGUAGCCACCGAAAGCCAAUCUAGACCCGUUUCGGCACCUUGCCAGAGGGGGAAUCCCUCUCCGGUGGCCAUAUUCAUCAUCCCGGUGCUCUCCAUGACGAGGAGGGAGUAGUUCUCCCUCGGGGCUGAGGGUAUGUACCAGUAGCUAUGUGUUUGAUCUCUCUCUCUCUCUCUCUCUCUCUCUCUCUCUCGUGUUCUUGAGGUGAUACGAUCUUGAUGUAUCGCGAGCUUUGCUAUUAUAUUUGGAUCCUAUGAUGUUUCUUCCCCCCUCUACUCUCUUGUAAUGGAUUGAGUUUCCCCUUUGAAGUUAUCUUAUCGGAUUGAGUCUUUAAAGAUUUGAGAACACUUGAUGUAUGUCUUGCCGUGGAUAUCUAUGGUGACAAUGGGAUAUCACGUGAUUCACUUGAUGUAUGUUUUGGUGAUCAACUUGCGGGUUCCGCCCAUGAACCUAUGCAUAGGGGUUGGCACACGUUUUCGUCAUGAUUCUCCGGUAGAAACUUUGGGGCACUCUUUGAGGUUCUGUGUUGGUUGAAUAGAUGAAUCUGAGAUUGUGUGAUGCAUAUCAUAUAAUCAUACCCAUGGAUACUUGAGGUGACAUUGGAGUAUCUAGGUGACAUUAGGGUUUUGGUUGAUUUGUGUCUUAAGGUGUUAUUCUAGUAUGAACUCUAGGGCUGUUUGUGACACUUAUAGGAAUAACCCAAUGGAUUGAUUGGAAACAAUAACUUUGAGGUGGUUUCGUACCCUACCAUAAUCUCUUUGUUCGUUCUCCGCUAUUAGUGACUUUGGAGUGACUCUUUGUUGCAUGUUAAGGGAUAUUUAUGUGAUCCAAUUAUGUUAGUUGAAAGAUCGUGGAUGUCGCCUAGAGGGGGGGGGGUGAAUAGGCGUUUUAAAAUAAUUACGGUUUAGGCUUGAACAAAUGCGGAAUAAACCUAGCGGUUAAUUUGUCAAGCACAAAACCUAAAACAACUAGGCUCACCUAUGUGCACCAACAACUUAUGCUAAGCAAGAUAAGCAACUAUGUGAUAGCAAGAUAUAUGACAAGAAACAAUAUGGCUAUCACAAAGUAAAGUGCAUAAGUAAAGGGCUAGGGUAAGAGAUAACCGAGGCAUGUGGAGACGAUGAUGUAUCCCGAAGUUCAUACCCUUGCGGAUGCUAAUCUCUGUUUGGAGCGGUGUGGAGGCACAAUGCUCCCCAAGAAGCCACUAGGGCCACCGUAAUCUCCUCACGCCCUCACACAAUACAAGAUGCCGUGAUUCCACUAAGGGACCCUUGAGGGGGGUCACCGAACCCGUACAAAUGGCAACCCUUGGGGGCGGUCACCGAACCCGUACACUUUGGCAACCCUUGGGGGUGGUCACCAGUACCUGUCAAAUUGCUCGGGGCGAUCUCCACAACCCAAUUGGAGACCCCGAUGCUUGCUCGGAGCUUUACCCCACAAUGAUUGAGCCCCGAAUACCACCAACCGUCUAGGGCGCCCAAGCACCCAAGAGGAACAAGCUCAAGGGUACCAAGCACCCAAGAGUAAUAAGCUUCUCAACUUGUAACUUCCACGUAUCACCGUGGAGAACUCAAACUGAUGCACCAAAUGUAAUGGCAAGGGCACACGGAGUGCCCAAGUCCUUCUCUCUCAAAUCCCACCGAAGUAACUAAUGCUAGGGAGGAAAAUUAGAGGAAGAACAAGAAGGAGAACACCAAGAACUCCAAGAUCUAGAUCCAAGGGGUUCCCCUCACAUAGAGGAGAAAGUGAUUGGUGGAAAUGUGGAUCUAGAUCUUCUCUCUCUUUUCCCUCAAAAACUAGCAAGAAUCCAUGGAGGGAUUGAGAGUUAGCAAGCUCAAAGAAGGUCAACAAUGGGGGAAGAACACGAGCUCAAGAGAUAAGGUUGAAUGGGGAAGAAGACCCCCUUUUAUAGGAGCACCCGGGAGGUAGAACACGGAGAGCGGAGCGAAACAGAGUGCGUGGCGGAGUUGUGUGAGCGGCACUACCGCUGGAGCCAGCGGUACCACCGUUGGCCGUAGCGGUACUGCCGCUUGGGACAGCGGUACUACCGCUUGUGGCGAUAAGCGGUACUGCCGCUCCGGCCCGGUGGUACUACCGCUGGGACCGCGCACAACGCCUACCACGAGCACAGGGAGAAGGAACAACGAGGAGGGCCAUUGAGCGGCACUAGGGGUGGUGGUAGCUGCGGUACUACUGCACAUGAGCGGUACUACCGCUCCUACUGCCGCUGAACCCGACACGAGAAAACCACGUCUCGAGUCGAGGCGGUACCAGCACGGAACCGGAGCCGUACUACCGCUUAUGGCCAUGGGCGGUACUACCGCUGUGGGACAGCGGUACUACCGCUUGUGGCGAUAAGCGGUACUGCCGCUCCGGCCCAGCGGUACUACCGCUGGCGCCAUCCUUAAGCCACUUCCACAAAAGCAAGUAAAUUCCACGGAAAACCAGAACUGCCAUAACUUCUGCAUAUGAGCUCCGAAUUGAGCAAACUCAAGCUUGUUAGAUACAAGACGACGAGUAGCACAAGAAUCGUGUAUGGGACCAGUACGUCAAGGGAGGAAAGAAGACUCCAGUAUUCAAGGGAACACUAGAGAAGCAAAGUGCUCAUUGGGACGAAUUCAUGAAUUUCAAGGAAUCGGAAUUAUCUAAGGAAUGGUCGAGAAUAAACAAGGCCAUUGCCGCAAAAAAGGAUAAGAUCCAUAAGCUGGGGCCAGGUGGCCAUGCGGUGGGAAUGCCUAAGUGGGAUAAGUCUGAGAAAGAGAUGGAGGAUGUAGGUGUCACUCCAGAAACAUUGAGCUGGCCCCCCAGGUGCAGGACUUGGUUCUAUGCGCAUGGGGGGAGUUGGACCCGAAGACAGACAAAGUUUCAAAGAAGGCAUGUCUGGACGGAGCCGAAGAUAAGCUACUUGUUGCAAUAGAAGAGGCUCGAUCGGGGGUGCUCGAGCCAAACAGAGAGAACGACGAGCUUACGCGUGCCCUGGGAAAUCCUGAACACCCGGGAAGAACACGAGGCAAGGGCGCUAUUCCAUGGUAUGAGGGGUUUUCGGACUGGAACACCGACUAUAGAACCCGUGCGAGAAAGAAGAUUGCGGAGGAGAAGAAGAGGAAGAUGGAGGAGGAGCAGAGGAAGCUGGACUAUGAAUGCCUUCAAGGCCUAGAAUCAACGCACGUGGACUUGGCAGUCAAAUUCCAGCGGCAGCAGGAGCAGAUCGACUCACUUAGCUAGCAAAGGGGCUCUCAGCAGCUGCAGCAGCUAGCGGAUGAUCCAACAUUGGAUAGCACCGUCCCAUCCAUGCCGAGAAGCAGCAUGGGUUCCGCCCCGGGCGACGCAUUGCUGGAUAGCUACCCAGUGGAUGACAUCAUGGAGAACACUAAUUGCGAGCUACACUUCAAAAUGAAGAACAUAUCCAUGAAGGUGGCGGACGCCGUUUAUUUUACAAAUCCCCCCGAGGCAACCUGCCAUUUCAACCCGAUUCCAGCGGGCUAUGCUCGUGUCUUGGUUGAUGAGGUGGUGGACCAAUAUUCGGGGCUAGAGCUUGACAUUCCUGGAGGUGACGAGGAGCACACACUGGGAGAGGCCAACCAUCGUAUCAUCCUAUGGAGAAAGGGUUGCAUCAUCUUUCGAAGGCCACCGACACCGCGUCAUCCGACUCCUCGUCGAAGUCCGCCAUCGAGUUAGUAGACUCCCGCUCCUCCAAGUCCACCAACGCGUCAGGCCACUCCUCCUCCAAGUCCGGCACAACUUCGGGCCACUUUCCUCCUCCAAGUCCGGCAAAGCGUCAGGCCACUCCUCCUCCAAGUCCGGCACAGCUUCAGGCCACUCCUCCUCCUCCAACUCAGCCACGUUAGCCGUCUUCGCCGCCUCAGCAAUCAUGGAUGAGAGCCGCCUCAGCUAUGGUGCGUAGCGGUACAAGUCGAGGUAGUACUGGAGGUACAGGCGGAGGCAAGCGAUUUCAAUAUGGUCCAAGCAGCCUCGCGCCUCUUCCGCAGAGGCCUUACGACAAAUCCGAGGAGGAAAACACAUCCAUAUCAAAGGCCGAGGUGGAAGCCCAUUUUGCACCGAAACUGCCACCAUCGCCAAGGGAGAAAGUGCCUGAGGAAAAGAUUGACCACUUAAUUCGUAUGGCUAGAGCACCAGCUCCCAAGCCUGUUGACACAGACUAUGAGCGCCACCUCAGGAAGUUAAAUCGAGCACGUCUACAGAAAGAGGCGAGCUCGAGCUCGAGCAAAUCAGCUGGGAAAAGGAGCGGUAAAACCGUUCCCCAGCUGGGAGAACAGACGGCGCAAUCAAUCCCCCCCGCUUGUUGUGCCAACAACACAUGAGAGUACGCGUGCCCAAUAUUAUUGUGGUCAAACCGUUAACGUUCCCGGGCUGGGUGAUGUGGUAAUAACCGAGGAGCAUAUUGAGCAGGCUAAAAGGCUCAUGAUCACUGUUGGACAACUCCUCGAUAUCGAGCCCAUGUCUCGGAUUAGAGAGGAGGAAAUAAAAUGGAAAUAUGUCCGGGGCCAACCUUUGGUCGAGCCAGACGAGGUCAAGAAGCUCCCAACGAGAAUGUAUGAAUUGCAUCAAUGGUACAUGGACAUUACCAAGAUUUCCAAUCGAGAGUCCCUCAUGGUGAAUGUCAAGAAGGAUCAUUACUACCAUGAGAAAGCUGUGUCCGUUGAGUAUUCAGAACUAUUUCAGUUAUACAAUCAAGACGCACUCGACAAAUCUAUCGUCAGUUGCUAUUGUCUGUAAGUGAUUUCUUUCUGUAAUUUAAGUCUCAAGCUAGCUGUAGUGAUCAUUUUGAUCAAUCAUUACCUGUAAUUAUCCUCACUAUAUUCUUUUCUGUGGUAUUAUGCAGGAUGAAGAUUUAUGAAAUGAAAAAAGGUGGACGCUAUGGCAUUGGGUUCAUUGACCCAAAUACCAUUAAUGAAUACACAUGGAAAUUAGAUCCAUAUUAUGAAAAAAGUGUAGAGGAAAGCAUGCUAGAGUUCUUCAAGCGCCUCAAUACCAAUGAAGAUAUACUACUGCUUCCUUACAACUUCGAGUGAGUCACACUGUCUUGUACUACAAAUUCUGUUUUUGCCUACUAGCUAGCUACAUGUUUUUUCUUACAUAUGCCCGCUUAAUUAAGACAUGCAAACGUGUGUGCAUGAAGAUUUCACUGGAUCUUGUUAAUCAUUAAAGUUGAUGAAGGAACAGUUGAAAUACUGGACUCACUACUUAAAAAAGCAAGUGACUACACCAUCUUGUUUGGGAUAGUCAACAUGUAAUUUCAAUCAUUAUUAACUAUAUCUCGGCCUAUUUAGUUCGUCAUUUCCUAAUAUGAACUAUUUAAUAACCCCUUUAUUCAUUUUCUUUGUCGGCGGGCAGGGCUUGGGCAAAGUUCAUCAGCGUCACUCCAGGCCAAUGGAAAAAAAGCUAAAAUGGUAUCGAACCAAGAUAAGUAAUUAUGUAGUACUAGCUAGCUACCUGCCAUCUCUUUAAUUAUCAUGCUUGAUUAAUUAUUAUCUAAUCAAAUUCCAUUCUCGUAAAGGCCCUGAAGCAGGCGCGGGCAAUAAUCUGUGUGCAUACUACGGCUAGGAGCACGCACAACGCCUACCACGAGCACAAGGAGAAGGAACAGAGAGGAGGGCCAUUGAGCGGCACUAGGGGUGGUGGUAGCCGUGGUACUACUGCACAUGAGCGGUACUACCGCUCCUACUGCCGCUGAACCCGACACGAGAAAACCACGUCUCGAGUCGAGGCGGUACCAGCACGGAACCGGAGCCGUACUACCGCUUAUGGCCAUGUGCGGUACUACCGCUGUGGGAUAGCGGUACUACCGCUUGUGGCGAUAAGCGGUACUGCCGCUCCGGCCCAGCGGUACUACCGCUAGCGCCAUCCUUAAGCCACUUCCACGAAAGCAAGUAAAUUCCACGGAAAACCAGAACUGCCAUAACUUCUGCAUAUGAGCUCCGAAUUGAGCAAACUCAAGCUUGUUAGAUACAAGACGACGAGUAGCAUAAGAAUCAUGUAUGGGACCAGUACGUCAAGGGAGGAAAGAAGACUCCAGUAUUCAAGGGAACACUAGAGAAGCAAAGUGCUCAUUGGGUCGAUUUCAUGAAUUUCAAGGAAUCAGAAUUAUCUAAGGAACUGUCGAGAAUAAACAAGGCCAAUGCCGCAAAAAAGGAUAAGUUCCAUAAGCUGGGGCCAGGUGGCCAUGCGGCGAUGAUCUUCAUGCCAUCAAAUACCUACCCCUAAAACUCAAGGGGCCAGCCCGACACUGGCUGAAAACCUGCCUGGAAACUCUAUUGGCAGCUGGGAGGACUUGGAAGAAGCCUUCCUUGACAACUUCCAAGGUACUGAUGUUCGACCUCCGGAUGCUGACGACUUAAGUCAUAUAAUCCAACGCCCGGAGAGUCAGCCAGGAAAUUCCAGACUAGAUUCUUGACUAAAAAGAACCAGAUCAUUGACUGUCCGGACGCCGAAGCCCUGGCGGCAUUUAAACAUAGCAUACAGGACGAAUGGCUCGCUUGACACCUCGGCCAAGAAAAGUCGAAGUCCAUGUCAGCCCUCACGGCCAUGCGGUGGGAAUGCCUAAGUGGGAUAAGUCUGAGAAAGAGAUGGAGGAUGCAGGUGUCACUCCAGAAACAUUGAGCUAGCCCCCCAGGUGCAGGACUUGGUUCUAUGUGCAUGGGGGGAGUUAGACCCGAAGACAGGCAAAGUUUCGAAGAAGGCAUGUCUGGACGGAGCCGAAGAUAAGCUACUUGUUGCAAUAGAAGAGGCUCGAUCAGGGGUGUUCGAGCCCAACAGAGAGAACAACAAGCUUACGCGUGCCCUGGGAAAUCCUGAACACCCGGGAAGAACACGAGGCAAGGGCGCUAUUCCAUGGUAUGCGGGGUUUUCGGACUGGAACGCCGACUACAGAACCCGUGCGAGAAAGAAGAUUGCGGAGGAGAAGAAGAGGAAGAUGGAGGAGGAGCAGAGGAAGCUGGACUAUGAACGCCUUCAAGGCCUAGAAUCAGCGCACGUGGACUUGGCAGUCAAAUUCCAGCGGCAGCAGGAGCAAAUCGACUCACUUAGCCACCAAAGGGGGUCUCAGCAGCUGCAGCAGCUAGCGGAUGAUCCAGCAUUGGAUAGCACCGUCCCAUCCAUGCCGAGAAGCAGCAUGGGUUCCGCCCAGGGCGACGCAUUGCUGGAUAGCUACCCAUUGGAUCACAUCAUGGAGAACACUAACUGCGAGCUACACUUCAAAAUGAAGAACAUAUCCAUGAAGGUGGCGGACGCCGUUGCUUUUACAAAUCCCCCCGAGGCAACCUUCCAUUGCAACCCGAUUGCAGCGGGCUAUGCUCGUGUCUUGGUUGAUGAGGUGGUGGACCAAUAUUCGGGGCUAGAGCUUGACAUUCCUGGAGGUGACGAGGAGCACACACUAGGAGAGGCCAACCAUCGUAUCAUCCUAUGGAGAAAGGAUUGCAUCAUCUUUCGAAGGCCACCGACACCGCGUCAUCCGACUCCUCGUCGAAGUCUACCACCGAGUCAGUAGACUCCCGCUCCUCCAAGUCCACCAACGUGUCAGGCCACUCCUCCUCCAAGUCCGGCACAACUUCAGGCCACUCCUCCUCCUCCAAGUCCAGCAAAGUGUCAGGCCACUCCUCCUCCAAGUCCGGCACAACUUCACGCCACUCCUCCUCCUCCAACUCAGCCACGUCAGCCGUCUUCGCCGCCUCAGCAAUCACGGAAGAGAGACGCCACAGCUAUGGUGCGUAGCGGUACAAGUCGAGGUAGUACUGGAGGUACAGGCGGAGGCAAGCGAUUUCAAUAUGGUCCAAGCAGCAUCGCGCCUCUUCCACAGAGGCCUUACGACAAGUCCGAGGAGGAAAACACAUCCAUAUCGAAGGCCGAGGUGGAAGCCCAUUUUGCACCGAAACCGCCACCAUCACCAAGGGAGAAAGUGCCUGAGGUAAAGAUUGACCACUUAAUUCGUAUGGCCAGAGCACCAGCUCCCAAGCCUGUUGACACAGACUAUGAGCGCCACCUCAGGAAGUUAAAUCGAGCACGUCUACAGAAAAAGGCGAGCUCGAGCUCGAGCAAAUCAGCUGGGAAAAGGAGCGGUAAAGCCAUUCCCCAGCUGGGAGAACAGGCGGCGCAAUCAACCCCCCCGCUUAUUGUGCCAACAACACAUGAGAGUACGCGUGCCCAAUAUUAUUGUGGUCAAACUGUUAACGUUCCCAGGCUGGGCGAUGUGGUAAUAACCGAAGAGCAUAUUGAGUAGGCUAAAAGGCUCAUGAUCACUGUUGGACAACUCCUCGAUAUCGAGCCCAUGUCUCUGAUUAGAGAGGAGGAAAUAAAACGGAAAUAUGUCCGGGUCCAACCUUUGGUCGAGCCAGACGAGGUCAAGAAGCUCCCAACGAGAAUGUAUGAAUUGCAUCAAUGGUACAUGGACAUUACCAAGAUUUCCAAUCGAGAGUCCCUCAUGGUGAAUGUCAAGAAGGAUCAUUACUACCAUGAGAAAGCUGUGUCCGUUGAGUAUUCAGAACUAUUUUAGUUAAACAAUCAAGACGCACUCGACAAAUCUAUCGUCAGUUGCUAUUGUCUGUAAGUGAUUUCUUUGUGUAAUUUAAGUAUCAAGCUAGCCAUAGUGAUCAUUUUGAUCAAUCAUUACCUGUAAUUAUCCUCACUAUAUUCUUUUCUGUGGUAUUAUGCAGGAUGAAGAUUUAUGAAAUGAAAAAAGGUGGACGCUAUGGCAUUGGGUUCAUUGACCCAAAUACCAUUAAUGAAUACACAUGGAAAUUAGAUCCAUAUUAUGAAAAAAGUGUAGAGGAAAGCAUGCUAGAGUUCUUCAAGCGCCUCAAUACCAAUGAAGAUAUACUACUAGCUUCCUUACAACUUCGAGUGAGUCACAUUGUCUUGUACUACAAAUUCUGUUUUUGCCUACUAGCUAGCUACAUAUUUUUUCUUACAUAUGCCCGCUUAAUUAAGACAUGCAAACGUGUGUGCAUGCAGAUUUCACUGGAUCUUGUUAAUCAUUAAAGUUGAUGAAGGAACAGUUGAAAUACUGGACUCACUACUUAAAAAAGCAAGUGACUACACCAUCUUGUUUGGGAUAGUCAACAUGUAAUUUCAAUCAUUAUUAACUAUAUCUCGGCCUAUUUAGUUCAUCAUUUCCUAAUAUGAAUUAUUUAAUAACCCCUUUAUUCAUUUUCUUUGUCGGCGGGCAGGGCUUGGGCAAAGUUCAUCAGCGUCACUCCAGGCCAAUGGAAAAAAGCUAAAAUGGUAUCGACCCAAGAUAAGUAAUUAUGUAGUACUAGCUAGCUACCUGCCAUCUCUUUAAUUAUCAUGCUUGAUUAAUUAUUAUCUGAUCAAAUUACAUUUUGUAAAGGCCCUGAAGCAGGUGCCGGGCAAUAAUCUGUGUGCAUACUACGGCUGGGACCGCGCACAACGCCUACCACGAGCACAGGGAGAAGGAACAGAGAGGAGGGCCAUUGAGCGGCACUAGGGGUGGUGGUUUCUGCGGUACUACUGCACAUGAGCGGUACUACUGCUCCUACUGCCGCUCAACCCGACACGAGAAAACCACGUCUCGAGUCGAGGCGGUACCAGCAUGGAACCAGAGCCGUACUACCGCUUAUGGCCAUGGGCGGUACUACCGCUUGUGGCGAUAAGCGGUACUGCCGCUCCGGCCCAGCGGUACUACCGCUGGCGCCAUCCUUAAGCCACUUCCACGAAAGCAAGUAAAUUCCACGGAAAACCAGAACUGCCAUAACUUCUGCAUAUGAGCUCCGAAUUGAGCAAACUCAAGCUUGUUAGAUACAAGAUGACGAGUAGCAUAAGAAUCGUGUAUGGGACCAGUACGUCAAGGGAGGAAAGAAGACUCCAGCAUAAGAAUCGUGUAUUGGGACGAUUUCAUGAAUUUCAAGGAAUCGGAAUUAUCUAAGGAACAGUCGAGAAUAAACAAGGCCAAUGCCGCAAAAAAGGAUAAGUUCCAUAAGCUGGGGCCAGGUGGCCAUGCGGUGGGAAUGCCUAAGUGGGAUAAGUCUGAGAAAGAGAUGGAGGAUGCAGGUGUCACUCCAGAAACAUUGAGCUAGCCCCCCAGGUGCAGGACUUCGUUCUAUGCGCAUGGGGGGGAGUUGGACCCGAAGACAGCCAAGUUUCGAAGAAGGCAUGUCUGGACGGAGCCAAAGAUAAGCUACUUGUUGCAAUAGAAGAGGCUCAAUCGGGGGUGUUCGAGCCCAACAGAGAGAACGACGAGCUUACACGUGCCCUGGGAAAUCCUGAACACCCGGGAAGAACACGAGGCAAGGGCGCUAUUCCAUGGUAUGAGGGGUUUUUGGACUGGAACGCCGACUACAGAACCCGUGCGAGAAAGAAGAUUGCGGAGGAGAAGAAGAGGAGGAUGGAGGAGGAGCAGAGGAAGCUGGACUAUGAACGCCUUCAAGGCCUAGAAUCAGCGCACAUGGACUUGGCUGUCAAAUUCCAGCGGCAGCAGGAGCAGAUCGACUCACUUAGCCAGCAAAGGGGGUCUCAGGAGUUGCAGCAGCUAGCGGAUGAUCCAGCAUUGGAUAGCACCGUCCCAUCCAUGCCGAGAAGCAGCGUGGGUUCCGCCCUGGGUGACGCAUUGCUGGAUAGCUACCUAGUGUUGGAAAUAUGCCCUAGAGGCAAUAAUAAAAGUAUUAUUAUUAUAUUUCCUUGUUCAUGAUAAUUGUCUUUUAUUCAUGCUAUAACUGUAUUAUCCGGAAAUCGUAAUACACGUGUGAAUACAUAGACCACAAUAUGUCCCUAGUGAGCCUCUAGUUGACUAGCUCGUUGUGAUCAACAGAUAGUCAUGGUUUCCUGGCUAUGGACAUUGGAUGUCGUUGAUAACGGGAUCACAUCAUUAGGAGAAUGAUGUGAUGGACAAGACCCAAUCCUAAGACUAGCACAAAAGAUCGUGUACUUCAUUUGCUAGAGCUUUGCCAAUGUCAAGUAUCUCUUCCUUCGACCAUGAGAGCGUGUAACUCCUGGAUACCGUAGGAGUGCUUUGGGUGUAUCAAACGUCACAACGUAACUGGGUGACUAUAAAGGUGCACUACAGGUAUCUCCGAAAGUAUCUAUUGUUUUAUGCGGAUCGAGACUGGGAUUUGUCACUCCGUGUAAAUGGAGAGGUAUCUCUGGGCCCACUCGGUAGGACAUCAUCAUAUGCGCAAUGUGACCAAGGAGUUGAUCACGGGAUGAUGUGUUACGGAACGAGUAAAGUGACUUGCCAGUAAUGAGAUUGAACAAGGUAUUGGAUACCGACGAUCGAAUCUCGGGCAAGUAACAUACCGAUAGACAAAGGGAAUUGAAUACGGGAUUGAUUAAGUCCUUGACAUCGUGGUUCAUCCGAUGAGAUCAUCGUGGAACAUGUGGGAGCCAGCAUGGGUAUCUAGAUCCCGCUGUUGGUUAUUGACCGGAGAACGUCUCGGUCAUGUCUACAUGUCUCCCGAACCCGUAGGGUCUACACACUUAAGGUUCGAUGACGCUAGGGUUAUAAAGGAAGUUUGUAUGUGGUUACCGAAUGUUGUUCGGAGUCCCGGAUGAGAUCCCGGACGUCACGAGGAGUUCCGGAAUGGUCCGGAGGUAAAGAUUUAUAUAUGGGAAGUCCUAUUUUGGCCACCGGAAAAUGUUCGGAAUUUUUCGGUAUUGUACCGGGAAGGUUCUAGAAGGUUCCGGAGUGGGGCCCACCUGCAUGGGGGGACCCACAUGGACGUGGGUAGUGGGGGCAAGGCCCCACACCCCUGGUCAAGGCGCACCAAGAUCCCCCCUUAGAAGGAAUAAGAUCAUAUCCCGAAGGGAUAAGAUCAAGAUCCCUAAAAAGGGGGGAUAACAAUCGGUGGGGAAGGAAAUAAUGAGAUUUCUUUCCUCCCACCUUGGCCAACGCCCCAAUGGACUUGGAGGGCAAGAAACCAGCCCCUCCACCCCUAUAUAUAGUGGGGAGGCGCAUGGGAGCUAUACACGAAGUUCUGGCGCAGCCCUCCCCCUCUCCCAAGUACUCCUCCUCUCCCGCGGUGCUUGGCGAAGCCCUGCAGGACUACCACGCUCCUCCAUCACCACCACGCCGUUGUGCUGCUGUUGGAUGGAGUCUUCCUCAACCUCUCCCUCUCUCCUUGCUGGAUCAAGGCAUGGGAGACGUCACCGGGCUGUACGUGUGUUGAACGCGGAGGUGCCGUGCGUUCGGCACUUGAUCAUCGGUGAUUUGAAUCAUGACGAGUAUGACUCCUUCAACCCCGUUCACUUGAACGCUUCCGCUUAGCGAUCUACAAGGGUAUGUAGAUGCACUCUCCUUCUACUCGUUGCUGGUCUCUCCAUAGAUAGAUCUUGGUGAUACGUAGGAAAUUUUUUGAAUUUCUGCUACGUUCCCCAACAGUGGCAUCAUGAGCUAGGUCUAUUGCGUAGAUUCUUUGCACGAGUAGAACACAAAGUAGUUGUGGGCGUUGAUGUUGUUCAAUAUGCUUACCGUUACUAGUCCAAUCUUGUUUCGACGGUAUUGUGGGAUGAAGCGGCCCGGACCGACCUUACACGUACUCUUACGUGAGACAGGUUCCACCGAUUGACAUGCACUUGGUGCAUAAGGUGGCUAGCGGGUGCCAGUCUCUCCCACUUUAGUCAGAACGGAUUCGAUGAAAAGGGUCCUUAUGAAGGGUAAAUAGCAAUUGGCAUAUCACAUUGUGGUUUUGCGUAGGUAAGAAACGUUCUUGCUAGAAACCCAUAGCAGCCACGUAAAACAUGCAAACAACAAUUAGAGGACGUCUAACUUGUUUUUGCAGGGUAUGCUUUGUGAUGUGAUAUGGCCAAGAAGAAUGUGAUGAAUGAUAUGUGAUGUAUGAUAUUGAUCAUGUUCUUGUAAUAGGAUUCACGACUUGCAUGUCGAUGAGUAUGACAACCGACAGGAGCCAUAGGAGUUGUCUUUAUUUAUUGUAUGACCUGCGUGUCAUUUAACAAUGCCAUGUAAAUUACUUUACUUUAUUGCUAAACGCGUUAGCCAUAGAAGUAGAAGUAGUCGUUGGCGUGACAACUUCAUGAAGACACGAUGAUGGAGAUCAUGAUGAUGGAGAUCAUGGUGUCAUGCCGGUGACGAUGAUGAUCAUGGAGCCCCAAAGAUGAAGAUCAAAAGGAGCAAAAAUGAUAUUGGCCAUAUCAUGUCACUAUUUGAUUGCAUGUGAUGUUUAUCAUGUUUAUGCAUCUUGUUUACUUAGGACGACGGUAGUAAAUAAGAUGAUCCCUUACAAAAUUUCAAGAAGUGUUCUCCCCUAACUGUGCACCGUUGCUACAGUUCGUCGCUUCUAAGCACCACGUGAUGAUCGGGUGUGAUGGAUUCUUACGUUCACAUACAACGGGUGUAAGACAGUUUUACACAGCGAAAACACUUAGGGUUAACUUGACGAGCCUAGCAUGUGCAGACAUGGCCUCGGAACACGGAGACCGAAAGGUCGAGCAUGAGUCGUAUAGUAGAUACGAUCAACAUGAAGAUGUUCACCGAUGAUGACUAGUCCGUCUCACGUGAUGAUCGGACACGGCCUAGUUGAAUCGGAUCAUGUAAUCACUUAGAUGACUAGAGGGAUGUCUAUCUGAGUGGGAGUUCAUAAGAUGAACUUAAUUAUCUUGAACAUAGUCAAAAGACCUUUUUGCAAAUUAUGUCGUAAGCUCGCGCUUUAGUUCCACUGUUUAGAUAUGUUCCUAGAGAAAAUAUAGUUGAAAGUUGACAGUAGCGAUUAUGCGGACAGUAGAACGCUUAUGUCCUUAAUGCACUGCUCAGUGUGCUGAACCCCAAACGUCGUUUGUGGAUGUUUCGAACAUCGAACAUACACGUUUUGAUAACUACGUGAUAGUUCAGUUAAAUGGUUUAACUAGAGGCACCAAAGACAUUUUCGAAACGUCGCGGAACAUAUGAGAUGUUUCGAGGGCUGAAAUUGGGAUUUCAGGCUCGUGCCCACGUCAAGAGGUAUGAGACCUCCGACGAUUUUCUUAGCCUGCAAACUAAGGGAGAAAAGCUCAAUCGUUGAGCUUAUGCUCAGAUUGUCUGAGUGCAACAAUCACUUGAAUCAAGUGGGAGUUAAUCUUCCAGAAGAGAUAGUGAUGUUUCCCCAAAGUCAUUGCCACCAAGCUGCUAGAGCUUCGUGAUGAACUAUAACAUAUCAGGGAUAGAUAUGAUGAUCCUUGAGGUAUUCGCGAUGUUUGACACCACGAAAGUAGAAAUCAAGAAGGAGCAUCAAUUGUUGAUGGUUGGUGAAACCACUAGUUUCAAGAAGGGCAAGUGCAAGAAGGGAUACUUCAUGAAAUGGCAAAUCAGCUGCUGCACCAGUGAAGAAACCCGAGAUUGAACCCAAACCCGAGACUAAGUGCUUCUGUGAUAAGGGGAAUAGCCGCUGGAGCAGAAUUACCCUAGAUACUUGGUAGAUAAGAAGGCUGGCAAGGUCGAUAGAAGUAUAUUGGAUAUACAUUAUGUUAAUGUGUACUUUACUAGUACUCCUAGUAGCACCAGGGUAUUAGAUACCGGUUCGGUUGCUAAGUGUUAGUAACUCGAAAUAAAAGCUACGGAAUAAACGAAGACUAGCUAAAGGUGAGCUGACGAUAUAUGUUGGAAGUGUUUCCAAGUUUGAUGUGAUCAAACAUCACACGCUCCCUCUACCAUCAAGAUUAGUAUUAAACCUGAAUGGUUUAUUAAAUCUCGAUUGUAGUGAUACACAUUUUCAUGCCAAAAGAUAUAAGAUAGUAAUGAUAGUACCACUUACUUGUGGCACUGCCAUGUAAGUCAUAAUGGUAUAAAACACAUGAAGAAGCUCCAUGUUGAUGGAUCUUUGGACUCACUCGUUUUUGAAAAGUUUGAGACAUGCGAACCAUGUCUAUUGGUGUAUAUGCAUGAAGAAACUCCAUGCAAAUGGACCGUUUGGACUCACUUGAUUUUGAAUCACUUGAGAUAUGCAAAUCAUACCACAUGGGCAAGAUGACUGAAAAGCCUCGUUUUCAGUAAGAUGGAACAAGAUAGCAACUUGUUGGAAGUAACACAUUUUGAUGUAUCCAAUCCAAUGAGUGCUGAGGCAUGCAGUGAAUAUCGUUAUGAUCUUACUUCACAGAUGAUUCGAGUAGAUGUUGAGAAUAUUUACUUGAUGAAACACAAGUCUGAAUUAUUGAAUGGUUCAAGUAAUUUCAGAGUGAAGUAGAAGAUCAUUGUGACAAGAGGAUAAAAUGUCUAUGAUAUGAUCAUAGAGAUGAAUAUCUGAGUUACGAGUUUUGGCACACAAUUAAGACAUUGUGGAAAUUGUUUCGCAAUUAAUACCGCCUGGAACACCAUAGUGUGAUGGUGUGUCCGAACAUCAUAGUUGCACCCUAUUGGAUAUGGUGCGUACCAUGAUGUCUCUUAUCGAAUUACCACUAUUGUCCAUGGGUUAGGCAUUAGAGACAACCACAUUCACUUUAAAUAGGGCACCACGUAAUUCCGUUGAGAUGACACCGUAUGAAUUAUGGUUUAGAGAAACCUAAGUUGUCGUUUCUUAAAAGUUUGGGGCUGCGACGCUUAUAUGAAAAAGUUUCAGGUUGAUAAGCUCGAACCCAAAGCGGAUAAAAUGCAUCUUCAUAGGAAACCCAAAAUAGUUGGGUAUACCUCCUAAUUCAGAUCCGAAAGCAAUAUGGAUUGUUUCUUGAAUCGGGUCCUUUCUCGAGGAAAAGUUUCUCUCGAAAGAAUUGAGUGGGAGGAUGGUGGAAACUUGAUGAGGUUAUUGAACCGUCUCUUCAACUAGUGUGUGGCAGGGCACAGGAAGUUGUUCCUGUGGCACCUACACCAAUUGAAGUGGAAGCUUGUGAUGUUGAUCAUGAAACUUCGGAUCAAGUCACUACCAAACCUCGUGGGAUGACAAGGAUACGUACUACAUCAGAGUGGUAUGUAAUCCUGUCUUGGAAGUCAUGUUGCUGGACAACAAUGAACCUACGAGCUAUGGAGAAGCAAUGGUGGGCCCGGAUUCCGAUAAAUGGCUCGAGGCCAUAAAAUCCGAGAACGGAUCCAUAACUUUGGAAGAAAUACUUGAUGGUCGUAAGGCCAUUGGGUACGGAUGGAUUUUAAAAGGAAGACAGACAAUGAUGGUAAGAAUUACCAUUAAGAAAGCUCGACUUGUCGUUAAGAUAUUUUCCGACAAGUUCAAGGAGUUGAUUACGGUGAGGUUUUCUCACUCAUAGCGAUGCUAAGAGUCUGUUGGAAUUGGAUUAGCAGUUACUGCAUGAUUGAUGAAAUCUUGCAGAUAGGAUGUCAAAACAUUGUUUCCUCGACGUUAUACUUGAGGAAAGGUUGUAUGUGAUACAACCGGAAGGUUUUGUCAAUCCCAAAAGAUGCUAAUAAGUAUGCAAAGCUCCAGCAAUCCUUCUAAGGACUGGAGUGAGCAUCUCGGAGUUGGAAUGUGUGCUUUGAUGAUGAUCAAAGAUUUUGGGUUUGUACAAAGUUUACGAGAAACUUGUAUUUCCAAAGAAGUGAGUGGGAGCACUAUAGAAUUUCUGAUGAGUAUAUGUUGUUGACAUAUUGUUGAUCAGAAAUGACGUAGAAUUUCUGGAAAGCAUAUAGGGUUAUUUUGAAAGUGUUUUUCAAUGGAAAGCCUGGAUUAAGCUACUUGAACAUUGAGCAUCAAGAUCUAUAAGGAUAGAUCAAAAUGCUUAAUAAUAGUUUCAAAUGAGCACAUACCUUGACAUGAUCUUGAAGGUGUUCAAGAUGGACCAGUCAAAGAAGGAGUUCUUGCCUGAGUUGUAAGGUACGAAGUUAGGACUUAAAGCUCGACCACGGCAGAAAAGAGAGAAAGGGCGAAGGUCGUCCCCUAUACUUUAGACGUAGGCUCUACAGUAUGCCAUGCUGAGUACCGCACCUGGAGUGUGCCUUGCCAUGAGUCAGUCAAGGGGUACAAGAGUGAUCCAAGAAUGGAUCACAGGACAGCGGUCAAAGUUAUCCUUAGUAACUAGUGGACUAAGGAAUUUUCUCGAUUAUGGAGGUGGUAAAAGAGUUCGUCGUAAAGGUUACGACGAUGCAAGCUUGACACCUAUCCGGAUAGCUCUGAGUAGAGAGACCGGAUACAUAUAAUGGAGCAAUAAUUUAGAAUAGCUCCAAGUAGAACAGUUGUUUGGAAUAGCUCCAAAUAGAGCGUGGUAGUUGCAUCUAGGAGAUGACAUAGAGAUUUGUAAAGCACACACGGAUCUGAAAGGUUCAGACCCGUUGACUAAAUCCUCUCUCACAAGCAACAUGAUUAAACAUAAAACUCAUUGAGUGUUAAUCACAUAGUGAUGUGAACUAGACUACUGACUCUAGUAAACUCUUGGGUAUUAGUCACAUGGCGAUGUGACCUGUGAGUGUUAAUCACAUGGCGAUGUGAACUAGAUUAUUGACUCUAGUGCAAGUGGGAGACUGUUGGAAAUAUGCCCUAGAGGCAAUAAUAAAAGUAUUAUUAUUAUAUUUCCUUGUUCAUGAUAAUUGUCUUUUAUUCAUGCUAUAACUGUAUUAUCCGGAAAUCGUAAUACACGUGUGAAUACAUAGACCACAAUAUGUCCCUAGUGAGCCUCUAGUUGACUAGCUCGUUGUGAUCAACAGAUAGUCAUGGUUUCCUGGCUAUGGACAUUGGAUGUCGUUGAUAACGGGAUCACAUCAUUAGGAGAAUGAUGUGAUGGACAAGACCCAAUCCUAAGACUAGCACAAAAGAUCGUGUAGUUCAUUUGCUAGAGCUUUGCCAAUGUCAAGUAUCUCUUCCUUCGACCAUGAGAGCGUGUAACUCCUGGAUACCGUAGGAGUUCUUUGGGUGUAUCAAACGUCACAACGUAACUGGGUAACUAUAAAGGUGCACUACAGGUAUCUCCGAAAGUAUCUAUUGUUUUAUGCGGAUCGAGACUGGGAUUUGUCACUCCGUGUAAACGGAGAGGUAUCUCUGGGCCCACUCGGUAGGACAUCAUCAUAUGCGCAAUGUCACCAAGGAGUUGAUCACGGGAUGAUGUGUUACGGAACGAGUAAAGUGAAUUGCCGGUAAUGAGAUUGAACAAGGUAUUGGAUACCGACGAUCGAAUCUCGGGCAAGUAACAUACCGAUAGACAAAGGGAAUUGAAUACGUGAUUGAUUAAGUCCUUGACAUCGUGGUUCAUCCGAUGAGAUCAUCAUGGAACAUGUGGGAGCCAUCAUGGGUAUCCAGAUCCCGCUGUUGGUUAUUGACCGGAGAACGUCUCGGUCAUGUCUACAUGUCUCCCGAACCCGUAGGGUCUACACACUUAAGGUUCGAUGACGCUAGGGUUAUAAAGGAAGUUUGUAUGUGGUUACCGAAUGUUGUUCGGAGUCCCGGAUGAGAUCCGGGACGUCACGAGGAGUUCCGGAAUGGUCCGGAGGUAAAGAUUUAUAUAUGGGAAGUCCUAUUUUGGCCACCGGAAAAUGUUCGGAAUUUUUCGGUAUUGUACCGGGAAGGUUCUAGAUGGUUCCGGAGUGGGGCCCACCUGCAUGGGGGGACCCACAUGGACGUGGGUAGUGGGGGCAAGGCCCCACACCCCUGGUCAAGGCGCACCAAGAUCCCCCCUUAGAAGGAAUAAGAUCAUAUCCCGAAGGGAUAAGAUCAAGAUCCCUAAAAAGGGGGGAUAACAAUCGGUGGGGAAGGAAAUAAUGAGAUUUCUUUCCUCCCACCUUGGCCAACGCCCCAAUGGACUUGGAGGGCAAGAAACCAGCCCCUUCACCCCUAUAUAUAGUGGGGAGGCGCAUGGGAGCUAUACACGAAGUUCUGGCGCAGCCCUCUCCCUCUCCCAAGUACUCCUCCUCUCCCGCGGUGCUUGGCGAAGCCCUACAGGACUACCACGCUCCUCCAUCACCACCACGCCGUUGUGCUGCUGUUGGAUGGAGUCUUCCUCAACCUCUCCCUCUUUCCUUGCUGGAUCAAGGCAUGGGAUACGUCACCGGGCUGUACGUGUGUUGAACGCGGAGGUGCCGUGCGUUCGGCACUUGAUCAUCGGUGAUUUGAAUCACGACGAGUACGACUCCUUCAACCCCGUUCACUUGAACGCUUCCGCUUAGCGAUCUACAAGGGUAUGUAGAUGCACUCUCCUUCUACUCGUUGCUGGUCUCUCCAUAGAUAGAUCUUGGUGAUACAUAGGAAAUUUUUUGAAUUUCUGCUACGUUCCCCAACACCUAGUGGAUGACAUCAUGGAGAACACUAACUGCGAGCUACACUUCAAAAUGAAGAACAUAUCCUUGAAGGUGGCGGACGCCCUUGCUUUUACAAAUCCCCCCGAGGCAACCUUCCAUUGCAACCCGAUUCCAACGGGCUAUGCUCGUGUCUUGGUUGAUGAGGUGGUGGACCAAUAUUCGGGUCUAGAUCUUGACAUUCCUGGAGGUGACGAGGAGCACACACUAGGAGAGGCCAACCAUCGUAUCAUCCUAUGGAGAAAGGAUUGCAUCAUCUUUCGAAGGCCACCGACACCGCGUCAUCCGACUCCUCGUCGAAGUCCGCCACCGAGUCAGUAGACUCCCGCUCCUCCAAGUCCACCAACGCGUCAGGCCACUCCUCCUCCAAGUCCGGCACAACUUCAGGCCACUCCUCCUCCAAGUCCGGCACAACUUCAGGCCACUCCUCCUCCAAGUCCGGGAAAGCGUCAGGCCACUCCUCCUCCAAGUCCGGCACAACUUCAGGCCACUCCUCCUCCUCCAACUCAGCCACGUCAGCCGUCUUCGCCGCCUCAGCAAUCACGGAAGAGAGCCGCGUCAGCUAUGGUGCAUAGCGGUACAAGUCGAGGUAGUACUGGAGGUACAGGCGGAGGCAAGCGAUUUCAAUAUGGUCCAAGCAGCCUCGCGCCUCUUCCACAGAGGCCUUACGACAAGUCCGAGGAGGAAAACACAUCCAUAUCGAAGGCCGAGGUGGAAGCCCAUUUUUCACCGAAACCGCCACCGCCGCCAAGGGAGAAAGUGCCCGAGGAAAAGAUUGACCACUUAAUUCGUAUGGCUAGAGCACCAGCUCCCAAGCCUGUUGACACAGACUAUGAGCGCCACCUCAGGAAGUUAAGUCGAGCACGUCUACAGAAAGAGGCGAGCUCGAGCUCGAGCAAAUCAGCUGGCAAAAGGAGCGGUAAAAUCGUUCCCCAGCUGGGAGAACAGGCGGCGCAAUCAACCCCCCCGCUUGUUGUGCCAACAACACAUGAGAGUGCGCGUGCCCAAUAUUAUUGUGGUCAAAACAUUAACGUUCCCGGGCUGGGCGAUGUGGUAAUAACCGAGGAGCAUAUUGAGCAGGCUAAAAGGCUCAUGAUCACUGUUGGACAACUCCUCGAUAUCGAGCCCAUGUCUCUGAUUAGAGAGGAGGAAAUAAAACGGAAAUAUGUCCGGGGCCAACCUUUGGUCGAGCCAGACGAGGUCAAGAAGCUCCCAACGAGAAUGUAUGAAUUGCAUCAAUGGUACAUGGACAUUACCAAGAUUUCCAAUCGAGAGUCCCUGAUGGUGAAUGUCAAGAAGGAUCAUUACUACCAUGAGAAAGCUGUGUCCGUUGAGUAUUCAGAACUAUUUCAGUUAUACAAUCAAGACGCACUCGACAAAUCUAUCAUUAGUUGCUAUUGUUUGUAAAUGAUUUCUUUUUGUAAUUUAAGUCUCAAGCUAGCUGUAGUUAUCAUUUGAUCAAUCAUUACCUGUAAUUAUCCUCACUAUAUUCUUUUCUGUGGUAUUAUGCAGGAUGAAGAUUUAUGAAAUGAAAAAAGGUGGACGCUAUGGCAUUGGGUUCAUUGACCCAAAUACCAUUAAUGAAUACACAUGGAAAUUAGAUCCAUAUUAUGAAAAAAGUGUAGAGGAAAGCAUGCUAGAGUUCUUCAAGCGCCUCAAUACCAAUGAAGAUAUACUACUAGCUUCCUUACAACUUCGAGUGAGUCACACUGUCUUGUACUACAAAUUCUGUUUUUGCCUACUAGCUAGCUACAUGUUUUUGCUUACAUAUGCCCGCUUAAUUAAGACAUGAAAACGUGUGUGCAUGCAGAUUUGACUGGAUCUUGUUAAUCAUUAAAGUUGAUGAAGGAUUAGUUGAAAUACUGGACUCACUACUUAAAAAAGUAAGUGACUACACCAUCUUGUUUGGGAUAGUCAACAUGUAAUUUCAAUCAUUAUUAACUAUAUCUCGGCCUAUUUAGUUCAUCAUUUCCUGAUAUGAACUAUUUAAUAACCCCUUUAUUCAUUUUCUUUGUCGGCGGGCAGGGCUUGGGCAAAGUUCAUCAGCGUCACUCCAGGCCAAUGAAAAAAAGCUAAAAUGGUAUCGACCCAAGAUAAGUAAUUAAGUAGUACUAGCUAGCUACCUGCCAUCUCUUUAAUUAUCAUGCUUGAUUAAUUAUUAUCUGAUCAAAUUCCAUUCUCGUAAAGGCCCUGAAGCAGGCGCCGGGCAAUAAUCUGUGUGCAUACUAUGGCUGGGACCGCGCACAACGCCUACCACGAGCACAGGGAGAAGGAACAGAGAGGAGGGCCAUUGAGCGGCACUAGGGGUGGUGGUUGCCGCGGUACUACUGCACAUGAGCGGUACUACUGCUCCUACUGCCGCUGAACCCGACACGAGAAAACCACGUCUCAAGUUGAGGUGGUACCAGCAUGGAACCGGAGCCGUACUACCGCUUAUGGCCAUGGGCGGUACUACCGCUGUGGGACAACGGUACUACCGCUUGUGGCGAUAAGCGGUACUGCCGCUCCGGCCCAGCGGUACUACCGCUGGCGCCAUCCUUAAGCCACUUCCACGAAAGCAAGUAAAUUCCACGGAAAACCAGAACUGCCAUAACUUCUGCAUAUGAGCUCCGAAUUGAGCAAACUCAAGCUUGUUAGAUACAAGACGACGAGUAGCAUAAGAAUCGUGUAUGGGACUAGUAUGUCAAGGGAGGAAAGAAGACUCCAGUAUUCAUGGGAACACUAGAGAAGCAAAGUGCUCAUUGGGACGAUUUCAUGAAUUUCAAGGAAUCGGAAUUAUCUAAGGAACGGUCGAGAAUAAACAAGGCCAAUGCCGCAAAAAGGAUAAGUUCCAUAAGCUGGGGCCAGGUGGCCAUGCGGUGGGAAUGCCUAAGUGGGAUAAGUCUGAGAAAGAGAUGGAGGAUGUAGGUGUCACUCCAGAAACAUUGAGCUGCCCCCCAGGUGCAGGACUUGGUUCUAUGCGCAUGGUUGGGGGGGAGUUGGACCCAAAAGACAGGCAAAGUUUCGAAGAAGGCAUGUCUGGAUGGAGCCGAAGAUAUGCUACUUGUUGCAAUAGAAGAGGAUCGAUCGGGGGUGUUCGAGCCCAACAGAGAGAACGACGAGCUUACGCGUGCCCUGGGAAAUCCUGAACACCCGGGAAGACCACGAGGCAAGGGCGCUAUUCCAUGGUAUGAGGGGUUUUCGGACUGGAACGCCGACUACAGAACCCGUGCGAGAAAGAAGAUUGCGGAGGAGAAGAAGAGGAAGAUGGAGGAGGAGCAGAGGAAGCUGGACUAUGAAUGCCUUCAAGGCCUAGAAUCAGCGCACGUGGACUUGGCGGUCAAAUUCCAGUGGCAGCAGGAGCAGAUCGACUCACUUAGCCAGCAAAGGGGGUCUCAGCAGCUGCAGCAGCUAGCGGAUGAUCCAGCAUUGGAUAGCACGGUCCCAUCCAUGCCGAGAAGCAGCGUGGGUUCCGCCCUGGGCGACGCAUUGUUGGAUAGCUACCCAGUGGAUGACAUCAUGGAGAACACUAACUGCGAGCUACACUUCAAAAUGAAGAACAUAUCCAUGAAGGUGGCGGACGCCAUUGCUUUUACAAAUCCCCUUGAGGCAACCUUCCAUUGCAACCCGAUUCCAGUGGGCUAUGCUCGUGUCUUGGUUGAUGAGGUGGUGGACCAAUAUUCGGGGCUAGAGCUUGACAUUCCUGGAGGUGACGAGGAGCACACACUGGGAGAGGCCAACCAUCGUAUCAUCCUAUGGAGAAAGGAUUGCAUCAUCUUUCUAAGGCCACCGACACCGCGUCAUCCGACUCCUCGUCGAAGUCCGCCACCAAGUCAGUAGACUCCCGCUCCUCCAAGUCCACCAACGCGUCAGGCCACUCCUCCUCCAAGUCCGGCACAACUUCAGGCCACUCCUCCUCCUCCAAGUCCGGCAAAGCGUUAGGUCACUCCUCCUCCAAGUCCGGCACAACUUCAGGCCACUCCUCCUCCUCCAACUCAGCCAUGUCAGCCGUCUUCGCCGCCUCAGCAAUCACGGAAGAGAGCCGCCUCAGCUAUGGUGCGUAGCGGUACAAGUCGAGGUAGUACUGGAGGUACAGGCGGAGGCAAGCGAUUUUAAUAUGGUCCAAGCAGCCUCGCGCCUCUUUCGCAGAGGCCUUACGACAAGUCCGAGGAGGAAAACACAUCCAUAUCGAAGGCCGAGGUGGAAGCCCAUUUUGCACCGAAACCGCCACCGCCGCCAAGGGAGAAAGUGCCUGAGGAAAAGAUUGACCACUUAAUUCGUAUGGCUAGAGAACCAGCUCCCAAGCCUGUUGACACAGACUAUGAGUGCCACCUCAGGAAGUUAAAUCGAGCACGUCUACAGAAAGAGGCGAGCUCGAGCUCGAGCAAAUCAGCUGGCAAAAGGAGCGGUAAAACCGUUCCCCAGCUGGGAGAACAGGCGGCGCAAUCAAUCCCCCCGCUUGUUGUGCCAACAACACAUGAGAGUACGCGUGCCCAAUAUUAUUGUGGUCAAACCAUUAACGUUCCCGGGCUGGGCGAUGUGGUAAUAACCGAGGAGCAUAUUGAGCAGGCUAAAAGGCUCAUGAUCACUGUUGGACAACUCCUCGAUAUCGAGCCCAUGUCUCUGAUUAGAGAGGAGGAAAUAAAACGGAAAUAUGUCCGGGCCAACCUUUGGUCGAGCUAGACGAGGUCAAGAAGCUCCCAACGUGAAUGUAUGAAUUGCAUCAAUGGUACAUGGACAUUACCAAGAUUUCCAAUUGAGAGUCCCUCAUGGUGAAUGUCAAGAAGGAUCAUUACUACCAUGAGAAAGCUGUGUCCGUUGAGUAUUCAGAACUAUUUUAGUUAUACAAUCAAGACGCACUCGACAAAUCUAUCGUUAGUUGCUAUUGUCUGUAAGUGAUUUCUUUUUGUAAUUUAAGUCUCAAGCUAGCUGUAGUUAUCAUUUUGGUCAAUCAUUACCUUUAAUUAUCCUCACUAUAUUCUUUUCUGUGGUAUUAUGCAGGAUGAAGAUUUAUGAAAUGAAAAAAGGUGGAUGCUAUGGCAUUGGGUUCAUUGACCCAAAUACCAUUAAUGAAUACACAUGGAAAUUAGAUCCAUAUUAUGAAAAAAGUGUAGAGGAAAGCAUGCUAGAGUUCUUCAAGUGCCUCAAUACCAAUGAAGAUAUACUACUAGCUUCCUUACAACUUCGAGUGAGUCACACUGUCUUGUACUACAAAUUCUGUUUUUGCCUACUAGCUAGCUACAUGUUUUUGCUUACAUAUGCCCGCUUAAUUAAGACAUGCAAACGUGUGUGCAUGCAGAUUUCGCUGGAUCUUGUUUAUCAUUAAAGUUGAUGAAGGAACAGUUGAAAUACUGGACUCACUACUUAAAAAAGCAAGUAACUACACCAUCUUGUUUGGGAUAGUCAACAUGUAAUUUCAAUCAUUAUUAACUAUAUCUCGGCCUAUUUAGUUCGUCAUUUCCUGAUAUGAACUAUUUAAUAACCCCUUUAUUCAUUUUCUUUGUCGGCGGGCAGGGCUUGGGCAAAGUUCAUCAGCGUCACUCCAGGCCAAUGAAAAAAAAAGCUAAAAUGGUAUCAACCCAGGAUAAGUAAUUAAGUAGUACUAGCUAGCUACCUGCCAUCUCUUUAAUUAUCAUGCUUGAUUAAUUAUUAUCUGAUCAAAUUCCAUUCUCGUAAAGGCCCUGAAGCAGGCGCCGAAUCUGUGUGCAUACUACGGCUGGGACCGCGCACAACGCCUACCACGAGCACAGGGAGAAGGAACAGAGAGGAGGGCCAUUGAGCGGCACUAGGGGUGGUGGUAGCCGCGGUACUACUGCACAUGAGCGGUACUACUGCUCCUACUGCCGCUCAACCCGACACGAGAAAACCACGUCUCGAGUCGAGGCGGUACCAGCAUGGAACCGGAGCCGUACUACCGCUGUCCCACCGCUUGUGGCGAUAAGCGGUACUGCCGCUCCGGCCCAGCGGUACUACCACUGGCGCCAUCCUUAAGCCACUUCCACGAAAGCAAGUAAAUUCCACGGAAAACUAGAACUGCCAUAACUUCUGCAUAUGAGCUCCGAAUUGAGCAAACUCAAGCUUGUUAGAUACAAGACGACGAGUAGCAUAAAAACAACGAAGGUAUGCCAACAAAUAGAGGAGUGAAACCUCCAACCGAGAAGAACCGGCAAAACCUCCAACAUCGAAAACAUCAUAGAAGAUGCAUGAACUCCGUUUUCGAUGAACUCGAGCUUGUCACCAAGAUGACCAUAAGCUCCAAAACUCACAAAGAGAAGAACCAAAUAAGAACCGAUAAAGAUGAUGCAAGGAUGCAAUGGUUUGAGCUCUCUACAACGAUAUGAUCAAGCUACUCAUCGAGAGCCCCCCUUGAUAGUACAACAAUCGAUCCUAUAACCCGGUCUCCCAACUACCAUCAUGAGACCGGUAAAAUAGAAAACCUACCAAGGGCAAACCUUUGCCUUGCACAUGGUCCACUUGAGCUAGAUGAUGACGAUCUUGACUCCCUCAAGUUGGACCACCUUUCUUGAUUGGGUUCACUCGAUGAAGAUUAGUUGAUUGCUCCCCCAUACUCCACUAUGGGCGAGCCACUCUUCCGCACAUCUUCACAAGUCCAUUGUCACCACAAAGGACGACAAGCUUCAAGCAUUUGAUCUCUUCGUGAUGCUCCACUUGAACUUGCACACCGCAACCUUUCUUGAUUGUGUUGACUUGAUGAAGACUAGUUGAUUGCUCCCCCAUACUCCACUAUGGGUGAGCCACUCUUCCGCACAUCUUCACAAGUCCAUUGUAACCACAAAGGAUGACAAGCUUCAAGCAUUUGAUCUCUUCGUGAUGCUCCACUUGAACUUGCACACCGCAACCUAACCCCACAAAGAACCCUCAUGAAGACCAUGGGUUAGUACACAAAGCGUAAUUGACAAUGCUUACCAUACCAUGGGAUCACUUGAUCCCUCUCGGUACAUCUUCUACGCUUUGUGGGUUGAUCAAUUUGAUUCACUCUUUGACUUAGUCUUGAUCAACCUCUCACAAGACCAAUCUUUAGGUAAUUCCUUGAAUAGCACCUUGGUCGAGACAAACUCUCCUUGAAACCAACACAUGUACUCCAAGAAAAGCCUAUGGACAAAACCUUCAGAUAUAACUCAAGCCAACCAUUAGUCCAUAGAGAUUGUCAUCAAUUACCAAAACCAAACAUGGGGCCACCGCAUGUUCUUUCAUUAGUAUUGUUGAGGGAACUUGCACUAGUGAAAGUAUGAACCCUCGGCCUUGUUUCAAUGCAUUGCAAUACUGUUUACGCUCACUUUUAUCAUUAGUUACCUUGUUGUUUUUAUAAUUUCAGAUUACAAAUACCUUUAUCUACUAUCCAUAUACCACUUGUAUCACCCUCUCUUCGCCGAACUAGUGCACCUAUACAAUUUACCGUUGUAUUGGGUGUGUUGGGGACACAAGAGACUCUUUGUUAUUUGGUUGCAGGGUUGCUUGAGAGAGACCAUCUUCAUCCUACGCCUCCUACGGAUUGAUAACCUUAGGUCAUCCACUUGAGGGAAAUUUGCUACUGUCCUACAAACCUCUGCACUUGGAGGCCCAGCAACGUCUACAAGAAGAAGGUUGUGUAGUAGACAUCAAGCUCUUUUCUGGCGCCGUUGCCGGGGAGGUGAGUGCUUGAAGGUAUAUCUUUAGAUCUUGCAAUCAAGUCUUUUAAUUUCUUGUUUUAUCACUAGUUUAGUUUAUAAAAGAAAACUACAAAAAAAUAUGGAACUGAGUUUGCCUCAUACGCUUCAUCUUUUUAAUAUCUUUUGUGAGUAUGAUGGAAAGGAAAAUUGUGCCAAAGUGUUAGAAGAAGAAUGCAUUAAAAUGUUUGGCACUAAAUAUUUGAAUGAUGAGAAUGAUUGCAAUGUUGUUAGUAUGAACUCCUUGAAUAUCCCUAGUACUAAUGAUGAUUGCACUAGUUAUGAUGAAAAUGUCUCCUAUAAACAUGUCAAUUUUUGUGGAGUGCAUUGGGUUUGCAAGUACACACCAAAUAGGGAAGAUAGAUAUUGCAAGAGGCAUAAGUACUUAGAAACUAAAUUGUUGCAAGGAAGGCUAGAUGAUUGUGCUGAUAAUUUAAAUUUUCUUGGCCAUACUUGUGAGCUUUGUAAUGAACGUAGUCAUUUAACCAUCCGAUGCAAAUUGUUUCAUGAUCUAAUCGUUUCCAAAAAUUGUGAUGACUUGAUUUCUCUUGAACAUCAUAAUGAACUUAGUUUUCUUAUGGGUUACGAAGAAGUGAAACGUAUAACUAACUAUCUUCCAGUAUUUGCCCAUGAUAAACUUCUUGGCUUUGAUCUAGAGGAAAUUUAUAUGUAUUGUGCGGCGAAUUGUAUUGAAAAUCCUUAUAUUGCCAACUACAUAAAGAAAAGAAAACAAAUAGAAGAUGAAGAGAAUACUAAUGAAAGGGAAGAGACUUCCCAAUACCCUCCUAUUAUUUCUUAUGAUGAAUCAGGUAACGAGGAGGAGCUUCCUAUUCAACCAAUCUCAUUAAUAAGGAGCUCCAAAAAGAGGAUUGAACCCACACAUGAUGUGGUGAAGAAGAAGAAAAGAAAAAGGAAGAGAGGUAAAAAGAUAUCUCCCCCAAAUAAUGCUGCUCCUAUUACUAUUGUGCCUCAUGAAAAUAUAAUCGUGGAAGAUAAUUAUACUUCUUAUGAUCUUGAAAAUCUUUUUGGCACUUGCUUGGAAGAAUAUGAUAAUUGCUAUACUAUUGGUGCUAUCCAUACUAUUAAUUAUGAGAGUGAUUAUGCUUAUGAUUUGAAAAGGCCCAAGCUUGGGGAUGCUUUGUUUGAUGAAAGAUGAUGUUUUUGAGAAUAUAUUUGCUGAAAUUAAUGUUUGUCCUAAGCUUGGGGAAGCUAUGUUUAAUGAAGAUGCUAUUUUUAGUCUCCCAAGUUUUGAUAUGCAAAUUUAUAAUGAUGAUAGCAUGCCUCCUACUUAUGAUGAUUAUUGUGAUGAUACUUAUGCUAUAAAAAGUAGUGAUUAUAUUUAUAAAACUUGUCAUGAUUAUGAUUACCCCUUUUCUGAACAUUACUCUUUUAAUGUGGAAACAAUUUAUAGUAUUCGAGUUUCUUAUGAUACUCACACUAUUCCGAAUGAGAAGAAUUUUGCUUAUGUGGAGAGUAAUAAAAUUUCUAUGCUUGUAGAUCAUGAAAAGAAUGCUUUAGGUGCUGGUUAUAUUGUUGAAUUCAUUCAUGAUGCUACUGAAAAUUAUUAUGAGGGAGGAAUAUAUGCUUGUAGGAAUUGCAAUAAUAUCAAGUUUCCUCUCUAUGUGCUUAAAGUUUUAAAGUUAUGCUUGUUUUACCUUCCUAUGCAAGUUGAUUCUUGUUCCCAUAAGUUGUUUGCUCAAAACAUUCCUAUGCAUAGGAAGUGGGUUAGGAUUAAAUGUGCUAGUAAUAUUCUUCAUGAUGCUCUCUUUAUGUUUCAAUUCUUAUCUUUUAUGUGAACACCAUUGAAAUGAUCAUGCCUAGCUAGGGGCGUUAAACAAUAGCGCUUGUUGGGAGGCAACCCAACUUUAUUUUUAUUCCUUGCUUUUUCUUCCUGUUUAGUAAUAAAUAAUUCAUCUAGCCUCUGUUUAUAUGUGGUUUUAUGCUUUUAGUUAGUGUUUGUGCCAAGUAGAACCGUUGGGAAGACUUGGGGAAAGUCUUGUUGAUCUUGCUGUAAAAAACAGAAACUUUAGCGCUCACGAGAAUUGCUUCCAUUUUUAUUUGGAGAGUUAUAUUUAGUUAAUUAUUUUUUCAGAUGAUUAAUAUAUAAAUUACUCAGGUCCAGAAAUUUAUUUGAGAAUUUUAUGAGUUCCAUAAGUAUACGUUUGAUCCAUAUUACUACAGACUGCUCUGUUUUUGACAGAUUCUGUUUUUCAUGUGUUGUUUACUUAUUUUGAUGAAUCUAUGGCUAGUAAAAUAGUUUAUAAACCAUAGAGAAGUUGUAAUAUAGUAGGUUUAACACCAAUAUAAAUAAAGAAUGAGUUCAUUACAGUACCUUGAAGUGGUGAUUUAUUUUCUUAUACUAACGGAGCUUUCGAGUUUUCUGUUAAGUUUUGUGUUGUGAAGUUUUCAAAUUUUGGGUAAGGAUUCGAUGGACUAUGAAAUAAGGAGUGGCAAGAGCCUAAGCUUGGGGAUGCCCCGGAAGGCAUCCCCUCUUUCGUCUUCGUUCAUCGGUAACUUUACUUGGAGCUAUAUUUUUAUUUACCACAUGAUAUGUGUUUUGCUUGGAGCGUCAUUUUAUUUUAUUUAGUUUUGCUUGCUGUUUGAAUAAAAUACUAAGAUCUAAUAUUAUUAAAUGUUAUAGAGUCUUCACAUAGUUGCAUAAUUAUUUGACUACUCAUUGAUCUUCACUUAUAUCUUUCGGAGUAGUUUGUCAUUUGCUCUAGUGCCUCACUUAUAUCCUUUUAGAGCACGGUGGUGGAUUUGUUUUAUAGAAACUAUUGAUCUCUCAUGCUUCACUUAGAUUAUUUUGAGAGUCUCAAAUAGCAUGGUAAUUUGCUUAUAUAAUCCUAAUAUGCUAGGUAUACAAGAUUAAUAAUAAAAUUCUCUUAUGAGUGUUUUGAAUACUAAGAGAAGUUUGAUGCUUGAUGAUUGUUUUGACAUAUGAGGUAAUAAUAUCAAAGUCGUGCUAGUUGAGUAGUUGUGAAAUUGAGAAAUGCUUGUGUUGAAGUUUGCAAGUCCCGUAGCAUGCACGUAUGGUAAAUUUUAUGCAACAAAUUUGAAACAUGAGGUGUUAUUUGAUUGUCUUCCUUAUGAGUGGCGGUCGGGGACGAGCGAUGGUCUUUUCCUACCAAUCUACCCCCCUAGGAGCAUGCAUGUAGUACCAAGGUUUUUGAUGACUUGUAGAUUUUUGCAAUAAGUAUGUGAGUUCUUUAUGACUAAUGUUGAGUCCAUGGAUUAUACGCACUCUCACCCUUCGAUCCUUGCUAGCCUCUUCGGUACCGUGCAUUACCCUUUCUCACAUUGAGAGUUGGCGCAAACUUCGCCGGUGCAUCCAAACCCCGUGAUAUGAUACGCUCUUUCUAACAUAAACCUCCUUAUAUCUUCCUCAAAACAGCCACCAUACCUACCUAUUAUGGCAUUUCCAUAGCCAUUCCGAGAUAUAUUGCCAUGCAACUUUCCACCAUUCCAUUCAUCAUGACACAUUCAUCAUUGUCAUAUUGCUUAGCAUGAUCAUGUAGUUGACAUAGUAUUUGUGGCAAAGCCACCGUUCAUAAUUAUUUCAUACAUGUCACUCUUGGUCCAUUGCAUAUCCCGGUACACCGCCGGAGGCAUUCAUAUAGAGUCAUAUUUGUUCUAGUAUCGAGUUGUAAUCAUUGAGUUGUAAAUAAAUAGAAGUGUGAUGAUCAUCAUUUUCUAGAGCAUUGUCCCAAGUGAGGAAUUAUAAAAAAAAAGAGAAAGGCCAUAAUAAAGAGNNNNNNNNNNNNNNNNNNNNNNNNNNNNNNNNNNNNNNNNNNNNNNNNNNNNNNNNNNNNNNNNNNNNNNNNNNNNNNNNNNNNNNNNNNNNNNNNNNNNNNNNNNNNNNNNNNNNNNNNNNNNNNNNNNNNNNNNNNNNNNNNNNNNNNNNNNNNNAAAGGCCAUAAAAAAGAAAGGCCAAAUAAAAAAAUGAGAGAAAAAGAGAGAAGGGUCAAUGCUACUAUCCUUUGCCACACUUGUGCUUCAAAGUAGCACCAUGAUCUUCAUGAUAGAAAGUCUCUUGUUUUGUCACUUUCACAUACUAGUGGGAAUUUUCAUUAUAGAACUUGGCUUGUAUAUUCCAACAAUGGGCCUCCUCAAGUGCCCUAGGUCUUCGUGAGCAAGCAAGUUGGAUGCACACCCACUAGUUUCUUUUGUUGAGCUUUCAUACAUUUAUAGCUCUAGUGCAUCCGUUGCAUGGAAAUCCCUACUCCUUACAUUAACAUCAAUCGAUGGGCAUCUCCAUAGCUCAUUGAUUAGCCUCGUUGAUGUGAGACUUUCUCCCUUUUGUCUUCUUCACAUAACCCCCUCAUUAUUCUCUUCCACCCAUAGUGCUAUAUCCAUGGCUCGCGCUCAUGUAUUGCGUGAAAGUUUAUAGGUUUGAGAUUACUAAAGUAUGAAACAAUUACUUGGCUUGUCAUCGGGGUUGUGCAUGAUGAGAGCAUUCUUGUGUGACGAAAAUGGAGCAUGACUAAACUAUAUGAUUUUGUAGGGAUGAACUUUCUUUGGCCAUGUUAUUUUGAGAAUACAUAAUUGCUUAGUUAGUACGCUUGAAGUAUUAUCAUUUUUAUGUCAAUAUGAACUUUUAUCUUGAAUAUUUUGGAUCUGAAUAUUCAUGCCACAAUUAAGAAGAAUUACAUUGAAAUUAUGUGAAGUAGCACUCCACAUCAAAAAUUCUGUUUUAAUCAUUUACCUACUCGAGGACGAGCAGGAAUUAAGCUUGGGGAUGCUGAUACGUCUCCAACGUAUCUAUAAUUUUUGAUUGCUCCAUGCUAUAUUAUCUACUGUUUUGGAUGUUUAUGGGCUUUAUUAUACACUUUUAUAUCAUUUUUUGGGACUAACCUAUUAACCCAGAGCCCAGUGCCAGUUUCUGUUUUUACCUUGUUUUAGGGUUUCGAAGAAAAGGAAAACCAAACGGAAUCCAAUUGACCUGAAACUUCACGGAACCCAUUUUUGGAAGAAAGAAGCCCUGAAGACUUGAAGUGCACGUAAGGGAAGCUUCGAGGAGGCCACGAGGUAGGGGGGCGCGCCCACCCCCCUGGGCGCGCCCUCCACCCUCGUGGGCCCCUCGUGGCCCCCCCGACGUACUUCUUCCGCCUAUAUAUCUCCAUAUACCCUAGAACUUCCGGGGAGCACAAUAGAUCAGGAGCUCCGCCGCCAGAAGCCUCCAUAGCCACCCAAAAGCCAAUCUGGACCCGUUCCGGCACCCUGCCGGAGGGGGAAUCCCUCUCCGGUGGCCAUCUUCAUCAUCCCGGUGCUCUCCAUGACGAGGAGGGAGUAGUUCUCCCUCGGGGCUGAGGGUAUGUACCAGUAGCUAUGUGUUUGAUCUCUCUCUCUCAUGUUCUUGAUGUGAUACGGUCUUGAUGUAUCGCGAGCUUUGCUAUUAUAUUUGGAUCCUAUGAUGUUUCUUCCCCCCUCUACUCUCUUGUAAUGGAUUGAGUUUCCCCUUUGAAGUUAUCUUAUCGGAUUGAGUCUUUAAAGAUUUGAGAACACUUGAUGUAUGUCUUGCCGUGGAUAUCUGUGGUGACAAUGGGAUAUCACGUGAUUCACUUGAUGUAUGUUUUGGUGAUCAACUUGCGGGUUCCGCCCAUGAACCUAUGCAAAGGGGUUGGCACACGUUUUCAUCGUGAUUCUCUGAUAGAAUCUUUGGGGCACUCUUUGAGGUUCUAUGUGUUGGUUGAAUAGAUGAAUCUGAGAUUGUGUGAUGCAUAUCGUAUAAUCAUACCCAUGGAUACUUGAGGUGACAUUGGAGUAUCUAGGUGACAUUAGGGUUUUGGUUGAUUUGUGUCUGAAGGUGUUAUUCCAGUACGAACUCUAGGGCUGUUUGUGACACUUAUAGGAAUAGCCCAACGGAUUGACUGGAAAGAAUAACUUUGAGGUGGUUUCGUACCCUACCAUAAUCUCUUCGUUCGUUCUCCGCUAUUAGUGACUUUGGAGUGACUCUUUGUUGCAUGUUGAGGGAUAGUUAUGUGAUCCAAUUAUGUUAGUAUUGUUGAGGGAACUUGCACUAGCGAAAGUAUGAACGCUAGGCCUUGUUUCAAUGCAUUGCAAUACCAUUUACGCUCACUUUUAUCAUUAGUUACCUUGCUGUUUUUAUAAUUUCAGAUUACAAAUACCUUUAUCUACUAUCCAUAUACCACUUGUAUCACCCUCUCUUCGCCGAACUAGUGCACCUACACAAUUUACCAUUGUAUUGGGUGUUGUCGGUGUCAAAACCGGCGGAUCUCGGGUAGGGGGUCCCGAACUGUGCGUCUAGGCCGGAUGGUAAUAGGAGGCAAGGGGCACGAAGUUUUACCUAGGUUCCGGCCCUCUCGAUGGAGGUAAAACCCUACGUCCUGCUUGAUUAAUAUUGAUGAUAUGGGUAGUACAAGAGUAGAUCUACCAGGAGAUCAGAGAGGCUAAACCCUAGAAGCUAGCCUAUGGUAUGAUUGUUGUUGUCUAUGUUGUCCUACUGACUAAAACCCUCCGGUUUAUAUAGACACCGGAGAGGGUUAGGGUUACACAAAGUCGGUUACAAUGGUAGGAGAUCUGAAUAUCCGUAUCGCCAAGAUUGCCUUCCACGCCAAGGAAAGUCGCUUCCGGACACGGGACGAAGUCUUCAAUCUUGUAUCUUCAUAGUCCAGGAGUCCGGCUGAAGGUAUAGUCCGGCUGUCCGAACACCCCCUAAUCCAGGACUCCCUCAGUAGCCCCUGAACCAGGCUUCAAUGACGAUGAGUCCGGCGCGCAGAUUGUCUUCGGCAUUGCAAGGCGGGUUUCUCCUCCAAGUACUUGAUAGAAGAUUUUGAACACAAAGAUAGUGUCCGGCUCUCAGCGCGUCAUGCGAGGCGGUUUCCUUGGCACGUCUUGUUAAAGCAGAGAUCGUGUCCCCUUAUUCCGGGAUUCUCAUCAAUACGGGCGAGGGUAACCAAACCACUUCUAGGACUCCUAGAUUAUAGGCAAGUCCAAACAGACACGGAGAGGACGCUUGAUAUUCACCCUCUUUAUAAAGGGACAAGGCUUUUAUUUUUCCCUCCCGUGCUCAAUCGAGUCCUUCCCCCACAUCAAGCUCAAAUGCCCAAAGUUCAGGUCAGGUGCCCCGAACCUUCAGUCAUGUCCGGAUCUAGCCUUCAAGGCCGAUGGGUGCCUUCCUCCGUCACGGAAGAAGACAUCAAAAAGUUGAGGGAGGCCAGAUAUCUGACCGCUGAGAUAUUGCACCGGCUGCCUCCGCGAGGGCAGGCCGUUCCCACCCCCGAACCCAACGAGAACGUCGUGUUUGUCUCCCACUUCCUCCGAGGUCUAGGCCUUGCUCUGGAUCCUUUCUUCAGGGGUUUGAUGUUUUAUUACGGGCUAGACUUCCAUGAUCUAGCUCCGGACUCCUUUCUUCAUACCACGACAUUUAUUGUCGUGUGCGAGGCCUUCCUCCGGGUUACCCCUCACUUUGGCCUAUGGCUCAAGACCUUUGAAGUAAAGUCGAAGAUGAUCAAGCGGCAACAUGCAGCGUGUGGAGGUGCCUCAAUACGCAAGAUGACGGGAGCUCUGUGGCCCAAAGGUUCCAUCCCAGAUGUGUCUGAAUUGUGGCAACAGGAGUGGUUCUACAUCACGGCUCCUAGAAGUGCCAAGUGGGCGGCCGCCCCUGUUUUCCGCUCGGGCCCUCCACCACAACUGAUGUCAUGGAUCAGCAGAGGUCUGAGCUCGGGUCCAGCCAAGGACGUGCCUAUACUGCAAAGCCGCAUUUGAGAUCUCUUCAAUGGAGAUUUCAGUUUGGUCGCGGUAAUACAAGUUAUGCUGGUUCGUCAAGUCCAGCCUUGCAAACGCCGGCCUCUUCGCCUGUGGGAGUUCAAUCCCGAGGGACCGCGUGUCAUUCAAAAUUUUCUCGGUCUGACGCAUGAGGAGAUGUACAAGUCAUUCUUCGGACCUCAGGUGGAGUGUCUGGAAAUCACCGAGGACGUGGGCCUGAGUAGUAACCGCGCCGCCGAACAGGUAAGGCAUCUUCCGGCCGAACAUACUAUCUCUCCCUUGUUACGAAGUUAUUUCUGAGAGUUUGCUUUUUGACCAGGACUGGCUAACAAAGGCGAAGUUGAUUCGGUGUUCGGCCCCCCUCCCCGAGGGUUUGGAAAAUCUGGUAUUGGAAAAGAUGCUCCAGACUGCACCUUGCCCGGAGCCCUUGAAGGAAGAUACAGUGGAGGAUAAUACGGGCGGACGCGGUCCCCCAAUGCUGCCCAUUCUAACCGAGGGAGCGAGCGUCUCCAUGAAGGAAGAUGACCAGAAGAGGAAAAGGACUGUGCCCGAGGAUUCGGAAGCCGAAGCUUCCAAACGGGAGAAGAAGUCUCCCACAGAGGGUCCUACCUUGGGGGGCGCUNNNNNNNNNNNNNNNNNNNNNNNNNNNNNNNNNNNNNNNNNNNNNNNNNNNNNNNNNNNNNNNNNNNNNNNNNNNNNNNNNNNNNNNNNNNNNNNNNNNNNNNNNNNNNNNNNNNNNNNNNNNNNNNNNNNNNNNNNNNNNNNNNNNNNNNNNNNNNNNNNNNNNNNNNNNNNNNNNNNNNNNNNNNNNNNNNNNNNNNNNNNNNNNNNNNNNNNNNNNNNNNNNNNNNNNNNNNNNNNNNNNNNNNNNNNNNNNNNNAGUAUAGAUAUGCCCUCUUUUUCUUCUGAGAGAAUAACCACCGCAUAUAUUUUUGCAGUUCGGGCCUUAGCCCCUCUCAAAUGGCUCGUGUUCGGGGGACCUUCUUCCAGAGAUGAUGGAGAGCGAAACGCUUCCUCCAGACUCCUCCGCUCCGGAAGCGGGCAACCCUGAAGUAUCAUCGCGGAGGGCCUCUCCGAGUCCGGUGAGGCCGGAAGAUAAUCCCAUUGACCCCUGAAGCUCCCAGUGUCCAGCUCCCGAAGAGAGCAGACAAAAGAGUUCGGCACCGUCUAGUGUGCGAUCGAAUGUUCUGAGGGAGUUGGUGGGGUGAGCGGCCAUCUCAGAUGAACACCGUGUGCUGAUGAAUACGAUGAUGGAGAGAAUAUCGUCCGCCGAAAGCGGAUUGCAUGAAGCUUUUAUGAGUCUACUGACAGGCUUUGAGGUACGUAAAAGAAUGUAUGAUAGUCUUGCACAUGCUAGGUGUGCCCUGUGUAGAUAGUAGCCCCUGAGACUCUGGUUGUCGUCGGAAACGAUGAUAAACAGAGGAUCAUAUUCCCAGGUAAUAACCAUACUGCCUCUAUGUGCAGGUGAUGGAAGCUCCGGUGGCUAGCCGGACUAGCGAGUUUGCCCAUUUAGAACGGCAGUUGGAUGCGGCAGACACCGACAUCGAGCUUGUUAACAAAAGGCUUGACGAGGCAUAGGGUAAGUGUCAUUAUCUGGUAAACGCCACAAUAGGAAGAGCAGCAUGAUGCCAGCAUCUUUAAUAUGUUGUGACUGCAGAUGGAGCUGCCACUGUUGAAGCCUUGCGGGAAGAACUUGCCCGAGCCAAGGAACAAGCGAGGUUGGGUAAUGCGGCUGCUUUGAAGGCGGCCGAAGAGUUGCAAGCCGAGAAGGCCGCGCAUGGCGAGAGCCGAGACAAGAUUGCCAAGAUGGCCAUAGAAUUAAAAGCCGCCGCCGACCGUUGCCGGGUUCUUGAAAAGGAAAACCAAGCGAAGGCAUCAGACCUUGAGAAGGCUGGUGCGACAAAAAAAGACCUCCGCUCUGCUAUGAGGGCAAAGAAUGAGGAGCUGCAGGAAGCCGGGGAUAUUGUAGCUGGGAAAUCCUUUAUGUUGCGGAGGAAGUUCGGAGAUCCACGGUAUGCCCCUCUAGAUCGGCAGUGGAGUUCGUAGGAUGUAUAUAUGGAUUUGGCGGCGAGCGCUGCCGAUGCGGCCAAGUAUUUCCAGGGUUAGACGGACCGUGAAGUAGACCAGCUAUUUUGGAGAUAAUUCCAUUCUCCCGAGCAUCCGCUUUCAUUGACUGACCAAUUAGCCGAAUGGGCCGAACUAAAUAGGUUGUCCGGACUCUCCAUGAGGUCUGUUGUGGAUCAGCUAUGGCCGGAAAGGUCAAAAUCGAACAGCUAUUUCAGCUUGGUGCAGCAGUUCCUUGACGUGGUGCCGCGCAUUAAUGCGAUGAAGAGGUCGGCGUGCAUAGAGGGCGCACGGAUGGCCUUUGCCCGUGUUAAAGCAUACUGGGCGGAGAUGGAUGCUACCACUGUUGCAGCGCGAGAUUCGGCCAUAGGUCGAAGGGCUGCUGAGCACUACUUUGAAGAAGUUCUUGAGGGUGCUCGUUUGAUAGAGACCCAAUGCUCAAAAAAUGUUAUGUUUGAGUGAUAUGUAAUCUCAUUGUAAGCGAAAUGCUUUUAUAAAUUUUUAUAAGGCUAUUUUUAUACUUUUGCCUGAAAGUAAUAUGAUGCCUCCUGGGCGGCCGUUUAUGUAUACAUGUGUAUAACCUGAAAGAUUGCAGCCAUCGGCUUCAACCCUCACGCAUAUAAUGCGGAGGUGCUCGCAAAAACACGCGUUCACACUUAACCCAACGUCUUGGUCCUAUUAAGGAGGUGAUAGCGGAGCGAGCGAGGCAACCGGACUAUAACGCUUUAGCACUUUCACUUAGCCAUAGGAGUUUGACAGUGGGGCUACUAAAUAGCCCCUGGUGGCUCCGCACUUUCCCGAUCCCGGGGUGCGUACAUGCCUGGUCGGAAAACGGCCCUUCAUUAAGGCGGAGGAAUUCUAACAUUCCAACAGGUCAUCGAGUGGUUGACCAGUCUCACGCUAUAUCAUGAUAGUCAGUUUUCGGCUUUCUCUACUGAGGUGCUCGUCCGGAUGAACCAGGGCACAAUCGCAGUAGUUCUCCUGGUGCUACCUUAGCCGGUAAAGCGGAACGUAAGGCACCAAAACAUAGGAGCCGGGCAAACCCAACAUUUGACCAAAGACAAUGAUUCGGAGCUGAUGCAUAUAGGGCCAAACUCACGACGCCGAACACUCCCUAAGGUAUUCGGUCUUUGUGGUAUAAACCGGGCCUAAAUAAUGGCCUUUUUAAGAAGCCCCUUGUGUCCAGGUACGUGCAUUGUUCUGGCGUGGCCACAUGCCAAGACGUCAGCAUCCUUCUCAACGGUGGAUAUGUAUCAACAAGAGACAGUAAAAAAGGUUUACGCAGGGUCUUAAUCUAAAAAGAAUCCUUGGAGCGGGUCCCUACUGCACGUCUGCGCCUGUAUCUCCAUUGUGCCGUAUCCUGGACGGGUGUGGCAUGAUGAUCGCCUGUAAAAGAGAGGAAUUUAGGUGAAAAAGUUGUCAUGUAAAAAGAUAGUUUGUUAAAGAAACCAUGUAUAAUUCAAGAUGAGAAGAAAUUGCCACUCGUCUGCGCGUGUUGAGCCCCUUGUAUUGACAAAUAGGGGUGUGACCAUUUAUUCGGUAUAAGUAGCGGCGCCGGACUCGAUUAGUUGUAUCUGGGGUCUUGACGACCUAUUGGAUGCUUUCGCUUGUCCAGGCGCCUUUAGUGUGUGGCUGCCAAGGCAGCCUCACUCUCUUCAUCGCGCAGAGAUCGCUUGAUAUUUCCGUGCAAUGUAAUGAUGCCACGUGGACCGGGCAUCUUGAGUGUGAGGGAGGCAUAGUGUGGUAUUGCAUUAAAGCGAGCGAAAGCUUCGCGUCCGAGCAGUGCUUGAUAGCCACUUUGAAACUGAGCGAUGUGGAAAGUUAAAUGCUCGCGACGAAAGUUAUCGGGGGAGCCGAAUAUAACUUGUAGUAGGAGGGAGCCCGUACAAUGAGCCCUUGGGCCUGGUGUUACUCAUUUAAAGGUAGUAUUGCUAUGGUGAAUUUGUGUUGGGUCUAACCCCAUCCCACGGAUUGUAUCCUGAUAUAUUAGGUUGAGGCUACUGCCGCCGUCCAUCAAGACUCUUGUGAAGUGAUAUCCGCCAAUUACUGGGUCUAAUACCAAGGCAGCACAUCCUGCGUGUCGGAUACUUGCUGAGUAAUCACGAUGGUCGAAAGUGAUCGGUUGAGAUGACCAGUGGCAGCACUUCGUGGUGACAGGCACUUGGGUAUAUUUUCCUGGGAGUGCCGCGUUGUUUUUUCCCUUGAUUACGUGUAACACGUUUACUGUUUUGACUUCUGGUGGAAAUUUCUUUUGUUCCCCCGUGUCUUGCUUGGGGGGCUCGUCCUCGUCUUCACUUGGUGUAUCCUCCCCCUUGUGUACGGCGUUGAGCUUGCCAGACUGCUUGAAGACCCAACAUUCUCUGUGGGUAUGAUUAGCAGGUUUACCAGGGGUACUAUGAAUCUGGCAUACUUGGUCUAGAAUUUUGUUGAGGCUGGACAAUUCAUCCCUGGUGCCUUUAGGGGGCGGCUUUUGACCUGGCUGAGAGCUUUUGAAUCUGGCAUUUACUGCCGUGCCCUUCGUGCUAUCUUCUUUAUUCCUGUGUUUGUUAUUGCAGUUGCACCGUGAUUUCCCGUUUCCAUCUCUAACUUCAGAUGUACUAGGGUCGCUGGUGCUGCAUCUGGCUAGCCAGCUGUCCUCACCCGCGUAAAAGCAGGUCAUGAGGUUUGUUAAUGCGGCCAUCGUUCUAGGCUUAUUUUGGCCGAGGUGUCUGGCGAGCCAUUCGUCACGGACGCUAUGCUUGAAAGCCGCCAAGGCUUCAGCGUCCAGACAGUCGACAAUCUGGUUCUUUUUAGUAAGAAACCUGUUCCAAAGCUUUCGGGCUGACUCUCCGGGCUGUUGAGUUAUAUGACUCAAAUGUCCGCAUCCGGAGGUCGGACAUAAGUCCCUUGAAAAUUUGCCCGAAAGGCGUCUUCGAGCUCUUCCCAACUUCCAAUGGAGCUUUCGGGGAGGCCUUUGAGCCGGUGACGAGCUGGCCCUUUGAACUUGAGGGGUAGGUACUUGAUUGUGUGGAGAUCAUCUCCUCGAGCCAUAUGGAUAUGAAGGAUGUAGUCCUCAAUCCAGACCCCAGGGUCUGUUGUUCCGUCGUAUGCCUCUAUGUUUACGGGCUUGAAUCCCUCUGGAAAUUCGUGGUCCAGCACCUCAUCGGUGAAACAUAGGGGGUGUGCGGCACCCCUGUAGCUGGGUGUACCGCGUUGUUUGGAUGUUUGUUGUGUUGCAUUGUAUGCUGGGGCGCGCUUGCGUGGUCCAUAGAUGGAUCUUGUUGCACCAUCCUUUGGGUGCGAGACCUCGCAUGGGUCGCGUAUUGUAUUGUGAGUGGUGUUGUUUGCCGCUCUGUGUUGGUAGAGGGGUCGUCUAUCCGACCAGGUGGCUGCUUUGAUAUUUGGUUGUGGGGGUUCUGAGGCCUCCUCAUCGAAUUCGGGUAGCAGCUUCCGCUUUGGGUAGCUUUUGGAGGGGCGAUUGUCACCGUACAUUGCUGCAGUGUUGAGUAUUUUACUCCAUCUGAUUUGGAGUGUGUCUUGCGUGGCCUUGAGCCUUUGCUUCUACUUUUUCAGACUCCUCGCGGUGGCAACAAGCCUUUUACGGGCAAUCCACUGCUCCGGGUGUCUGUCUGGUGUUAUGUCAUCCGGACCAUUAUCCUUGAUAGGAUUUGUUUGUUUGGUUUGAUUAUCCGGAUUGCCGUUGUCUGGCAGCGGUUCGCCCUGCUCCAGCGCUGGGUCUAUGUGAUCGCUAUUUCUGUCGAGGCGGGAUUUGGGGCGGCGCUUGCGUCGCCGCUUUGACUACUUUUCGAGGGAACAAGCCUUCGGUGCGUCCUUCCUCUCCUCGUCGUCAUCUUUUGGUGCGUCCACCAUGUAUACGUCAUAUGACGAGGUGGCGUUCCAGGGCCCAAUAGGCGCUGGUUCUUCAUCGUCUCCUUCAUCGUCGUCCAUACCGUCGAUGUCUUCGGAGUCGAAGUCGAGCAUGUCGGUUAAAUCAUCGACAGUGGCUACAAAGUGGGUGGUGGGUGGGCUUUGAAUUUCUUCAUCGUCCGCAUCCCAAUCUCGCUGACCAUAGUCCGGCCAGGGCUCUCCUGAUAAAGAGAGAGACUUCAGUGAUUUUAUAAUAUCGCCAAAGGGCGAGUGCUGAGAGAUGUCCACGGAAGUAAACUCCAUGAUCGGCGCCCAAUCGGAUUCGAUCGGAUGAGGCGCGAAUGGAUUGGAGUCCGGAGAGGAGUCCGGCUCCUUGGAAUCAUGAAUCUCGCGGAGUGUGGGGCUGGUGUUCGGCUCAAUCGCUGUUAGGAUCGCAGCCCCCGAGGCGGCGUCCAACUACCCAUCCUCGGUCGGCGCGGUUGGCUCCGAAUUAAGGGUCGAAGCCGAUGCGGGUGCAGCCUUCAGGGCACUGUUAGGCGGCGGAGCUAGAUCAUGCUCGUUGUGGCAGUGCGGCGCGCUCGGUAGUGGCUCGAAUCCAUUGAAGAUCAAGUCCCCACGGACGUCAGCCAUGUAGUUUAAACUUCCAAAUCUGACCUGACGGCUAGGGGCAUAGCUUUCGAUCUACUCCAAAUGGCCAAGUGAAUUGGCCCGCAGUGCAAAGCCGUCGAAGAUAGAGAUCUGUCCGGGGAGACAAGUUUCACCCUGGACUGCAUCACUAUCGAUGAUCGUAGGAGCCAUCAAGCCUGACGGCGACGACACAGAGGAACUCUCAAUGAAAGCACCAAUGUUUGUGUCAAAACCGGCAGAUCUCGGGUAGGGGGUCCCGAACUAUGCAUCUAGGCCGGAUGGUAACAGGAGGCAAGGGCAUGAAGUUUUACCCAGGUUCGGGCCCUCUCGAUGGAUGUAAAACCCUACGUCCUGCUUGAUUAAUAUUGAUGAUAUGGGUAGUACAAGAGUAGAUCUACCACAAGAUCAGAGAGGCUAAACCCUAGAAGUUAGCCUAUGGUAUGAUUGUUGUUGUCUAUGUUGUCCUACGGACUAAAACCCUCUGGUUUAUAUAGACACCGGAGAGGGUUAGGGUUACACAAAGUCGGUUACAAUGGUAGGAGAUCUGAAUAUCCGUAUCGCCAAGCUUGCCUUCCACGCCAAGGAAAGUCCCUUCCGGACAUGGGACAAAGUCUUCAAUCUUGUAUCUUCAUAGUCCAGGAGUCCGGCUGAAGGAAUAGUUUGGCUAUCUGAACACCCCCUAAUCCAGGACUCCCUCAGGUGUGUUGGGGACACAAGAGACUCUUUGUUAUUUGGUUGCAGGGUUGCUUGAGAGAGACCAUCUUCAUCCUACGCCUCCUACGAAUUGAUAAACCUUAGGUCAUCCACUUGAGGGAAAUUUGCUAUUGUCCUACAAACCUCUACACUUGGAGGCCCAACAACGUCUACAAGAAGAAGGUUGUGUAGUAGACAUCAGUAUGACUAUCUUGAUUUUGUCAUAAAUUUGUCAUGGAUGUACAUGCAUGACAGAAAACAUGACCUGCUGUGACAAACAUGUACCAUCACGUAAGUGUAUUUUUUUUGUAGUGACAUGACUUGUCAGCGGCUGAUCCCUUUUCAGAAAGUACGCGGUUUGCAAUGUUUGAAUUUGGGCGUUGUAAUCUUUGAAUUCGAACCUUGCAAUAUUUAUGGUAUUUUGUUAUAUUGAACCGUUUCUGUUCUCUUGUCUCAAUGCAAACAGUUCAUCUGAGUGAACCGCAUGUCGUAUAUCGCACACACCUUGAUCUGGCUGACCGUUUUUUUGUGUUGCCUAAUCACAAAUAGUUCAUCCGAGUGAACUAUAUGUUGUACAUCGCACACACCUUGAUCCGGCUGACCGUUUCUUUUGUGUUGCCUAAUCACAAACAGUUCAUCCGAGUGAACCGUAUGCUAUACAUCACACCGACCUUCAUCUAGAUGCCUGUUUAUUUUGUUCAUGCUCAUCGAAAACGGUUAAUUGAACUAAACCGUAUGCCCUGAAUCGCACACGCAACUAAAAUCAAAACCAUGUUUGAUACAUCCGUCAUCGCAAAUAUUUUGCGCCUUUUUACGGGGUUUUUACACCACCGUUUGCGAUUAUUGCAUCGCACACAUUUUCGUCGAAGGGUCUUUGAUCGUAGUGCCGCGUUAGCAGCAUCCUGCAGUAGUGCAUAGUUCUCGAACCCAUAGGGUCCGCACGCUUAACAUUUGAUGACGUUUUAUAUUAUGAGUUAUGUGUUUUGGUGACUGAAGUUUGUUCGGAGUCCCGGAUGAGAUCACGAACAUGACGAGGAGUCUCGAAAUGGUCGAGAGGUAAAUAUUCAUAUAUUGGAAGGUAGUAUUCGGACAUCGGAAUGGUUUCAAGUGAUUCAGGUAUUUUACCGGAGUACCGAGGGGUUACCGGAACCCCCCGAGGAAAUAUUGGGCCUUAGUGGGACUUAGUGGAGAGAGAGGAGGGCCGCAAGGGGUGGCCCUCCCAUGGCAGUCCGAAUUGGACUAGGGGGAGGGGCGGCGCUCCCCUUUCCCUCUCCCUCUCCCUCUCCUUCCUUUUUCCCUCCGGUGGAGAAAGGAAAGGGGGGGGGGAUCCUACUAGGACUAGGGAGUCCUAGUAGGACUCCCCCCUUGGCGCUCCCCUCCUGGCCGCCGGCCUCCUCCUCCCCUCCUUUAUAUACGGGGCGGCGGCACCCCAAAGACACAACAAUUGAUCUCCUAGCCGUGUGUGGUGCUCCCCUCCACAGUUUACUCCCACGGUCAUAGCGUCGUAGUGCUUAGGCGAAGCCCUAGGCGGAUCACAUUACCAUCACCGUCACCACGCUGUCAUGCUGAUGGAAAUCUCCCUCGACCCUCUAUUGGAUCAAGAGUUCGAGGGACGUCAUCGAGAUGAACGUGUGCUAAACACGAAGGUGCCGUACAUUCGGUACUUGGAUCGGUUGGAUCGUGAAGACGUUCGACCACAUCAAUCGCGUUAACCUAACGCUUCCGCUUUCGGUCUACGAGGGUAUGUGGACACACACCCCCCUCUUGUUACUAUGCAUCUCUUAGAUAGAUCUUGCGUGAUUGUAGCAAUUUUUUUGAAAUUGCAUGCUAUGUUCACCAACAACUAUGUGGGGAAACUUCUUGAUGAGAGUGUACAAAAGUGCAUAGAAAAUAAAGCAUUCUGCUGCUGCUCCAUGUUGUUGUUCCAUAGGUGUCAUCACUAUAAUUUUUGCACUGUAGUUUAAUUGUAUAACCACCACUAAAGGAUGCUGCAUAUGACUGGCAUGGAUAACCAAAUCUCUCAAACUCUACAUCAGUGACUUUACAAUAGUGUCAGUGAGAAAGCAGUAUGCUUUACUAGGUGCAGGCCAUGCAAGCAAAAACUGUCAUAUCGACCAUUGAUUCUAUGUUGUCAGGAACAUAAUCAAGUACAUAAUAGGGGCUCAAUAUGUUGGGGAACACAACAUUUCAAAAAAAUCCUACGAUCACGCAAGAUCUAUCUGGGAGAUGCAUAGCAACGAGUGGGGAGAGUUUGUCCACGUACCCUCAUAGACCGAAAGCGGAAGCCUUAAGUAACGCGGUUGAUGUAGUCGAACGUCUUCGCGAUCCAAAUGAUCAAGUACCGAGCGCAUGGCACCUCCGCGAUCUGCACAUGUUCAGCUCGGUGACGUCCCUCAUACUCUUGAUCCAGCUAAGGCCAAGGGAGAGUUCCAUCAGCACGACGGCGUGAUGACGGUGAUGAUGAAGUUACCGACGUAGGGCUUCGCCUAAGCACUACAACGAUAUGACCGAGGUGGAAAUCAGUGGAGGGGGGCACCGCACACGGCUAAGACAACUGUCAACUUGUGUGUCUAUGGGGUGCCCCCUCCCCCGUAUAUAAAAGAGUGGAGGAGGGGAGGGCCAUCCCUCUCUAUGGCGCGCCCCAAGGGGGAUUCCUACUCCUAGUAGGAGUAGGUUUCCCCCUUCCCUAGUUGGAGUAGGAGAAGAAGGAAGAGGGAGAAGGAGAGAAGGAAAGGGGGCCCGGCCCCCUCCCCAAUUCGGAUUGGUCUUGGGAAAGGGGCUGAGGGAGUCUUGGACUAAAGGGUCCUCGGGCGUCCGGCCUGUUGGACAUGGGCCGGACUGAUGGGCUACAAAGAUACAAGACCGAAGACUCUCACCCGUGUCCGGAUGGGACUCUCCUUUGCAUGGAUGGCAAGCUUGGCGUCUGGAUAUACUAUUUCCUUCCUAUGUAACCGACUUUGUAUAACCCUAGUCCCCUCUGGUGUCUAUAUAAACCAGAGGGCUUAGUCCAUGGACGAGGAUAAUCAGAUAGGCUAGACUUCUAGGGUUUUAGCCAUUGCGAUCUCGUGGUAGAUCAACUCUUGUAACCCCCAUACUCAUCAAUAUUAAUCUAGCAGGACGCAGGGUUUUACCUCCAUUGAGAGGGCCCGAACCUGGGUGAACAUUGUGUUCCCUGUCUCCUAUUACCAUCAACCUCAGAUGCAUAGUUCGAUACCCCCUACCCGAGAUCCGCCGGUUUUGACACCGACAUUGCUUUCAUUGAGAGUUCCGCUGUGCCGUCGCCAAGAGGUUCGAUGGCCCCGUCAAUCAUCCAUAACAACAGUGUCCAGGGAGAAACCUUUCUCCCCAGACAGAUCUUCAGGUUCGGCGGCUUCACGCUACGGGCCAACUCGCUUGGCCAUCUAGAGUAGAUUGAUAGCUACUUCCCUAGCCAUCCGGUCAGAUUUGGAAGCUUGAACUACGUUGCGGACAUCUGCGGAGACUUGAUCUUCGACAGAUUCGAGACCACGACAGUAGCCGCUCCCUGCCACCAUGAUGAACAUGGCUUAAAUCUAUCAUCGAACUACACCUAGGAGAUAGAACCUGCGACUGCUCCAGCUCUAAAUCCGGAGCAAAUCACGCCAUCCGAGGAUGGGAGGCUCAACCCCACCAUGGAGGCCGCAGAUUCAGCGGCAUUGGAGCCGCACACAGACCCAACCUCAAGUGAGAUCUGUGUUGCCAAAACCUCGGACACGCUUCCGGCCACAGGUUCGAAAGCAUGUGUGUUCGUGCACGACGAGCUUGAUCGGGCGUCGAUCGUUGAAUUCAGCUCCGCGGACAUCUUCCGACACUCGCCUUUAGGUGAUGUGCUAAACUCAUUAAAAACACUCUCCUUGGCAGGGGACUUACGACCGAAUUAUAUCCGGUUCGAACUGGAGGCUGAUGAUGAAUUUCGCUUCCCACCCCGCCCACUUAAUAGCCACUGUCGAAGACUUAACUGACAUGCUUGAUUAUGGCUCCAACGACAUCGACGGUAUGGACGGCGAUGCCGGAGAAGAAGAGGCCCAAAACCUGCCGUUUACCAGACGCUGGACGGCCACUUCCUCGUAUGACGUAUACAUGGUGGAUGCACCAAAAGAGAAUAGCGACAAUGACAAGGAAGAUCCAGUUGAGGAUAAACCUCCCGAGAUACAACCAAAGCGCCGGCAUCAGUGGUGCCGCUCUAAGUCACGCGCAGCAAAGACAACAACACCGACACAGGAGAAGAUAACACUGCGGAAGGUGCCGAAGACAACGAAUACCCCGUUGAGGCAACUGCCGAACAAAAUGAACGGGAGGACGGGCAAGUUAGCCCUGGUGAACAGGCCACACACAAAAACUCGAAGGACAGUAAUUAUCUUCCACUCUCCGCGGAUGAGGCGAGCCUCGGCACUGAGGAUUUUAUCGUGCCAGAGGAACCUCUCGAGCAGGAGCGCUUCAAGCACCAGCUAAUAGCCACUACAAGGAGCCUGAAAAAGAAGCAGCAACAGCUUCAAGCUGAUCAAGACCUGCUCAAUGACAGAUGGACUAACAUCCUGGAAGCCGAGGAAUACGGCCUCAAGCGACCACUCAAAAGUUACCCAAAGCGCAAAUUAUUACCUCAAUUCGAUGACGAGGUGUUGGAGCCCGUGCCAUCAGCGCACAAUGCGGCUGACCGACCACCAUGUGGUCGGGACAAAGCGGCAACCUAAGCUGAACACCAACCUGUACCACCUCACCAUAAAGACAAAAUUGCUCAAAGAUACUCAUAUGAUCUCCGGCAGGGCCUGAAGAAUAAAGUAGGUCCGGCCAGAUCGAUCUAUGUAUCAUGGGGGCAUGCCCCGGCGCGCGACGACGGCUAUCGAGCCGAACAUGACAAGUACAAUUACGCCCGAGCCAAAAAUCGCAGAUGGGCUCCAUUCGAAGUACGUAGCGACCUGGCCCGACAUAGAGGCGCCACACACCCCCUCUACUUCACUGAUGAAGUAAUGGAACAUGAAUUCCUAGAAGGGUUCAAACUCGUCAAUAUCGAAUCAUAUGAUGGAACCACAGAUCCUGCGGUAUGGAUUGAAGACUUUAUCCUCCAUAUUCACAUGGCACGCGGUGAUGAUCUUCAUGCCAUCAAAUACCUACCCCUAAAACUCAAGGGGCCAGCCCGGCACUGGCUGAACAACCUGCCUGGAAACUUUAUUGGCAGCUGGGAGGACUUGGAAGAAGCCUUCCUUGACAACUUCCAAGGUACAUAUGUUCGACCUCCGGAUGCUGAUGACUUAAGUCAUAUAAUCCAACGCCCGGAGAGUCAGCCAGGAAAUUCCGGACUAGAUUCUUGACCAAAAAGAACCAGAUCAUCGACUGUCCGGACACCGAAGCCCUGGCGGCAUUUAAACAUAGCAUACAUGACAAAUGGCUCGCUCGACACCUCGGCCAAGAAAAGUCGAAGUCCAUGGCAGCCCUCACGGCACUCAUGACCCGCUUUUGCACUUUGGAAGCCAGAAACAGCAACGACAAGCCCCGACACAACAAACAUAGAUGAUGAGGCAAUGGUGAUAAUACCGAGGACACGGCGGUCAAUGCCGGAUUCAGUGGCUCCAAGUCUGGUCAGCGGAAGAAGCCAUAUAAAAGAAAUAAUCAGGGCCCUUCCAGCCUAGACCGCAUACUCGAUCGCCCAUGUCAGAUCCACGACACCCCUGAUAAACAAGCCAAUCAUACCCACAGGAGUUGUUGGGUCUUCAAACAUGACGACAAGUUAAAUGCCGAAGACAAAGAGAAGGGGUCGCAAAGCGAGAACGACGACGAGGAGCCCCGUCCACCAAACACAGGGGGACAGAAGAAGUUUCCUCUGCAAAUCAAAAUAGUGAACAUGAUAUACGCCGCCCAUAUCCCCAAGAGGGAGCACAAACGUGUGCUCAGGGACGUCUAUGCGAUAGAGCCAAUCACACCAAAAUUUAACCCAUGGUUGUCAUGCCCAAUCACUUUCGAUCGUAGGGAUCAUCCGAUCAGUAUCCGUCAUGGCGGGUCAGCCGCACUGGUCCUUGAUCCAAUAAUGGAUGGAUUUUGCUACCUCUUGAGCACUGCAUUGGUUUUCCCCGAAGAGGAAGGGAUGAUGCAGCAAACUAGCAUAAGUAUUUCCCUCAGUUUUUGAGAACCGAGGUAUCAAUCCAGUAGGAGGCUACGCGCGAGUCCCUCGUAUCUGCACAAAACAAAAAAAUCCUCACAACCAACGUGUUAAGGGGUUGUCAGUCCCUACACGGCCACUUACGAGAAUGAGAUCUGAUAGAUAUGAUAAGAUAAUAUUUUUGGUAUUUUUAUGAUAAAGAUGCAAAGUAAAAUAAAAGCAAAGUAAAAGCAAAAGGAAAUAACUAAGUGUUGGUAGAUUAAUAUGAUGAAGAUAGACCCGGGGGCCAUAGGUUUCACUAGUGGCUUCUCUCGAGAGCAUAAGUAUUCUACGGUGGGUGAACAAAUUACUGUUGAGCAAUUGGCAGAAUUGAGCAUAGUUAUGAGAAUAUCUAGGUAUGAUCAUGUAUAUAGGCAUCACGUCCGAGACAAGUAGACCGGCUCCUGCCUGCAUCUACUACUAUUACUCCACUCAUCGAUCGCUAUCCAACAUGCAUCUAGAGUAUUAAGUUAAUGAAAACAGAGUAACGCCUUAAGCAAGAUGACAUGAUGUAGAGGGAUAAACUCAUGCAAUAUGAUGAAAACCCCAUCUUGUUAUCCUCGAUGGCAACAAUACAAUAUGUGCCUUGCUGCCCCUACUGCCACUGGGAAAGGACACCAUAAGAUUGAACCCAAAGCUAAGAACUUCUCCCAUUGCAAGGAAGAUCAAUCUAGUAGGCCAAACCAAACUGAUAAUUCGAAGAGACUUGCAAAGAUAACCAAUCAUACAUAAAAGAAUUUAGAGAAGAUUCAAAUAUUGUUCAUACAUAGACUUGAUCAUAAACCCACAAUUCAUCGGUCUCAACAAACACACCGCAAAAAGAAGAAUACAUCGAAUAGAUCUCCACAAGAGAGGGGGAGAACAUUGUUUUGAGAUCGAAAAAGAGAGAAGAAGCCAUCUAGCUACUAACUAUGGACCCGUAGGUCUGAGGUAAACUACUCACACUUCAUCGGAGGGGCUAUGGUGUUGAUGUAGAAGCCCUCCAUGAUCGAUGCCCACUUCGGCGGAGCUCCGGAAUAGGCCCCAAGAUGGGAUCUCGUGGAUACAGAAAGUUUCAGCGGUGGAAUUAGGGUUUUUGCUCCGUAUCUGAUCGUUUGGGGGUAUGUAGGUAUAUAUAGGAGGAAGGAGUACGUCGGUGGAGCAACAGGGGGCCCACGAGGGUGGAGGGCGCGCCUGGGGGGGUAGGCGCGCCCCCCUACCUCGUGGCCUCCUCUUUUGUGUCUUGACGUAGGGUCCAAGUCUCCUGGGUCUUGUUCGUUGAGAAAAUCAUGUUCCCGAAGGUUUCAUUCCGUUUGGACUCCGUUUGAUAUUCCUUUUCUUUGAAACCCUAAAACAGGAAAAAACAGCAAUUCUGGGCUAGGCCUUUGGUUAAUAGGUUAGUCCCAAAAAUAAUAUAAAAGUGGAUAAUAAAGCCCAAUAAUGUCCAAAACAGUAGAUAAUAUAGCAUGGAGCAAUCAAAAAUUAUAGAUACGUUGGAGACAUAUCAUAUUUCAUCUCACACGAGUCCUCAUGGACGACGGCAAUGAUACGUCUCCAACAUAUCUACUUUUCCAAACACUUUUGCACUUGUUCUGGACUCUAACUUGCAUGCUUUGAAUGGAACUAACCCGGACUGACGCUGUUUUCAGCAGAAUUGCCAUGGUGUUAUUUUUGUGCGGAAAUAAAAGUUCCCGGAAUGACCUGAAAAUCAACGGAGAUUAUUUUUGGAAUAUAUAAAAAUACUGGCAAAAGAAUCAACGUCAGGGGGCCCACGCCCUAUCCACGAGGGUGGGGGCACGCCCCCUGCCUCGUGGGCCCCCUGAUGCUCCAUCAACGUCCAUCCUGACUCCAUAUAUUCACAUUCGGGGAGAAAAAAUCAGGGAGAAGUAUUCAUCGCGUUUUAUGAUACAGAGCCGCCGCCAAGCCCUAAUCUCUCUCGGGAGGGAUGAUCUGGAGUCCGUUCGGGGCUCCGGAGAGGGGAAUCCGUCGCCAUCAUCAUCAUCAACCUUCCUCCAUCACCAAUUGCAUGAUGCUCACCGCCGUGCGUGAGUAAUUCCAUCAUAGGCUUGCUGGAUGGUAAUGGGUUGGAUGAGAUUUAUCAUGUAAUCGAGUUAUUUUUGUUAGGGUUUGAUCCCUAGUAUCCACCAUAUUCUGAGAUUGAUGUUGCUAUGACUUUGCUAUGCUUAAUGCUUGUCACUAGGGCCCGAGUGCCAUCAUUUCAGAUCUGAACCUAUUAUGUUUUCAUGAAUAUAUGUGAGUUCUUGAUCCUAUCUUGCAAGUCUAUAGUCACCUAUUAUGUGUUAUGAUCCGUUAACCCCGAAGUGACAAUAAUCGGGAUACUUACCGGUGAUGACCGUAGUUUGAGGAGUUCAUGUAUUCACUAUGUGUUAAUGCUUUGGUCUGGUACUCUAUUAAAAGGAGGCCUUAAUAUCCCUUAAUUUCUGAUAGGACCCCGCUGCCACGGGAGGGUAGGACAAAAGAUGUCAUGCAAGUUCUUUUCCAUAAGCACGUAUGACUAUAUUCGGAAUACAUGCCUACAUUACAUUGAUGAACUGGAGCUAGUUCUGUGCCACCCUAUGUUAUAACUGUUGCAUGAUUAAUCGCAUCUUACAUAAUUAUCCAUCACCAAUCCAAUGCCUACGAGCUUUUCAUAUAUUGUUCUUCGCUUAUCUACUUUUCCAUUGGUAUUGUUACAAUCACUAUAAAACCAAAACUGCUACCGUUACUUUUACCACUAUUACCGCUACUAUCAUAUUACUUUGCUACUAAAUACCUUGUUGCAGAUAUUAAGUUAUCCAGGUGUGGUUGAAUUGACAACUCAGCUGCUAAUACUUGAGAAUAUUCUUGGCUCCCCUUGUGUCGAAUCAAUAAAUUUGGGUUGAAUAUCUACCCUCAAAAACUGUUGCGAUCCCCUAUACUUGUGGGUUAUCAAGACUAUUUUCUAGCGCCGUUGUCGGAGAGUAUAGCUCUAUUCUUUGAGUUACUUGGGAUUUAUAUCUGCUGAUCACUAUGAAGAACUUGAAAGAUCAAAGAACCAAGAUUUUUCCCUCAACUACGAGGGGAGGUAAGGAACUUCCAUCUAGCUCUGCACUUGAUUCACCUUCUGUUUUGAGUAAACUUGCGACACCUACACAUGCUAUUGAUUCUGAUAGGUCACAUGUUAUUGAUGAUGCCACUUCUGCUUUGCAUGAUAUUUAUGAUGAAACUACUUCUAUGCUUGAUACUAAUGUGCCACUAGGUGAAUUUCUUGAUGAACAACUUGCUAGGGUUAGAGAGAAUGAAAUUAUUGAAACUGAUAAUAUUGAUGAAAGUGAUGAUGAAGAUUCUCCCCCUAGAUAUGAAUUUCCUGUUGUGCUUGAGGGUUAUGUUAUGGAUGAAGAAACUGCUAGAGACUGCUUGGCUUGCAAUGAUAGAUCCGAUCUUAAGAAAUUAUUAGCUAAGCUUAAAGAAAAGUCUUUGAAUGCUAGAAUGAAAUAUGACCCUGCUUUUGCUACUUCACCUAUCUUUAUUACUAAUAAGGAUUAUGAUUUCUCUGUCGAUCCCGAGUUAAUUACUUUGGUUGAAUCUAAUCAUUUUUAUGGCUAUGAAUCUGAAACUGUUGUGGCACAUCUUACUAAAUUAAAUGAUAUAGCCACCCUGUUUACUCAUGAUGAGAAAACUCGCUAUUACUUUAUCCUUAAGUUGUUUCCGUUCUCAUUAAAUGGUGAUGCUAAAACAUGGUUUAAUUCUCUUGAUCCUGGUUGUGUGCGUACUUCCCAGGAUAUGAUUUAUUACUUCUCUACUAAAUAUUUCCCCGCUCAUAAGAAACAAGUUGCUUUAAGGGAAAUAUAUAAUUUUGUGCAAAUUGAAGAAGAGAGUCUCCCACAAGCUUGGGGGAGGCUUCUCCGAUUACUUAAUGCUUUUCCUGAUCAUCCUCUCAAGAAAAAUGAAAUACUUGAUAUCUUUUAUAAUGGACUAACCGAUGCUUCCAGAGACCACAUGGAUAGUUGUGCUGGUUGUGUUUUCAGGGAAAGGACUGUUGAUCAAGCUGAAUUGCUAUUGAAUAAUAUGUUGAGUAAUGAAAAUGAUUGGACACUUGCCGAACCAACUCCUAAGCCAACUCCAAAGAAAAGGGGGUAUUCUAUUUCUCAGUCCUGAAGAUAUGCAAGAGGCAAAGAAAUCAGUGAAAGAAAAAGGUAUUAAAGCUUAAGAUGUUAAGAAUUUACCACCUAUUGAAGAAAUACAUGGUCUUGAUAACCCGACACAGGUAGUAAAGGUAAAUUCUCUCUAUAGUUUUGAUGAAGGUGAAAUCCCUUGUUAUAAGUCUGCUAGCCAAUGCUUAGAUGAGUUUGAUAAUUUUAUUGUUAAACAAGAAAACUUCAAUGCUUAUGUUGGUAGACAAUUGAAACGCAAUGCUGAUAUGCUUGAACACUUGAGUGAUUAUAUGGCUAGUGUUAAAGGGGAACUUAAACUUAUUAGUAAACAUGCUUCUAUGGUUACCACUCAAGUAGAACAAGUACUUAAGGCUCAAAAUGAUUUGCUCAAUGACUUAAAUAAUAAGAAAAAUGAUAAUGUUGUUAGAGUUGUGACUAGAGGGGGUAAAAUGACUCAGGAACCUCUGUAUCCUGAGGGCCACCCUAAGAGAAUUGAGCAAUAUUCUCAGAGAACUAAUGUUGAUGCACCUAGUUCUUCUUAGAAGAAGAAGAAGAAAAAUGAUAGGACUUUGCAUGCUUCUAGUGAACCUGCUGUUGACACACCUGAGAAUCCCAAUGAUAUUUCUAUUUCUGAUGCUAAAACACAAUCUGGUAAUGAACAUGAACCUAGUGGUAAUGUUAAUGAUGAUGUUCAUGUUGAUGCUCAACCUAACAAUGAUAAUGAUGUAGAGAUUGAACCUGCUGUUGAUCUUGAUAACCCACAAUCAAAGAAUCAACAUUAUGAUAAGAAAGAGAACCAUGGGUUCAGAAACCCAUGCCUUUUCCUCCUAAACCAUCCAAGAAAAAGGAUGAUGAUGAUUUUGAGCGCUUUCCUGAAAUGAUUAGACCUAUCUUUUUGCGUAUGCAUUUGACUGAUAUGCUUAAAAUGAAUCCUUAUGCUAAGUAUAUGAAAGAUAUUGUUACAAAUAAGAGGAAGAUACUGGAAGCUAAAAUUUCCACCAUGCUUGCUAAUUAUACUUUUAAAUGGAACACCUAAGAAAUUGGGAGAUCCCGGAGUACCAACUAUACCAUGCUCCAUUAAAAGAAACUAUGUUAAAACUGCUUUAUGUGAUCUUGGAGUCGGUGUUAGUGUUACGCCUCUCUCUUUACAUCGUAGACUUGAUUUGAAUAAGUUUACAUCUACUGAAAUAUCUUUGCAAAUGGCCGAUAAAUCAACUGCUAUACCUGUCGGUAUUUGUGAGGAUGUGCCUGUUGUGGUUGCAAACGUUACUAUUUUGACAGACUUUGUUAUUCUUGAUAUUCCAGAGGACGAUAGUAUGUCUAUUAUUCUUGGGAGACCCUUUUUGAAUACUGCAGGGGAUGUUAUUGAUUGCAACAAAGGCAAUGUCACUUUUCAUGUUAAUGGUAAUGAGCAUACGGUACACUUUCCGAGGAAACAACCUCAAGUCCACAGUAUCAAUUCUAUUGCAAAAAUUCCAACUAUUACUAUAGGUGGUUUUGAAUUUCCUCUUCGUACUGUCAAGAAGAAAUAUGAUAUUCUUAUUGUUGGGGACAUGCAUAUCCCCGUCGAGGUAACCUAGUGUUAUUCGAAAAUUCUCCGGUUUCAUGUUAUUCGAAAAGAGUUUGUUAACAAGACUUGAUCAACCUUGUUAGUGGAUUCCUUUUUGAUGAGCAUGAGAUGGGUGAAGUUAGAAAGCACAACCUUCUAUACCCUCUUUUUACUUUUUGUUAUUUAAAUUAAAUAAAGAAAAAAUAGUAUUUUUUGUCUGUUUUCUGAAUUAUCCAUGCAAUGAAAAAUACCCCGAAAAUAAAAGCUCUCCAAAUGCCCUGAAAUUUUAAUAUGAUUUUUUAGAAUAUUUGAGAACAUCUAGCACUGAGAACACACCAGGGGGACCCACCACGUGCCCACGAGGGUGGAGGGUGCGCCCCCUGCCUCGUGGACCCCACGUGGGUCCCCUCCACUUAUCCUUGCACCCACACACUUCGUCUUGCUCCAGAAAAAAUCAUCCACCAGCUCAAACUCGUGUUCUAGCUCAUCUUGUUGCCAUUUUCGAUCUCCUUGCUCAAAGCUCCAUUCACAAAACUUCUUUGGGGGAUUGUUCUUCGGUAUGUGACUCCUCCAAUGGUCCAAUUAGUUUUUGUUCUAGUGCUUUAUUUAUUGCAAAUUUUUGCUGCUUAGGUGACCCUGUUCUUGAGCUUGCAUGUCAAAUUUAUAUGGUUAAAAGUAGUUUUAAUGCAUGAUAUAGUCUCUAGGAACUUGUAGGAGUAGCUGCUAUCAAUUUUGUUGAGUUUGGCUCACUUUUAUUUUAAGUUACUAAAAAUUUCAGAAAUUUUUCAGAGGAAGAAAUAUGUUUAGGAAAAUGUACCAAGGUGGUUCCUAAAGGAAGCAAGGCCCAAGGCCCGCAAUACGCGAGCCAGACAAUGAACUACCAAGGGAGGCUCAAGUGCGGCCUUGUGAAUGGCCGUCAGAGGAUUUCAUGGUCCGGGCAGGCAUCAAGGAAGAAUUUGACGCAUAUGUGCGUAACACUGAUCUUGAGAGCUUCGAGUCAGAUAAGUGCCGACAGUACCUCUAUUUAACUGAUUCAUUUGUGAGAAGGUUUAAGUUUACAUCCUUGCGCAAUUCUCAUAAUGUCCUAUUUGAUCUUUAUGAUAAAUCCUAUACCAUGGACUUAGAAGAUUUUAAUACUGCUUGUAAACUCCCACAGUGGGGUAAUGUUAGUGAACCUCGCAAAGCUGAAUAUAAAGAUUUUCUUGCUAGUAUCACUGUGGGGGAAUCUAGAGAAAUAACACAAGCUACCAUAGGAGCAUUCAUUUUCCUGCCAUACAUUAUUUUCUCUCUUUAUAGGUAGAUGCAUUAACGGUAAGGAUGGGGCAUGUCACAUGUGCGUUCCCGAUCUUAGUGUUCUCAAGAGUGUUGUAUUAGGAGAUAGCCAAUAUAACUUGGGGGCCAUUGUUGCACGUAGGUUGCAUAAUAAUAGUAUUAAUGGAGAUUUCUUAGGUGGAAUUUAUGCAAACCGUUUAGCUGAUUUUCUUGAGAUACCCAUACGUGGAGAUGAUAUUGAGUUGCCUCCUGCUUAUUUAGAUUAUAAUGCUAUGGUUCAUCAUCAGUUUGUUGAAAGGAAUGAUCAGUCCCUCCAGUACCAACUAAUCUUUGACAGACGACACACCUAUCAUGUCGCUCUCCCUACUCCUAAUUUCUUUGACUAUCAGGCAAAAGGGAGAUAUGUCAUAACCAGGGAGGAGGUGAACGAGUACGAGAGGAGGACGGAGGCAGCCCGCCUCCAAGCUGCAGCCCUUCAGGCAGUAGUUGAUGCAUCUCAGUACGACCCCAACUUCAACUUCGGAUAUCCACCAGGCCAUCCAUGGGCAUAGACCAACUUAGGCCAAAAGCCUAAGCUUGGGGAGUACGUAUUUCUCACCGGCAUUACAUUCAUGUUCACACAUUCAUGCCAGUUGUCGUUGCUCAUACUCUUUCAUUGUAUCAUCCAUGCUAGUUUAAUUUAUUUUUAAGCUUUCUUCUUGUGUGUUUGAAAAACCUUAAGAAAAACCAAAAAAAAUUACUUGUACCUUUUAGCUAGUUUACUUUCCAUGCCUGUAGUAGUAGUAGUAGUAAUUAAAGAGAAAACCCAAAAAGAUUUCUCGUUCUUCUUUUGCUUGUUGGGAGCUUUCCCGUGUAAAUAGUUUUAUUUCUUUCUUUUUAUUUGGGGGUCGAUAGGAGAAGAGCAUGAUUAAAAUGUUGAGUGGCUCUCAUAUGCAUUAUUGUUGAUCUAACAGAGAGCCCAUAUUACCUUGUCUUCUCCUAUGUAUUGAAUGCUUGCAGAUUCCAGCUUAGUCCAAUGCACGUGCACUAUUAUUAUUAUCCACACUAUUCGGUUGUUCAAGUGAAAGGCAAUAAUGACGAUAUAUGAUGAACUAAUUGAGAUGAGAAAAGCUGGUAUGAACUCGACCUCUCUUGUUUUUGUAAAUAUGAUUAGUUCAUCAUUACUGAUUCAGCUUAUUAUGAAUGAAACAUGUUUGCAAUGAUAAUUAGAGAUUAUAGUUGCUUAUGCCAUGCUUAAUUAGCUAGGAGUUUAUAAUGGUUUGCCUUGCGUGCCAACAUGCUAUUAAAAUGGUUGUGAUGUGGUAUGAUAGGGUGGUAUCCUCCUUUGAACGAUUCGAGUGGCUUGACUUGGCACAUGUUCACGCAUGUAGUUGAAAAAAAAUCAACAUAGCCUCUACGAUAUUUAUGUUCAUGGUGCAUUAUAUCCUACUCAUGCUUGCAUUCGGUGUCGAUUAAUUUUAAUGCAUGUACAUGACUGUUGUCGCUCUCUAGCUAGUCGCUUCCCAGUCUUUUUCUAGCCUUCACUUGUACUAAGCGGGAAUACUUCUUGUGCAUCCAACUCCAUAAAACACAAAAGUUAUUCCAUAUGAGUCCACCAUACCUACCUAUAUACGGUAUCUACCUGCCGUUCCAAGUAAAUUUGUAUGUGCCAAACUCUGAACCUUCAAAUAAACAUUCUGUUUUGUAUGCUCGAAUAGCUCAUGUAUCAACUAGGGAUGUAUGUAUCUUCCAUGCUAGGCGGGUUAUUCUCAAGAGGAGUGGACUCCGCUCCUCACUCAUAAGAAAAUGGCUGGUCAUCGAGAUGCCCAGUCCCAUGCUCAAAUCAAAUCAAAAUAAUUGCAAAUAACUCCCCUAGGAUUGUUGGUAGUUGGAGGCACCCGUUGUUUCGGGUAAGCCAUGGAUUGAUGCUUGUUGGUGGUGGGGGAGUAUAAACUUUACCAUUCUGCUUGGGAACCGCCUAUAAUGUGUAUAGCAUGGAAGAUAUCGAGAUCUCUCGGUUGUUGUGUUGACAAUGAAAGUAUACCGCUCAAAAUAUUAUUCAUCUCUAUUUCAAAACCGAGAUCUGGCACCUUUGCAAAUCCUUGCUUCCCUCCACGAAGGGCCUAUCUAUUUACUUUUAUGCUGAGUCAUCAUCCUCUUAUUAAAAAGCACCAGUUAGAGAGCACCGCUGUCAUUUGCAUGUAUUAUUGUUAGUUUACAUUGAGUAUGACUUGACUGGAUCUCUUUUAUCAUGAAUUACAAUUUCCAGUCAGCCCUUGAUCUUUAAAGGUGCUCUGCAUUUAUGUUUUGCGAUCUCAGAAAGGGCUAGCGAGAUACCAUCUUGUUAUAUCAUAUUAUGAUUGUUUUGAGAAAGUGUUGUCAUCCGAGAUUUAUUAUUAUUGCUCGCUAGUUAAUUAUGCCAUUGAUAUGAGUAAAUAUGAGACCUAAAUGUUAUUGUGAAUAUGGUUAGUUCAUAAUCUUUGCUAAAAACUUGAAUGCUGGCUUUACAUAUUUGCAACAACAAGAGCAAAUAGAGUUUGUAAAAGUUUUUCUUUAUCACUUUUAGUUUAUCAACUGAAUUGCUUGAGGACAACCAAAGGUUUAAGCUUGGGGGAGUUUAUACGUCUCCAACGUAUCUACCUUUCCAAACACUUUUGCUCUUGUUUUGGACUCUAACUUGCAUGAUUGGAAUGGAACUAACCCAGACUGACGCUAUUUUCAGCAGAAUUGCCAUGGUGUUAUUUUUGUGCAAAAAUAAAAGUUCCCGGAAUGACCUGAAAAUCAACGGAGAUUAUUUUUGGAAUAUAUAAAAAAUACUGGCAAAUGAAUCAACGUCCGGGGGCCCACACCCUGUCCACGAGGGUGGGGGUGCGCCUACCCCCCUGCCUCGUGGGCCCCCUGAUGCUCCACCGAUGGCCAUCCUGACUCCAUAUAUUCAUGUUCAGGGAGAAAAAAAUCAGGGAGAAGGAUUCGUUGCAUUUUACGAUACGGAGCCGCCGCCAAGCCCUAAUCUCUCUCGGGAGGGCUGAUCUGGAGUCCAUUCGGAGCUCCAGAGAGGGGAAUCCGUUGCCAUCGUCAUCAUCAACCUUCCUCCAUCACCAAUUUGAUGAUGCUCACCGCCGUGCAUGAGUAAUUCCAUCGUAGGCUUGCUGGACGGUGAUGGGUUGGAUGAGAUUUAUCAUGUAAUCGAGUUAGUUUUCCUAGGGUUUCAUCCCUAGUAUCCACUAUGUUCUGAGAUUGAUGUUGUUAUGACUUUGCUAUGCUUAAUGCUUGUCACUAGGGCCCGAGUGCCAUGAUUUCAGAUCUGAACAUAUUAUGUUUUCAUGAAUAUAUGCGAGUUCUUGAUCCUAUCUUGCAAGUCUAUAGUCACCUAUUAUGUGUUAUGAUCCGUUAACCCCGAAGUGACAAUAAUCGGGAUACUUACCGGUGAUGACCCUAGUUUGAGAAGUUCAUGUAUUCACUAUGUGUUAAUGCUUUGUUCCGAUACUCUAUUAAAAGGAGGCCUUAAUAUCCCUUAGUUUCCGACUAGCACAUAUGCCCAUGCGUUGCAAUGGGAGAAAAAAUGCAUUUAAAGUAAGUGAAAAUUAUAUGUGCAAGCAAAACCCUGUGUGCAUGUCAAAAGGGAACAUUUAGCUUCUCGGUUUCGCCAGGUUUGAAGUAACCAAUCCGCUAUUUUUCAUUUAUUGAUCGAGGGCAUUUAAGAGUUUUGUUACGUCAUCGUACGCUAGAGAAGGCCCAUGAAUUAUCCAAUCUAUUUUUCCUUUCAAUCAAGGAAAUUUUAAGGUAUGAAGUUUCUGAAUAUUGUAGAAAACAUGAACCAUUUUUCUAAUCCUGAACAUUUUUUGAAAAUUAUGUACACUUUCAGAAAAAACACAAACAAAAUUUAAAACAAGAACAUCUUUAAAAAUUCACAAACAAUUUUUGAAAACGCCAACUUUCUUUAUAAAAACAUGUACAUUAUUUGAAUUUGUGAACAUUUUUUAAACACGUGAACAUGUGUUGAAAAUUCACACCAUUUAAAAAAAUGUGUAUCUUUUAUACACGGACAUUAUUUAGAAUUGUGAAAAAUUCACUAAACCAAAAAUAUUUUUCGAAUUUGGAGCAUUUUUUUAAAAUGUCAUGUUCUUUUUAGAAAUCUUGAAUUUGUUUGCAAAACAAUAUUUUUUGAAAAAAUGUUUAACUUUUUCCAAAUUCCAAUUAUUUUCCAAAAUAGCAAUAAAAAUUUGGAAUUUUGAACAUUUUUUGAGAAUUUGGAAUUUAUGAAAUAAAUUCUAUAAGGAAAAUAAAUUGUAAGGAAAAAAGAGAUAGGGAAAGUAGAAUAAAAAUAGAAGUAAAACACAAAAAUGAAGAAAAAAGGGCCAGCCUAUUAUUAUUUGUCCGGUGUGAAGCUCGAACUAUUUGUCACCCUAUGCUGAAAAUAGAAUUUCCCCAGCUACAUGGGUAGAAAAAUAAAUGGGUUGGAAUCGGUGGGCCACAUCACGCGUGCGGCCCAUGUACGGAAUUUUGGCAAAGACUUCUUUUAUCUAGCAGACGAACACAUAAGAAUUUAGUACCACCUCACAUAGGAUAAAAAUAUUUUCGACGGUGAACGGAUGAAAAAUUUGGCGAAACACACCUUGCUUUAUUAGUAGGUAUAGAUAGGACCCCGCUGCUGAUGACCCACAAGUAUAGGGGAUCUAUCGUAGUCCUUUCGAUAAGUAAGAGUGUCGAACCCAACGACGAGCAGAAGGAAAUGAUAAGCGGUUUUCAGCAAGGUAUUCUCUGCAAGUAAUGAAAUAAGUGGUAACAGAUAGUUUUGUGUAUGAUAAUUUGUAACGAGCAACAAGUAACAAAAAUAAAUAAAGUGCAGCAAGGUGGCCCAAUCCUUUUUGUAGCAAAGGACAAGCCAGGACAAACUCUUAUAUAAGGAAAAGCGCUCCCGAGGACACAUGGGAAUAUCGUCAAUCUAGUUUUCAUCACGUUCAUAUGAUUCGCGUUCGGUAUUUUGACAAUUUGACAUGUGGGCGGACCGGUGCUUGGGUGUUGGUUCUUACUUGAACAAGCAUCCCACUUAUGAUUAACCUCUAUUGCAAGCAUCCGCUGAAGGAAAUAUGCCCUAAAGGCAAUAAUAAAGUUAUUAUUUAUUUCCUUAUAUCAUGAUAAAUGUUUAUUAUUCAUGCUAGAAUUGUAUUAACCGGAAACAUAAUACAUGUGUGAAUACAUAGACAAACAAAGUGUCACUAGUAUGCCUCUACUUGACUAGCUCGUUGAUCGAAGAUGGUUAUGUUUCCUAACCAUAGACAUGAGUUGUCAUUUAAUUAACGGGAUCACAUCAUUAGGAGAAUGAUGUGAUUGACUUGACCCAUUCCGUUAGCAUAGCACUUGAUCGUUUAGUUUGUUGCUAUUGCUUUCUUCAUGACUUAUACAUGUUCCUAUGACUAUGAGAUUAUGCAACUCCCGUUUACCGGAGGAACACUUUGUGUGACACCAAACGUCACAACGUAACUGGGUGAUUAUAAAGGUGCUCUACAGGUGUCUCCGAAGGUACUUGUUGGGUUGGCGUAUUUCGAGAUUAGGAUUUGUCACUCCGAUUGUCGGGGAGGUAUCUCUGGGCCCUCUCGGUAAUGCACACCACUUAAGCGUUGCAAGCAUUGCAACUAAUGAGUUAGUUGCAGGAUGAUGUAUUACGGAACGAGUAAAGAGACUUGCCGGUAACGAGAUUGAACUAGGUAUUGAGAUACCGAUGAUCGAAUCUCGGGCAAGUAACAUACCGAUGACAAAGGGAACAACGUAUGUUCUUAUGCGGUCUGACCGAUAAAGAUCUUCGUAGAAUAUGUGGGAGCCAAUAUGAGCAUCCAGGUUCCGCUAUUAGUUAUUGACCGGAGACGUGUCUCAGUCAUGUCUACAUUGUUCUCGAACCCGUAGGGUCCGCAUGCUUAAGGUUUCGAUGACAGUUAUAUUACGAGUUUAUGAGUUUUGAUGUACCGAAGGAGUUCGGAGUCCCGGAUGAGAUCGGGGACAUGACGAGGAGUCUUGAAAUGGUCGAGACAUAAAUAUCGAUAUAUUGGACGACUAUAUUCGGACAUCGGAAAGGUUCCGAGUGAUUCGGGUAUUUUUCGGAGUACCGGAGAGUUACGGGAAUACGUAUUGGGCCUUCUUGGGCCAGACGGGAAAGAAGGAAAAGGGCCUCAAGGGUGGCCGCACCCCUCCCCUUGGUCUGGUCUGAAUUGGACUAGGGAAGGGGGGGGGGGCCCUUCCUUCCUUCUCCUUUUUCCUUCCUCUUUUCCUAUUCCAUAUGGGAGGUGGAAUCCUACUAGGGCUAGGGAGUCCUAGUAGGACUCCACACUUGGCGCGCCCCUUCCUAGGGCCGGCCUCCUCCUCCCUUGCUCCUUUAUAUACAGGUGCAGGGGGGCACCCCAAAGACACAACAAUUGAUCAUUGAUCUCUUAGCCGUGUGCGGUGCUCCCUUCCACCAUAAUCCUCGAUAAUAUUGUAGCGGUGCUUAGGCGAAGCCCUGCGACGGAACUCUUCCCUGACAUUCUGCUGGAUCGGAGUCCGGGGAUUGUCAUCAUGCUGAACGUGUGCUAGAACUCGGAGGUGGCGUAGUUUCGGUGCUUGAUCGGUCGGGCCGUGAAGACGUACGACUACAUCAACCGCGUUGUGCUAACACUUCCGCUUUUGGUCUACAAGGGUACGUAGACAACACUCUCCCCUCUCGUUGCUAUGCAUCACCAUGAUCUUGCGUGUGCGUAGGAAUUUUUUUGAAAUUACUACGUUCCCCAACAGUGGUAUCAGAGCCAGGUUUUAUGCGUUGAUGUUAUGCACGAGUAGAACACAAGUGAGUUGUGGGGGAUAUAAGUCAUACUGCUUACCAGCAUGUCAUACUUUGGUUCGGCGGUUGUCGGUGUCAAAACCGGUGGAUCUCGGGUAGGGGGUCCCGAACUGUGCGUCUAGGCCGGAUGGUAACAGGAGACAAGGGACACAAUGUUUUACCCAGGUUCGGGCCCUCUUGAUGGAGGUAAAACCCUACGUCCUACUUGAUUAAUAUUGAUGAUAUGGGUAGUACAAGAGUAGAUCUACCGCGAGUUCAAGGAGGCUAAACCCUAAAAGCUAGCCUAUGGUAUGAUUGUUGUAUGAUGAAGUUGUCCUACGGACUAAAACCCUCCGGUUUAUAUAGGUACCAGAGAAGGUUACAAUUGUAGGAGAUCUUGAAUAUCCGCAUCGCCAAGCUUGCCUUCCACGCCAAGGAAAGUCCCAUCCGGACACGGGACGAAGUCUUCAAUCUUGUAUCUUCAUAGUCCUGGAGUCCGGCUGAAGGUAUAGUCCGGCUACCCGAACACCCCCUCAGUAGCCCCUGAACCAGGCUUCAAUGACGAUGAGUCCGGCGCGCAGAUUGUCUUCGGCAUUGCGAGGCGGGUUCCUCCUCCAAAUUCUUGAUAAAAGUUUGUAAACACCAAGAGUAGUGUUCGGCUCUGCAAAAUAAGUUUCCACGUAUUGCCAUAGAGAGAAUAAUAUUAACACAAAUCUAAUCUGCUGACGUAUUCCGCAGCGUGAUAUCACACUACGGCCAAGCCUUUAUUCGAAUCGUUUUCAUUUUUCCACCUUAGCGUGUUUCGCGAGGCGGUUUCCUUGGAACGUCUUGUCAAAGCAGAGAUCAUGUCCCCUUUGUUUACGGGAUUCUCAUUAAUACGGACGUGGGUAACCCAACCGCGCCACUUAUCAUGGCGCUUGGGAGGCAAGCGAGUUUUACUUAGGCUGGUGGGGGCGCAUAGUCGCAUCCGCCCAUAUAAGGGGAUAAGGAUCCAACUUUUUACCUACGCCUUCUUCCUCCUUUGCCCAUCCAUCUUCUGCGCACCCGAGCUCCAGCGCCCAAGCCCGCACUUCCUACCUCAACCCUCUCCAAGAAUGUCCGGAGCGGGAGGCAAGUGGAUGGUCUUCUCCGUCACGGAGGGCCAUGUCAAAAGGUUAAGGAAGGCCGGAUACUUGUCCAAAGACAUCGCGCACCAGCUUCCUGAGGAGGGGCAGAUUCUCCCCACCCCAAGACCCCAUGAGAGGGUAGUAUUUCUUCCCCACUUCCUCCGCGGACUGGGUUUUCAUCUCCACCCAUUCGUCCGUGGGCUCAUGUUCUACUAUGGCAUAGAUUUCCACGAUCUGGCCCCGAACUUCAUCCUCAAUAUCUCGGUGUUUAUCAUUGUGUGCGAGGCUUUCCUCUGCAUCCACCCCCAUUUUGGCCUCUGGCUCAAGACCUUCAACGUCAAGCCAAAGGUGGUGCGCGGCAACCAGGCGGAGUGUGGAGGUGCCAUGGCGGGCAAAAUAGCCAACGUCCUAUGGCUCGAGGGCUCCUUUGUGGAGACCUUGAAGGGGUGGCAGUCAGGGUGGUUUUACAUCACCGAGCCACGCGAUCCGAAGUGGAUCGCAGCCCCUGAAUUCCGAUCCGGACCCCCUACGCGGCUCACGUCCUGGAAGGAGGCGAGCUUUUCAUGGGGCGACGAAGAAGAGUUGACCGGACUGCAAAAAUGCAUCCAGUCCCUGGUGAACAAGCAGCUCAAGCUUGUCAAUGUAGUCCAAGUCAUGCUUGUCCGCCGAAUCCUUCCGUGUCAAGAACGGGACUUCAAUUUGAGGGAGUUCAACCCGGCGCAGCACCGAACUCUGAGUAGGCUCUUCGACACGACGUACGAAGAUGUCUGGAGGGGGCUAACCAAAGGCGCCAAGGCUCCCACAUCCGCCUCCGAAGACCGCAGAUUCAGCUCGCAGCGUCCUGCUAGCGAGGUAAGAUAUUUCCAUCUUUUAUAGGAUGUUAAGUUUUUCAUAGUUUGACUCUAUGCGGGAUCCAAACUCCCUCACCUUUGAAAGGACUAGCGGGAGAAGUCCGGACAGAUUAACUGUCCGACUCCCUUGCCCGAAGACCCAGCCCCUGCUCUCCUAGAGAAGCUGCUGGUUCCGGCACCUUAUGUGGUGCCGGAGAAGAAGGCCAAGAAGAAGAAGGCCACGGGGACUCGAAAGAGUUCCCGGCAUAUGGUGGUGUCGGACUCGUCAUCCGACGAGUCCGAGACGCGCUCCUCCCGUGAAGACGAGGAGGAGGAAGAAGAAACCUCUCCCCCUCCAGCGGGGGGAGGAAAGAAGAGGAAGGCCGCCCUAGCAGGGGAGGCCGAGGGGUCCAAGAAGAGGAAAACCCCUCUGCCGGACUACGCCCCCGACGCUGACGAGGACGAAGAGGAGUGGCCGGACAGGGCCAAGCGUCCGGUGAAAUCGUAAGUGUUCGGAUACCAGAGUAACUCAUGCUAUUCCUUUUGUUGCACAGCUUUCCCUAAUGUCGAAUAUGAUCGUGCAGCCCGCCCAAGGAUGGGCUCGACGAGUCAUCGAGCAGCUCCCUGGAUUCAUCGGACGUGAAUUCAGUUCCGCCCACUGCCUCCCCCUGUGCUACGGAUGACGCCAAAGUGGCAUCACGACAAGCUCCGGGGCAAGAGGAGGUGGUCCAGGAGGAGCCGCGAGGCGACCUCCCGGACUCCAGGAGUGAAGGGGACAAGACCCCCCUGGGCUCCAAGUCCGGCUUUAAGCCGGACACCGCGCCGGAAUCAUCAACGGUUCCGGACUGCGGUAGGCGAACUCCUGCCAAGAGGAGCAAGCCUACUGAGCCGGCGUCCUCCGUCCAACUGGAGGCGCCGGACAAUCUGCUGGAGGAGCUUAAGGGCGCCUCCAUCGACGAGGAGCACUAUGCCAUCAUGAGUACGGUGGUCCAGAAGGUUCGGUCCGCCAAAAGCGGACUAACUGAAGCUUGUGCUAGCCUUCUAACAGGCUUCGAGGUAAGUAAAAAUAUGUAAAAAUAUUACCGUAUAGACAGUAGCCCCUGAUGCUCUGUUUGGCGUUCGGAAAGAAAAGCCGAAUAGAGGAUCUAUUAAGUAUCGCAGGAGUCUAACUAAAAAGGAGUCAAUAUACGUAUGCAGGCUUCGCUGCUGGCCACCGCCGCACUGACUGCGGAGGUGGGUGCCCUGAAGCAGGGCCUCGAGCGGACCGAGCAAGAGCUCGGCCUUGCCAAACGGCAGCUCGAGGAGAAAGAAGGUAAGAGAUACCUUAUAGAAAAAAUGCCUAUAGGAAGGCGCAAUUGCAAAAAAUGACAGGAGUAUACUGCUUAUUGUAGGGGCCACAACUGAGGUGGUGACCCUCAAGCAGGCGCUGUUCGAGGCCAAGAAGAAAGCGGCCAUGGAGCGCACCGAGCGGGAGAAAUUUGAGGCCCUCCAAGAAUUGGAUGCGGUGAAAAAGAUAGCGGCGGGUAAGGCAUUCUAUAUGCAAAGCAGACAUAUAAAAGUAAACUACUUGUUACUUACCCGAAUCCGAAGCUCUCCAGGGGCAUUCGCAGAUCUUCCCCGCAGCGUAUCCGAUGCCGCCACAUUCUACCGAGCCGAGGAAGGCAGCUCGACGGAGAAGGUGUUCUGGUCUCAGUACGCUGAGGCCGGACACCCUGUGCCCUUGAGCGACCAGCUGAAGCAGCUGGUCGAGCUCCACAAGGCGGCCGAACAGGCCCUGAAGGGCUUCAUAGUUCGGCUGUGGCCUGGAGAGGCCCUGCCAGGGAGCUACUUCGGACUGGUGCAGCGGCUGGUGGAGGCUUGUCCAAGGCUCGAGGUCAUCAAGCGCUCCGUCUGCAUCGAAGGUGCCCGUAGAUCCCUUGCCCGUGCAAAGGUGCACUGGGGUAAGCUGGACGGUGAGAACCUUGUGAAGGACGGGCCGCCGCCGGGGAAGGAGCAUCGCAAGCCCGAGAACUAUUACAAGGAUGUUCUUGCUGGUGCCCGCCUUGUGGCGGAUGAAUGUAUCAAGGAUGUAAUUUUUGAAUGAACUCGCUCGUGUCAUCCUGUGCGCUGAAAACUUAUUCAUAUGCACUAAGCAAUGCUUGAAUUUAAAAUAUUACUUUCUGUGCGGCCGUUUAUCAAAAAAUUGAGAGAUGGUCAGUCGUCGGCUUCUGCCCUCAUGCCACUAGUGCUGGGGUGUUCGGGAUAAACCUGAGCGCUCUUUUUCCCAUGAUUGGGUCCAUCGAGGGAGGCGGUCAGCACAACGAACAAGGCAAUCGGACUAUAAUGCUUGAACACUCUCACUUAGCCAUAGAACUCUAUAAUUUUAAAUUUUUGCGAAGCCCCUAGUAUUCGGAAGACCGAGUUCGGGGCGCUAUCCACGCCUUGGCCGGACAAAGCCGGUUCCUCGCUCGAAGCGGCAUAAGCCUUUAAGGACUCAAAAAACCUCUCGAACAGCGACCGGUCUCUCGCCUCAUCAUGACAGUCAGUUUUAGCUUUCUCCACUGAGGUGCUCGGCCCAGCUCAACUGGGGCACAAUCGCAGUGGUUCUCCUAGUGCUACCAUAGCCGAUAUAGCGGAACGUAAGGCACCAAAACAUAGGAGCCGGGCAAACCCAACUAUUGACCCAAAUCAUGAUUCGGAGUCGAUGCAUAUAGUGCUAUAAGUUCGGGGUGCCGCACUUGUGAAAGUGGACGGACUUCUCACGCCAUAUUGAUGGGUACUGAAGCCCCUGGCGUAUUUUGCCAUACCACAGUGUAUGGAUGCAGCAUGUUUAUUAAUAAACAUAUAUAUAAAAAGAGGGUAAUGCAAAAAAUAGACAAAAAGCUAUGCAUUGUUUAUAGAAAGGCUGCUAUGAAAGCGGAACGAUACAAAUAGUGCGAUAAGCAAAAGAAAUUGGACUAUUUAACAUGUCCUGGUCAGGGGCAGGCCACGGAAUUGUAUUAAAAAAUAGCUAUACUGCUCGCAAUAGAGACCACCUGGGAGUUCCAUAAUGCGGCGUGGCUUGUCUGCUUCCCUGGAUCUUGCAUCGUUUGUGCAGCAGUUGAAUUGCCGAAGGGUCGUCCGAAAAAUGGAGUCCUGAGAGUAAGAGAAAAAAGAAGGAAUCUGGCAGCCCCUGGUGCGGUUUAAGCCAUAUUUCGGGCAUGCCAUGAUAGUGCCCCUUCCCCUGUGCCCACGGUAUUUCAAGAGCGUAGUUAUGUACGCGAACCGCUGGUUUCGCUAUAUCGCGAGGGCUAGGGUUGGGGCCGCAUUGCUACACUAGCUCGAAACGUGCCAGGCGGUCUUGUUGUAGGGUACUCCGGGUGCGCUUGACAGUGUCCGUCUUUUUGAAGGCUGAACUGGAGAACUGCCUAGAGAGGCUGCUUUGUACUUCUGCUGCGAGCGCUGCCGUGUGCUCCUCCGUUCGGAGGGAGCGUUCAGUGUUCCCAUUGACCGUGAUUACUCCUCUAGGGCUUGGCAUCUUGAGCUUGAGGUAUGCAUAGUGCGGUACCACGUUGAAUUUUGCGAAUGCGGUUCGCCCGAGCAGUGCGUGAUAGCCACUACGAAACUGGACUAUGUCGAAGAUUAACUCCUCGCUUCGGAAGUUAUCCGGAGAUCCGAAGACCACUUCCAGUGUAACCGAGCCUGUACAGUUGGCUUCUACACCUGGUAUGAUGCCUUUAAAGGUCGUUUUGGUGGGCUUGAUCCUUGAGGGAUCUAUGCCCAUCUUUCGCACUGUAUCUUGGUAAAGCAGGUUCAGGCUGCUGCUGCCGUCCAUGAGGACUCUUGUGAGAUGAAAUCCGUCAAUGAUUGGGUCUAGAACCAAUGCGGCGAAGCCGCCAUGACGGAUGCUAGUGGGGUGGUCCCUUCGAUCAAAGGUGAUCGGGCAGGAGGACCAUGGGUUGAACUUUGGGGCGACCGGCUCCAUCGCAUAUACGUCCCGUAACGCACGCUUCCGCUCCCUCUUGGGGAUGCGGGUUGCGUAUAUCAUGUUCACCGUCCACACUUGCGAGGGAAAUCCCUUCUGUCCACUAUUGUCCGGAAGCCUGGGCUCCUCCUCGUCAUCGCUAUGCAGCCCCUUGUCUUUGUUUUCGGCUCUUAACUUGCCUGCCUGCUUGAACACCCAACAGUCCCUGUUGGUGUGAUUGGCUGGCUUUUCGGGGGUGCCGUGUAUCUGGCACAAGCAGUCGAGUAUUUGGUCCAAACUGGAUGGGCCCUGAGCAUUUCUUUUGAAUGGCUUUUUUCGCUGACUGGAUUUGUAGCCUCGGAAUCCGGCAUUAACUGUCGUAUCCUUGUUGCUGUCGCUGUUAACGCGGCACUUUUGUUUGUUCCGACACGACCUGUCACCUUUGUCCUUGGUAUUUGAAUUACCAGGGUUCUUGUUUAAGUUGUUACUGUGAGCUAGCCAGCUGUCUUCUCCUGCGCAAAAGCGGGUCAUGAGUGUCGUGAGGGCUGCCAUAGAUUUUGGCUUUUCCUGUCCUAGGUGCCGGGCAAGCCACUCGUCACGGAUAUUAUGCUUGAAGGCCGCUAAGGCCUCUGCGUCCGGACAGUCGACUAUCUGGUUUUUAUUUGUUAGGAACCGUGUCCAGAAUUGCCUGGCCGAUUCUUCUGGCUACUGAAUUAUGUGGCUUAGGUCAUCGGCGUCCGGUGGUCGCACAUAAGUGCCCUGGAAGUUGUCAAGGAAUGCGGCUUCCAGGUCCUUCCAAGAAGCGAUUGAGUUUGCUGGCAAGCUGUUAAGCCAAUGCUGGGCCGGUCCCUUAAGUUUGAGUGGGAGGUAUUUGAUGGCAUGUAAAUCAUCACCGCGGGCCAUGUGGAUAUGAAGGAGAUAAUCCUCGAUCCAUACCGCAGGAUCCGUUGUGCCAUCGUAUGAUUCGAUGUUUACGGGUUUGAAUCCCUCAGGGAUUUUAUGAUCCAUUACUUCAGCAUAGUGGGUGUGCGGCGCCUCUGUAUUGGGCUAUAUCACGACGCAGCUCGAAGGAGCUUUGUCUGUUGAGUUCGGCCCGGCCGGAUUCAUUGCGUCCGGAGUGACGAUCACCGUCACAUGCUGUGGGGCGCCUGUGCGAUCCAUAGAUCGAUCUUGUUUGCCUUGCCUUGUCCUCCAGUAUGUCGCGCAAGUCGGGCGCAUUUUCUCGUGCCUUAGUAUGCUUGAUGCGGCACCAGGGCAUGGUUUGAGUGGAGGGCCAAGAGGCCUCUCUAUCGCAGCCACGAGGUGGCCGGUCGGCCAUGUCAUGCGCUAGUGAUGUAGGUGCUUCCUCCUCUAGUCGGGGGAGCAGCCUGCGCUUUGGGUAACUCUUGGAGGGGCGUUCGAGUUCAUACUCUUUGGCCGCAAGGACUUCAGUCCUUCUGUCAGCUAGCAAAUCCUGAUCAGCUCUAAGCUGUUGCCGCUUUUUCUUGAGGCUGCUUGCUGUGGCCAUAAGCCUGCGUUUAAAACGCUCUUGUUCGGCGGGAUCCUCUGGCACGACGAACUCAUCGUCGUCGAGGCUUGCCUCGUCUUUGGAGGGAGGUGUAUAAUUAUUGUCCUCAACCUCUUUAUCUGCCGCCCUCUCAUGAGGGCUGGCUUCUCUGUCCUCCUAUGCUGAAUCUUGCUGGAGGGGGUGUUCUUCGGCGCUAUCCGGAGUAGUAUUAUCUCCCGUGCCGGAAUCACCGUUUUUGCUUUGGCGGGAUUUAGAGCGGCGCCAUUGACGCCGGCGCUUGGGCUGUUUCUUAGAGGUAUCGUCCCCCGCUGUUCCAUCGCCGUCUCCAUCCUUUGGAGUGUCCACCAUAUAUAUGUCAUAUGACGAGGUGGCCUUCCAGCGCCCUACAGGUGCUGGUUCUUGUUCGUCUCCUGCAUCGUCGUCCAUGCCGUCGCUGUCUUCAGAGUCGAAGUCAAGCAUGUCGGUUAAGUCAUCGACAGUGGCUAUGAAGUGGGUGGUGGGUGGGUUUUGAAUUUCUUCAUCGUCCGUAUCCCAACCUUGCUGACCAUAGUCCGGCCAGGGCUCUACUGAUAAAGAGAGAGACUUUAGAGAGUUUAGGAUGUCGCCGAAGGGCAAGUGCUGAAAGAUGUCCGCGGCAGUGAACUCCAUUAUCGGCGCCCAAUCGGAUUCAAUCGGCAGGGGCGCGGAGUUCGGAGAGGAAUCCGUCUCUUCGGAGUCACGGUCCAUGAGGAGUGCGGGGCUGGAGUUCAGCUCGAUCGCCUCUGCGAUCGCAGCCCCUGAGGCAGCGUCCAACCGCUGAUCCUCGAUUGGUGCAGUAGGCUCCAAAUCAAUGGUCGGAACCGAUGCGUGUGCGGCCUCCAAAGCGCUGUUCAGCGGCAGAGCUAUAUCAUGCCCAUCGAGACAGUGCGGAACGCUUGGCUGUGGCUCGAAUCCGUCGAAGAUCAAGUCCCCGCGGAUGUCAGCCGUGUAGUUUAGGCUUCCAAACCUGACCUGAUGGCUAGGGGCGUAACUUUCGAUCUGCUCAAGGUGACCAAGCGAGUUGGCCCGUAGUGCGAAACCGCCGAAGACGAAGAUCUGUCCGGGGAGAAAAGUCUCACCCUGGACUGCAUCCUGGUUGAUGAUCGAAGAAGCCAUUGGGCCUGAAAGGGACGACACAAAGGAACUCUCAAUGAAAGCACCAAUGUCGGUGUCAAAACCGGCGGAUCUCGGGUAGGGGGUCCCGAACUGCGCGUCUAGGCCAGAUGGUAACAGGAGACAAGGGACACAAUGUUUUACCCAGGUUCGGGCCCUCUUGAUGGAGGUAAAACCCUACGUCCUGCUUGAUUAAUAUUGAUGAUAUGGGUAGUACAAGAGUAGAUCUACCGCGAGAUCAAGGAGGCUAAACCCUAAAAGCUGGCCUAUGGUAUGAUUGUUGUAUGAUGAAGUUGUCCUACGGACUAAAACCCUUCGGUUUAUAUAGGCACCGGAGAAGGUUAGGGUUACACAAAGUCGGUUACAAUUGUAGGAGAUCUUGAAUAUCCGCGUCGCCAAGCUUGCCUUCCACGCCAAGGAAAGUCCCAUCCGGACAAGGGACGAAGUCUUCAAUCUUGUAUCUUCAUAGUCCUGGAGUCCGGCUGAAGGUAUAGUCCGGCUACCCGAACACCCCCUAAUCCAGGACUCCCUCAGCGGUAUUGUUGGAUGAGGCGGCCCGGACCGACAUUACGCGUACGCUUACGCGAGACUGGUUCUACCGAUGUGCUUUGCACACAGGUGGCUAGCGGGUGUCAGUUUCUCCAACUUUAGUUGAACCGAGUGUGGCUACGCCCGGUCCUUGCGAAGGUUAAAACAACACUAACUUGACAAACUAUCAUUGUGGUUUUCGAUGCGUAGGUAAGAACGGUUCUUGCUAAGCCCGUAGCAGCCAUGUAAAACUUGCAACAACAAAGUAGAGGACGUCUAACUUGCUUUUGCAGGGCAUGUUGUGAUGUGAUAUGGUGAAGACGUGAUGAGAUAUAAGUUGUUGUAUGAGAUGAUCAUGUUUUGAUGAAGUUAUCGGCAACUGGCAAAAGCCUUAUGGUUGUCUCUCUAUUGCAUAAGAUGCAAGCGCCAAAUAAUUGCUUUACUUUAUCGCUAUACGAUAGCAAUAGUUGCAAGAGCAAUAGUUGGCGAGACGACCAUGUGAUGACACAUUGAUAUAGAUCAAGAUGAUGGAUAUCAUGGUUUCAUGCCGGUGACGAUGGAGAUCAUGACGAGAUCAAACGCACAAGAUGAUAAUGGCCAUAUCAUGUCACAUAUUUUGAUUGCAUGUGAUGUUUAUCUUUUAUACAUCUUAUUUUGCUUAGUUCGACGGUAGCUUCAUAAGAUGAUCUCUCACUAAUUAUCAAGGUACAAGUGUUCUCCCUGAGUAUGCACCGUUGCGAAAGUUCUUCGUGCUGAGACACCACGUGAUGAUCGGGUGUGAUAGGCUCUAUGUUCAAAUACAACGGGUGCAAAACAGUUGCACACGCGGAAUACUCAGGUUAAACUUGACGAGCCUAGCAUAUAACAUAUAUGGCCUCGGAACACGAAGACCGAAAGGUCGAGCAUGAAUCAUAUAGUAGAUAUGAUCAACAUAUUGAUGUUCACCAUUGAUACUACUCCAUCUCACGUGAUGAUCAGACAUGGUUUAGUUGAUUUGGAUCACGUGAUCACUUAGAGGAUUAGAUGGAUAUCUUUCUAAGUGGGAGUUCUUAAGUAAUUUGAUUAAUUGAACUUUAAUUUAUCAUGAACUUAGUCCUGGUAGUAUUAGCAUAUCUAUGUUGUAGAUCAAUAGCUCGCGUUGUUGCUUCCCUAUGUUAUAUAUAUAUAUGUUCCUAGAGAAAACUAACUUCAAAAAUGUUAGUAGCAAUGAUGCGGAUUGGAUCCGUGAUCUGAGGUUUCUCCUCAUUGCUGCACAGAAGAAUUAUGUCCUUGAUGCACCACUAGAUGACAGACCUAUUGCAGGAGCAGAUGCAGACGUUAUGAACGUUUGGCUAGCUCAAUAUGAUGACUACUUGAUAGUUUAGUGCACCAUGCUUAACAGCUUAGAAUCGGGACUUCAAAGACGUUUUGAAUGUCAUGGACCAUAUGAGAUGUUCCAGGAGUCGAAGUUAAUAUUUCAAGCAAAUACCCGAGUUGAGAGAUAUGAAGUCUCCAACAAGUUCUAUAGCUAAAAAGAUGGAGGAGAAUAGCUCAAGCAGUGAGCAUGUGCUCAGAUUGUCUGGGUACUACAAUUGCUUGAAUCAAGUGAGAGUUAAUCUUCCAGAUAAAAUAGUGAUUGACAAAAUUCUCUAGUCACCAUCACCAAGUUAGUAGAACUUCGUGAUGAACUAUAGUAUGCAAGGGAUGAUGAAAAUGAUUCCUAAGCUUUUCAUGAUGAUGAAAUCGAUGAAGGUAGAAAUCAAGAAAAAUAUCAAGUGUUGAUGGUAGACUAGACCACUAGUUUCAAGAAAAGGGCAAAGGGAAGAAGGGGAACUUCAAGAAGAACGGCAAGCAAGUUGUUGCUCAAGUGAAGAAGCCCAAGUCUGGUCCUAAGCCUAAGACUAAGUGCUUCUACUGCAAAGGGACUGGUCACUAGAAGCAGAACUGCCCCAAGUAUUUGGCGGAUAAGAAGGAUGGCAAAGUGAACAAAGGUAUAUUUGAUAUACAGAUUAUUGAUGUGUAUUUUACUAGUGUUCGUAGCAACCCCUCGGUAUUUGAUACUGGUUCAGUUGCUAAGAGUAGUAACUCGAAACAGGAGUUGCAGAAUGAACAUAGACUAGUUAAGGGUGAAGUGACGAUGUGUAUUGGAAGUGGUUCCAAGAUUGAUAUGAUCAUCAUCGCACACUCCCUAUACUUUUGGGAUUAGUGUUGAACCUAAAUAAGUGUUAUUUGGUGUUUGCGUUGAGCAUGAAUAUGAUUUGAUCAUGUUUAUUGCAAUAUGAUUAUUCAUUUAAGUAAGAGAAUAAAUUGUUUUUCUGUUUACAUGAAUCAAACCUUAUAUGGUUACACACCCAAUGAAAAUGGUUCAUUGGAUCUCGAUCGUGAUACACAUAUUCAUAAAAUUGAAACCAAAAGAUGCAAAGUUAAUAAUGAUGGUGCAAUUUAUUUGUGACACAGCCGUUUUGGUCAUAUUGGUGUAAAGCGCAUGAAGAAAAUCCAUGCUGAUGGGCUUUUGGAAUCACUUGAUUAUGAAUCAGUUGAUGCUUGCGAACCAUGCCUCAUGGGCAAGAUGACUAAGACUCCGUUCUCCAGAACAAUGGAGCGAGCAACAGAUUUGUUGGAAAUCAUACAUACUGAUGUAUGUGGUCCAAUGAAUAUUGAGGCUCGUGGCAGGUAUCAUUAUUUUCUGAUCUUCAUAGAUGAUUUGAGCAGAUAUGAGUAUAUCUACUUGAUGAACCACAAGUCUGAAACAUUUGAAAAGUUCAAAGAAUUUCAGAGUGAAGUGGAGAAUCAUCGUAACAAAAAUGAAAGUUUCUACAAUAUGAUCGCAGAAGUAAAAUAUUUGAGUUACCAGUUUGGCCUUCAGUUAAAAACAAUGUGAAAUAGUUUCACUACUCACGCCACCUGGAACACCACAGUGUAAUGGUGUGUCCGAACGUUGUAAUCGUACUUUAUUAGAUAUGGUGCGAUCUAUGAUGUCUCUUACCGAUCUACCACUAUCGUUUUGGGGUUAUGCAUUAGAGACAGUUGCAUUCAUGGUAAACAGGGCACCAUCUAAAUCCGUUGAGAUGACACUGUAUGAACUAUGGUUUGGCAAGAAACCUAAGCUGUCAUUUCUUAAAGUUUGAGGUUGCAAUGCUUAUGUGAAAAAGUUUCAACCUGAUAAGCUCUAACCCAAAUCGGAGAAGUGCGUCUUCAUAGGAUACCCAAAGGAAAAUGUUGGGUACACCUUAUAUCACAGAUCCGAAGGCAAUAUAUUCGUUGCUUUGAAUGUAUCCUUUCUAGAAAAUGAGUUUCUCUCGAAAGAAGUGAGUGGGAGGAAAGUAGAACUUGAUGAGGUAACUGUACCUGCUCCCUUAUUGGAAAGUAGUUCAUCACAGAAAUCUGUUCCUGUGACUACUACACCGAUUAGUGAGGAAGCUAAUGAUGAUGAUCAUGUAACUUUAGAUCAAGUUACUACCGAACCUCGUAGGUAAACCAGAGUGAGAUCCGCAUCAGAGUGGUACGGUAAUCCUGUUCUGGAGGUCAUGUUACUUGACCAUGACGAGCCUACGAACUAUGAGGAAGCGAUGAUGAGCCUAGAUUCCGCGAAAUGGCUUGAGGCCAUGAAAUCUGAGAUCAGAUCCAUGUAUGAGAACAAAGUAUGGACUUUGAUUGACUUGCCCAAUGAUCGGCGAGCCAUUGAGAUUAAAUGGAUCUUCAAGAGGAAGACGGACGCUGAUAGUAGUGUUACUAUCUACAAAGCUAGAAUUGUCGCAAAAAGGUUUUCGACAAGUUCAAGGUGUUGACUAUGAUGAGAGUUUCUCACUCGUAUCUAUGCUUAAGUUUGUCCGAAUCAUGUUAGCAAUUGCCGCAUUUUAUGAAAUCUGGCUAAUGGAUAAACAAAACUGCAUUCCUUAAUGGAUUUAUUAAAGAAGAGUUGUAUAUGAUGCAACCAGAAGGUUUUGUCAAUCCUAAAGGUACUAACAAAAUAUGCAAGCUCCAGCGAUCCAUCUAUGGACUGGUGCAAGCAUCUCGGAGUUGGAAUAUACGCUUUGAUAAGUUGAUCAAAGCAUAUAGUUUUAUACAGACUUGCGGUGAAGCCUGUAUUUACAAGAAAGUGAGUGGGAGCACUACAACAUUUCUGAUAAGUAUAUGUGAAAGACAUAUUGUUGAUCGGAGAUAAUGUAGAAUUAUUCUGCAAAGCAUAAAGGAAUGUUUGAAAGUAGUUUUUCAAAGAAAGACCUCGGUGAAGCUGCUUACAUAUUGAGCAUCAAGAUCUAUAGAGAUAGAUUAAGACGCUUGAUAAGUUUUUCAAUGAGUACAUACCUUGACAAGAUUUUGAAGUAGUUCAAAAUGGAACAGUCAAAGAAGGAGUUCUUGCCUGUAUUACAAAGGUGUGAAGUUGAGUAAGACUCAAAACCCGACCACGGCAGAAGAUAGAGAGAGAAUGAAAGUCAUUCCCUAUGCCUCAGCCAUAGGUUCUAUAAAGUAUGCCAUGCUAUGUACCAGACCUAUUGUAUACCCUGCCUUGAGUUUGGCAAGGGAGUACAAUAGUGAUCUAGGAGUAGAUCACUGGACAUUGGUCAAAGUUAUCCUUAGUGGAAUAAGGAUAUGUUUCUCGAUUAUCGAGGUGACAAAAGGUUCGUCGUAAAGGGUUACGUCGUUGCAAGUUUUGACACUGAUCCAGAUGACUCUAAGUCUCAAUCUGGAUACAUAUUGAAAGUGGGAGCAAUUAGCUAGAGUAGCUCCAUGCAGAGCAUUGUUGACAUAGAAAUUUGCAAAAUACUUACGGAUCUGAAUGUGGCAGACCUGUUGACUAAACUUCUCUCACAAGAAAAACAUGAUCACACCUCAGUACUCUUUGGGUGUUAAUCACAUAGCGAUGUGAACUAGAUUAUUGACUCUAGUAAACCCUUUGGGUGUUGGUCACAUGUCGAUGUGAACUAUGGGUGUUAAUCACAUGGUGAUGUGAACUAUUGAUGUUAAAUCACAUGUCGAUGUGAACUAGAUUAUUGACUCUAGUGCAAUGGGAGACUGAAGGAAAUAUGCCCUAGAGGCAAUAAUAAAGUUAUUAUUUAUUUCCUUAUAUCAUGAUAAAUGUUUAUUAUUCAUGCUAGAAUUGUAUUAACCGGAAACAUAAUACAUGUGUGAAUACAUAGACAAACAGAGUGUCACUAGUAUGCCUCUACUUGACUAGCUCGUUGAUCAAAGAUGGUUAUGUUUCCUAACCAUAGACAUGAGUUGUCAUUUGAUUAACGGGAUCACAUAAUUAGGAUAAUGAUGUGAUUGACUUGACCCAUUCCGUUAGCAUAGCACUUGAUCGUUUAGUUUGUUGCUAUUGCUUUCUUCAUGACUUAUACAUGUUCCUAUGACUAUGAGAUUAUGCAACUCCCGUUUAUCGGAGGAACACUUUGUGUGCCACCAAACGUCACAACAUAACUGGGUGAUUAUAAAGGUGCUCUAUAGGUGUCUCCGAAGGUACUUGUUGGGUUGGCGUAUUUCGAGAUUAGGAUUUGUCACUCCGAUUGUCGGAGAGGUAUCUCUGGGCCCUCUCGGUAAUGCACAUCACUUAAGCCUUGCAAGCAUUGCAACUAAUGAGUUAGUUGCAGGAUGAUGUAUUACGGAAUGAGUAAAGAGACUUGCCGGUAACGAGAUUGAACUAGGUAUUGAGAUACCGACGAUCGAAUCUCGGGCAAGUAACAUACCGAUGACAAAGGGGACAACGUAUGUUGUUAUGCGGUCUGACCGAUAAAGACCUUCGUAGAAUAUGUGGGAGCCAAUAUGUGCAUCCAGGUUCCGCUAUUGGUUAUUGACCGGAGACGUGUCUCGGUCAUGUCUACAUUGUUCUCGAACCCGUAGGGUCCGCACGCUUAAGGUUUCGAUGACAGUUAUAUUAUGAGUUUAUGAGUUUUGAUGUACCGAAGGAGUUCGGGGUCCCGGAUGAGAUCGGGGACAUGACGAGGAGUCUCGAAAUGGUCGAGACAUAAAGAUCGAUAUAUUGGACGACUAUAUUCAGACAUUGGAAAGGUUCCGAGUGAUUCAGGUAUUUUUCGUAGUACCGGAGAGUUACGGGAAUACUUAUUGGGCCUUAUUGGACCAUACAGAAAGAAGGAAAAGGGCCUCAAGGGUGGCCGCACCCCUCCCCUUGGUCUGGUCCGAAUUGGACUAGGGAAGGGGGGCACCCCCUUCCUUCCUUCUCCUUUUUCUUUCCUCUUUUCAUAUUCCAUAUGGGAGGUGGAAUCCUACUAGCACUAGGGAGUCCUAGUAGGACUCCACACUUGGCGCGCCCCUUCCUAGGGCCGGCCUCCUCCUACCUUGCUCCUUUAUAUACGGGUGCAGGGGGGCACCCCAAAGACACAACAAUUGAUCAUUGAUCUCUUAGCCGUGUGCGGUGCCCCCUUCCACCAUAAUCCUCGAUAAUAUUGUAGCGGUGCUUAGGCGAAGCCGUGCGACGGUAGAGCAUCAAGAUCGUCACCACGCCGUCGUGCUGACGGAACUCUUCCCCGACAUUCUGUUGGAUCGGAGUCCGGGGAUCGUCAUCGAGCUGAACGUGUGCUAGAACUCAGAGGUGUCGUAGUUUCGGUGCUUGAUCGGUCGGGCCGUGAAGACGUACGACUACAUCAACCGCGUUGUGCUAACGCUUCCGCUUUCGGUCUACGAGGGUACGUAGACAACACUCUCCCAUCUCGUUGCUAUGCAUCACCAUGAUCUUGUGUGUGCGUAGGAUUUUUUUUGAAAUUACUACGUUCCCCAACAUCCGCAACUACAACAAAAGUAUUAAGGUAAACCUAACCAUAGCAUGAAACAUAUGGAUCCAAAUCAGCCCCUUACGAAGCAACGCAUAAACUAGGGUUUAAGCUUCUGUCACUCUAGCAACCCAUCAUCUACUUAUUACUUCCCAAUGCCUUCCUCUAGGCCCAAAUAAUGGUGAAGUGUUAUGUAGUUGACGUUCACAUAACACCACUAGAGGCUAGACAACAUACAUCUCAUCAAAAUAUUGAACGAAUACCAAAUUCACAUGACUACUAAUAGCAAGACUUCUCCCUUGUCCUCAGGAACAAACGUAACUACUCACAAAGCAUAUUCAUGUUCAUAAUCAGAGGGGUAAUAAUAUGCAUAAAGCAUUUGAACAUAUGAUCUUCCACCAAUUAAACCAACUAGCAUCAACUACAAGGAGCAAUUAACACUACUAGCAACCUACUAGCACCAAUCCCGGGCUUGGAGACAAGAAUUGGAUACAAGAGAUGAACUAGGGUUUUGAGAUGAGAUGGUGCUGAUGAAGAUGUUGAUGGAGAUUGCCCUCUCCCAUUGAGAGGAGCGUUGGUGAUGACGAUGGCGAUGAUUUCCCCCUCUGGGAAGGAAGUUUCCCCAGCAGAACAGCUCUACCGGAGCUCUAGAUUGGAUCCGCCAAGAUUCCGCCUCGUGGCUGCGGAGUUUCGUCCCGAAAGGUUGCUUGUGGUUUUUUUUCUCGACGAAAGACUUCAUAUAGUAGAAGAUGGUCAUCGAAGAGCCACUAGGGGGCCCACGAGGUAGGGGGGCGCGCCCUAGGGGGGUGCACCCCCCACCCUUCUGGAAAGGUUGUGGGCCCCUAGUCUUCAUCUUUGGCGAGGAUUUUUCAUUAUUUAUUAUAAGGUAUUCUGUGGAGUUUCAGGACUUUUGGAGUUUUGCAGAAUAGGUCUCUAAUAUUUGCUCCUUUUCCAGCCCAGAAUGCCAGCUGUCGGCAUUCUCCCUCCUUUAUGUAAAACUUAUAAAAUAAGAGAGAAUAGCCAUAAGUAUUGUGACAUAAUGUGAAAUAACAGCCCAUAAUGCAAUAAAUAUCGAUAUAAAAGCAUGAUGCAAAAUGGACGUAUCAACUCCCCAAGCUUAGACCUCGCUUGUCCUCAAGCGAAAGCCGAUAACAAUAAAUAUGUCCCCAUGUUUAGAGGUAGAGGCGUCGAUAAAAAUAAAAUACGGACAUGAGGGCAUCAUGAUUAUUCUCAUAACAGCAACAUACAUAGAUAUUGUCAUAUGAUUACUUAUGUUCAAGUGAUGAUCUAUUCACAAUGCAAAAGUAUGAAUCAGAAACCUUAUUGAGAACCAACAAACUAUGAUCUCAGUCAUUGAAGCAACUGCAAUUUAUCAUAACAUCAGAAAGAGUCUAUGUUAGAGCUAAAAAGCAAGUCCACAUACUCAACUAUCAUCUAGUCCUUCAUAAUUGCUAACACUCGCGCGAUACUUGUGGUUAUGGAGUUUUAAUCGGACACAAAGAAAGAUAGGGGCUUAUAGUUUCGCCCCACAACCUUUUACCUCAAGGGUAAUGUCAACAAUAAUAACUCAUGCCCCCUACAUCCAAUUAUAUAUAUAUCAGGUUCUUUCCAACAUGCUAGGCUUGCCGAAGGAUAAAAUGAAAAAGAAAAGGUGAAGAUCACCAUGACACUUGCAUAAGGUAGAAGAUAAUAAUAAAAGAUAGGCCCUUCGCAGAGGGAAGCAGAGGUUGCCAUGCGCUUUUAUGGUUGGAUGCACAAAAUCUUAAUGCGAAAGAACGUCACUUUAUAUUGCCCCUUGUGAUAUGAACCUUUAUUAUGCAGUCCGUCGCUUUUAUUACUUCCACAUCACAAGAUAAUAUAAAGCUUAUUUCUCCCACACUAAUCAUACAUAUUUAGAGCAAUUUUUAUUGCUUUGCACUGAUGACAACUUACUUGAAGGAUCUUAUUCAAUCCAUAGGUAGAUAUGGUGGACUCUCAUGGCAAAACUGGUUUAAGGGUAUUUGCAAGCACAAGUAGUAUCUAUACUUGGUGCUGAGAAUUUGGCUAGCAUGACGGGGAAAGGCAAGCUCAACAUGUUGGAUGAUCCGUGACAACAUACUUUAUCUCAGAUAUAAGAAAACGUAACCCAUUACGUUGUCUUCCUUGUCCAACAUCAACUCUUUAGCAUGUCAUAUUUUGAUGAGUGCACCCAAUCAUAAAAGAUGUCAAUAAUAGUAUAUUUAUAUGUGAAACCUCUCUUUCCUUAUUACUUCCUAUUAAUUGCAAGGAUGACCAAAGCUAUGUCUGCCAACUCCCAACAACUUUUAAUCAUCACACUCUUUCUAUGUGAAGUCAUUACUAUCAAUAAGAUCAAUAUGAACUUUUGUUUCUUCUUAUUCUUUUUCUCUUUUCUUUUUUUCACCCAAGAUCAUAGCAAGAAAAUCAAGCCCUUGACUAAACACUAAUCUUUAUUAUAUAGCUCACGGACUUGAUUACAUAGAGAGAUCAUAAGGCAAAACUCAAAACUAGAUCAUGCCAUAAACUUUAUUCUACUAGAUCAAAAUACUACUAAUAGGAUCGAACUAAGGAAAACGGUAAAGAUAGGAGUUGUGAUUGUGAUACGAUACCGGGGCACCUCCCCCAAGCUUGGCAGUUGCCAAGGGAAGUUCCCAUACCCAUGUGAUUAUAUCUCCUUGGUUGGUGAAGAUGGAGGUGAUGGAUAGUCGCCCAUUGAGCGUAAGAGGUCCUCUAGCUUGCGAAUAAUGCCCUUGAGUGCAAAGAUAUGCUCCUUCAACAAAAUAUUUUCACUUGUGAGAUACUUGUUUUGAAUAUGAGUUAACUCAAUCAUCUGGAAAGCUUCGAUCUCAGUUGGGGUAAGAAGGUUGUGAUCAAUUUGAAGGAUGUCUUCUGUUGCCGGAGCUUGGUUCUCCGUGGCCUUCUUGAUCCCUUCAUCCUUGUUGAUCUCCAUGGGUUCUUCCCUCUUCAGGUCUAUCUUCAUUAGCUAGGCAUCUUUGUCACCGUUGUUGGAGGAGGGAGACGACAUGAUGCCUGGCCUUGACAACCCUAAUAGAGAACAGCCCAAAACAAGAACAGAGGAUAUUUGCGUGAUACGGGAGUCAAAACCUUCAGGAAAAUAUAUAGUGAAUUUUUACCGACCAAAAUACGUAUUGUGCAAGAAAACGGAGUCUGGAAGGCACACGAGGUGCUCACGAGGUAGGGGGCGCGCCUAGGGGGGUAGGGCGCGCCCUCCACCCUCGUGGGGCCCUCGUGUCCUUCCCGGACUACUACUUAAUUUCCUAUUUCUCUAAAUAUUCCAAAACGGAGAAAUAUUGCCUUAAAAAUUGUUUUGGAGUCGGUUUACUUACCGUACCACAUACCUAUUCCUUUUCGGAGUCUGAAACAUUCUGGAAAGUGUCCCUUAUGUAUUCCUCUGGGGUUACAGUUUCAAUAAUAUUGGUUUCAAUAUUUAUGGGAUUACCUGAGAUAUAAUGUUUAAUUCUCUGACCAUUUACCACCUUCGGAUUUGUGCCUUCGGAGUUGUUGAUUUAUAUGGCACCGAAAUGAUAGACCUCCUCGAUAACAUAGGGGCCUUCCCAUUUAGAGAGAAGUUUUCCUGCAAAAAAUCUUAAACGAGAGUUGUAUAGCAAUACAUAAUCACCUACAUUAAACUCACGCUUUUGUAUCCUUUUGUCAUGCCAUCUUUUAACCUUAUCUUUAAACAACUUGGCAUUUUCAUAAGCUUGGGUUCUCCAUUCAUCAAGUGAGCUAAUAUCAAAUAACCUCUUUUCACCGGCAAGUUUGAAAUAAUAGUUGAGCUCUUUAAUAGCCCAAUAUGCCUUAUGUUCUAGUUCGAGAGGUAAGUGACAUGCUUUUCCAUAUACCAUUUUAUACGGAGACAUACCCAUAGGAUUUUUAUAUGCAGUUCUAUAGGCCCAUAAUGCAUCAUCAAGUUUCUUGGACCAAUUCUUUCUAGAUCUAUUGACAGUCUUUUGCAAAAUUAAUUUGAGUUCUCUAUUACUCAAUUCUACUUGACCACUAGACUGUGGGUGAUACGGAGAUGCAAUUCUAUGAUUGACGUCAUAUUUAGCAAGCAUUUUACGGAAAGCACCAUGAAUAAAAUGUGAACCACCAUCAGUCAUUAAAUAUCUAGGGACUCCAAACCUCGGAAAAAUAACUUCUUUAAGCAUUUUAAUAGAAGUGUUAUGAUCAGCACUACUAGUUGGAAUAGCUUCUACCCACUUAGUAACGUAAUCAACAGCAACUAAAAUAUGUGUAUAUCCAUUAGAGGCAGGAAAAGGUCCCAUAUAAUCAAAGCCCCAAACAUCAGACGGUUCAAUAACAAGUGAAUUCAUAGGCAUUUCUUGACGUCUACUAAUAUUACCAAUUCUUUGACAUUCAUCACAAGAUAGGACAAACUUACGGGCGUCCUUGAAGAGAGUAGGCCAAUAAAAACCGGAUUGCAAUACCUUAUGUGCAGUUCUAUCUCCUGCAUGGUGUCCUCCAUAAGUUUCGGAGUGGCACUUGCGUAGGAUCUGUUCCUGUUCAUGCUCAGGUACACAACAUCUAAUAACACAAUCUACUCCUUCUUUAUAAAGAUGUGGGUCAUCCCAAAAGUAAUGUCUCAAAUCAUAGAAGAACUUUUUCUUUUGUUGGUAUGUGAAGCUAGUUGGUAUAAAUUUAGCAACUAUGUAAUUAGCAUAAUCAGCAUACCAAGGGGUACUACGAGAAGUACUUAUGACAUUUAAUUAUUCAUCAAGAAAGCUAUCAUCAAUAGGUAGUGGGUCAUCAAGAACAUUCUCUAACCUAGAUAAAUUGUCUGCAACGGGGUUCUCAGCUCCUUUUCUAUCAACAAUAUGCAAAUAAAAUUCUUGUAGCAAGAGAACCCAUCUAAUAAGUCUAGGUUUAGCAUCUUUCUUCUCCAUAAGAUAUUUAAUAGCAGCAUGAUCAGUGUGGAUAGUUACUUUAGAAUCAACAAUAUAAGGUCUGAACUUAUCACAAGCAAAUACAACUGCUAAAAGUUCUUUUUCAGUAGUAGCAUAAUUUCUUUGAGCAUUGUCUAGGGUCUUACUAGCAUAAUGGAUAACAUUUAAUUUCUUAUCAACUCUUUGCCCUAGAACAGCACCUACAUCAUAAUCGCUAGCAUCACACAUAAUUUCAAAGGGUAAAUUCCAAUCAGGUGGCUGGACAAUAGGUGCAGAGACUAAUGCUUUCUUAAGUAUUUCAAAUGCUUCUACACAAUCAUCAUCAAAGACAAAUGGUAUAUAUUUUUGUAAUAAAUUAGUCAGAGGCCGAGAAAUUUUUGGGAAGUCCUUAAUGAACCUCCUAUAAAAUCCGGCGUGACCAAGGAAACUUCUUAUACCUUUGAUGUCCUUGGGACAUGGCAUCUUUUCAAUAGCAUCAACCUUGGCUUUAUCAACUUCAAUACCUCUUUCAGAAACUUUAUGCCCCAAGACAAUACCCUCAUUAACCAUAAAGUGGCACUUUUCCCAAUUCAAUACAAGAUUAGUUUCUUCACAUCUCUGCAAAACUCAAUCAAGAUUGCUCAAGCAAUCAUCAACAGAAGAUCCAUAGACGGAAAAGUCGUCCAUAAAAACCUCACAAAUCUUUUCACAGAAGUCAGAGAAUAUAGCCAUCAUGCAUCUUUGAAAGGUAACAGGUGCAUUACGUAAACCAAAAGGCAUAGAUCUAUAAGCAAAAGUACCAAAAGGGCAAGUAAAAGUAGUCUUUGAUUGAUCCUUGGCUGACACAGGUAUUUGAGAGAAACCAGAAUAACCAUCUAGAAAGCAGUAAUGUGUAUGCUUGCAUAAUCUUUCUAGUAUUUGAUUGAUAAAAGGUAAGGGGUAAUGAUCUUUCUUAGUAGCUUUAUUUAAUUUGCAGAAAUCAAUUACCAUCCUAUAACCUGUAAUAAUUCUUUGUGGAAUCAAUUCAUCUUUAUCAUUAGGAACAACAGUAAUACCUCCCUUCUUAGGGACACAAUGAACAGGACUUACCCACUGGCUAUCAGCAACGGGAUAAGUUAUACCUGCCUCCAGAAGCUUUAGUAUUUCUUUUCUUACCACUUCUUUCAUUUUAGGAUUCAGACAUUGUUGAGGAUCACGAACUAGUUUGGCAUCUGCUUCCAAAUUUAUUUUAUGUUGACAUAGAGUGGGACUGAUGCCCUUAAGAUCAUCAAGAGUAUAUCCAAUAGCAUCACGGUGCUUCUUCAGAGUUUUCAAUAAUCUUUCUUCUUCAUGCUCUGAAAGGUUAGCACUAAUAAUAACAGGAUAUAUCUUCUUUUCAUCAAGAUAAGCAUAUUUAAUAUUAUCAGGCAAUAGUUUAAGCUCAAACACGGGAUCACCCUUAGGUGGAGGGGGAUCCCCUAGGAUUUCAAUAGGCAAAUUGUGUUUCAGAAUAGGUUCUUGUUUAAAGAAUACUUUAUCUAUUUCCCUUCUUUCAUUCAUAAACAUAUCAUUCUCAUGGUCUAGCAAAUAUUGUUCUAAAGGAUCACUAGGAGGUACGGCAAUAGAAGCAAGACCAAUAAUUUCAUCCUCACUAGGCAAUUCUUCUUCAUGGUGUUGUUUACUAAAUUUAGAGAAAUUAAACUCAUGAGUCAUAUCAUCUAAGCCGAUAGUAACAACAUCCCUUGUGCAAUCUAUGGUAGCAUUAACAGUAUUUAAGAAGGGUCUACCAAAUAUAAUGGGACAAAAGCUAUCUUGUGGGGAACCAAGAACAAGAAAAUCAGCAGGUUAUUUAGUUUUCCCACACAAGACUUCAACAUCUCUAACAAUUCCCAUUGGUGAAAUAGUAUCUCUAUUAGCAAGUUUAAUAGUAACAUCAAUUUCUUCUAACUCAACAGGUGCAAUGUCAUGCAUAAUUUCUUUGUAUAAGUCAAUAGGUAUUGCACUAGCACUAGCACCCAUAUCACAUAAGCCAUGAUAACAAUGAUCUCCUAUUUUAACAGAAAUAACAGGCAUUCCUACCGCAGGUCUAUUUUUAUCUUUAGCACAAGGUUUAACAAUUCUAGCAGUUUCACCGCAGAACUGAAUAACAUGCCCAUCAAUAUUAUCAGAUAAGAGAUCUUUAACAAUAGCAAUCUUAGGUUCAACUUUAACUUGCUCAGGAGGUGUAUAUGUUUUAAUAUUGGUUUUACGAACCACAGUUGAAGCUUUAGCAUGAUCCUUUAUCCUAACAGGGAAAGGUGGUUUCUCAACAUAACAAGUAGGAACGAUAGGAUCAUUAUAAGUGACAGUCUUUUCUUUAACUUUAAUUGGUGCAUCUACUUUUACUUCCAUGGGAGGAUGAUAUUUAAACCACUUCUCCUUAGGGAGAUCAACAUAAGUAGCAAAAGAUUCACAGAAAGAAGCUACUAUCUUAGAAUCAAGUCCAUAUUUAGUGCUAAACUUACGAAAAAUAUUGGUAUCCAUAAAAGAUUUAACACAAUCAAAACUAGGUGUAAUACCUGACUCCUUACCAUUGUCGAGGUCCCAAUCUUCGGAGUUGCGUUUAAUUCUAUCGAAUAAAUCCCAUCUAAAUCCAAUAGUCUUCAUCAUAAAAGAGCCGGCACAAGAAGUAUCGAGCAUGGUGCGAUUAUUUUCAGAAAGCCGAGCAUAAAUUUUUUGAAGAAUUGUUUCUCUUGGAAGCUCAUGAUUGGGGCAUGAAUAUAACAUUGAUUUAAGCCUCCCCCAAGCUUAAGCGAUGGUUUCUCCUUCGCGAGGCCAAAAAUUAUAUAUAUAAUUGCGGUCACGAUGAACAAGAUGCAUAGGGUAAUACUUUUGAUGAAAUUCCAAUUUCAAUCUUCUAUAGUUCCAUGAUCUCGUAUCAUCACAUAGCCUAUACCAUUUCAAUGCAUCUCCCUUCAAAGAUAAAGGAAGACCUUCUUCCUAGCAACAUCAUCGGGUAUACCUACUGUUGGGGAACGUAGUAAUUUCAAAAAAAUUCCUACGCACACGCAAGAGCAUGGUGAUGCAUAGCAACGAGAGGGGAGAGUGUGAUCUACGUACCCUUGUAGAUCGACAACGGAAGUGUUAGCACAACGUGGUUGAUGUAGUCAUACGUCUUCACGGUUCGACCGAUCCAAGCACCGUUACUCCGGCACCUCCGAGUUCUUGGCACACGUUCAGCUCGAUGACGAUCGCCGGGCUCCGAUCCAGCAAAGCGUCGGGGAGGAGUUCCGUCAGCACGACGGCAUGGUGACGAUCUUGAUGUUCUACCGUCGCAGGGCUUCGCCUAAGCACCGCUACAAUAUGACCGAGGUGGAAUAUGGUGGAAGGGGGCACCGCACACGGCUAAGGAACGAUCACGAAGAUCAACUUGUGUGUCUAUGGGGUGCCCGCUGCCCCCGUAUAUAAAGGAGUGGAGGAGGGGAGGGCCGGCCCUCUCUAUGGCGCGCCCUAGGGGAGUCCUACUCCCACCGGGAGUAGGAUUCCCCCUUUCCUAGUCCAACUAGGAGUCCUUCCAUGUAGUAGGAGUAGGAAACAAGGAAGGGGUGCAGCCCCACCCCCUAGUCCAAUUCGGACUAGGCCUUCGGGGGGCGCGCGGCCUGCCCUAGGCAGCCCCUCUCUCUUUCCCGUAUGGCCCAAUAAGGCCCAAUACUUCUCCCGGCGAAUUCCCGUAACUCUCCGGUACUCCGAAAAAUACCCGAAUCACUCGGAACCUUUCCGAAGUCCGAAUAUAGUCGUCCAAUAUAUCGAUCUUUACGUCUCGACCAUUUCGAGCCUCCUCGUCAUGUCCCCGAUCUCAUCCGGGACUCCGAACUCUUUCGGUACAUCAAAACUCAUAAACUCAUAAUAUAACUGUCAUCGAAACCUUAAGCGUGCGGACCCUACGGUUCGAGAACAAUGUAGACAUGACCGAGACACGUCUCCGGUCAAUAACCAAUAGCGGGACCUGGAUGCCCAUAUUGGCUACUACAUAUUCUACGAAGAUCUUUAUCGGUCAGACCGCAUAACAACAUACGUUGUUCCCUUUGUCAUCGAUAUGUUUACUUGCCCGAGAUUCGAUCGUCGGUAUCUCAAUACCUAGUUCAAUCUCGUUACCGGCAAGUCUCUUUACUCGUUCCGUAAUACAUCAUCUCGCAACUAACUCAUUAGUUGCAAUGCUUGCAAGGCUUAAGUGAUGUGCAUUACCGAGAGGGCCCAGAGAUACCUCUCCGACAAUCGGAGUGACAAAUCCUAAUCUCGAAAUACGCCAACCCAACAUGUACCUUUGGAGACACCUGUAGAGCACCUUUAUAAUCACCCAGUUACGUUGUGACGUUUGGUAGCACACAAAGUAUUCCUCCGGCAAACGGGAGUUGCAUAAUUUCAUAGUCAUAGGAACAUGUAUAAGUCAUGAAGAAAGCAAUAGCAACAUACUAAACGAUCGGGUGCUAAGCUAAUGGAAUGGGUCAUGUCAAUCAGAUCAUUCACCUAAUGAUGUGAUCCCGUUAAUCAAAUAACAACUCUUUGUCCAUGGUUAGGAAACAUAACCAUCUUUGAUUAACGAGCUAGUCAAGUAGAGGCAUACUAGUGACACUCUGUUUGUCUAUGUAUUCACACAUGUAUUAUGUUUCCGGUUAAUACAAUUCUAGCCUGAAUAAUAAACAUUUAUCAUGAAAUAAGGAAAUAAAUAAUAACUUUAUUAUUGCCUCUAGGGCAUAUUUCCUUCAGUCUCCCACUUGCACUAGAGUCAAUAAUCUAGAUCACAUCACCAUGUGAUUAACAUUGAUAGUUCACAUCAUCAUGUGAUUAACACCCAUAGUUCACAUCGCCAUGUGACCAACACCCAAAGGGUUUACUAGAUUCAGUAAUCUAGUUCACAUCGCUAUGUGAUUAACACCCAAGGAGUACUAAGGUGUGAUCAUGUUUUGCUUGUGAGAGAAUCUUAGUCAACGGGUCUGCCACAUUCAGAUCCGCAUGUAUUUUGCAAAUUUCUAUGUCAACAAUGCUCUGCAUGGAGCUACUCUAGCUAAUUGCUCCCACUUUCAAUAUGUAUCUAGAUCGAGACUUAGAGUCAUCUAGAUUAGUGUCAAAACUUGCAUCGGCGUAACCCUUUACGACGAACCUUUUUUCACUUCCAUAAUCGCGAAACAUAUCCUUAUUCCACUAAGGAUAAUUUUGACCGCUGUCCAGUGAUCUACUCCUAGAUCACUAUCGUACUCCCUUGCCAAACUCAGUGGUAGGGCAUACAAUAGAUCUGGUAUACAGCAUGGCAUACUUUAUAGAACCUAUGACUGAGGCAUAGGGAAUGACUUUCAUUCUCUUUCUAUCUUCUGCCGUGGUCGGGCUUUGAGUCUUACUCAACUUCACACCUUGUAACACAGGCAAGAAACCUUUUCUUUGACUGUUCCAUUUUGAACUACUUCAAAAUCUUGUCAAGGUAUGUACUCAUUGAAAAAACUUAUCAAGUGUCUUGAUCUAUCUCUAUAGAUCUUGAUACUCAAUAUGUAAGCAGCUUCACCGAGGUCUUUCUUUGAAAAACUCCUUUCAAACACUCCUUUAUGCUUUGCAGAAUAAUUCUACAUUAUUUCCGAUCAACAAUAUGUCAUUCACAUAUACUUAUCAGAAAUGUUGUAGUGCUCCCACUCACUUUCUUGUAAAUACAGGCUUCACCGCAAGUCUGUAUAAAACUAUAUGCUUUGAUCAACUUAUCAAAGCGUAUAUUCCAACUCCGAGAUUCUUGCACCAGUCCAUAGAUGGAUCGCUGGAGCUUGCAUAUUUAGUUAACACCUUUAGGAUCGACAAAACCUUCUAGUUGCAUCGUAUACAACUCUUCUUUAGUAAAUCCAUUAAGGAAUGCAGUUUUGUUUAUCCAUUUGCCAGAUUUCAUAAAAUGCGGCAAUUGCUAACAUGAUUCGGAUAGACUUAAACAUAGAUACGAGUGAGAAAAUCUCAUCAUAGUCAACACCUUGAACUUGUCGAAAACCUUUUGCGACAAUUCUAGCUUUGUAGAUAGUAACACUACUAUCAGCGUCCGUCUUCCUCUUGAAGAUCCAUUUAUUUUAUAUGGCUUGCCGAUCAUUGGGCAAAUCAACCAAAGUCCAUACUUUGUUCUCAUACAUGGAUCAUAUCUCAGAUUUCAUGGCCUCAAACCAUUUCGCGGAAUCUGGGCUCAUCAUCGCUUCCUCAUAGUUCGCAAGUUCGUCAUGGUCUAGUAACAUGACUUCCAGAACAGGAUUACCGUACCACUUUGGUGCGGAUCUCACUCUGGUUUACCUACGAGAUUUGGUAGUAACUUGAUCUGAAGUUACAUGAUCAUCAUCAUUAGCUUCCUCACUAAUUGUUGUAGUAGUCACAGGAACAGAUUUUUGUGAUGAACUACUUUCCAAUAAGGGAACAGGUACAGUUACCUCAUCAAGUUCUACUUUCCUCCCACUCACUUCUUUCGAGAGAAACUCCUUCUCUAGAAAAACUCCGAAUUUAGCAACAAAAGUCUUGCCUUCGGAUUUGUGAUAGAAGGUGUACCCAACAGUCUCCUUUGGGUAUCCUAUGAAGACAUAUUUCUCCGAUUUGGGUUUGAGCUUAUUAGGGUGAAACUUUUUCAUAUAAGCAUCACAACCCCAAACUUUAAGAAACAACAACUUUGGUUUCUUGCCAAACCACAGUUCGGAUUGUGUCGUCUCAACGGACUUAGAUGGUGCCCUAUUUAACGUGAAUGCAGCUGUCUCUAAUGCAUAACCCCAAAACGAUAGUGGUAGAUUGGUAAGAGACAUCAUAGAUCGCACUAUAUCUAAUAAAGUACGGUUAUGACGUUCGGACACACCAUUAUGUUGUGGUGUUCCAUGUGGCAUGAGUUUGUGAAACUAUUCCACAUUGUUUUAAUUGAAGACCAAACUCGUAACUCAAAUAUUUGUCUCCGCGAUCAGAUUGUAGAAACUUUAUUUUCUUGACACGAUGAUUUGCCACUUCAGUCUGAAAUUCUUUGAACUUUUCAAAUGUUUCAGACUUAUGUUUCAUCAAGUAGAUAUACCCAUAUCUGCUCAAAUCAUCUGUGAAGUUCAGAAAAUAAUGAUACUUGCCGUGAGCCUUAACACGCAUCGAACCGCAUACAUCAGUAUGUAUUAUUUCCAAUAAGUCAGUUGCUCGCUCCGGAGAACGGAGUCUUAGUCAUCUUGCCCAUGAGGCAUGGUUCGCAAGCAUCAAGUGAUUCAUAAUCAAGUGAUUCCAAAAUCCCAUCAGCAUGGAGUUUCUUCAUGCGCUUUACACCAAUAUGACCUAAACGGCAGUGCUACAAAUAAGUUGCACUAUCAUUAUUAACUUUGCAUCUUUUGGUUUCAAUAUUAUGAUUAUGUGUAUCACUACGAUCAAGAUCCAACGAACUAUUUUCAUUGGGUGUGUAACCAUAUAAGGUUUUAUUCAUGUAAACAGAACAACAAUUUAUUCUCUUACUUAAAUGAAUAACCGUAUUACAAUAAACAUGAUCAAAUCAUAUUCAUGCUCAACGUAAACACCAAAUAACACUUAUUUAGGUUCAACACUAAUCCCGAAUUUAUAGGGAGUGUGCGAUGAUGAUCAUAUCAAUCUUGGAACCACUUCCAACACACAUCGUCACUUCACCCUUAACUAGUCUCUGUUUAUUCUGCAACUCCCGUUUCGAGUUACUAAUCUUAGCAACUGAACUAGUAUCAAAUACUGAGGGGUUGCUAUAAACACUAGUAAAGUACACAUCAAUAACAUGUAUAUCAAAUAUACUUAUGUUCACUUUGCCAUCCUUCUUAUCUGCCAAUCACUUGGGGUAGUUCCGCUUCCAGUGACCAGUCCCUUUGCAGUAGAAACACUUAGUCUCAAGCUUAGGACCAGACUUGGGCUUCUUCACUUGAGCAGCAACUUGCUUGCUGUUCUUCUUGAAGUUCCCCUUCUUCCCUCUGCCCUUUUCUUGAAACUAGUGAUCUUGUCAACCAUCAACACUUGAUGCUCUUUCUUGAUUUCUACCUUCAUUGAUUUCAUCAUCAUGAAAAGCUCGGGAUUCGUUUUCGUCAUCCCUUGCAUAUCAUAGUUCAUCACGAAGUUCUACUAACUUGGUGAUGGUGACUAGAGAAUUCUGUCAAUCACUAUCUUAUCUGGAAGAUUAACUCCCACUUGAUUCAAGCGAUUGUAGUACUCAGACAAUCUGAGCACAUGCUCACUAGUUGAGCGAUUCUCCUCCAUCUUUUAGCUAUAGAACUUGUUGGAGACUUCAUAUCUCUCAACUCGGGUAUUUGCUUGAAAUAUUAACUUCAACUCCUGGAACAUCUCAUAUGCUCCAUGACGUUCAAAACGUCUUUGAAGUCCCGAUUCUAAGCCAUUAAGCAUGGUGCACUAAACUAUCAAGUAGUCAUCAUAUUGAGCUAGCCAAACGUUCAUAACGUCUGCAUCUGCUCCUGCAAUAGGUCCGUCACCUAGCGGUGCAUCAAGGACAUAAUUCUUCUGUGCAGCAAUGAGGAUAAACCUCAGAUCACGGAUCCAAUCCGCAUCAUUACUACUAACAUCUUUCAACACAAUUUUCUCUAGGAACAUAUCAAAAUAAACACAGGGAAGCAACAACACGAGCUAUUGAUCUACAACAUAAUUUGCAAAAUACUACCAGGACUAAGUUCAUGAUAAAUUUAAGUUCAAUUAAUCAUAUUACUUAAGAACUCCCACUUAGAUAGACAUCCCUCUAAUCCUCUAAGUGAUUACGUGAUCCAAAUCAACUAAACCAUGUCCGAUCAUCACGUGAGAUGGAGUAGUUUCAUUGGUGAACAUCACUAUGUUGAUCAUAUCUGCUAUAUGAUUCACGCUCGACCUUCCGGUCUCCGUGUUCUGAGGCCAUAUCUGUAUAUGCUUGGCUCGUCAAGUAUAACCUGAGUAUUCCGCGUGUGCAACUGUUUUGCACCCGUUGUAUUUGAACAUAGAGCCUAUCACACCCGAUCAUCACGUGGUGUCUCAGCACGAAGAACUUUCGCAACGGUGCAUACUCAGGGAGAACACUUCUUGAUAAUUAGUGAGAGAUCAUCUUAUAAUGCUAUCGUCAAUCAAAGCAAGAUAAGAUGCAUAAAAUAUAAACAUCAUAUGCAAUCAAAAUAUGUGACAUGAUAUGGUCAUCAUCAUCUUGCGCCUUUGAUUUCCAUCUCCAAAGUACUGUUAUGAUCUCUUGUUGGGGAAUGUAGUAAUUUCAAAAAAAUUCCUACGCACACGCAAGAUCAUGGUGAUGCAUAGCAACGAGAGGGGAGAGUGUGAUCUACAUACCUUGUAGAUCGACAACGGAAGCGUUUGGUACAUGUAGUCGUACGUCUUCACGGCCCGACCGAUCAAGCACCGAAACUACGGCACCUUCGAGUUUUAGCACACGUUUAGCUCGAUGACGAUCCCCGGACUCCGAUCCAGCAAAGUGCCGGGGAAGAGUUCCGUCAGCACGACGGCGUGGUGACAAUCUUGAUGUACUGCUGCUGCAGGGCUACGCCUAAGCACCGCUACAAUAUUAUCGAGGACUAUGGUGGCCGGGGGCGCCGCACACGGCUAAGGAAUAGAUCACGUGGAUCAACUUGUGUGUGUUCUAGGGUGCCCUUUGCCUCAGUAUAUAAAGGAGCCAGGGAGAGGGGGCGUCCGGCCAAGGUGGGCGCGCCAAGGGGGAGUCCUACUCCCAUCGGGAGUAGGACUCCUAGUUGGACAAGGAGAGACGGGAAAGAGGUGGAAGAGAGGAAGGAAAGGGGGGGCGCCGCACCCCUUCCCUUGUCCUUUUCGGACUAGGAAGGGGAGGGGCGCGCGGCCACCUCUUGCCUCCUUCUCUCUUCUCCCUCAAGGCCCAUGUAGGCCCAAUAAACCCCCGGGGGGUUCCGGUAACCCCCCGGUACUCCGAAAAAAUGCCGAUUUCACCCGGAACGAUUCCGAUGUCCAAAUAUAGGCUUCCAAUAUAUCAAUCUUUACGUCUCGACCAUUUCGAGACUCCUCGUCAUGUCCGUGAUCACAUCCGGGACUCCGAACAACCUUCGGUACAUCAAAAUGCAUAAACUCAUAAUAUAACUGUCAUCGUAACCUUAAGCGUGCGGACCCUACGGGUUCGAGAACAAUGUAGACAUGACCAAGACAUGUCUCCAGUCAAUAACCAAUAGCGGGACCUGGAUGCCCAUAUUGGCUCCUACAUAUUCUACAAAGAUCUUUAUCGGUCAGACCGCAUAACAACAUACAUCGUUCCCUUUGUCAUCGGUAUGUUACUUGCCCGAGAUUCGAUCGUCGGUAUUCCAAUACCUAGUUCAAUCUCGUUGCUGGCAAGUCUCUUUACUCGUUCUGUAAUACAUCAUUCCGCAACUAACUCAUUUAGUUGCAAUGCUUGCAAGGCUUAAGUGAUGUGCAUUACCGAGAGGGCCCAGAGAUACCUCUCCGACAAUCGGAGUGACAAAACCUAAUCUCGAAAUACGCCAACCCAACAUGUACCUUUGGAGACACCUGUAGAGCACGUUUAUAAUAACCCAGUUACGUUGUGACGUUUGGUAGCACACAAAGUGUUCCUCCGGCAAACGGGAGUUGCAUAAUCUCAUAGUCAUAGGAACAUGUAUAAGUCAUGAAGAAAGCAAUAGAAACAUACUAAACGAUCGGGUGCUAAGCUAAUGGAAUGGGUCAUGUCAAUCAGAUCAUUCACCUAAUGAUGUGAUCCCAUUAAUCAAAUAACAACUCUUUGUCCAUGGUUAGGAAACAUAACCAUCUUUGAUUAACGAGCUAGUCAAGUAGAGGCAUACUAGUGACACUCUGUUUGUCUAUGUAUUCACACAUGUAUUAUGUUUCCGGUUAAUACAAUUCUAGCAUGAAUAAUAAACAUUUAUCAUGAAAUAAGGAAAUAAAUAAUAACUUUAUUAUUGCCUCUAGGGCAUAUUUCCUUCAGUCUCCCACUUGCACUAGAGUUAAUAAUCUAGAUCACAUCACCAUGUGAUUAACAUUGAUAGUUCACAUCAUCAUGUGAUUAACACCCAUAGUUCACAUCGCCAUGUGACCAACACCCAAAGGGUUUACUAGAUUCAGUAAUCUAGUUCACAUCGCUAUGUGAUUAACACCCCAGGAGUACUAAGGUGUGAUCAUGUUUUGCUUGUGAGAGAAUCUUAGUCAACGGGUCUGCCACAUUCAGAUCCGCAUGUAUUUUGCAAAUUUCUAUGUCAACAAUGCUCUGCAUGGAGCUACUCUAGCUAAUUGCUCCCACUUUCAAUAUGUAUCUAGACCGAGACUUAGAGUCAUCUAGAUUAGUGUCAAAACUUGCAUCGGCGUAACCCUUUACGACGAACCUUUUUUCACUUCCAUAAUCGAGAAACAUAUCCUUAUUCCACUAAGGAUAAUUUUGACCGCUGUCCAGUGAUCUACUCCUAGAUCACUAUCGUACUCCCUUGCCAAACUCAGUGGUAGGGCAUACAAUAGAUCUGGUAUACAGCAUGGCAUACUUUAUAGAACCUAUGACUGAGGCAUAGGGAAUGACUUUCAUUCUCUUUCUAUCUUCUGCCGUGGUCGGGCUUUGAGUCUUACUCAACUUCACACCUUGUAACACAGGCAAGAAACCUUUUCUUUGACUGUUCCAUUUUGAACUACUUCAAAAUCUUGUCAAGGUAUGUACUCAUUGAAAAAACUUAUCAAGUGUCUUGAUCUAUCUCUAUAGAUCUUGAUACUCAAUAUGUAAGCAGCUUCACCAAGGUCUUUCUUUGAAAAACUCCUUUCAAACACUCCUUUAUGCUUUGCAGAAUAAUUCUACAUUAUUUCCGAUCAACAAUAUGUCAUUCACAUAUACUUAUCAAAAAUGUUGUAGUGCUCCCACUCACUUUCUUGUAAAUACAGGCUUCACCGCAAGUCUGUAUAAAACUAUAUGCUUUGAUCAACUUAUCAAAGCGUAUAUUCCAACUCCGAGAUUCUUGCACUAGUCCAUAGAUGGAUCGCUGGAGCUUGCAUAUUUAGUUAACACCUUUAGGAUCGACAAAACCUUCUACUUGCAUCGUAUACAACUCUUCUUUAGUAAAUCCAUUAAGGAAUGCAGUUUUGUUUAUCCAUUUGCCAGAUUUCAUAAAAUGCGGCAAUUGCUAACAUGAUUCGGACAGACUUAAGCAUAGAUACGAGUGAGAAAAUCUCAUCAUAGUCAACACCUUGAACUUGUCGAAAACCUUUUGCGACAAGUCAAGCUUUGUAGACAGUAAUAUUACCGUCAGCAUCAGUCUUCUUCUUGAAGAUCCAUUUAUUCUCAAUUGCUUGCCGAUCAUUGGGCAAGUCAACCAAAGUCCAUACUUUGUUCUCAUACAUGGAUCCCAUCUCAGAUUUCAUGGCUUCAAGCCACUUUGCGGAAUCUGGGCUCACCAUUGCUUCUUCAUAGUUCGUAGGUUCAUCAUGAUCUAGUAGCAUGACUUCCAGAACAGGAUUACCGUACCACUCUGGUGCGGAUCUUACUCUGGUUGAUCUACGAGGUUCAGUUGUUCUGAAGUUUCAUGAUCAUUAUCAUUAGCUUCCUCACUAAUCGGUGUAGAUGUCGCAGAAACAGGUUUCUGUGAUGUACUACUUUCCAAUAAGGGAGCAGGUACAGUUACCUCGUCAAGUUCUACUUUCCUCCCACUUACUUAUUUCGAGAGAAACUCCUUCUCCAGAAAGUUUCCGAAUUUAGCAACAAAAGUCUUGCCUUCGGAUCUGUGAUAGAAGGCUUUGGAUAUCCUAUGAAGACACAUUUAUCCGAUUUGGGUUCGAGCUUAUCAUGUUGAAGCUUUUUCACAUAAGCAUCGCAGCCCCAAACUUUCAGAAAUGACAACUUUGGUUUCUUGCCAAACCACAGUUCAUAAGGCGUCGUCUCAACGGAUUUUGAUGGUGCCCUAUUUAACGUGAAUGCAGCUGUCUCUAAUGCAUAACCCCAAAACGAUAGUGGUAGAUCGGUAAGAGACAUCAUAGAUCGCACUAUAUCUAAUAAAGUACGGUUAUGAUGUUCGGACACACCAUUAUGCUGUGGUGUUCCAUGUGGCAUGAGUUUGUGAAACUAUUCCACAUUGUUUUAAUUGAAGACCAAACUCGUAACUCAAAUAUUUGUCUCCGCGAUCAGAUCGUAGAAACUUUAUUUUCUUGUCACGAUGAUUUUCCACUUCACUCUGAAAUUCUUUGAACUUUUCAAAUGUUUCAGACUUAUGUUUCAUCAAGUAGAUAUACCCAUAUCUGCUCAAAUCAUCUGUGAAGUUCAGAAAAUAACGAUACUUGCCGUGAGCCUUAACACUCAUCAAACCGCAUACAUCAGUAUGUAUUAUUUCCAAUAAGUCAGUUGCUCACUCCGGAGAACGGAGUCUUAGUCAUCUUGCCCAUGAGGCAUGGUUCGCAAGCAUCAAGUGAUUCAUAAUCAAGUGAUUCCAAAAUCCCAUCAGCAUGGAGUUUCUUCAUGCGCUUUACACCAAUAUGACCUAAACGGCAGUGCUACAAAUAAGUUGCACUAUCAUUAUUAACUUUGCAUCUUUUGGUUUCAAUAUUAUGAUUAUGUGUAUCACUACGAUCAAGAUCCAACGAACUAUUUUCAUUGGGUGUGUAACCAUAUAAGGUUUUAUUCAUGUAAACAGAACAACAAUUUAUUCUCUUACUUAAAUGAAUAACCGUAUUACAAUAAACAUGAUCAAAUCAUAUUCAUGCUCAACGUAAACACCAAAUAACACUUAUUUAGGUUCAACACUAAUCCCGAAUUUAUAGGGAGUGUGCAAUGAUGAUCAUAUCAAUCUUGGAACCACUUCCAACACACAUCGUCACUUCACCCUUAACUAGUCUCUGUUUAUUCUGCAACUCCCGUUUCGAGUUACUAAUCUUAGCAACUGAACUAGUAUCAAAUAGUGAGGGGUUGCUAUAAACACUAGUAAAGUACACAUCAAUAACAUGUAUAUCAAAUAUACUUAUGUUCACUUUGCCAUCCUUCUUAUCUGCCAAUCACUUGGGGUAGUUCCGCUUCCAGUGACCAGUCCCUUUGCAGUAGAAACACUUAGUCUUAGGCUUAGGACCAGACUUGGGCUUCUUCACUUGAGCAGCAACUUUCUUGCCGUUCUUCUUGAAGUUCCCCUUCUUCCCUUUGCCCUUUUCUUGAAACUAGUGAUCUUGUCAACCAUCAACACUUGAUGCUCUUUCUUGAUUUCUACCUUCAUCGAUUUCAUCAUCAUGAAAAGUUCGGGAUUCGUUUUCGUCAUCCCUUGCAUAUCAUAGUUCAUCACGAAGUUCUACUAACUUGGUGAUGGUGACUAGAGAAUUCUGUCAAUCACUAUCUUAUCUGGAAGAUUAACUCCCACUUGAUUCAAGCGAUUGUAGUACUCAGACAAUCUGAGCACAUGCUCACUAGUUGAGCGAUUCUCCUCCAUCUUUUAGCUAUAGAACUUGUUGGAGACUUCAUAUCUCUCAACUCGGGUAUUUGCUUGAAAUAUUAACUUCAACUCCUGGAACAUCUCAUAUGCUCCAUGACGUUCAAAACGUCUUUGAAGUCCCGAUUCUAAGCCAUUAAGCAUGGUGCACUAAACUAUCAAGUAGUCAUCAUAUUGAGCUAGCCAAACGUUCAUAACGUCUGCAUCUGCUCCUGCAAUAGGUCCGUCACCUAGUGGUGCAUCAAGGACAUAAUUCUUCUGUGCAGCAAUGAGGAUAAACCUCAGAUCACGGAUCCAAUCCGCAUCAUUGCUACUAACAUCUUUCAACACAAUUUUCUCUAGGAACAUAUCAAAAUAAACACAGGGAAGCAACAACGUGAGCUAUUGGUCUACAACAUAAUUUGCAAAAUACUACCAGGACUAAGUUCAUGAUAAAUUUAAGUUCAAUUAAUCAUAUUACUUAAGAACUCCCACUAAGAUAGACAUCCCUCUAAUCCUCUAAGUGAUUACGUGAUCCAAAUCAACUAAACCAUGUCCGAUCAUCACGUGAGAUGGAGUAGUUUCAUUUGUGAACAUCACUAUGUUGAUCUUAUCUGCUAUAUGAUUCACGCUCGACCUUUCAGUCUCCGUGUUCCGAGGCCAUAUCUGUAUAUGCUUGGCUCUUCAAGUAUAACCUGAGUAUUCCGUGUGUGCAACUCUUUUGCACCCGUUGUAUUUGAACGUAGAGCCUAUCACACUCGAUCAUCAUGUGGUGUCUCAGCACGAAGAACUUUCGCAACGGUGCAUACUCAGGGAGAACACUUCUUGAUAAUUAGUGAGAGAUCAUCUUAUAAUGCUACCAUCAAUCAAAGCAAGAUAAGAUGCAUAAAAGAUAAACAUCAUAUGCAAUCAAAAUAUGUGACAUGAUAUGGCCAUCAUCAUCUUGCGCCUUUGAUUUCCAUCUCCAAAGUACUAUUAUGAUCUCUAUCGUCACCGGCAUGACACCAUGAUCUCCAUCAUCUUGAUCUAUAUCAAUAUGUCAUCACGUGGUCGUCUCGCCAACAAUUGCUCUUCCAACUAUUGCUAUCGCAUAGCAAUAAAGUAAAGCAGUUAUUGGGCGCUUGCAUCUUAUGCAAUAGAGAGACAACCAUAAGGAUUUUGCCAGUUGCCGAUAACUUCAACAAAACAUGAUCAUCUCAUACAACAACUUAUAUCUCAUCACGUUUUGACCAUAUCACAUCACAACAUGCCCUGCAAAAAUAAGUUAGACGUCCUCUACUUUGUUGUUGCAAGUUUUACGUGGCUGCUACGGGCUUAGCAAGAACCGUUCUUACCUAUGCAUCAAAAACCACAAUGAUAGUUUGUCAAGUUCGUGUUGUUUUAACCUUCGCAAGGACCGGGCGUAGCCACACUCGGUUCAACUAAAGUUGGAGAAACUGUCACCCGCAAGCCACCUAUGUGCAAAGCACGUUGGGAGAACCGGUCUCGCAUAAGCGUACGCGUAAUGUCGGUCCGGGCCGCUUCGUCCAACAAUACCACCGAACCAAAGUAUGACAUGCUGGUAAGCAGUAUGACUUAUAUCGCCCACAACCCACUUGUGUUCUACUCGUGCAUAUAACAUCAACAUAUAAAACCUAGGCUCGGAUGCCACUGUUGGGGAACGUAGUAAUUUCAAAAAAAUUACUACGCACACGCAAGAUCAUGGUGAUGCAUAGCAACGAGAGGGGAGAGUGUGAUCUACAUACCUUGUAGAUCGACAACGGAAGCAUUUGGUUGAUGUAGUCGUACGUCUUCACGGCUCGACCGAUCAAGCACCGAAACUAUGGCACCUCCGAGUUUUAGCACACGUUCAGCUCGAUGACGAUCCCCGAACUCCAAUCCAGCAAAGUGUCGGGGAAGAUUUCCGUCAGCACGACGGCGUGGUGACGAUCUUGAUGUACUGCUGCUGCAGGGCUUCGCCUAAGCACCGCUACAAUAUUAUCGAGGACUAUGGUGGCUGGGGGCGCCGCACACGGCUAAGGAAUAGAUCACGUGGAUCAACUUGUGUGUGUUCUAGGGUGCCCUUUGCCUCAGUAUAUAAAGGAGCCAGGGAGAGGGGGCAGCCGGCCAAGGUGGGCGCGCCAACGGGGAGUCCUACUCCCAUCGGGAGUAGGACUCCUAGUUGGACAAGGAGAGAGGGGAAAGAGGUGGAAGAGAGGAAGGAAAGGGGGGGCGCCGCACCCCUUCCCUUGUCCUAUUCGGACUAGGAAGGGGAGGGGCGCACGGCCACCUCUUGCCUCCUUCUCUCUUCUCCCUCAAGGCCCAUGUAGGCCCAAUAAACCCCCGGGGGGGUUCCAGUAACCCCCCGGUACUCCGGAAAAAUGCCGAUUUCACCCGGAACGAUUCCAAUGUCCAAAUAUAGGCUUCCAAUAUAUCAAUCUUUACAUCUCGACCAUUUCGAGACUCCUCGUCAUGUCCGUGAUCACAUCCGGGACUCCGAACAACCUUCGGUACAUCAAAAUGCAUAAACUCAUAAUAUAAUUGUCAUCGUAACCUUAAGCAUGCGGACCCUACGGGUUCGAGAACAAUGUAGACAUGACCGAGACAUGUCUCCAGUCAAUAACCAAUAGCGGCACCUGGAUGCCCAUAUUGGCUCCUACAUAUUCUACGAAGAUCUUUAUCGGUCAGACCGCAUAACAACAUACGUCGUUCCCUUUGUCAUCGGUAUGUUACUUGCCCGAGAUUCGACCGACGAUCGUCGGUAUUCCAAUACCUAGUUCAAUCUCGUUGCUGGCAAGUCUCUUUACUCGUUCUGUAAUACAUCAUUCCGCAACUAACUCAUUUAGUUGCAAUGCUUGCAAGGCUUAAGUGAUGUGCAUUACCGAGAGGGCCCAGAGAUACCUCUCCGACAAUCGGAGUGACAAAACCUAAUCUCAAAAUACGCCAACCCAACAUGUACCUUUGGAUACACCUGUAGAGCACCUUUAUAAUCACCUAGUUACGUUGUGACGUUUGGUAGCACACAAAGUGUUCCUCCGGCAAACGGGAGUUGCAUAAUCUCAUAGUCAUAGGAACAUGUAUAAGUCAUGAAGAAAGCAAUAGCAACAUACUAAACGAUCGGGUGCUAAGCUAAUGGAAUGGGUCAUGUCAAUCAGAUCAUUCACCUAAUGAUGUGAUCCCGUUAAUCAAAUAACAACUCUUUGUCCAUGGUUAGGAAACAUAACCAUCUUUGAUUAACGAGCUAGUCAAGUAGAGGCAUACUAAUGACACUCUGUUUGUCUAUGUAUUCACACAUGUAUUAUGUUUCAGGUUAAUACAAUUCUAGCAUGAAUAAUAAACAUUUAUCAUGAAAUAAAGAAAUAAAUAAUAACUUUAUUAUUGCCUCUAGGGCAUAUUUCCUUCAUCUCUAUCGUCACAGGCAUGACACCAUGAUCUCCAUCAUCUUGAUCUAUAUCAAUGUGUCGUCACGUGGUCGUCUCGCCAACAAUUGCUCUUGCAACUAUUGCUAUCGCAUAGCAAUAAAGUAAAGCAGUUAUUGGGCGCUUGCAUCUUAUGCAAUAGAGAGACAACCAUAAGGAUUUUGCCAGUUGCCGAUAACUUCAACAAAACAUGAUCAUCUCAUACAACAACUUAUAUCUCAUCACGUCUUGACCAUAUCACAUCACAACAUGCCCUGCAAAAACAAGUUAGACGUCCUCUACUUUGUUGUUACAAGUUUUACGUGGCUGCUACGGGCUUAGCAAGAACCGUUCUUACCUACGCAUCAAAAACCACAACAAUAGUUUGUCAAGUUGGUGUUGUUUUAACCUUCGCAAUGACCGGGCGUUGCCACACUCGGUUCAACUAAAGUUGGAGAAACUGUCACCCGCAAGCCACCUAUGUGCAAAGCAUGUCGGGAGAACCGGUCUUGCGUAAGCGUACGCGUAAUGUCGGUCCGGGCCGCUUCAUCCAACAAUACCGCCGAACCAAAGUAUGACAUGCUGGUAAGCAAUAUUACUUAUAUCGCCCACAACUCACUUGUGUUCUACUCGUGCAUAUAACAUCAACAUAUAAAACCUAGGCUCGGAUGCCACUGUUGGGGAACGUAGUAAUUUCAAAAAAAUUCCUACGUACACGCAAGAUCAUGGUGAUGCAUAGCAACGAGAGGGGAGAGUAUGAUCUCCGUACCCUUGUAGAUCGACAACGGAAGCGUUAGCACAACGUGGUUGAUGUAGUCGUAUGUCUUCACGGUUCGACCGGUCCAAGCACCGUUACUCCGGCACCUUCGAGUUCUUGGCACACGUUCAGCUUGAUGACGAUCCCCGGGCUCCGAUCCAGCAAAGCGUCGGGGAGGAGUUGUGUCAGCACGACGGCGUGGUGACGAUCUUGAUGUUCUACCGUCGCAGGGCUUCGCCUAAGCACCGCUACAAUAUGACCGAGGUGGAAUAUGGUGGAGGGGGGCACCGCACACGGCUAAGGAACGAUCAUGAAGAUCAACUUGUGUGUCUAUGGGGUGCCCCCUGCCCCCGUAUAUAAAGGAGUGGAGGAGGGGAGAGCCGGCCCUCUCUAUGGCGCACCCUAGGGAAGUCCUACUCCCACAGGGAGUAGGAUUCCCCCUUUCCGAGUCCAAUUAGGAGUCCUUCCAUGUAGUAGGAGUAGGAAACAAGGAAGGGGUGCAGCCCCUACCCCUAGUCCAAUUCGGACUAGGCCUUGGGGGGGCGCCCGGCCUGCCCUAGGCAGCCCCUCUCUCUUUCCCGUAUGGCCCAAUAAGGCCCAAUACUUCUCCCGGCGAAUUCCCGUAACUCUCCGGUACUCUGAAAAAUACCCGAAUCACUCGAAACCUUUCCAAAGUCCGAAUAUAGUCGUCCAAUAUAUCGAUCUUUAUGUCUCGACCAUUUCGAGACUCCUCGUCAUGUCCCCGAUCUCAUCGGGGACUCCGAACUCCUUCGGUACAUCAAAACUCAUAAACUCAUAAUAUAACUGUCAUCGAAACCUUAAGCGUGCGGACCCUACGGUUCGAGAACAAUGUAGACAUGACCGAGACACGUCCCCGGUCAAUAACCAAUAGCGGGACCUGGAUGCCCAUAUUGGCUCCUACAUAUUCUACGAAGAUCUUUAUCGGUCAGACCGCAUAACAACAUACAUUAUUCCUUUUGUCAUCGGUAUGUUACUUGCCCGAGAUUCGAUCGUCGAUAUCCAAUACCUAGUUCAAUCUCAUUGCCGGCAAGUCUCUUUACUCGUUCUGUAAUACAUCAUCCCGCAACUAACUCAUUAGUUGCAAUGCUUGCAAGGCUUUAAGUGAUGUGCAUUACCGAGAGGGCCCAGAGAUACCUCUCCGACAAUCGGAGUGACAAAUCCUAAUCUCGAAAUACGCCAACCCAACAUUUACCUUUGGAGACACCUGUAGAGCUCCUUUAUAAUCACCCAAUUACGUUGUGACGUUUGGUAGCACACAAAGUGUUCCUCCGGCAAACGGGAGUUGCAUAAUUUCAUAGUCAUAGGAACAUGUAUAAGUCAUGAAGAAAGCAAUAGCAACAUACUAAACGAUCGGGUGCUAAGCUAAUGGAAUGGGUCAUGUCAAUCAGAUCAUUCACCUAAUGAUGUGAUCCCGUUAAUCAAAUAACAACUCUUUGUCCAUGGUUAGGAAACAUAACCAUCUUUGAUUAACGAGCUAGUCAAGUAGAGGCAUACUAGUGACACUCUGUUUGUCUAUGUAUUCACACAUGUAUUAUGUUUCUGGUUAAUACAAUUCUAGCAUGAAUAGUAAACAUUUAUCAUGAAAUAAGGAAAUAAAUAAUAACUUUAUUAUUGCCUCUAGGGCAUAUUUCCUUCACCUGCAAGCUUAAAUAAUCCACAAACUUCAUCCACAUAUAUUAGGUGUUCAUCAGGAUGCUUUGUUCCAUCUCCUGUAAAAGGAUUAGCUAGCAGUUUUUCUAUCAUACCCGAAGGAUACUCAUAAGGAAUUUCAUUUUAAAUAGGUUCAGUAGGUUGAGGAGCAACUCUUUGCUCUACUGGUCGGGAUGAAGAUACCCCGAACAAGCCCCUCAGAGGAUUACUUUCCAUAGUAACAAGUGACAGUAAAUUUCAGCACACUAUAUAAAAUUUUCCUUACCAAAUUCCACCUACCAAAGGCGCUUCACUCCCCGGCAACAACGCCAGAAAAGAGUCUUGAUGACCCACAAGUAUAGGGGAUCUAUCGUAGUCCUUUCGAUAAGUAAGAGUGUCGAACCCAACGAGGAGCAGAAGGAAAUGAUAAGCGGUUUUCAGCAAGGUAUUCUCUGCAAGUACUGAAAUAAGUGGUAACAGAUAGUUUUGUGGUAAGAUAAUUUGUAACGAGCAACAAGUAACAAAAAUAAAUAAAGUGCAGCAAGGUGGCCCAAUCCUUUUUGUAGCAAAGGACAACCCUGGACAAACUCUUAUAUAAGGAAAAGCGCUCCUGAGGACACAUGGGAAUAUCGUCAAGCUAGUUUUCAUCACGUUCAUAUGAUUCGCGUUCGGUACUUUGAUAAUUUGACAUGUGGGUGGACCGGUGCUUGGGUGCUGUUCUUACUUGAACAAGCAUCCCACUUAUGAUUAACCUCUAUUGCAAGCAUCCGCAACUACAACAAAAGUAUUAAGGUAAACCUAACCAUAGCAUGAAACAUAUGGAUCCAAAUCAGCCCCUUACGAAGCAACACAUAAACUAGGGUUUAAGCUUCUGCCACUCUAGCAACCCAUCAUCUACUUAUUACUUCCCAAUGCCUUCCUCUAGGCCCAAAUAAUGGUGAAGUGUUAUGUAGUCAACGUUCACAUAACACCACUAGAGGCUAGACAACAUACAUCUCAUCAAAAUAUCAAACGAAUACCAAAUUCACAUGACUACUAAUAGCAAGACUUCUCCCUUGUCCUCAGGAACAAACGUAACUACUCACAAAGCAUAUUCAUGUUCAUAAUCAGAGGGGUAAUAAUAUGCAUAAAGGAUCUGAACAUAUGAUCUUCCACCAAUUAAACCAACUAGCAUCAACUACAAGGAGUAAUUAACACUACUAGCAACCUACUAGCACCAAUCCCGGGCUUGGAGACAAGAAUUGGAUACAAGAGAUGAACUAGGGUUUUGAGAUGAGAUGGUGUUGAUGGAGAUGUUGAUGGAGAUUGCCCUCUCCCAAUGAGAGGAGCGUUGGUGAUGACGAUGGCGAUGAUUUCCCCCUGUGGGAGGGAAUUUUCCCAGCAGAACAGCUCUGCCAGAGCUCUGGAUUGGAUCCGCCAAGGUUCCGCCUCGUGGCGGUGGAGUUUCGUCCCGAAAGGUUGCUUGUGGUUUUUUUCUCAACGAAAGACUUCAUAUAGCAGAAGAUGGUAAUCGGAGAGCCACCAGGGGGCCCACGAGGUAGGGGGCGCGCCCUAGGGGGGGCGAGCCCCCCACCCUCAUGGAAAGGGUGUGGGCCCCCUGGUCUUCAUCUUUGGCGAGGAGUUUUCAUUAUUUAUUAUAAGGUAUUCCCUGGAGUUUCAGGACUUUUGGAGUUGUGCAGAAUAGGUCUCUAAUAUUUGCUCCUUUUCCAGCCCAGAAUUCCAGCUACCGACAUUCUCCCUCCUUUAUGUAAACCUUAUAAAAUAAGAGAGAAUAGCCAUAAGUAUUGUGACAUAAUAUGAAAUAACAGCCCAUAAUGCAAUAAAUAUCGAUAUAAAAGCAUGAUGCAAAAUGGACGUAUCAGCUGCCACGGGAGGGUAGGACAAAAGAUGUUAUGCAAGUUCUUUUCCAUAAGCAUUUAUGACUAUAUUCGGAAUACAUGCCUACAUUACAUUGAUGAACUGGAGCUACUUAUGUGUCACCCUAUGUUAUAACUGUUGCAUGAUUGAUCGCAUCCGACAUAAUUAUUCAUCAGUGAUCCAAUGCCUACGAGCUUUUCAUAUAUUUUUCUUCGCUUAUCUACUUUUCCAUUGCUACUGUUACAAUCACUAUAAAACCAAAACUGCUACCAUUACUUUUACCACUGUUACCGCUACUAUCAUAUUACUUUGCCACUAAAUACCUUGCUGUAGAUAUUAAGUUAUCCAGUUGUGGUUGAAUUGACAAUUCAGCUGCUAAUACUUGAGAAUAUUCUUUGGCUCCCCUUAUGUCAAAUCAAUAAAUUUGGGUUGAAUACUCUACCCUCGAAAACUGUUGCGAUCCCCUAUACUUGUAGGUUAUUAGGCAGCAGCCUCAACCUGCUUUACCAGGAUACAGUGCACAAAAUGGGCAUCGACCCAUCAAGGAUCAAGCCCACCAACACCACCUUUAAAGGAGUUAUACCAGGUGCAGAGGCCUGUUGCUCAGGCUCAAUCACAUUGGUGGUCAUCUUCGGAUCUCCGGACAACUUUUGAAGCGAGGAGUUAAUCUUCGAUAUCGUCCCCUUCCGCAGUGGCUAUGACGCACUGCUCGGACGAACUGCGUUUUCCCGAUUCAAUGCGGUGCCGCACUAUGCUUACCUCAAGCUCAAGAUGCCCGGACCCCGCGGUGUCAUAACAGUCAAUGGAAAUACGGAGCGCUCCCUCUAUAUCGACGAGCACACCACUUCCCUGGCAGCAGAAGUACAGAGUGCCCUCCGCAAACAGAACCUUAAUUCGGCAGCCAUACUCCCGGACACUAUCAAACGAGUCCGGACUACCAUGCACCAGGACAGCCCAGCUUGUCAAGAGCUCAACUAGCAAUUCGGCCUCCGUCCCAGACCACACCAAGUGGCGGCGUUCGUGUUGCGCGUACAUAACUACGCACUCAAAAUACCGUGGGCAUAUAGACGGAGGCAUAACCAGAUUGUGAUCCACAAUAAGGCUCGGCCUCCCCUGGACACACAUACUUUCACUUUUCCUUUUUUCCUCCUCGGGUUUCCUUUCCGCAGGUCCCCCUCGCUGGCCUCAUAAUCGGUCCUUUCGAAGAAUGGGCACACCAAGGUGGCAAGUAGCACAGACGUGCGGGGGAAUCUCUAGAUGUCCCUCUUGGCAAUCACUCUACCUGUUUUCAGGACCCGUACGCAGCUCCUCCUUGGUCUUGUCAUGUCAAAUAGCCACUGUUUCUUCUCACACUUUUUUUGUUCACAUACACUUUGACGUAUUAGUUAAAAUUAUAAUGGAAAUAGUUUGCGGCCCGACAUAUGUGGCAUUCUUCUUCUUUAUUUUUAUUUUUGCUAUUUUAAUUUUCAUCCGUAUUCCUUGGUACACCGUAAUCUGCCAGGGGCUUUAUUGCGCCCCACACUAUGGCAACAAGUCCGAACACUUUUACAGUAUAGUUCAGCACCCCGAGUUUAGCAUUAUAUGCAUUGGCUCCGAAUCAUGUCUUUGGGCAAUAGUUGGGUUUCCCAGCUCCUGUGCUUUCUACCUUACUUUCUGCUAUAUCAGCUAGGGUAGUAAAGGGAGAACUACUGCGAUUGUGUUCCGGCUUAUCCGUAUGAGCACCUCAGUAGAGAAAGCCGAAAACUGACUGUCAUGAUGCGGCGUGAGCUGGUCAACUCUUCAGAGGUUUCAAAUCUUUAGCGAUUUUUCCCGCAUUACACGACGAAUCGGUUCUCAUCCGAUCAGGUGUUUACAACACCCUAGUCUGGACACUAGGGGCUACGCCUAUAUUUUAAUUGUCAAACUCCUAUGGCUAAGUGAGGGUAAUAAAGCCACAUAGUCCGAUUGCCUGGUUUGUUGCGCUAAACACCUCCUUUAAGGACCAAACUCUUGGAUAAAGCGUGUUUAGAUUCAUCCCGAACACCCCCGUACUACCUACGUGGGGGCUGAAGCCGACGACUGGCCAACUCUCAGAUUUGAUAAAAAUGGCCGCACAGGAGGUAAAUUUUUUUAAAAACAGCAAAGCAUUAUAUUACAUAUCAAGCCUUGUUUUUAUCAUAUAGGGCGGGAUUACAUGAAUGUAUUCAUUCGAAAAUUAUGCCCUUAGCACAUUGCUCCGCCACAAUGCGGGAUACCUUCAGAACAUCUUAAAAAUACCGCUCGGGCAUGCGGUGCUCCUUGCCCGCAGGCGGUCCUUCGGUCGCGAGCUUGACGGCAUCCAUCUUCGCCCAUUGUAUCUUGACGCGGACGAAGGCCAUCCGCGCACCUUCUAUGCAGACCGACCACUUGAUGGCAUCAAGCCGCGGGCAGGCAUUGACCAGCCACUUCAUGAGGCCGAAGUAGCUGCCGAGUAUAGCUUCUGCAAGCCACAACCGGAUUAUUAAAUCCUUCAUGGCUAGUUCGGCCACCCUAUGCAGCUCGACCAACUGUUUUAGCUGGUCGCUAAAGGGCACCUGAUGUUCUGGUGCAAGGUAUUGCGACCAGAACAGCUUCUCUGUUGAGCUCCCCCCUUUGGCCCAGAAGAAUGCCACAACGUCAGAAACACCACGCGACAAAUCCGCAAAUGCCCCUAGAGAACUCCAAAUCCGAGUCAAUAAGAGAUACCUCGGGCUCACAUACUUGCUUUGCAUAAUGAAAGCCUUACCUGCCAUGAUCUUCUUGGCCUCCUGGAUCUCCAGGAGGGCGCCUUGGGCUUCGGCUCGGGCCUCUUGUGCACUUUGGCGGGCCUUAGAGAGUUCGGACUCUUGGUCCGCAUUCUGGCGCUCCAAGGACUCGCAUUUCUUCACUGCGUCCUGGAGCUCCUGCUGGACCUCGCCAACCCUGGCCUCAUGCUUUUCUCGGGUGGCCUUUUCAUUUACCGCUCUCUCCUCAGCCUUGGCCAGCGCCUUUUUGAGGGCUUCUACCUCAGUCGCCGCCCCUAAUAAAUGGCAUGGCACUGUGAUCAGCUUACAUUAUUCGCCCCUUCCGGACAUACACAAUUUCAUUGCAUACCUUGGGUAUUCUCCAGCUGGUUUCUCGCACGGCCGAUCUCAUCCUCGGUCCGUUCCAGCUUCUGCUUCAGUCCGGAGACUUCGGCAGCAUGAGAAGUCGCGGCCAGCACCGACGCCUGCUUAUUCACAAAGACAUGUAUGAUUAGUUUCCUAUGAAUAGCUAUUUGAUCCUCUGUUCGGCUUUUCUUUCCGAACAUCGGACAAAGUCUCGGGGGCUACUGUCUAUAAUGUAACUUUCUUUUCACAUAAAUGUAGCGCUUACCUCAAAGCCUAUUAGAAGGCUCGCACAGGCUUCGGUCAGUCCGCUCUUCAUGGACCGAAUCUUCUCAAUCACCGCACCCAUGAGGGCACGGUGUUCCUAAACGAUGGAAGCGCUUCGCAGCGCCUCCAGUAGAGUAUCCAGCGCCUCUAGUUGGACAGAGGUCACUGAUACGUCCAUUUUGCAUCAUGCUUUUAUAUCGAUAUUUAUUGCAUUAUGGGAUGUUAUUACACAUUAUGUCACAAUACUUAUGCCUAUUCUCUCUUAUUUUACAAGGUUUACAUAAAGAGGGAGAAUGUCGGCAGCUGGGAUUCUGGGCUGGAAAAGGAGCAAAUAUUAGAGACCUAUUCUGCACAGCUCCAAAAGUCCUGAAACUUCACGGAAGUCAUUUUCAGACUAUAUAAAAAUACUAAGCGCAAGAAGUUCCAGAGGGGGGCCACACCCUGGCCACGAGGGUGAGGGGCGCGCCCUACCCCCCUGGGCACGCGCCCCUGCCUCGUGGGCCCCUUGGUGGCCCUCCAAUGCCCAUCUUCUUCUAUAUGGAGUCUUUCGAUGAGAAAAAAAUCAUAAGCAAGCUUUCGGGACGAGACUCCGCCGCCACGAGGCAGAACCAAUCUGGGGCUCUGGCGGAGCUGUUCUGCCGGGGACACUUCCCUCUGGGAGGGGGAAAAUCAUCGCCAUCGUCAUCACCAACGAUCUUCUCAUCAGGAGGGGGUCAAUCUCCAUCAACAUCUUCACCAGCACCAUAUCCUCUCAAACCCUAGUUCAUUUCUUGUAUCCAAUUCUUGUCUCUAAGCCUGGGAUUGGUACAUGUGGGUUGCUAGUAGUGUUGAUUACUCCUUGUAGUUGAUGCUAGUUGGUUUAUUUGGUGGAAGAUCAUAUGUUCAGAUCCUACAUGCAUAUUAAUACCCCUCUGAUUAUGAACAUGAAUAUGCUUUGUGAGUAGUUACGUUUGUUCCUGAGGACAUGGGAGAAGUCUUGCUAUUAGUAGUCAUGUGCAUUUGGUAUUCGUUCGAUAUUUUGAUGAGAUGUAUGUUGUCUCUCCUCUAGUGGUGUUAUGUGAACGUCGACUACAUGACACUUCACCAUUAUUUGGGCCUAGAGGAAGGCAUUGGGAAGUAAUAAGUAGAUGAUGGGUUGCUAGAGUGACAGAAGCUUAAACCCUAGUUUAUGCGUUGCUUCGUAAGGGGAUGAUUUGGAUCCACAUGUUUCAUGCUAUGGUGAGGUUUACCUUAAUACUUUUGUUGUAGUUGCAGAUGCUUGCAAUAGGGGUUAAUGAUAAGUGGGAUGCUUGUCCAAGUAAGGAUAGCACCCAAGCACCGGUCCACCCACAUAUCAGAUUAUCAAAUUACCGAACGUGAAUCAUAUGAUCGUGAUGAAACCUAGCUUGAUGAUAAUUCCCAUGUGUCCUCGGGAGCGCUUUCUAUAUAAGAAUUUGUCCAGGCUUGUCCUUUGCUACAAAAAGGAUUGGGCCACCUUGCUGCACUUUAUUUACUUUUGUUACUUGUUGCUCGUUACAAAUUAUCUUAUCACAAAACUAUCUGUUACCUAUAAUUCCAGUGCUUGCAGAGAAUACCUUGCCGAAAACCGCUUAUCAUUUCCUUCUGCUCCUCAUUGGGUUCGACACUCUUACUUAUCGAAAGGACUACGAUAGAUCCCCUAUACUUGUGGGUCAUCAGUCACGGUGGAAUGGGCACACCUCCUUCCAAUGAAGGAGGCUACUGGCCGGAUUCCGGAGUCAUAUAGGUCUCUGGGACCGCAUCCGGCUGGGGGCCGUAUUGGACAUAGCCCCCACCACCAGUCUCCAUGGGGAUCUGCUCCCCCAUGUGUUCGGCGGCCAAUGUCUCACCCUCUGGCGUUGUCUUGACGACCUUCUGUGUCUCUCCCUGGCCAGGGGUCCUUCGGGACAACACCUCGAUAUCAUCUGUAUCCUUGGGGGAGGAGGCCAUUGGAAGGGACCCGCUGUCCAUCACCUUCGGAUCCAGCGAGUUCCCUGUAGACGAGGAUCGCUCGAGGGCGGAACGAGCCAGACUGCAAAUGCACGAUUCAACAUGUUAGAAGUAUGAGGUGAAAGAGGAGGAUGUAUGAAUACUUCAGGGUCUUCAGAUACUUACAAUUCAGCCAGGGGCUUGUUUCGAGGGCGCCGCUCUGGGCUGCUAUCGACGUCCCACACGGAGCUAUCCGCGAGGGAAGCCUUUCCCUUCUUGGACGCCUCUGCCUCUAGAUCUGUGCAGGCCACCCUCUUCUUCCCCCCCCCCCCCUCGGGGAGGGGGAAAUUGCUUUCUUCCUCCUCUUCCUCCUCCUCGCCCUCUUCGGCGACGGAGUGAGUUUCGGCAUCUUCGGAUGCCGCGUCCGAAGUACCCUUGGGACGGAGGCCUCCUCUAGUCCCCUUGGCCUUCUUAUUGGCCUUCUUCUCCGGCGCCUUGUACGGCGCCGCAACUAGCAUCUUCGUCAGACGCGGGCAGCGGAGCCGGACACUGAAUACUCGGGCAGCGGAGCCGGACACUGAAUCUGCUCCGCCUUCUUCGUCCAAGCCUGAAAGAACAAAUGGGAAAGUUUAUACACCCUCCUCGAAUAAGCAGGUAAGGAAUACACCUUGAAAUAACGGAAAACUUACCGAACUGGCGGGAUGAGCCAGGUCAUGCCCACGAUCCUCGGUGGUCUUCGGCCAUGUCUAGUUGGCCUUGAAGAGCACCUUCCAGAUAUCUUCGUGUGUAGUUCCAAAGAACCGUUGUAGGGUCUUGUGCUCGACUGGAUCGAACUCCCAUAGGUGGCAAGCCCGGCUCUGGCAUGGAAGGAUCCUCCGGACUAGCAUCACUUGAAUCACAUCGACAAGCUUGACGUUCUUGUCCAUCAUGCUCCUGAUGCGCGUCUGGAGCGCUGUCAGCUCGUCCGACGAAGACCAAUCCAGGCCCUUCUCCUGCUAGGAGGCUAGGCGCAUUGGGGCCCCGGAUUUGAAUUCGGGAGCCACGGCCCAGGUGGUGUCGCGGGGCUCUGUGAUGUAAAACCACAAUUUUUGCCACCCUUUGAUGGUCUCCAUGAAGGUGCCUUUGGGCCACGGGACAUUGGACAUCUAUCUCACCAUGGCACCUCCGCAGUCCGCGUGCUCGCCGCCCACCACCUUCGGUUUCACAUUGAAGGUCUUCAGCCACAGUCCAAAGAGGGGGGCGGAGGAAAGUGUCGGUGUCAAAACCGGCGGAUCUCAGGUAGGGGGUCCCGAACUGUGCGUCUAGGCCGGAUGGUAACAGGAGACAAGGGACACAAUGUUUUACCCAGGUUCGGGCCCUCUUGAUGGAGGUAAAACCCUACGUCCUGCUUGAUUAAUAUUGAUGAUAUGGGUAGUACAAGAAUAGAUCUACCACGAGAUCAAGGAGGCUAAACCCUAAAAGCUAGCCUAUGGUAUGAUUGUUGUAUGAUGAAGUUGUCCUACGGACUAAAACCCUCCGGUUUAUAUAGACACCGGAGAGGGUUAGGGUUACACAAAGUCGGUUACAAUGGUAGGAGAUCUUCAAUAUCCGCAUCGCAAAGCUUGCCUUCCAUGCCAAGGAAAGUCCCAUCCGGACACGGGACGGAGUCUUCAAUCUUGUAUCUUCAUAGUCCUGGAGUCCGGCUGAAGGUAUAGUCCGGCUACCCAAACAACCCUAAUCCAGGACUCCCUCAGUAGCCCUUGAACCAGGCUUCAAUGACGACGAGUCCGGCGCGCAAAUUGUCUUCGACAUUGCAAGGCGGGUUCCUCCUCCAAAUUCUUCAUAAAAGUUUGUAAACACCAAGAGUAGUGUCCGGCUCUGCAAAAUAAGUUUCCACGUAUUGCCAUAGAGAGAAUAAUAUUAACACAAAUCUAAUCUGCUGACGUAUUCCGCAGCGUGACAUCACACUACAGCCAAGCCUUUAUUCGAAUCAUUUUCACUUUUCCUUGGCACGUCUUGUCAAAGCAGAGAUCGUGUCCCCUUUGUUUAUGGUAUUCUCGUUAAUACAGACGUGGGUAACCCAACCGCGCCACUUAUCACGGCGCUUGGGAGGCAAGCGAAUUUUACUAGGCUGGUGGGGACGCAUAGUCGCAUCCGCCCAUAUAAGGGGAUAAGGAUCCACCUUUUUACCUACGCCUUCUUCCUCCUUUGCCCAUCCAUCUUCUGCGCACCCGAGCUCCAGCGCCCAAGCCCGCACUUCCUACCUCAACCCUCUCCAACAAUGUCCGGAGCGGGAGGCAAGUGGAUGGUCUCCUCCGUCGCGGAGGGCCAUGUCAAAAGGUUAAGGAUGGCUGGACACUUGUCCAAAGACAUCGCGCACCGGCUUCCCAAAGAGGGGCAGCUUCUCCCCACCCCAAGGCCCCAUGAGAGGGUAGUAUUUCUUCCCCACUUCCUCCGCAGACUGGGUUUUCCUCUCCACCCAUUCGUCCGUGGGCUCAUGUUCUACUAUGGCCUAGAUUUCCACGAUCUGGACCUGAACUUCAUCCUCAAUAUCUCGGCGUUUAUCGUCGUGUGCGAGGCUUUCCUCUGCAUCCGCCCCCAUUUCGGCCUCUGGCUCAAGACCUUCAACGUCAAGCCAAAGGUGGUGCGCGGCAACCAGGCGGAGUGCGGAGGUGCCAAGGCAGGCAAAAUAGCCAAUGUCCUAUGGCUCGAGGGCUCCUUUGUGGAGACCUUGAAGGGGUGGCAGUCAGGGUGGUUUUACAUCAUCGAGCCACGCGAUCCGAAGUGGAUCGCAGCCCCUAAAUUCCGAUCCGGACCCCCUACGCGGCUCACGUCCUGGAAGGAGACGUGCUUGUCGUGGGAUGAUGAAGAAGAGGUGACCGGACUGCAAAAAUGCAUUUAGUCCCUGGUGAACAAGCAGCUCAAGCUUGUCAACGUAGUCCAGGUCAUGCUCGUCCGCCGGAUACUUCCGUGUCAAGGACGGGACUUCAAUUUGUGGGAGUUCGACCCGGCGCAGCACCGAACUCUAAGCAGGCUCUUCGACACGACGUACGAAGAUGUCUGGAAGGGGCUAACCAAAGGCGCCGAGGCUCCAAGAUCCGCCUCCGAAGACCGUGGAUUCAGCUCGCAGCGUCCUGCUGGCGAGGUAAGAUAUUUCCAUCUUUUAUAGGAUGUUAAGUUUUUUCAUAGUUUGACUCUAUGCGGGAUCUAAACUCCCUCACCUUUGACAGGAUUGGCGGGAGAAGUCCGGACAGAUUAACUGUCCAGCUCCCUUGCCCGAAGACCCAGCCCCUGCUCUCCUAGAGAAGCUGCUGGUUCCAGCACCUUAUGUGGUGCCGGAGAAGAAGGCCAAGAAGAAGAAGGCCACGGGGACUCGAAAGAGUUCCCGGCAUAUGGUGGUGUCGGACUCGUCGUCCGACGAGUCCGAGACGCGCUCCUCCCGUGAAGACGAGGAGGAGGAAGAAGAAACCUCUCCCCCUCCAGCGGGGGGAGGAAAGAAGAGGAAGGCCGCCCCAGCAGGGGAGGCCGAGGGGUCCAAGAAGAGGAAAACCCCUCCGCCGGACUACGCCCCCGACGCCGACGAGGACGAAGGGGAGUGGCCAGACAGGGCCAAGCGUCCGGCGAAAUCGUAAGUGUUUGGAUACCAGAGUAACUCAUGAUAUUCCUUUUGUUGCACAGGUUUCCCUAAUGUCGAAUAUAAUCGUGCAGCCCGCCCAAGGAUGGGCUCGACGAGUCAUCGAGCGGCUCCCUGGAUUCAUCGGACGUGAAUUCAGUUCUGCCCGCUGCCUCCCCCUGUGCUGUGGAUGACGCCGAAGUGGCAUCGCGACAAGCUCCGGGGCAAGAGGAGGUGGUCCGCGAGGAUCCGUGAGGCGACCUCCCGGACUCCAGGAGUGAAGGGGACAAGACCCCCCCUGGGCUCCAAGUCCGGCUUUAAGCCGGACACCGCGCCGGAAUCAUCAACGGUUCCGGACCGCGGUAGGCGAACUCCUGCCAAGAGGAGCAACUGAGGUGGUGACCCUCCGUCCUCCGUCCAACUGGAGGUGCCGGACAAUCUGUUGGAGGAGCUUAAGGGCACCUCCAUCGACGAGGAGCACCGUGCCAUCAUGAGUACGGUGGUCCAGAAGGUUCGGUCCGCCAAAAGCGGACUGACUGAAGCUUGUGCUAGCCUUCUAACAGGCUUCGAGGUAAGUAAAAAUAUGUAAAAAAUAUUACCGUAUAGACAGUAGCCCCUGAUGCUCUGUUUGGCGUUCGGAAAGAAAAGUUGAAUAGAGGAUCUAUUAAAUAUCGCAGGAGUCUAACUAAAAAAGAGUCAAUAUACGUAUGCAGGCUUUGCUACUGGCCACCGCUGCACUGACUGCGGAGGUGGGUGCCCUGAAGCAGGGCCUCGAGCGGACCGAGCAAGAGCUCGGCCUUGCCAAACAGCAGCUCGAGGAGAAAGAAGGUAAGAGAUACCUUAUAGAAAAAAUGCCUAUAGGAAUGCGCAAUUGCAAAAAAUGACAGGAGUAUACUGCUUAUUGUAGGGGCCACAACUGAGGUGGUGACCCUCAAGCAGGCGCUGUCCGAGGCCGAGAAGAAAGCGGCCACGGAGCGCACCGAGCGAGAGAAAUUUGAGGCGCAGGUCGGCGAGGUGCGGCAAGACCUUCAGGCUCUCGUGCAAAAACAUGAGACUCUGGAGCUCGACUCGAAGACGCGAGCGUCCGAGCUUGCUGCGGCCCUGAAAAUUGCCAAAUCUGCCAAGGCCGAAGCCCAGAAGGCCCUCCAGGAAUUGGAUGCGGUGAAAAAGAUAGUGGCGGGUAAGGCAUUCUAUAUGCAAAGCAGACAUAUAAAAGUAAACUACUUGUUACUUACCCGAAUCCGAAGCUCUCCAGGGGCAUUCGCAGAUCUUCCCCGCAGCGUAUCCGAUGCCACCGCAUUCUACCGAGCCGAGGAAGGCAGCUCGACGGAGAAGGUGUUCUGGUCUCAGUACGCUGAUGUCACGACCGCCUUUCCAAUAAAACAUUUAUUGAAAAGCCGAUCUUUGUAUUAACCAGUAUAGAAGAAUUCUUCUUACUGGCAGACAAAACCUUGAUAUAGAAAUCUAGCAGUACUAAUAUUAUACAUGGUUGAUCUGAGGAUGCUCAACAAAUUAUUACAAGCACGCCUAUAUUAUACAUAGAGGCGGAUAUGACACAAGGGUAUGGUGGCAUAACUACUGUCUCGUAAUAGAGGUGGUGGUGGAUAUGUCACACUGAGGUGGGUGACAUGACUCUGAAAUCUUACAGCUCAUCAAGCGUCGGAGUGAGGCUUGAUGAUUUUUAUUUGGGUGGCGGAAGCGUGUAUGAUACAAGUGAACAACUCCAGGGUCGAACGUGACUGGCUGGGACUCCUCUAGGCGUCAGACUUGCUAUCGAACUCUUCAUCCAUAAGAUCGUCUUCGUCAACAUCUGGCCAAAUCAACAAGCCAGGUGAGUACUUUGAAUGUACUCGCUAGACAGUUCGGACAUAAGAUAUAACAAAUGUAAACAUGAUGCACAUGAGCAGGUUAGUAUGUACAAUUAAAUAAUAGAAUUGCACUGCACGAUAAAUAAGGGGAAAUCAGGCGGUAGUCCUCCCGAAAUCCCAGUAAAAAUAACUGAAGACCGAUCGGGUGUCUGAAGCGACGCCUCAAAAGGUAAAAUAAAAUUAACAUGCCGCAGUCGGGCGUCGAGGCGACACCACAUAAAGGGCUUAUAUUGAAAAGUAAAUAACAGAACGUGCCAUAGUCGGGCGUCUAGGCGACACCUCGGAAAGGGCUUAUAAUGAAAAUAAAUAACAAUGGUGCCACAGUCGGACGUCUGAGCGACAUCGCAUAAAGGGCUUAUAUCAAAAGUAAAUAACAAUGAUGCCACAGUCGAACGUCUGAGCGACAUCGCAUAAAGGGCUUAUAUCAAAAGUAAAUAACAGUGAUGCCACAGUCGGACGUCUGAGCGACAUCACAUAAAGAGCUUAUAUCAAAAGUAAAUAACAGUGAUGCCACAGUCGGACGUCUGAGCGACAUCACAUAAAGGGCUUAUAUUUUAUCAUUCGAAUUUAAGCAGCUCAUGAAUUCAGAUCAUCACAAGGAAAUACUUAGCUUAUGAUAAUAAACUGGUUAGUCCAUUCACAUGAAUAACCUUCAACCGAGUUUACCACUCUCGGUUGUAUGUUUAUACUCCGGAGACUGUCACCGGGGUUGACACUGAGAUUUGACACUGAGACUGACACUGACACUGAGAUGAUGUCCAAGUCCUUGAUCGUGGACAUGGAUACUCGAAUGAUUUUUGACUCUGCAGAGUUUGUACUCUUUAACCACAGCCAACGGAUUUCAGUAGUCACAAGGACUAGUUCCGUUUACAGUGUUUUAGAAGAAACACGUCUAACCAGUACACACCCAUUCCGCCUUUCGUUGCCAAGAAUCACCCUCAGCAACGUUCAAGAAAAACCUUAAGACGAGGAGGCCACAACCUUGAAUAGCAUGGGAUCAAAUUUAUAUCGCGCGCUCUAAGGGUUGCCCCCCUCUUGGUCCCAACCGGAAACACCCAUGCCCCCUGACCGGAUGACUGGCUUUAAUCCAGGGCCAUGGAACCCUCAUCGCAGCCCCUCUGUUUUGUGUGUACCAGGAAAGAGGUUUGCAACUUACUAAACCGCACUCUUUGCAGAAAACAUGUGGCGGCACGAAGGGGAGACGAACGGGAUUGAGACUUGACCCACGUUGAAACUGGAGUUCAUGGUUGACAUAGAACUGGCAUGCUUCAACACUACCAGCCUGCAACACAUCAUGUCACCACAUGAUCGUGUUAACUUAUCAUCAUAAGAACACAUCAACUUCGAAGCCCACCGGUAGCUUGCCUUGCAUGCAUAUGACAUUCACAAAUGCUUAUAUAAACAUGCCAUGAGAACACUAAUCGAGCAAACAUGCAAAACACUCAUCAUAUCAAAGGUUCAAACAUGCUUGCCUGGUUCGGAGAAGUCGGAGUCUAGCUCGGCGAAGUACGCGUCUCCUUUACUCCUCCCGGUAUCUACGUAUUUAAAGAAAAACCGGAUACUACAUAAAUACCGUGCGUGCACAAAAAUUAUCCCAAAUAUUUUUCAAAUAAAUAUGAAAAAAACUAGACAGAAAUACAAAGAUGAUAGAAAAGGUUUCAAGUUAAAAUCAUCUUUUGUUUAAAAGUUAUAAGAGUUUUGGUCCAGGGACCUUUCUGUAAUGAAACAGAAAGUUUCCAGGGUUUUCUUUGUAAAAACAGAAAACGUUUCAGUUAAGAACACGCCAGCCCAGAGGGGAAGACGUAUUUUGCCCAAAGGCGUUUUUAGAAAACGAUUCGAAAAAGAGAAAAAGUCGAUGGGGAGGUCCCACCCGUCAGGUUUGAAUGUUUGAAAGAGGGAAACAGAGUGCGCCGGCGCCCGAAGCUUGCGGUGGUCGCCGGCGGCGAUCCACUGUGAGUUAGGGGGAGGUGAAGGUACCUACGUGAUCAGCGUGCCCUCCCGCGUCUAUGGGUGGUGGAGGUGGUUGUCGGCGAGCACCACGUCGACGGUGGCCUCUACUCCGGCGGAUGGCGGCUCGAGUGAUGUUGGAUCUCGUCGGGGAAGGCUGCAAGGGCCAAAUUGAGGCGCGGGUUAGGUGACUGGGUGCCUUAGGAGGUUACGGGCAGGGUUAGGGAGGUGGGGGAGCCCUCACUGGCGUGGAUCGUGCCGGAGCCCGAAGCGGACAGAGGCGACCGGAGACAGAUAAGGAGACCUCCUCGGGGUCCUUCUGUCGGCUUGGAGAUGCUCUGGUGAAGUGGAGUGACUGGCGCUGGUUGAAGGCGAGCUCGGGGUGGCUAUUUAUAGCCGGCCCGAGGCGGUGCCUGAGAACGGGAUAACGCCGACGUCGAUUACGGCGAGUCGGUGACCGGACGGGUGGAUUAGGUGGCUGGGCAUCAGCGUGGAGGUAUACUGGUUCCACUCACACGCUAACCUUGAUGGGAUUAGGCCUGCUCCGUGGUCUCGACGGAACGGCGCUCCACGGACCGGUCGACGGCAGAGAGCGCGCCUUGAGCACGCUAGGCCACGGCGACGGUGCCGCGGUGCAUGCAGGGGUGCAGACGGCCAUGCGGAGGCCUCGGGUGGUUUGGGCGGUGCCGGACGGCGCCGAAAGCUCCUGCUGCGCCCUGUCGGCCGCCACUGGUGGCCCUGCCACCGCAGAGGUUGCCGGUGUCGGCGAGGCACGCUGCCACCGACACCUGCACCCGUCCAAGAGAGCAUGCGGCACUCUGGAUAAGGAGGAGGAGCAGUGCACAAGGCGCCAAGCGUGCACUGGUGAGAUCGAUGCCAAGUCGCUGAAGAAAACGACACUGAUGACCGACUGAAUACUGAAGAAAUCUGAAUUUUACUGAAACUGAACAGCAACAGUGCCUGCCAGGUGUUUGAUGGAAUGAUUUUGGCAUGUGCAAAAUUUUUCCUUGAGCUUAUCUUUGGUGGGAUGGCCUCUCAGUGCACCUGGGGGCUGCCUGAUUUUUGUUAGAAUUUUUGGGGAAAGAAAAAUAUGAAUUUCACCAAAAAUGAUGAAUCUGGUCCAAACUUGCAGUGGGCAAAUUUUGAAAUAUUUGAACUGUGGAAGAGUGGAUCUUUAUGGAUCUAGGUUGGGGGUGCUAAGGACUAGCCAGAGGAGUUGGUUUGAGAUCAAAACUCACAAGAAAAAAGGUACUUCCUUUGUAAAUCACCUAGGUCCAAAAAUAACAACAGAAAUAGUUUUAGGGUUAAAAUAAAUGAAAUAAAAAUCCAAAAUGGGUUGAACUUGCUAGGAUUGGCUACUUGACUUGACCCAAAGUGGACGGAGAGGUUAUGGAGGGCAGAUGUCAAAAUGAGACAUGGUAAAAGAGGGUAAAAUUUUGAAAUGAGAGGAGGAUAAACCCAAAAUCCUUAGGGUUUUCCUUUUAGUAGAAAGAUUUAAAAAUAAAAAUUUCGUAGAAACCAGAUGAAGUGAAGAGCUCUCAAGACCAAAGGUCCAAGUUGAGAAGAGUACCAAACAUUUGUCAUAAAAGUUUUGAGAGGGAGAGGUUUAAGAAAAAAAUUUAAAUGGCUUCCAAAAAUUUUAAAUAGUCUCCUCCAAAUCAAAUAAAGUUUUUGAUAAAAACCAAAUAAAAUUUUUUGGAGUGUCACAACACCUACCCCCUUAAGAAAAAUCUCGUCCCCGAGAUUUUAGCUGAUCCUCAAAUAGGUGUGGGUAUUUUGCCCGGAGAGAGUCCUCUCUUUCCCAUGUCACUUCAUCCUUGGUGUGAUUGCUCCACUGAACCUUGAAGAACUUAAUUGUUUUCUGAUGGGUCCUCCUUUCAGACUCCUCUAAGGAUUUUAUUGGUCGUUCCCUAUAGGUGAGGUCUGGUUGCACGUCAAUGUCUUCAUGAGAUACCUGCUUCUCUGUGUUGCUUACACAUUUCUUCAACUGUGAGACGUGGAAUACGUCGUGGACGUCUGACAGCUCCUUGGGUAGGUCUAGCUGGUAGGAUACGGUGCCUCUCCAUGCAACCACGCAGAAGGGCUUCAUAGUUCGGCUGUGGCUUGGAGAAGCCCUGCCUGGGAGCUACUUCGGACUGGUGCGGCGGCUGGUGGAGGCUUGUCCAAGGCUCGAGGUCAUCAAGCGCUCCGUCUGCAUCGAAGGUGCCCGUAGGGCCCUUGCCCAUGCAAAGGUGCACUGGGGUAAACUGGACGGUGAGAAGCUUGUGAAGGACGGGCCGCCACCGGGGAAGGAGCAUCGCAAGCCCGAGAACUAUUACAAGGAUGUUCUUACUGGUGCCCGCCUUGUGGCGGAUGAAUGUACCAAGGAUGUAAUUUUUGAAUGAACUCGCUCGUGUUAUCCUGUGCGCUGAAAACUUGUUCAUAUGCGCUAAGCAAUGAUUGGAUUUAAAAUAUUACUUUCUGUGCGGCCGUUUAUCAAAAAAUUGAGAGAUGGCCAGUCGUCGGCUUCUGCCCUCAUGCCACUAGUGCUGGGGUGUUCGGGAUAAACCUGAGCGCUCUUUUUCCCAUGAUUGGGUCCAUCGAGGGAGGCGGUCAGCACAACGAACAAGGCAAUCGGACUAUAAUGCUUGAACACUCUCACUUAGCCAUAGAACUCUAUAAUUUUAAAUUUCGGCGAAGCCCCUAGUAUUCAGAAGACCGAGUUCGGGGCGCUAUCCACGCCUUGGCCGGACAAAGCCGGUUCCUCGCUCGAAGCGGCAUAAGCCUUUAAGGACUCGAAAAACCUCUCGAACAGCGACCGGUCUCUCGCCUCAUCAUGACAGUCAGUUUUAGCUUUCUCCACUGAGGUGCUCGGCCCAGCUCAACUGGGGCACAAUCGCAGUGGUUCUCCUAGUGCUACCUUAGCCGAUAUAGCGGAACGUAAGGCACCAAAACAUAGGAGCCAGGCAAACCCAACUAUUAACCCAAAUCAUGAUUCAGAGCUGAUGCAUAUAGUGCUAUAAGUUCGGGGUGCCACACUUGUGAAAGUGGACGGACUUCUCAUGCCAUAUUGAUGGGUACUGAAGCCCCUGGCGUAUUUUGCCAUACCACAGUGUACGGAUGCAGCAUGUUAUUAAUAAACAUAUAUAUAAAAAGAGGGUAAUGCAAAAAAUAGACAAAAAGCUAUGCAUUGUCUAUAGAAAGGCUACUAUGAAAGCAGAACGAUACAAAUAGUGCGAUAAGCAAAAGAAAUUGGACUAUUUAACAUGUCCUGGCCAGGGGCAGGCCGCGGAAUUGUAUUAAAAAACAGGUAUACUGCUCGCAAUAGAGAUCACCUAGGAGUUCCAUAAUGCGGCGUGGCUUGUCUGCUUCCCUGGAUCUUGCAUCGUUUGUGCGGCAGUUGAAUUGCCGAACGGGUCGUCCGAAGUAUGGAGUCCUGAGAGUAAGAGAAAGAAAAGAAGGAAUCCGGCAGCCCCUGGUGCGGUUUAGGCCGUAUUUCGGGCGUGCCGUGAUAGUGCCCCUUCCCCUGUGCCCAUGGUAUUUCAAGAGCAUAGUUAUGUACACGAAGCACUGGUUUCGCAAUAUUGCGAGGGCUAGGGUUGGGGCCGCAUUGCUACGCUAGCUCGGAACGUGCCAGGCGGUCUUGUUGUAGGGUACUCCGAGCGCGCUUGACAGUGUCCGGCUUUUUGAAGGCCGACCUGGAGAACUGCCUAGAGAGGCUACUUUGUACUUCUGUUGCGAGUGCUGCUGUGUGCUCCUCCAUUCGGAGGGAGCGUUCAGUGUUCCCAUUGACCGUGAUUACUCCUCUAGGGCCUGGCAUCUUGAGCUUGAGGUAUGCAUAGUGCGGUACCGCAUUGAAUUUUGCGAAUCCGGUUCGCCCGAGCAGUGCGUGAUAGCCACUACGGAACUGGACUAUGUCGAAGAUUAACUCCUCACUUCGGAAGUUAUCCGGAGAUCUGAAGACCACUUCCAGUGUAACCGAGCCUGUAUAGUUGGCUUCUACACCUGGUAUGACGCCUUUAAAGGUCGUUUUGGUGGGCUUGAUCCUCGAGGGAUCUAUGCCCAUCUUUCGCACUGUAUCCUGGUAAAGCAGGUUCAGGCUGCUGCCGCCGUCCAUGAGGACUCUUGUGAGAUGAAAUCCGUCAAUAAUUGGGUCUAGAACCAAUGCGGCGAAGCCGCCGUGACGGAUGCUAGUGGGGUGGUCCCUUCGAUCAAAGGUGAUCGGGCAGGAGGACCAUGGGUUGAACUUUGGGGCGACCGGCUCCAUCGCAUAUACGUCCCAUAACGCACGCUUCCGCUCCCUCUUGGGGAUGUGGGUUGCGUAUAUCAUGUUCAUCGUCCGCACUUGCGAGGGAAAUCCCUUCUGUCCACUAUUGUUCGGCGGCCUGGGCUCCUCCUCGUCGUCGCUAUGCAGCCCCUUGCCUUUGUUUUCGGCUCUUAACUUGCCUGCCUGCUUGAACACCCAAUAGUCCCUGUUGGUGUGAUUGGCUGGCUUUUUGGGGGUGCCGUAUAUCUGGCACAAGCGGUCGAGUAUUCGGUCCAAACUGGACGGGCCCUGAGUUUUUCUUUUGAAUGGCUGUUUCCGUUGACCGGAUUUGUAGCCUCGGAAUCCGGCAUUAACUGACGUAUCCUCGUUGCUGUCACCGUUAACGCGGCGCUUUUGUUUGUUCCGACACGACCUGUUUUGUCCUUGGUAUUCGAAUUACCAGUGUUCUUGGUUAAGUUGUUACUGCGAGCUAGCCAGCUGUCUUCUCCCGCGCAAAAGCGGGUCAUGAGUGUCAUGAGGGCUGCCAUAGAUUUCGGCUUUUCUUGUCCCAGGUGCCGGGCCAGCCACUCAUCACGGAUAUUAUGCUUGAAGGCCGCUAAGGCCUCUGCGUCCGGAUAGUUGACUAUCUGGUUUUUCUUUGUUAGGAACCGUGUCCAGAAUUGCCUGGCCAAUUCUUCUGGCUGCUGAAUUAUGUGGCUUAGGUCAUCGGCGUCUGGUGGUCGCACAUAAGUGCCCUGGAAGUUGUCAAGGAAUGCGGCUUCCAGGUCCUCCCAAGAACCGAUUGAGUCUGCUGGCAAGCUGUUAAGCCAAUGCCGGGCCGGUCCCUUAAGUUUGAGUGGGAGGUAUUUGAUGGCGUGUAGAUCAUCACCGCGGGCCAUGUGGAUAUGAAGGAGAUAAUCCUCGAUCCAUACCGCAGGAUCUGUUGUGCCAUCGUACGAUUCGAUGUUUACGGGUUUGAAGCCCUCAGGGAUUUUAUGAUCCAUUACUUCAUCUGUGAAGCAUAGUGGGUGUGCGGCGCCUCUGUAUUGGGCUAUAUCACGACGCAGCUCGAAGGAGCUUUGUCUGUUGAGUUUGGCCCGGCCGGAUUCAUUGCGUCCGGAGUGACGAUCACCGUCACGUGCCAUGGGGCGCCUGCGCGAUCCAUAGAUCGAUCUUGUUUGCCAUGCCUUGUCCUCCAGUAUGUCGCACAGGUCGGGCGCAUUUUCCCGUGCCUUAGUAUGCUUGAUGCGGCGCCGGGGCAUGGUUUGAGUGGAGGGCCAAAAGGCCUCUCUGUCGUGGCCACGAGGUGGCCGGUCGGCCAUGUCAUGCACUGGUGAUGUAGGUGCUUCCUCCUCUAGUCGGGGGAGCAGCCUGCGCUUUGGGUAACUCUUGGAGGGGCGUUCGAGUUCAUACUCUUCGGUCGCGAGGACUUCAGUCCAUUUGUUAGCUAGCAAAUCCUGAUCAGCUCUAAGUUGUUGCCACUUUUUCUUGAGGCUGCUUGCCGUGGCCAUAAGCCUGCGUUUAAAACGCUCUUGUUCGGCGGGAUCCUCUGGCAUGACGAACUUAUCGUCGUCGAGGCUUGCCUCGUCUUCGGAGGGAGGUGUAUAAUUAUCGUCCUCAACCUCUUUAUCCGCCGCCCUCUCGUGAGGGCUGGCUUCUAUGUCAUCCUGUGCCGAAUUUUGCUGGAGGGGGUGUUCUUCGGCGCUAUCUGGAGUAGUAUUAUCUCCCGUGCCGGAAUCACCGUUUUUGCUUUGGCGGUAUUUAGAGCGGCCCCGCUGACGCCGGCGCUUGGGCUGUUUCUUAGAGGUAUCGUCCACUGCUGUUCCAUCGCCAUCUCCAUCCUUUGGAGUGUCCACCAUAUAUAUGUCAUAUGACGAGGUGGCCUUCCAACGCCCUACAGGUGCUGGUUCUUGUUCGUCUCCUGCAUCGUCGUCCAUGCCGUCGAUGUCUUCGGAGUCGAAGUCAAGCAUGUCGGUUAAGUCGUCGACAGUGGCUACGAAGUGGGUGGUGGGUGGGUUUUGAAUUUCUUCAUCGUCCGUAUCCCAACCUUGCUGAUCGUAGUCCGGCCAGGGCUCUCUUGAUAAAGAGAGAGACUUUAGAGAAUUCAGGAUGUUGCCGAAGGGCGAGUGCUGAAAGAUGUCCGCGGCGGUGAACUCCAUUAUCGGUGCCCAAUCGGAUUCGAUCGGCGGGGGCGCGGGGGGUUCGGAGUUCGGAGAGGAAUCCGGCUCCUCGGGGUCACGGGCCAUGCGGAGUGCGGGGCUGGAGUUCGGCUCGAUCACCUCUGAGAUCACAGCCCCUGAGGCAGCGUCCAACCGCUGAUCCUCGAUUGGUGCAGUAGGCUCCGAAUCAAUGGUCGGAACCGAUGCGUGUGCGGCCUUCAAAGCGCUGUUCGGCGGCAGAGCUAUAUCAUGCCCGUCGAGACAGUGUGGCGCGCUUGGUUGUGGCUCGAAUCCGUCGAAGAUCAAGUCCCCGCGGAUGUCAGUCGUGUAGUUUAGGCUUCCAAACCUGACCUGAUGGCCAGGGGCGUAGCUUUCGAUCUGCUCAAGGUGGCCAAGCGAGUUGGCCCGCAGUGCGAAGCCGCUGAAGACGAAGAUCUGUCCGGGGAGAAAAGUCUCACCCUGGACUACAUCCUUGUUGAUGAUCAAAGAAGCCAUCGGGCCUGAAAGCGACGACACAGAGGAACUCUCUAUGAAAGCACCAAUGUCGGUGUCAAAACCGGCGGAUCUCGGGUAGGGGGUCCCGAACUGUGCGUCUAGGCCGGAUGGUAAUAGGAGACAAGGGACACAAUGUUUUACCUAGGUUCCGGCCCUCUUGAUGGAGGUAAAACCCUACGUCCUGCUUGAUUAAUAUUGAUGAUAUGGGUAGUACAAGAGUAGAUCUACCACGAGAUCAAGGAGGCUAAACCCUAAAAGCUAGCCUAUGGUAUGAUUGUUGUAUGAUGAAGUUGUCCUACGAACUAAAACCCUCCGGUUUAUAUAGACACCGGAGAGGGUUAGGGUUACACAAAGUCGGUUACAAUGGUAGGAGAUCUUGAAUAUCUGCAUCGCCAAGCUUGCCUUCCACGCCAAGGAAAGUCCCAUCCGGACCGGGACGGAGUCUUCAAUCUUGUAUCUUCAUAGUCCUGGAGUCCGGCUGAAGGUAUAGUCCGGCUACCCGAACACCCACUAAUCCAGGACUCCCUCAGAAAGCCUCACACGCGACGAUGAACACCGAAAUAGUGAGGAAGGAUUUUGGGGCUAGAUCAUGGAAAUCUAGCCCGUAAUAGAACAUGAGUCUGCGGAUGAAAGGGUGGAGAGAAAACCCUAACCCACAGAUGAAAUGGGGGAUGAACACCACCCUCUCAUUGUGCUUUGGGGUGGGGACAAUUUUCCCCUUGGCCGGAAGCCGGUGGGCGAUUUCUUUCGCCAGGUACCCGACCUCCUGAAGAUCGGUGAUGUCCUUCUCCUUGACGGAGGAGGCCAUCCACUUGCCCUGCGCUCCAGAUCCAGACAUGGUCGAGUGCUUUCUUGAGGCGGAGAUGAUGAGGACUUGGGCACUAGAGCUCGAGAAUGGGAGGGCAGAGAGAGAAAGAAGGUGUGGGUGAAAGAAGGGAGUCCUUAUCUCCUUAUAAAGGCAGUGAAUAUCAAGCGCCUCCCCACUCACCUUAAAACUCGCCUAUUCCCAAGGGUUGUGCAAACGGCACAGUUGGAUUACCCAUGCUCGUAUUGAUGAGAAUCCAGUAAUAAGGGGACACGAUCUCUGCUUUGACAAGAUGUGCCAAUGAGACCGCAUCUCGAAGCGGCAGGCUGAAAAAAUGGUUCGAAAUAAUGACCGGGUAGUGACGUGGUGUCACGUUGUCAAAAAUUGUCAGCAAAUUGGACUCGUGAAAUAUUAUACUCUCUGCGGUGGUGUGUGAUGCUUGUUUUGCAGACCCGGACAUGUUAGUCGUAUUCGAAGACUGUGUUGGAGUAUUCGGAGGAGGAACCCGCCUUGCAAUGCCGAAGACAAUCUGCGCGUCGGACACCUCGUCAUUGAAGCCUGGUUCAGGGGCUACUGAGGGAGUCCUGGACUAAGGGGUCCUCGGGCGUCUGACCUAUUGGACAUGGGCCGGACUGAUGGGCUACAAAGAUACAAGACCGAAGACUCUCACCCGUGUCCGGAUGGGACUCUCCUUUGCAUGGAUGGCAAGCUUGGCGUCUAGAUAUACUAUUUCCUUCCUAUGUAACCGACUUUGUAUAACCCUAGUCCCCUCCGGUGUCUAUAUAAACUGGAGGGCUUAGUCCAUGGACGAGGAUAAUCAGAUAAGCUAGACUUCUAGGGUUUUAGUCAUUGCGAUCUCAUGGUAGAUCAACUCUUGUAACCCCCAUACUCAUCAAUAUUAAUCUAGCAGGAUGUAGGGUUUUACCUCCAUCGAGAGAGCCCGAACGUGGGUAAACAUUGUGUUCCCUGUCUCCUAUUACCAUCAACCUCAGACGCACAGUUCGGGACCCCCUACCCGAGAUCCACCGGUUUUGACACCGACAGGGGCGCCCUAUUGGGUAACGUAGUAAUUUCAAAAAAAUUCCUACGCACACGCAAGAUCAUGGUGAUGCAUAGCAACGUGGGGGGAGUAUGAUCUACGUACCUCGUAGAUCGACAACGGAAGCAUUUGGUUGAUGUAGUCGUACGUCUCCAUGGCCCGACCGAUCAAGCGCCGAAACUACGGCACCUCCGAGUUCUAGCACAAGUUCAGCUCGAUGACGAUCCCCGGACUCCGAUCUAGCAAAGUGUCGGGGAAGAGUUCCGUCAGCACGACGGCGUGGUGACGAUCUUGAUGAACUACUGCAGCAGGGCUUCGCCUAAACUCCGCUACAAUAUUAUCGAGGACUAUGGUGGCAGGGGGCGCCGCACACGGCUAAGGAAUAGAUCACGUGGAUCAACUUGUGUGUCUCUAGGGUGCCUCUGCCUCAGUAUAUAAAGGACCAAAGGGGGAGGACAGCCGGCCACAUAGGGUGCGCCAGGAGAGUCGUACUCCCUCUGGGAGUAGGAUUCCCCCCCCCCCCCAAUCCUAGUUGGAAUAGGACUCGCGGAGGGGGGAAAAGAGAGAGAGGGGCCGGCCCCCUCUCCUUGUCCAAUUCGGACCAAGGGAAGGGAGGGGCGCGCGGCCCACUAUGGGCUGCCUCUUCUCUUUUCCACCAAGGCCCAUUAAGGCCCAUCUAGCUCCCCGGGGGGUUCCGGUAACCUCCCGGUACUCCGGUAAAAUCCCGAUUUCACCCGGAACACUUCCGAUAUCCAAACAUAGGCUUCCAAUAUAUCAAUCUUUAUGUCUCGACCAUUUCGAGACUCCUCGUCAUGUCCGUGAUCACAUCCGGGACUCCGAACAACCUUCGGUACAUCAAAUGCAUAAACUCAUAAUAUAACUGUCAUCGUAACCUUAAGCGUGCGGACCCUACGGGUUCGAGAACAAUGCAGACAUGACCGAGACAUGUCUCCGUUCAAUAACCAAUAGCGGGACCUGGAUGCCCAUAUUGGCUCCUACAUAUUCUACGAAGAUCUUUAUCGGUCAGACCGCAUAACAACAUACGUUGUUCCCUUUGUCAUCGGUAUGUUACUUGCCCGAGAUUCGAUCGUCGGUAUCCAAUACCUAGUUCAAUCUCAUUACCGGCAAGUCUCUUUACUCGUUCUGUAAUACAUCAUCCCGCAACUAACUCAUUAGUUGCAAUGCUUGCAAGGCUUUAAGUGAUGUGCAUUACCGAGAGGGCCCAGAGAUACCUCUCCGACAAUCGAAGUGACAAAUCCUAAUCUUGAAAUACGCCAACCCAACAUUUACCUUUGGAGACACCUGUAGAGCUCCUUUAUAAUCACCCAGUUACGUUGUGACGUUUGGUAGCACACAAAGUGUUCCUCCGGCAAAUGGGAGUUGCAUAAUCUCAUAGUCAUAGGAACAUGUAUAAGUCAUGAAGAAAGCAAUAGCAACAUACUAAACGAUCGGGUGCUAAGCUAAUGGAAUGGGUCAUGUCAAUCAGAUCAUUCACUUAAUGAUGUGAUCCCAUUAAUCAAAUGACAACUCAUGUCUAUGGUUAGGAAACAUAACCAUCUUUGAUCAACAAGCUAGUCAAGUAGAGGCAUACUAGUGACACUCUGUUUGUCUAUGUAUUCACACAUGUAUUAUGUUUCCGGUUAAUACAAUUCUAGCAUGAAUAAUAAACAUUUAUCAUGAAAUAAGGAAAUAAAUAAUAACUUUAUUAUUGCCUCUAGGGCAUAUUUCCUUCAGUCUCCCACUUGCACUAGAGUCAAUAAUCUAGUUCACAUCGCCAUGUGAUUUAACAGCAAUAGUUCACAUCACCAUGUGAUUAACACCCAUAGUCCACAUCGAUAUGUGACCAACACCCAAAGGGUUUACUAGAGUCGGUAAUCUAGUUCACAUCAUUGUGUGAUUAACAUCCAAAGAGUACUAAGGUGUGAUCAUGUUUUGCUUUGUGAGAUAAUUUUAGUCACCGGGUCUGUUAUAUUCAGAUCCGUAAGUAUUUUGCGAAUUCUAUGUCUACAAUGCUCUGCACGGAGCUACACUAGCUAAUUGCUCCCACUUUCAAUAUGUAUCUAGAUCGAGAGUUAGAGUCAUCCAGAUCUGUGUCAAAACUUGCAUCGACGUAAUUUUUACGAUGAACCUUUUGUCACCUCCAUAAUCAAGAAAUAUUUCCUUAUUCCACUAAGGAUAAUUUUUGACCAAUGUCCAGUGAUCUACUCUUAGAUCACUAUUGUACUCCCUUGCUUAACACAGUGUAGGGUAUACAAUAGAUCUGGUACACAUCAUGGCAUACUUUAUAGAACCUAUGGCUGAGGCAUAGGGAAUGACUUUCAUUCUCUUUCUAUCUUCUGCCGUGGUCGGGCUUUGAGUCUUACUCAAUUUCAUACCUUGUAACACAGCCAAGAACUCUUUCUUUAACUGUUCCAUUUUUGAACUACUUCAAAAUAUUGUCAAGGUAUGUACUCAUUGAAAAAACUUAUCAAGCGUCUUGAUCUAUCUCUAUAGAUUUUGAUGCUUAAUAUGUAAGCAGCUUCACCGAGGUCUUUUUCUGGAAAAUUCCUUUCAAACACUCCUUUAUGCUUUGUAGAAUAAUUCUACAUUAUUUCCGAUCAACAAUAUGUCAUUCACAUAUACUUAUCAGAAAUGUUGUAGUGCUCCCACUCACUUUCUUGUAAAUACAGGCUUCAUCGCAAGUCUGUAUAAAACUAUAUGCUUUGAUCAACUUAUCAAAGUGUAUAUUCCAACUCCGAGAUGCUUGCACCAGUCCAUAGAUGGAUCGCUGGAGCUUGCAUAUUUUGUUAGCACCUUUAGGAUUGACAAAACCUUUUGGUUGCAUCGUAUACAACUCUUCUUUAGUAAAUCCAUUAAGGAAUGCGGUUUUGUUUAUCCAUUUGCCAGAUUUCAUAAAAUGCGGCAAUUGCUAACAUGAUUCAGACAGACUUAAGCAUAGAUACGAGUGAGAAAAUCUCAUCGUAGUCAACACCUUGAACUUGUCGAAAACCUUUUGCGACAAUUCUAGCUUUGUAGAUAGUAACACUACUAUCAGCGUCCGUCUUCCUCUUGAAGAUCCAUUUAUUUUCUAUGGCUUGCCGAUCAUCGGGCAAAUCCAUCCAAGUCCAUACUUUGUUCUCAUACAUGGAUCAUAUCUCAGAUUUCAUGGCCUCAAACCAUUUCGGGGAAUCUGGGCUCACCAUCGCUUCUUCAUAAUUUGUAGGUUCGUCAUGGUCAAGUUGCAUGACCUCCAGAACAGGAUUACCGUACCACUCUGGUGCGGAUCUCACUCUGGUUUACCUACGAGAUUCGGCAGUAACUUGAUCUGAAGUUAUAUGAUCAUCAUCAUUAGCUUCCUCACUAAUUGGUGUAGUAGUCACAGGAAUAGAUUUCUGUAAUGAAAUACUUUCCAAUAAGGGAGAAGGUACAAUUACCUUAUCAAGUUCUACUUUCCUCCCACUCACUUCUUUUGAGAGAAACUCCUUCUCUAGAAAAACUCCAAAUUUAGCAACGAAAAGUCUUGCCUUCGGAUUUGUGAUAGAAGGUGUACCCAACAGUCUCCUUUGGGUAUCCUAUGACGACAUACAUCUCCAAUUUGCGUUCGAGCUUAUCAUGUUGAAGCUUAUUCACAUAAGCAUCGCAGUCCCAAACUUUAAGAAAUGACAACUUUAGUUUCUUGCCAAACCACAGUUCAGAUUGUGUUGUCUCAACGGACUUAGAUGGUGCCCUAUUUAACGUGAAUGCAGCUGUCUCUAAUGCAUAACCCCAAAACGAUGGUGGUAGAUCGGUAAGAGACAUCAUGGAUCGCACUAUAUCUAAUAAAGUACGGUUAUGACGUUCGGACACACCAUUACACUAUGGUGUUCCAGGUGGCGUGAGUAGUGAAACUAUUUCACAUUGUUUUAGUUGAAGACCAAACUCGUAACUCAAAUAUUUUACCUCUGCGAUCAUAUCGUAGAAACUUUUAUUUUCUUGUCACGAUGAUUUUCCACUUCACUCUGAAAUUCUUUGAACUUUUCAAAUGUUUCAGACUUAUGUUUCAUCAAGUAGAUAUACCCAUAUCUGCUCAAAUCAUAUGUGACGGUCAGAAAAUAACGAUACCCGUCGCGAGCUUCAACACUCAUCGGAUCGCAUACAUCAGUAUGUAUUAUUUCCAAUAAGUCAGUUGCUUGCUCCAUUGUUCCGGAGAACGGGGUCUUUAGUCAUCUUGCCCAUAAGGCAUGGUUCGCAAGCACCAAGUGAUUCAUAAUCAAGUGAUUCCAAAAUCCCAUCAGCAUGGAGUUUCUUCAUGCGCUUUACACCAAUAUGACCUAAACGGCAGUGCUACAAAUAAGUUGCACUAUCACUAUUAACUUUGCAUCUUUUGGUUUCAAUAUUAUGAUUAUGUGUAUCACUACGAUCGAGAUCCAACAAACUAUUUUCAUUGGGUGUGUAACCAUAUAAGGUUUUAUUCAUGUAAACAGAACAACAAUUUAUUCUCUUACUUAAAUGAAUAACCGUAUUACAAUAAACAUGAUCAAAUCAUAUUCAUGCUUAACGCAAACACCAAAUAACACUUAUUCAGGUUCAACACUAAUCCCGAAAGUAUAGGGAGUGUACGAUGAUGAUCAUAUCAAUCUUGGAACCACUUCCAACACACAUCGUCACUUUUUACCCUUAACUAGUCUCUGUUUAUUCUACAACUCCCGUUUCGAGUUACUAAUCUUAGCAACUGAACUAGUAUCAAAUACUAAGGGGUUGCUAUAAACACUAGUAAAGUACACAUCAAUAGCAUGUAUAUCAAAUAUACUUAUGUUCACUUUGCCAUCCUUCUUAUCUGCCAAUCACUUGGGGUAGUUCCGCUUCCAGUGACCAGUCCCUUUGCAGUAGAAACACUUAGUCUUAGGCUUAGGACCAGACUUGGGCUUCUUCACUUGAGCAGCAACUUUCUUGUCGUUCUUCUUGAAGUUCCCCUUCUUCCCUUUGCCCUUUUCUUGAAACUAGUGAUCUUGUCAACCAUCAACACUUGAUGCUCAUUCUUGAUUUCUACCUUCAUCGAUUUCAUCAUCAUGAAAAGCUCGGGAUUCGUUUUCGUCAUCCCUUGUAUACUAUAGUUCAUCACGAAGUUCUACUAACUUGGUGAUGGUGACUAGAGAAUUCUGUCAAUCACUAUCUUAUCUGGAAGAUUAACUCCCACUUGAUUCAAGCGAUUGUUGUACUCAAACAAUCUGGGCACAUGCUCACUAGUUGAGCAACUCUCCUCCAUCCUUUAGCUAUAGAACUUGUUGGAGACUUUCAUAUCUCUCAACUCGGGUAUUUGCUUGAAAUAUUAACUUCAACUCCUGGAACAUCUCAUAUGCUCCAUGACGUUCAAAACGUCUUUGAAGUCCCGAUUCUAAGCCGUUAAGCAUGGUGCACUAAACUAUCAAGUAGUCAUCAUAUUUAGCUAGCCAAACGUUCAUAACGUCUGCAUCUGCUCCUGCAAUAGGUCUAUCACCUAGCGGUGCAUCAAGGACAUAAUUCCUCUGUGCAGCAAUGAGGAUAAACCUCAGAUCACGGAUCCAAUCCGCAUCAUUGCUACUAACAGCUUUCAACACAAUUUUUCUCUAGGAAUAUAUCAAAAUAAACAUAUGAAAGCAAUAACGUGAGCUAUUGAUCUACAACAUAAUUUGCAAAAUACUACCAGGACUAAGUUCAUGAUAAAUUUAAGUUCAAUUAAUCAUAUUACUUAAGAACUCCCACUUAGAUAGACAUCCCUCUAAUCCUCUAAGUGAUCACGUGAUCCAAAUCAACUAACCCAUGUCCGAUCAUCACGUGAGAUGGAGUAGUUUCAUUGGUGAACAUCGCUAUGUUGAUCAUAUCUACUAUAUGAUUCACGCUCGACCUUUCGGUCUCCAUGUUCCGAGGCCAUAUCUGUAUAUGAUUGGCUCAUCAAGUAUAACCUGAGUAUUCCGCGUGUGCAACUGUUUUGCACCCGUUGUAUUUGAACGUAGAGCCUAUCACACCCGAUCAUCACGUGGUGUCUCAGCAUGAAGAACUUUCGCAACGGUGCAUACUCAGGGAGAACACUUCUUGAUAAUUUAGUGAGAGAUCAUCUUAUAAUGCUACCGUCAAUCAAAGCAAGAUAAGAUGCAUAAAAGAUAAACAUCACAUGCAAUCAAUAUAAGUGAUAUGAUAUGGCCAUCAUCAUCUUGCGCCUUUGAUCUCCAUCUCCAAAGUACUGUCAUGAUCUCUAUCGUCACCGGCAUGACACCAUGAUCUCCAUCAUCUUGAUCUAUAUCAAUGUGUCGUCACACGGUCGUCUCGCCAACUAUUGCUCUUGCAACUAUUGCUAUCGCAUAGCGAUAAAGUAAAGCAAUUAUUUGGUGCUUGCAUCUUAUGCAAUAAAGAGACAACCAUAAGGCUUUUGCCAGUUGCCGAUAACUUUAACAAAACACGAUCAUCUCAUACAACAACUUAUAUCUCAUCACGUUUUGACCAUAUCACAUCACAACAUGCCCUGAAAAAACAAGUUAGACGUCCUCUACUUUGUUGUUGCAAGUUUUACAUGGCUGCUACGGGCUUAAGCAAGAACCAAUCUUACCUACGCAUCAAAACCACAACGAUAGUUUGUCAAGUUGGUGAUGUUUUAACCUUCGCAAGGACCGGGCGUAGCCAUACUCGGUUCAACUAAAGUUGGAGAAACUGUCACCCGCUAGCCACCUUUGUGCAAAGCACGUCGGGAGAACCGGUCUCGCGUAAGCGUACGCGUAAUGUCGGUCCGGGUCACUUCAUCCAACAAUACCGCCGAACCAAAGUAUGACAUGCUGGUAAGCAGUAUGACUUAUAUCGCCCACUACUCACUUGUGUUCUACUCGUGCAUAUAACAUCAAACCAUAAAAACCUAGGCUCGGAUGCCACUUUUGGGUAACGUAGUAAUUUCAAAAAAAUUCCUACGCACACGCAAGAUCAUGGUGAUGCAUAGCAACGAGGGGGGGAGUAUGAUCUACGUACCUCGUAUAUCGACAACGGAAGCGUUUGGGUGAUGUAGUCGUACGUCUCCACGGCCCGACCGAUCAAGCACCGAAACUACGGCACCUCCGAGUUCUAGCACACGUUCAGCUCAAUGAUGAUCCCCGGACUCCGAUCCAGCAAAGUGUCGGGGAAGAGUUCCGUCAGCACGACGGCGUGGUGACAAUCUUGAUGAACUACUGCAGCAGGGCUUCGCCUAAACUCCGCUACUAUAUUAUCGAGGACUAUGGUGGCAGGGGGCGCCGCACACGGCUAAGGAAUAGAUCACGUGGAUCAACUUGUGUGUCUCUAGGGUGCCUCUGCCUCAGUAUAUAAAGUACCAAAGGGGGGAGGACAGACGGCCACAUAGGGCGCGCCAGGAGAGUCCUACUCCCUCUGGGAGUAGGAUUCCCCCCCCCCCCAAUCCUAGUUGGAAUAGGACUCGCGGAGGGGGGAAAAGAGAGAGAGGGGCCGGCCCCCUCUCCUUGUCCAAUUCGGACCAAGGGAAGGGAGGGGCGCGCGGCCCACUAUGGGCUGCCUCUUCUCUUUUCCACCAAGGCCCAUUAAGGCCCAUCUAGCUCCCCGGGGGGUUCCGCUAACCUCCCGGUACUCCGGUAAAAUCCCGGUUUCACCCGGAACACUUCUGAUAUCCAAACAUAGGCUUCCAAUAUAUCAAUCUUUAUGUCUCAACCAUUUCGAGACUCCUCGUCAUGUCGGUGAUCACAUCCGGGACUCCGAACAACCUUCGGUACAUCAAAUGCAUAAACUCAUAAUAUAACUGUCAUCGUAACCUUAAGCGUGCGGACCCUACGGGUUCGAGAACAAUGCAGACAUGACCGAGACAUGUCUCCGUUCAAUAACCAAUAGCGGGACCUGGAUGCCCAUAUUGGCUCCUACAUAUUCUACGAAGAUCUUUAUCGGUCAGACCGCAUAACAACAUACGUUGUUCCCUUUGUCAUCGGUAUGUUACUUGCCCGAGAUUCGAUUGUCGGUAUCCAAUACCUAGUUCAAUCUCAUUACCGGCAAGUCUCUUUACUCGUUCUGUAAUACAUCAUCCCGCAACUAACUCAUUAGUUGCAAUGCUUGCAAGGCUUUAAGUGAUGUGCAUUACCGAGAGGGCCCAGAGAUACCUCUCCGACAAUCGGAGUGACAAAUCCUAAUCUCGAAAUACGCCAACCCAACAUUUACCUUUGGAGACACCUGUAGAGCUCCUUUAUAAUCACCCAGUUACGUUGUGACGUUUGGUAGCACACAAAGUGUUCCUCCGGCAAACGGGAGUUGCAUAAUCUCAUAGUCACAGGAACAUGUAUAAGUCAUGAAGAAAGCAAUAGCAACAUACUAAACGACCGGGUGCUAAGCUAAUGGAAUGGGUCAUGUCAAUCAGAUCAUUCACUUAAUGAUGUGAUCCCAUUAAUCAAAUGACAACUCAUGUCUAUGGUUAGGAAACAUAACCAUCUUUGAUCAACGAGCUAGUCAAGUAGAGGCAUACUAGUGACACUCUGUUUGUCUAUGUAUUCACACAUGUAUUAUGUUUCCGGUUAAUACAAUUCUAGCAUGAAUAAUAAACAUUUAUCAUGAAAUAAGGAAAUAAAUAAUAACUUUAUUAUUGCCUCUAGGGCAUAUUUCCUUCAGUCUCCCACUUGCACUAGAGUCAAUAAUCUAGUUCACAUCGCCAUGUGAUUUAACAGCAAUAGUUCACAUCACCAUGUGAUUAACACCCAUAGUCCACAUCGAUAUGUGACCAACACCCAAAGGGUUUACUAGAGUCGGUAAUCUAGUUCACAUCGUUGUGUGAUUAACACCCAAAGAGUACUAAGGUGUGAUCAUGUUUUGCUUUGUGAGAUAAUUUUAGUCACCGAGUCUGUUAUAUUCAGAUCCGUAAGUAUUUUGCGAAUCCUAUGUCUACAAUGCUCUGCACGGAGCUACACUAGCUAAUUGCUCCCACUUUCAAUAUGUAUCUAGAUCGAGAGUUAGAGUCAUCCAGAUCUGUGUCAAAACUUGCAUCGACGUAAUUUUUAUGAUGAACCUUUUGUCACCUCCAUAAUCAAGAAAUAUUUCCUUAUUCCACUAAGGAUAAUUUUUGACCAAUGUCCAGUGAUCUACUCUUAGAUCACUAUUGUACUCCCUUGCUUAACACAGUGUAGGGUAUACAAUAGAUCUGGUACACAUCAUGGCAUACUUUAUAGAACCUAUGGCUGAGGCAUAGGGAAUGACUUUCAUUCUCUUUCUAUCUUCUGCCGUGGUCGGGCUUUGAGUCUUACUCAAUUUCAUACCUUGUAACACAGCCAAGAACUCUUUCUUUAACUGUUCCAUUUUUGAACUACUUCAAAAUAUUGUCAAGGUAUGUACUCAUUGAAAAAACUUAUCAAGCGUCUUGAUCUAUCUCUAUAGAUUUUGAUGCUUAAUAUGUAAGCAGCUUCACCGAGGUCUUUUUCUGGAAAAUUCCUUUCAAACACUCCUUUAUGCUUUGUAGAAUAAUUCUACAUUAUUUCCGAUCAACAAUAUGUCAUUCACAUAUACUUAUCAGAAAUGUUGUAGUGCUCCCACUCACUUUCUUGUAAAUACAGGCUUCAUCGCAAGUCUGUAUAAAACUAUAUGCUUUGAUCAACUUAUCAAAGUGUAUAUUCCAACUCCGAGAUGCUUGCACCAGUCCAUAGAUGGAUCGCUGGAGCUUGCAUAUUUUGUUAGCACCUUUAGGAUUGACAAAACCUUUUGGUUGCAUCGUAUACAACUCUUCUUUAGUAAAUCCAUUAAGGAAUGCGGUUUUGUUUAUCCAUUUGCCAGAUUUCAUAAAAUGCGGCAAUUGCUAACAUGAUUCAGACAGACUUAAGCAUAGAUACGAGUGAGAAAAUCUCAUCGUAGUCAACACCUUGAACUUGUCGAAAACCUUUCACGAAAUCUGGGCUCACCAUCGCUUCUUCAUAGUUCGUAGGUUCGUCAUGGUCAAGUUGCAUGACCUCCAGAACAGGAUUACCGUACCACUCUGGUGCGGAUCUCACUCUGGUUUACCUACGAGAUUCGGCAGUAACUUGAUCUGAAGUUAUAUGAUCAUCAUCAUUAGCUUCCUCACUAAUUGGUGUAGUAGUCACAGGAAUAGAUUUCUGUAAUGAACUACUUUCCAAUAAGGGAGAAGGUACAAUUACCUUAUCAAGUUCUACUUUCCUCCCACUCACUUCUUUUGAGAGAAACUCCUUCUCUAGAAAAACUCCGAAUUUAGCAACGAAAAGUCUUGCCUUCGGAUUUGUGAUAGAAGGUGUACCCAACAGUCUCCUUUGGGUAUCCUAUGACGACAUACUUCUCCAAUUUGGGUUCGAGCUUAUCAUGUUGAAGCUUAUUCACAUAAGCAUCGCAGUCCCAAACUUUAAGAAACGACAACUUUAGUUUCUUGCCAAACCACAGUUCGGAUUGUGUCGUCUCAACGGACUUAGAUGGUGCCCUAUUUAACGUGAAUGCAGCUGUCUCUAAUGCAUAACCCCAAAACGAUAGUGGUAGAUCGGUAAGAGACAUCAUGGAUCGCACUAUAUCUAAUAAAGUACGGUUAUGACGUUCGGACACACCAUUACACUAUGGUGUUCCAGGUGGCGUGAGUAGUGAAACUAUUUCACAUUGUUUUAGUUGAAGACCAAACUCGUAACUCAAAUAUUUUACCUCUGCGAUCAUAUCGUAGAAACUUCUAUUUUCUUGUCACGAUGAUUUUCCACUUCACUCUGAAAUUCUUUGAACUUUUCAAAUGUUUCAGACUUAUGUUUCAUCAAGUAGAUAUACCCAUAUCUGCUCAAAUCAUAUGUGAAGGUCAGAAAAUAACGAUACCCGCCGCGAGCUUCAACACUCAUCGGAUCGCAUACAUCAGUAUGUAUUAUUUCCAAUAAGUCAGUUGCUUGCUCCAUUGUUCCGGAGAACGGGGUCUUUAGUCAUCUUGCCCAUAAGGCAUGGUUCGCAAGCACCAAGUGAUUCAUAAUCAAGUGAUUCCAAAAUCCCAUCAGCAUGGAGUUUCUUCAUGCGCUUUACACCAAUAUGACCUAAACGGCAGUGCUACAAAUAAGUUGCACUAUCACUAUUAACUUUGCAUCUUUUGGUUUCAAUAUUAUGAUUAUGUGUAUCACUAUGAUCGAGAUCCAACAAACUAUUUUCAUUGGGUGUGUAACCAUAUAAGGUUUUAUUCAUGUAAACAGAACAACAAUUUAUUCUCUUACUUAAAUGAAUAACCGUAUUACAAUAAACAUGAUCAAAUCAUAUUCAUUCUUAACGCAAACACCAAAUAACACUUAUUCAGGUUCAACACUAAUCCCGAAAGUAUAGGGAGUGUACGAUGAUGAUCAUAUCAAUCUUGGAACCACUUCCAACACACAUCGUCACUUUUUACCCUUAACUAGUCUCUGUUUAUUCUACAACUCCCGUUUCGAGUUACUAAUCUUAGCAACUGAACUAGUAUCAAAUACUAAGGGGUUGCUAUAAACACUAGUAAAGUACACAUCAAUAGCAUGUAUAUCAAAUAUACUUAUGUUCACUUUGCCAUCCUUCUUAUCUGCCAAUCACUUGGGGUAGUUCCGCUUCCAGUGACCAGUCCCUUUGCAGUAGAAACACUUAGUCUUAGGCUUAGGACCAUACUUGGGCUUCUUCACUUGAGCAGCAACUUUCUUGCCGUUCUUCUUGAAGUUCCCCUUCUUCCCUUUGCCCUUUUCUUGAAACUAGUGAUCUUGUCAACCAUCAACACUUGAUGCUCAUUCUUGAUUUCUACCUUCGUCGAUUUCAUCAUCAUGAAAAGCUCGGGAUUCGUUUUCGUCAUCCCUUGUAUACUAUAGUUCAUCACGAAGUUCUACUAACUUGGUGAUGGUGACUAGAGAAUUCUGUCAAUCACUAUCUUAUCUGGAAGAUUAACUCCCACUUGAUUCAAGCGAUUGUUGUACUCAGACAAUCUGGGCACAUGCUCACUAGUUGAGCAACUCUCCUCCAUCCUUUAGCUAUAGAACUUGUUGGAGACUUUCAUAUCUCUCAACUCGGGUAUUUGCUUGAAAUAUUAACUUCAACUCCUGGAACAUCUCAUAUGCUCCAUGACGUUCAAAACGUCUUUGAAGUCCCGAUUCUAAGCCGUUAAGCAUGGUGCACUAAACUAUCAAGUAGUCAUCAUAUUUAGCUAGCCAAACGUUCAUAACGUCAGCAUCUACUCCUGCAAUAGGUCUAUCACCUAGCGGUGCAUCAAGGACAUAAUUCCUCUGUGCAGCAAUGAGGAUAAACCUCAGAUCACGGAUCCAAUCCGCAUCAUUGCUACUAACAUCUUUCAACACAAUUUUUCUCUAGGAACAUAUCAAAAUAAACAUAUGAAAGCAAUAACGCGAGCUAUUGAUCUACAACAUCAUUUGCAAAAUACUACCAGGACUAAGUUCAUGAUAAAUUUAAGUUUAAUUAAUCAUAUUACUUAAGAACUCCCACUUAGAUAGACAUCCCUCUAAUCCUCUAAGUGAUCACGUGAUCCAAAUCAACUAAACCAUGUCUGAUCAUCACAUGAGAUGGAGUAGUUUCAUUGGUGAACAUUGCUAUGUUGAUCAUAUCUACUAUAUGAUUAGCACUCGACCUUUUGGUCUCCAUGUUCCGAGGCCAUAUCUAUAUAUGAUUGGCUCGUCAAGUAUAACCUGAGUAUUCCGCGUGUGCAACUGUUUUGCACUCGUUGUAUUUGAACGUAGAGCCUAUCACACCCGAUCAUCACGUGGUGUCUCAGCAUGAAGAACUUUCGCAACGGUGCAUACUCAGGGAGAACACUUCUUGAUAAUUUAGUGAGAGAUCAUCUUAUAAUGCUACCGUCAAUCAAAGCAAGAUAAGAUGCAUAAAAGAUAAACAUCACAUGCAAUCAAUAUAAGUGAUAUGAUAUGGCCAUCAUCAUCUUGUGCCUUUGAUCUCCAUCUCCAAAGUACUGUCAUGAUCUCUAUCCUCACCGGCAUGACACCAUGAUCUCCAUCAUCUUGAUCUAUAUCAAUGUGUCGUCACACGGUCGUCUCGCCAACUAUUGCUCUUGCAACUAUUGCUAUCGCAUAGUGAUAAAGUAAAGCAAUUAUUUGGUGCUUGCAUCUUAUGCAAUAAAGAGACAACCAUAAGGCUUUUGCCAGUUGCCGAUAACUUUAACAAAACACGAUCAUCUCAUACAACAACUUAUAUCUCAUCACGUUUUGACCAUAUCACAUCACAACAUGCCCUGCAAAAACAAGUUAGACGUCCUCUACUUUGUUGUUGCAAGUUUUACGUGGCUGCUACGGGCUUAAGCAAGAACCAAUCUUACCUACGCAUCAAAACCACAACAAUAGUUUGUCAAGUUGGUGCUGUUUUAACCUUCGCAAGGACCGGGCGUAGCCAUACUCGGUUCAACUAAAGUUGGAGAAACUGUCACCCGCUAGCCACCUUUGUGCAAAGCACGUCGGGAGAACCGGUCUCGCGUAAGCGUACGCGUAAUGUCGGUCCGGGCCGCUUCAUCCAACAAUACCGCCGAACCAAAGUAUGACAUGCUGGUAAGCAGUAUGACUUAUAUCGCCCACAACUCACUUGUGUUCUACUCAUGCAUAUAACAUAAAACCAUAAAAACCUAGGCUCGGAUGCCACUUUUGGGGAACGUAGUAAUUUCAAAAAAAUUCCUACGCACACGCAAGAUCAUGGUGAUGCAUAGCAACAAGGGGGGGAGUAUGAUCUACGUACCUCGUAUAUCGACAACGGAAGCGUUUGGUUGAUGUAGUCGUACGUCUCCACGGCCCGACCGAUCAAGCACCGAAACUACGGCACCUCCGAGUUCUAGCACACGUUCAGCUCAAUGAUGAUCCUCGGACUACGAUCUAGCAAAGUGUCGGGGAAGAGUUCCGUCAGCACGACGGCGUGGUGACGAUCUUGAUGAACUACUGCAGCAGGGCUUCGCCUACAUAUUCUACGAAGAUCUUUAUCGGUCAGACCGCAUAACAACAUACGUUAUUCCCUUUGUCAUCGGUAUGUUACUUGCCCGAGAUUCGAUCGUCGGUAUCCAAUACCUAGUUCAAUCUCAUUACCGGCAAGUCUCUUUACUCGUUCUGUAAUACAUCAUCCCGCAACUAACUCAUUAGUUGCAAUGCUUGCAAGGCUUUAAGUGAUGUGCAUUACCGAGAGGGCCCAGAGAUACCUCUCCGACAAUCGGAGUGACAAAUCCUAAUCUCGAAAUACGCCAACCCAACAUUUACCUUUGGAGACACCUGUAGAGCUCCUUUAUAAUCACCCAGUUACGUUGUGACGUUUGGUAGCACACAAAGUGUUCCUCCGGCAAACGGGAGUUGCAUAAUCUCAUAGUCACAGGAACAUGUAUAAGUCAUGAAGAAGGCAAUAGCAACAUACUAAACGAUCGGGUGCUAAGCUAAUGGAAUGGGUCAUGUCAAUCAGAUCAUUCACUUAAUGAUGUGAUCCCAUUAAUCAAAUGACAACUCAUGUCUAUGGUUAGGAAACAUAACCAUCUUUGAUCAACGAGCUAGUCAAGUAGAGGCAUACUAGUGACACUCUGUUUGUCUAUGUAUUCACACAUGUAUUAUGUUUCCGGUUAAUACAAUUCUAGCAUGAAUAAUAAACAUUUAUCAUGAAAUAAGGAAAUAAAUAAUAACUUUAUUAUUGCCUCUAGGGCAUAUUUCCUUCAGUCUCCCACUUGCACUAGAGUCAAUAAUCUAGUUCACAUCGCCAUGUGAUUUAACAGCAAUAGUUCACAUCACCAUGUGAUUAACACCCAUAGUCCACAUCGAUAUGUGACCAACACCCAAAGGGUUUUAUAAGAGUCGGUAAUCUAGUUCACAUCGUUGUGUGAUUAACACCCAAAGAGUACUAAGGUGUGAUCAUGUUUUGCUUUGUGAGAUAAUUUUAGUCACCGGGUCUGUUAUAUUCAGAUCCGUAAGUAUUUUGCGAAUUCUAUGUCUACAAUGCUCUGCACGGAGCUACACUAGCUAAUUGCUCCCACUUUCAAUAUGUAUCUAGAUCGAGAGUUAGAGUCAUCCAGAUCUGUGUCAAAACUUGCAUCGACGUAAUUUUUAUGAUGAACCUUUUGUCACCUCCAUAAUCAAGAAAUAUUUCCUUAUUCCACUAAGGAUAAUUUUUGACCAAUGUCCAGUGAUCUACUCUUAGAUCACUAUUGUACUCCCUUGCUUAACACAGUGUAGGGUAUACAAUAGAUCUAGUACACAUCAUGGCAUACUUUAUAGAACCUAUGGCUGAGGCAUAGGGAAUGACUUUCAUUCUCUUUCUAUCUUCUGCCGUGGUCGGGCUUUGAGUCUUACUCAAUUUCAUACCUUGUAACACAGCCAAGAACUCUUUCUUUAACUGUUCCAUUUUUGAACUACUUCAAAAUAUUGUCAAGGUAUGUACUCAUUGAAAAAACUUAUCAAGCGUCUUGAUCUAUCUCUAUAGAUUUUGAUGCUUAAUAUGUAAGCAGCUUCACCGAGGUCUUUUUCUGGAAAAUUCCUUUCAAACACUCCUUUAUGCUUUGUAGAAUAAUUCUACAUUAUUUCCGAUCAACAAUAUGUCAUUCACAUAUACUUAUCAGAAAUGUUGUAGUGCUCCCACUCACUUUCUUGUAAAUACAGGCUUCAUCGCAAGUCUGUAUAAAACUAUAUGCUUUGAUCAACUUAUCAAAGUGUAUAUUCCAACUCCGAGAUGCUUGCACCAGUCCAUAGAUGGAUCGCUGGAGCUUGCAUAUUUUGUUAGCACCUUUAGGAUUGACAAAACCUUUUGGUUGCAUCGUAUACAACUCUUCUUUAGUAAAUCCAUUAAGGAAUGCGGUUUUGUUUAUCCAUUUGCCAGAUUUCAUAAAAUGCGGCAAUUGCUAACAUGAUUCAGACAGACUUAAGCAUAGAUACGAGUGAGAAAAUCUCAUCGUAGUCAACACCUUGAACUUGUCGAAAACCUUUUGCAACAAUUCUAGCUUUGUAGAUAGUAACACUACUAUCAGCGUCCGUCUUCCUCUUGAAGAUCCAUUUAUUUUCUAUGGCUUGCCGAUCAUCGGACAAAUCCAUCCAAGUCCAUACUUUGUUCUCAUACAUGGACCAUAUCUCAGAUUUCAUGGCCUCAAACCAUUUCGCGAAAUCUGGGCUCACCAUCGCUUCUUCAUAGUUCGUAGGUUCGUCAUGGUCAAGUUGCAUGACCUCCAGAACAGGAUUACCGUACCACUCUGGUGCGGAUCUCACUCUGGUUUACCUACGAGAUUCGGCAGUAACUUGAUCUGAAGUUAUAUGAUCAUCAUCAUUAGCUUCCUCACUAAUUGGUGUAGUAGUCACAGGAAUAGAUUUCUGUAAUGAACUACUUUCCAAUAAGGGAGAAGGUACAAUUACCUUAUCAAGUUCUACUUUCCUCCCACUCACUUCUUUUGAGAGAAACUCCUUCUCUAGAAAAACUCCGAAUUUAGCAACGAAAAGUCUUGCCUUCGGAUUUGUGAUAGAAGGUGUACCCAACAGUCUCCUUUGGGUAUCCUAUGACGACAUACUUCUCCAAUUUGGGUUCGAGCUUAUCAUGUUGAAGCUUAUUCACAUAAGCAUCGCAGUCCCAAACUUUAAGAAACGACAACUUUAGUUUCUUGCCAAACCACAGUUCAGAUUGUGUCGUCUCAACGGACUUAGAUGGUGCCCUAUUUAACGUGAAUGCAGCUGUCUCUAAUGCAUAACCCCAAAACGAUAGUGGUAGAUCGGUAAGAGACAUCAUGGAUCGCACUAUAUCUAAUAAAGUACGGUUAUGACGUUCAGACACACCAUUACACUAUGGUGUUCCAGGUGGCGUGAGUAGUGAAACUAUUUCACAUUGUUUUAGUUAAAGACCAAACUCGUAACUCAAAUAUUUUACCUCUGCGAUCAUAUCGUAGAAACUUCUAUUUUCUUGUCACGAUGAUUUUCCACUUCACUCUGAAAUUCUUUGAACUUUUCAAAUGUUUCAGACUUAUGUUUCAUCAAGUAGAUAUACCCAUAUCUGCUCAAAUCAUAUGUGAAGGUCAGAAAAUAACGAUACCCGCCGCGAGCUUCAACACUCAUCGGAUCACAUACAUCAGUAUGUAUUAUUUCCAAUAAGUCAGUUGCUUGCUCCAUUGUUCCGGAGAACGGGGUCUUUAGUCAUCUUGCCCAUAAGGCAUGGUUCGCAAGCACCAAGUGAUUCAUAAUCAAGUGAUUCCAAAAUCCCAUCAGCAUGGAGUUUCUUCAUGCGCUUUACACCAAUAUGACCUAAACGGCAGUGCUACAAAUAAGUUGCACUAUCACUAUUAACUUUGCAUCUUUUGGUUUCAAUAUUAUGAUUAUGUGUAUCACUACGAUCGAGAUCCAACAAACUAUUUUCAUUGGGUGUGUAACCAUAUAAGGUUUUAUUCAUGUAAACAGAACAACAAUUUAUUCUCUUACUUAAAUGAAUAACCGUAUUACAAUAAACAUGAUCAAAUCAUAUUCAUGCUUAACGCAAACACCAAAUAACACUUAUUCAGGUUCAACACUAAUCCCGAAAGUAUAGGGAGUGUACGAUGAUGAUCAUAUCAAUCUUGGAACCACUUCCAACACACAUCGUCACUUUUUACCCUUAACUAGUCUCUGUUUAUUCUACAACUCCCGUUUUGAGUUACUAAUCUUAGCAACUGAACUAGUAUCAAAUACUAAGGGGUUGCUAUAAACACUAGUAAAGUACACAUCAAUAGCAUGUAUAUCAAAUAUACUUAUGUUCACUUUGCCAUCCUUCUUAUCUGCCAAUCACUUGGGGUAGUUCCGCUUCCAGUGACCAGUCCCUUUGCAGUAGAAACACUUAGUCUUAGGCUUAGGACCAGACUUGGGCUUCUUCACUUGAGCAGCAACUUUCUUGCCGUUCUUCUUGAAGUUCCCCUUCUUCCCUUUGCCCUUUUCUUGAAACUAGUGAUCUUGUCAACCAUCAACACUUGAUGCUCAUUCUUGAUUUCUACCUUCGUCGAUUUCAUCAUCAUGAAAAGCUCGGGAUUCGUUUUCGUCAUCCCUUGUAUACUAUAGUUCAUCACGAAGUUCUACUAACUUGGUGAUGGUGACUAGAGAAUUCUGUCAAUCACUAUCUUAUCUGGAAGAUUAACUCCCACUUGAUUCAAGCGAUUGUUGUACUCAGACAAUCUGGGCACAUGCUCACUAGUUGAGCAACUCUCCUCCAUCCUUUAGCUAUAGAACUUGUUGGAGACUUUCAUAUCUCUCAACUCGGGUAUUUGCUUGAAAUAUUAACUUCAACUCCUGGAACAUCUCAUAUGCUCCAUGACGUUCAAAACGUCUUUGAAGUCCCGAUUCUAAGCCGUUAAGCAUGGUGCACUAAACUAUCAAGUAGUCAUCAUAUUUAGCUAGCCAAACGUUCAUAACGUCAGCAUCUACUCCUGUAAUAGGUCUAUCACCUAGCGGUGCAUCAAGGACAUAAUUCCUCUGUGCAGCAAUGAGGAUAAACCUCAGAUCACGGAUCCAAUCCGCAUCAUUGCUACUAACAUCUUUCAACACAAUUUUUCUCUAGGAACAUAUCAAAAUAAACAUAUGAAAGCAAUAACGCGAGCUAUUGAUCUACAACAUCAUUUGCAAAAUACUACCAGGACUAAGUUCAUGAUAAAUUUAAGUUUAAUUAAUCAUAUUACUUAAGAACUCCCACUUAGAUAGACUUCCCUCUAAUCCUCUAAGUGAUCACGUGAUCCAAAUCAACUAAACCAUGUCUGAUCAUCACAUGAGAUGGAGUAGUUUCAUUGGUGAACAUCGCUAUGUUGAUCAUAUCUACUAUAUGAUUAGCACUCGACCUUUUGGUCUCCAUGUUCCGAGGCCAUAUCUGUAUAUGAUUGGCUCGUCAAGUAUAACCUGAGUAUUCCGCGUGUGCAACUGUUUUGCACUCGUUGUAUUUGAACGUAGAGCCUAUCACACCCGAUCAUCACGUGGUGUCUCAGCAUGAAGAACUUUCGCAACGGUGCAUACUCAGGGAGAACACUUCUUGAUAAUUUAGUGAGAGAUCAUCUUAUAAUGCUACCGUCAAUCAAAGCAAGAUAAGAUGCAUAAAAGAUAAACAUCACAUGCAAUCAAUAUAAGUGAUAUGAUAUGGCCAUCAUCAUCUUGUGCCUUUGAUCUCCAUCUCCAAAGUACUGUCAUGAUCUCUAUCCUCACCGGCAUGACACCAUGAUCUCCAUCAUCUUGAUCUAUAUCAAUGUGUCGUCACACGGUCGUCUCGCCAACUAUUGCUCUUGCAACUAUUGCUAUCGCAUAGUGAUAAAGUAAAGCAAUUAUUUGGUGCUUGCAUCUUAUGCAAUAAAGAGACAACCAUAAGGCUUUUGCCAGUUGCCGAUAACUUUAACAAAACACGAUCAUCUCAUACAACAACUUAUAUCUCAUCACGUUUUGACCAUAUCACAUCACAACAUGCCCUGCAAAAACAAGUUAGACGUCCUCUACUUUGUUGUUGCAAGUUUUACGUGGCUGCUACGGGCUUAAGCAAGAACCAAUCUUACCUACGCAUCAAAACCACAACGAUAGUUUGUCAAGUUGGUGCUGUUUUAACCUUCGCAAGGACCGGGCGUAGCCAUACUCGGUUCAACUAAAGUUGGAGAAACUGUCACCCGCUAGCCACCUUUGUGCAAAGCACGUCGGGAGAACCGGUCUCGCGUAAGCGUACGCGUAAUGUCGGUCCGGGCCGCUUCAUCCAACAAUACCGCCGAACCAAAGUAUGACAUGCUGGUAAGCAGUAUGACUUAUAUCGCCCACAACUCACUUGUGUUCUACUCAUGCAUAUAACAUAAAACCAUAAAAACCUAGGCUCGGAUGCCACUUUUGGGGAACGUAGUAAUUUCAAAAAAAUUCCUACGCACACGCAAGAUCAUGGUGAUGCAUAGCAACGAGGGGGGGAGUAUGAUCUACGUACCUCGUAUAUCGACAACGGAAGCGUUUGGUUGAUGCAGUCGUACGUCUCCACGGCCCGACCGAUCAAGCACCGAAACUACGGCACCUCCGAGUUCUAGCACACGUUCAGCUCAAUGAUGAUCCCCGGACUACGAUCCAGCAAAGUGUCGGGGAAGAGUUCCGUCAGCACGACGGCGUGGUGACGAUCUUGAUGAACUACUGCAGCAGGGCUUCGCCUACAUAUUCUACGAAGAUCUUUAUCGGUCAGACCGCAUAACAACAUACGUUGUUCCCUUUGUCAUCGGUAUGUUACUUGCCCGAGAUUCGAUCGUCGGUAUCCAAUACCUAGUUCAAUCUCAUUACCGGCAAGUCUCUUUACUCGUUCUGUAAUACAUCAUCCCGCAACUAACUCAUUAGUUGCAAUGCUUGCAAGGCUUUAAGUGAUGUGCAUUACCGAGAGGGCCCAGAGAUACCUCUCCGACAAUCGGAGUGACAAAUCCUAAUCUCGAAAUACGCCAACCCAACAUUUACCUUUGGAGACACCUGUAGAGCUCCUUUAUAAUCACCCAGUUACGUUGUGACGUUUGGUAGCACACAAAGUGUUCCUCCGGCAAACGGGAGUUGCAUAAUCUCAUAGUCACAGGAACAUGUAUAAGUCAUGAAGAAAGCAAUAGCAACAUACUAAACGAUCGGGUGCUAAGCUAAUGGAAUGGGUCAUGUCAAUCAGAUCAUUCACUUAAUGAUGUGAUCCCAUUAAUCAAAUGACAACUCAUGUCUAUGGUUAGGAAACAUAACCAUCUUUGAUCAACGAGCUAGUCAAGUAGAGGCAUACUAGUGACACUCUGUUUGUCUAUGUAUUCACACAUGUAUUAUGUUUCCGGUUAAUACAAUUCUAGCAUGAAUAAUAAACAUUUAUCAUGAAAUAAGGAAAUAAAUAAUAACUUUAUUAUUGCCUCUAGGGCAUAUUUCCUUCACGCCCCCCACUUGGCCACCUCCUUCUCUCUCCCACUAUGGCCCAUUAACUCCCCGGGGGGUUCCGGUAACCCCCCCGGUACUCUGGUAAUUGCCCGAACUUAUCCGAAACCAUUCCAGUGUCCAAACAUAGCCUUCCAUUAUAUAAAUCUUUAUGUCUCGACCAUUUCGAGACUCGUCAUCAUGUCCGUGAUCACAUCUGGGACUCCGAACUACCUUCGGUACAUCAAAACACAUAAACUCAUAAUACCGAUCGUCAAUGAACGUUAAGCGUGCGAACCCUACGGGUUCGAGACCUAUGUAGAUAUGACCGAGACUCACUUCCGGUCAAUAACCAAUAGCGGAACCUGGAUGCUCAUAUUGGUUCCUACAUAUUCUAUGAAGAUCUUUAUCGGUCAAACCGCAUAACAACAUACGUUGUUUCCUUUGUCAUCGGUAUGUUACUUGCCCGAGAUUCGAUCGUUGGUAUCAUCAUACCUAGUUCAAUCUUGUUACAGGCAAGUCUCUUUACUCAUUCUGUAAUGCACCAUCUUGUAACUAACUCAUUAGUCACAUUGCUUGCAAGGCUUUAUAGUGAUGUGCAUUACCGAGAGGGCCCAGAGAUACCUCUCCGAUAAUCGGAGUGACAAAUCCUAAUCUCGAUCUAUGCCAACUCAACAAACACCAUCGGAGACACCUGUAGAGCAUCUUUAUAAUCACCCAGUUACGUUGUGACGUUUGAUAGCACACUAAGUGUUCCUCCGGUAUUCGGGAGUUGCAUAAUCUCAUAGUCAUAGGAACAUGUAUAAGUUAUGAAGAAAGCAAUAGCAAUAAACUAAACAAUCAUAGUGCAAAGCUAAUGGAUGGGUCAAGUCAAUUGCAUCAUUCUCUAAUGAUUUGAUCCCGUUCAUCAAAUGACAACUCUUGUCCAUGGCUAGGAAACUUAACCAUCUUUGAUUAACGAGCUAGUCAAGUAGAGACAUACUAGUGACACUCUGUUUGUCUAUGUAUUCACACAUGUACUAAGUUUCCGGUUCAUACAAUUCUAGCAUGAAUAAUAAACAUUUCAUGAUAUAAGGAAAUAUAAAUAACAACUUUAUUAUUGCCUCUAGGGCAUAUUUACUUCACAAUAUUGGUUCUACAACUGGAUCUGAUCAAAGAUAGAGAGGAAGAAUUUUCAUAGAUACUGUGAUUCUCUGGUCGCUUCGAACUAUCAUCAGAUGUGAUUGCAGAAAGUCAAUUGUGGAUGGAUGGAUGGAGUAAGUAGUUAAUUAGGUACUAUGAUUCUCUGGUCGCUUCGAACUAUCAUCAGAUGUAACUGCAUUAACAGAUGAUAAUACUUGAUCUAGCGCACAUGGAUCAUGGAUGGCAGCAAAAUGACACUUGACAGGUGUGCAAACAUGAACUAUGUAUGCUGACAGGAAUCACCCGAGGCCUAUUGUUGAAUCACCAAAGGUAAAGACGGAGAAGAAUCAGGGGUACAGAAGAAGAGGCACAAUUAACUAAUCAAUGCCCAACAGAAUCCAUAAUGCUGGUGGAUCAAAUUAUCUCUGGUAGCAAAGUAUAUAACAUAAAAAAUCCUCUUUACAAAGAGAACUUCUAUCCGACAGUAGACUGACAUUUCCUGAUCAACAAAAUAAAUACUUUGGAAAGUUUUGUGGGGCGAAAACCUGGUAGCACAUUGAUGCGGCUUGAAGCUACGUCGGUAUUUCCCCAAAGAGGAAGGGAUGAUGCUGCACAGCGACGGUAGGUAUUUCCCUCAGUGAUGAAAUCAAGGUUAUCGAACCAGUAGGAGAACCAAGCAACAACACGUAAACGACACCUGCACACAAAUAACUGUUGGAAAUAUGCCCUAGAGGCAAUAAUAAAAUAGUUAUUAUUAUAUUUCCUUGUUCAUGCUAUAAUUGUGUUAUCUGGAAAUCGUAAUACAUGUGUGAAUACAUAGACCACAACAUGUCCCUAGUGAGCCUCUAGUUGACUAGCUCGUUGAUCAAUAGAUGGUUACGGUUUCCUGACCAUGGACAUUGGAUGUCGUUGACAACGGGAUCACAUCAUUAGGAGAAUGAUGUGAUGGACAAGACCCAAUCCUAAGCCUUGCACAAGAUCGUGUAGUUCGUAUGCUAAAGCUUUUCCAAUGUCGAGUAUCCUUUCCUUAGACCAUGAGAAUGUGCAGCUCCCGGUGUAGGAGUACUUUGGGUGUGCCAAACGUCACAACGUAACUGGGUGGCUAUAAAGGUACACUAUGGGUAUCCCUGAAAGUAUCUGUUGGGUUGGCACAAAUCGAGACUGGGAUUUGUCACUCCAUAUGAUGGAGAGGUAUCUCUGGGCCCACUCGGUAAGACAUCAUCGUAAUGAGCUCAAUGUGACUAAGGGGUUGGUCACGAGAUGAUGUGUUACAGAACAAGUAAAGAUACUUGCCGUAACGAGAUUGAACAAGGUAUCGGUAUACCGACGAUCGAAUCUUUGGCAAGUGCUAUACCGGUAGACAAAGGGAAUCGUAUACGGGAUUGAUUGAAUCCUUGACAUCGUGGUUCAUCCGAUGAGAUCAUCAUGGAACAUGUGGGAGACAACACGGGUAUCCAGAUCCCGCUGUUGGUUAUUGGCCGGAGAGAUGUCUCGGUCAUGUCUGCAUGGUUCCCGAACCCAUAGGGUCUACACACUUAAGGUUCGAUGACGCUAGGGUUAUAGGGAAUAGAAGUACGUGGUUACGAAUGUUGUUCGGAGACCCGGAUGAGAUCCAAGACAUCACGAGGAGUUCCGGAAUGGUCCGGAGGUAAAGAUUUAUAUAUGGGAAGUCCCGUUUUGGACACCAGCAGUGUUCUGGGCGUUAUCCGUAACGUACCAAGACCACCAGAAGGGUUCGGGGGUCCACCGGGAGGGGCCACCAGCCCCGGAGGCUUGCGUGGGCCAAGUGUGGGAAGGGACCAGCCCCUAGGUGGGCUGGUGCGCCUCCCACAAGAGGCCCAAGGCGCAUGGAAGGGGAGAAGGGGGAAACCCUAGCUCAGAUGGGCCUAAGGCCCACCUAGGGUGCGCCCCCCCUCUCUCCCCCUCUAGCUGCCCCCUAGAUGCAUCUAGGGCUGGCCGACACCCCUAGGGGGGAACCCUAGAUGGGUGCGUAGCCCCACCCCUCCCCCUAUAUAUAGUGGGGGUUUGGGGGCUGCCAGAGACACGAGUCUCCCUCCCUCUUGGCGCAGCCCUACCCCUCUCCCUCCUCAUCUCUCGCAGUGCUUGGAGAAGCCCUGCUGGAGUGCCACGCUCCUCCACCACCACCACGCCGUCGUGCUGCUGCUGGAUGGAGUCUUCCCCAACCUCUCCCUCUCCCCUUGCUGGAUCAAGGCGCGGGAGACGUCAUCGGGCUGCACGUGUGUUGAAUGCGGAGGCACCGUUGUUCGGUGCUUAGAUCGGAUUCGGUCGUGAUCUGAAUCGCUUCGUGUACGACUCCUUCAUCCGUGUUCUUGUAACUCUUCCGUUCCACGAUCUUCAAGGGUAUGAAGAUACACUCCCCUCUCUCUCGUUGCUAGUCUCUCCAUAGAUUGAUCUUGGUGAUGCGUAGACAUUUUUUAAUUUCUGCAACGAUCCCCAAUAGUGGCAUCAUGAGCCAGGUCUAUGCGAUGUUUCUAUGCACGAGUAGAACACAAGUUGUUGUGGGCGUCGAUUUUGUCAAUUUACUUGCCGUUACUAGUCUUAUCUUGAUUCAGCGGCCUCGUGGGAUGAAGCGGCCCGGACCGACCUUACACGUACUCUUAUGUGAGACUGGUUCCACCGACUGACAUGCACUAGUUGCAUAAGGUGGCUAGCGGGUGUCUGUCUCUCCCACUUUAGUCGUGGAUUCGAUGAAAAGGUUCCUUAUGAAGGGUAAAUAGAAAUUGGCAUAUCACGUAGAGGUUUUGGCAUAGGUAAGAAACGUUCUUGCUAGAAACCUAUAGCAGCCACGUAAAAACUUGCAACAACAAUUAGAGGACGUCUAACUUGUUCUUGCAGCAUAUGCCGUGUGAUGUGAUAUGGCCAAAAGGAUGUGAUGAAUGAUAUAUGUGAUGUAUGAGAUUGAUCAUGUUCUUGUAAUAGGAAUCACGACUUGCAUGUCGAUGAGUAUGACAACUGGCAGGAGCCAUAGGAGUUGUCUUAAUUUAUUUAUGACCUGUGUGUCAACAUAAACGUCAUGUAAUUACUUUACUUUAUCGCUAACCAUUAGCCAUAGUAGUAGAAGUAAUAGUUGGCGAGACAACUUCAUGAAGACACGAUGAUGGAGAUCAUGAUGAUGGAGGUCAUGGUGUCAUGCCGGUGACGAUGAUGAUCAUGGCGCCCCGAAGAUGGAGAUCAAAAGGAGCAAAAUGAUAUUGGCCAUAUCAUGUCACUAUUUGAUUGCAUGUGAUGUUUAUCAUGUUUUUACAUCUUAUUUGCUUAGAACGAUGGUAGCUUAAAUAAGAUGAUCCCUUGCAAUAAUUUCAAGAAAGUGUUCCCCCUAACUGUGCACCGUAGCUAAGGUCUGUUGUUUCGAAGCACCACAUGAUGAUCGGGUGUGAUAGGUUCUAACGCUCGCAUACAACGGGUGUAAGCCAGAUUUACACACGUAAUACACUUAGGUUGACUUGACGAGCCUAGCAUUUACAGACAUGGCCUCGGAACACGGAAGACCGAAAGGUCAAACAUGAGUCGUAUAGAAGAUACGAUCAACAUAAAGAUGUUCACCGAUGAUGACUAGUCCAUCUCACGUGAUGAUCGGACACGGCCUAGUUGAUUCGGAUUAUGUAUCACUUAGAUGACUAGAGGGUUGUCUAUCUGAGUGGGAGUUCAUUAAAUAAUUUGAUUAGAUGAACUUAAUUAUCAUGAACAUAGUCUAAAAACUUUGCAAUAUGUCUUGUAGAUCAAAUGGCCCACGCUAAUGUUGCCCUCAACUUCAACGCGUUCCUAGAGAAAACCAAGCUGAAAGACGAUGGUAGCAACUACACGGACUAGGUCCGUAACCUGAGGAUUAUCCUCAUAGCUGCAUAGAAAGCAUAUGUCCUUGAAGCACCGCUAGGUGAUGCACCUGUUUUCCCAGCAACUCACGACGUUAUGAACGCCUGGUAGUCGCGUAGUGAUGAUUACUCCCUGGUUCAGUGCGGCAUGCUUUACAGCUUAGAACCGGGGCUCCAAAAGCGUUUUGAGCAGCACGGAGCAUAUGAGAUGUUCCAAGAGCUGAAAAUGGUUUUCCAAGCUCAUGCCCGGGUUGAGAGAUAUGAAGUCUCCGACAAGUUCUACAGUUGUAAAAUGGAGGAGAAUAGUUAUGUCAGCGAGCACAUACUCAAAAUGUCUGGGUUGCACAACCGCUUAUCUCAGCUGGGAGCUAAUCUCCCUGAUGAUGCGGUCAUUGACAGAAUCCUUUAGUCACUCCCACCUAGCUACAAGAGCUUUGUGAUGAACUUCAAUAUGCAGGGGAUGUAAAAGACCAUUCCUGAGGUAUAUUCAAUGCUGAAAUCAGCGGAGGUGGAGAUCAAAAAGGAACAUCAAGUGUUGAUGGUGAAUAAAACCACUAAGUUCAAGAAAGGCAAGGGUAAGAAGAACUUCAAGAAGGAUGGCAAGGGAGUUGCCGCGCCCGGUAAGCCAUUUGUUGGGAAGAAGACAAAGCAUGGACCCAAGCCUGAGACUGAGUGCUUUUAUUGCAAGGGAAACAGUCACUGGAAGCGGAACUGCCCCAAGUACUUAGCGGAUAAGAAGGCCGGCAAUACCAAAGGUAUAUGUGAUAUACAUGUUAUUGAUGUGUACCUAACCAGCGCUCGUAGUAGCUCCUGGGUAUUUGAUACCGGUGCGGUUUCUCAUAUUUGUAACUCAAAACAGGAGCUACGGAAUAAGCGGAGACUGGCAAAGGACGAGGUGACGAUGCACGUCGGGAAUGGUUCCAAGGUCGAUGUGAUCGCCUUCGGCACGCUACCUCUACAUUUACACCUACGGGAUUAGUUUUAAACCUCAAUAAUUGUUAUUUAGUACCAGCUUUGAGCAUGAACAUUGCAUCUGGAUCUCGUUUAAUGCGAGAUGGCUACUCAUUUAAAUCUGAGAAUAAUGGUUGUUCUAUUUAUAUGAGAGACAUGUUUUAUGGUCAUGCCCCGCUAGUCAAUGGUUUAUUCUUAUUUAAUCUCAAACGUGAUGUUACACAUAUUCAUAGUGUGAAUGCCAAAAAAUGUAAGGUUGAUAAUGAUAGUCCCACAUACUUGUGGCACUGCCGCCUUGGUCACAUUGGUGUCCAACGCAUGAAGAAACUCCAUGCAGAUGGACUUUUGGAAUCUCUUGAUUAUGAAUCAUUUGACACAUGCGAACCAUGCCUCAUGGGCAAAAUGACCAAGACUCCGUUCUUCGGAACAAUAGAGCGAGCAACCAACUUAUUGGAAAUCAUACAUACUGAUGUGUGCGGUCCAAUGAGCAUUGAGGCUCGCGGUGGUUAUCGCUAUGUUCUCACCCUCACGGAUGACUUAAGUGGAUAUGGGUAUGUCUACUUAAUGAAACACAAGUCUGAGACAUUUGAAAAGUUCAAGGAAUUUCAGAGUGAGGUUGAGAAUCAACGUGACAUGAAAAUCAAGUUCUUACGAUCAGAUCGUGGGGGAGAAUAUUUGAGUCACGAAUUUGGCAUGCACUUAAGGAAAUGUGGAAUUGUUUCACAACUCACACCACCUGGGACACCUCAGCGUAAUGGUGUGUCUGAACGUCGUAAUCGCACUCUAUUGGAUAUGGUGCGAUCUAUGAUGUCUCUUACCAAUCUACCGCUAUCAUUUUGGGGUUAUGCUAUAGAGACUGCCGCAUUCACUUUAAAUAGGGCUCCGUCGAAAUCCGUUGAGACGACACUGUAUGAAUUGUGGUUUGGGAAGAAACCUAAGCUGUCGUUUCUGAAAGUUUGGGGAUGUGAUGCUUAUGUCAAGAAACUUCAACCUGAAAAGCUCGAACCCAAAUCGGAAAAAUGUGUCUUCAUAGGAUACCCUAAGGAAACUAUUGGGUAUACCUUCUACCUCAGAUCCGAAGGCAAGAUCUUUGUUGCCAAGAAUGGAUCCUUUCUAGAUAAAGAGUUUCUCUCGAAAGAAGUAUGUGGGAGGAAAGUAGAACUUGAUGAAGUAUUGCCUCUUGAACCAGAGAUUAGCGCAGCUCAAGAAAAUGUUUGUGUGGUGCCUGCACCGACUAGAGAGGAAGUUAAUGAAGAUGAUCAUGAAACUUCAUAUCAAGUUUCUACUAAACUUCGUAGGUCCACAAGGACACGUUCCGCACCAGAGUGGUACGGCGACCCUGUCCUGGAAAUCAUGUCGUUAGACAAUGGUGAACCUUUGAACUAUGAAGAAGCGAUGGCGGGCCCGGAUUCUGACAAAUGGCUUGAAGCCAUGAAAUCCGAGAUAGGAUCCAUGUAUGAAAACAAAGUCUGGACUUUGACUGACUUGCCCGAUGAUCGAUGAGCCAUAGAAAAUAAAUGGAUCUUUAAGAAGAAGACAGACGCGGAUGGUAAUGUAACCAUCUAUAAGGCUCGGCUUGUCGCUAAGGGUUAUCGACAAGUUCAAGGGGUUGACUAUGAUGAGACCUUCUCACCCGUAGCGAAGCUGAAGUCUGUCCGAAUCAUGUUAGCAAUUGCUGCAUUCUAUGAUUAUGAGAUAUGGCAAAUGGACAUCAAAACGACAUUCCUUAAUGGUUUCCUUAAGGAAUAAUUGUAUAUGAUGCAGCCGGAAGGUGUUGUCGAUCCUAAGAAUGCUGACAAGGUAUGCAAGCUCCAACGCUCGAUCUAUGGGCUGGUGCAAGCAUCUCGGAGUUGGAACAUUCAUUUUGAUGAGAUGAUCAAAGCGUUUGGGUUUACACAGAUUUAUGGAGAAGCCUGUGUUUACAAGAAAGUGAGUGGGAGCUCUGUAGCAUUUCUCAUAUUAUAUGUGGAUGACAUACUAUUGAUGGGAAAUGAUAUAGAACUCUUGGAAAGCAUAAAGGCCUACUUGAAUAAGUGUUUUUCAAUGAACGACCUUGGAGAAGCUGCUUACAUAUUAGGCAUCAAGAUCUAUAGAGAUAGAUCGAGACGCCUCAUUGGUCUUUCACAAAGCACGUACCUUGACAAGAUAUUGAAGAAGUUCAAUAUGGAUCAGUCCAAGAAGGGGUUCUUGCCUGUAUUGCAAGGUGUGAGAUUGAGCACGGCUCAAUGCCUGACCAUGGUAGAAGAUAGAGAAAAGAUGAGUGUCAUCAGCCUCGGCCAUAGGGUCUAUUAUGUAUGCCAUGCUGUGUACCAGACCUGAUGUAAACCUUGCCGUAAGUUUGGUAGGAAGGUACCAAAGUAAUCCCGGCAUGGAACACUGGACAGCAGUCAAGAAUAUCCUGAAGUACCUGAAAAGGACUAAGGAUAUGUUUCUCGUUUAUGGAGGUGACGAAGAGCUCAUCGUAAAGGGUUACGUCAAUGCUACUUUUGACACAGAUCUGGAUAACUCCAAGUCACAAACCGGAUACGUGUGUAUUUUGAAUGGUAGGGCAGUCAGCUGGUGCAGUUGCAAGCAAAGCGUCAUGGCGGGAUCUACAUGUGAAGCGGAGUACAUGGUAGCCUCGGAGGCAGUACAUGAAGCAAUCUGUAUGUAGGAGUUCAUUACCGACCUAGGAGUUAUUCCCAAUGCAUCGGGCCCGAUGACUCUCUUCUGUGACAACACUGGAGCCAUUGCCCUUGCCAAGGUGCCCAGGUUUCACAAGAAGACCAGGCAUAUCAAGCGUCGCUUCAACUCCAUUCGUGAAAAUGUUCAAAAUGGACACAUGCAUAUUUGUAAAGUGCGUACGGACCUGAAUGUCGCAGAUCCGUUGACUAAACCCCUUCCAUGAGCAAAACAUGAUCAACACCAGAACGAUAUGGGUGUUCGAUUCAUCACAAUGUAACUAGAUUAUUGACUCUGGUGCAAGUGGGAGACUGUUGGAAAUAUGCCCUAGAGGCAAUAAUAAAAUAGUUAUUAUUAUAUUUCCUUGUUCAUGAUAAUUGUUUAUUGUUCAUGCUAUAAUUGUGUUAUCCGGAAAUCACAAUACAUGUGUGAAUACAUAGACCACAACAUGUCCCUAGUAAGCCUCUAGUUGACAAGCUCGUUGAUCAAUAGAUGGUUACGGUUUCCUGACCAUGGACAUUGGAUGUCAUUGACAAUGGGAUCACAUCAUUAGGAGAAUGAUAUGAUGGACAAGACCCAAUCCUAAACCUAGCACAAGAUCGUGUAGUUCGUAUGCUAAAGCUUUUCCAAUGUCGAGUAUCCUUUCCUUAGAACAUGAGAUUGUGCAACUCCCAGAUACCGCAGGAGUACUUUGGGUGUGCCAAACAUCACAACGUAACUGGGUGGAUAUAAAGGUACACUACGGGUAUCCCCGAAAGUAUCUGUUGGGUUGGCACGAAUCGAGACUGGGAUUUGUCACUCCGUAUGAUGGAGAGGUAUCUUUGGGCCCACUCGGUAAGACAUCAUCGUAAUGAGCUCAAUGUGACUAAGGGGUUGGUCAUAGGAUGAUGUGUUACAGAACGAGUAAAGAGACUUGUCGUAACGAUAUUGAAUAAGGUAUCGGUAUACCGACGAUCGAAUCUCGGGCAAGUGUUAUACCGGUAGACAAAGGGAAUCGUAUACGGGAUUGAUUGAAUCCUUGACAUCAUGGUUCAUCCGAUGAGAUCAUUGUGGAACAUGUGGGAGCGAACAUGGGUAUCCAGAUCCCGCUAUUGGUUAUUGGCUGGAGAGAUGUCUCGGUCAUGUCUGCAUGGUUCCCGAACCCGUAGGGUCUACAUACUUAAGGUUCGAUGACGCUAGGGUUAUAGGGAAUAGAAGCACGUGGUUACCGAAUGUUGUUCGGAGUCCCGGAUGAGAUCCCGGACGUCACGAGGAGUUCCGGAAUGGUCCAGAGGUAAAGAUUUAUAUAUGGGAAGUCCCGUUUUAGACACCGGAAGUGUUCUGGGCGUUAUCCGUAACGUACCGGGACCACCGGGAGGGGCCACCAGCCCCGGAGGCUUGCGUGGGCCAAGUGUGGGAAGGGACCAGCCCCUAGGUGGGCUGGUGCGCCUCCCACAAGAGGCCAGGGCACAUGGAAGGGGAGAAGGGGGAAACCCUAGGCUCAUAUGGGCCUUAGGCCCACCUAGGGUGCGCCCCCCCUCUCUCCCCCUCUGGCCGCCCCCCUACAUGCAUCUAGGGCUGGCCGCCACCCCUAGGGGGGAACCCUAGAUGGGGGCGCAGCCCCUCCCCUCCCUCUAUAUAUAGUGGGGGGUUUUGGGGCUGCUAGAGACACGAGUGUUGAACGCGGAGGCACCGUUGUUCGGUGCUUAGAUCGGAUUCGGCCGCGAUCUGAAUCGCUUCGUGUAUGACUCCUUCAUCCGCGUUCUUGUAACGCUUCCGUUUCGCGAUCUUCAAGGGUAUGAAGAUACACUCCCCUCUCUCUCGUUGCUAGUCUCUCCAUAGAUUGAUCUUGGUGAUGCGUAGAAAUUUUUUAAUGUCUGCAACGAUCCCCAACAAUAACAAGUACUCAUAACCCGACGUACUAAAGGGGUUGUCAAUCCCUUUCGGGUAACGGCGCCAGAAAUUGGCAAACGGACGUGAAUAAAUUGUAGUAGAUUGAUAGAUCGAAUGCCAAAUAAAAUAAAUAAGAAUAAAAUGCAGGAAGGUAUUUUUGUAUUUUGGGGUUUAAUGGAUCUGAAAAUAAAAGGCAAAUAAAAUAGAUCACAAAGGCAAAUAAUAUGAGAAUGAGACCCGGGGGAUGUAGCUUUCACUAGUGGCUUCUCUCGAGAAAAAUAGCAAACGGUGGAUAAACGAAUUAUUGUUGGGCAAUUGAUAGAACUGUUGGGGAACGUAGCAGAAUUUAAAAUUUUCUAUGCAUCACCAAGAUCAAUCUAUGGAGUCAUCUAGCAACGAGGGAAGAGGAGUGCAUCUACAUACCCUUGUAGAUCGCGAGCGGAAGCGUUCAAGAGAAACGGGUUGAUGGAGUCGUACUCGUCGUGAUCUAAAUCACCGAUGACCGAGCGCCGAACGGACGGCACCUCCGCGUUCAACACACGUACGGUUGGGAAGACGUCUCCUCCUUCUUGAUCCAGCAAGGGGAAGGAGAGGUUGAUGGAGAUCCAGCAGCACGACGGCGUGGUGGUGGAAGCAGCGGUGAUCUCGGCAGGGCGCCAAGCUCCAACGAGAGAGAGAGGUGUUACGUGGGGAGAGGGAGGCGCCAGGGACUCAGGUGCGGCUUCCCUCCCCCCCCCCACUAUAUAUAGGGCCCCUAAGGGGGGGCGCCGUCCCUAGGAGAUCCAAUCUCCAAGGGGGGCAGCGGCCAAGGGGGGACUUGCCCCCCAAGUCAGGUGGGGCGCCCCCCACCCCUAGGGUUUCCAACCCUAGGCGUAGGGGGAGGCCCAUGGGGGGUGCACCAGCCCACUAGGGGCUGGUUCCCCUCCCACUUCAGCCCAUGGGGUCCUCCAGGAUAGGUGGCCCCACCCGGUGGACCCCCCGGGACCCUUCCGGUGGUCCUAGUACAAUACUGAUUACCCCCGAAACUUUCCCAAUGGCCGAAACUGGACUUCCUAUAUAUAAAUCUUCACCUCCGGACCAUUCCAGAACUCCUCGUGACGUCCGGGUCUCAUCCGGGACUCCGAACAACUUUCGGGUUACCGCAUACUAAUAUCUCUACAACCCUAGCGUCACCGAACCUUAAGUGUGUAGACCCUACGGGUUCGGGAGACACGCAGACAUGACCGAGACGACUCUCCGGUCAAUAACCAACAGCGGGAUCUGGAUACCCAUGUUGGCUCCUACAUGUUCCAUGAUGAUCUCAUCGGAUGAACCAUGAUGUCGAGGAUUCAAUCAAUCCCGUAUUCAAUUCCCUUUGUCAAUCGGUACGUUACUUGCCCGAGAUUCGAUCGUCGGAUCCUAAUACCUCGUUCAAUCUCGUUACGGCAAGUCACUUUACUCGUACCGCAAUGCAUGAUCCCGUGACCAAACACUUGGUCACAUUGAGCUCAUUAUGAUGAUGCAUUACCGAGUGGGCCCAGAGAUACCUCUCCGUCAUACGGAGUGACAAAUCCCAGUCUCGAUCCGUGUCAACCCAACAAAUACUUUCGGGGAUACCUGUAGUAUACCUUUAUAGUCACCCAGUUACAUUGUGACGUUUGGUACACCCAAAGCACUCCUACGGCAUCCGGGAGUUACACGAUCUCAUGGUCUAAGGAAAUGAUACUUGACAUUGGAAAAGCUCUAGCAAAUGAACUACACGAUCUUGUGCUAUGCUUAGGAUUGGGUCUUGUCCAUCACAUCAUUCCCCUAAUGACGGGAUCCCAUUAUCAAUGACAUCCAAUGUCCAUAGUCAGGAAACAAUGACUAUCUAUUGAUCAACGAGCUAGUUAACUAGAGGCUCACUAGGGACAUGUUAUGGUCUAUGUAUUCACACAUGUAUUAUGAUUUCCAGAUAACACAAUUAUAGCAUGAACAAUAGACAAUUAUCAUGAACAAGGAAAUAUAAUAAUAAUCAUUUUAUUAUUGCCUCUAGGGCAUAUUUCCACAGUCUCCCACUUGCACUAGAGUCAAUAAUCUAGUUACAUUGUGAUGAAUCGAACACCCAUAGAGUUCUGGUGUUGAUCAUGUUUUGCUCACGGAAGAGGUUUAGUCAAUGGAUCUGCGACAUUCAGAUCCGUAUGUACUUUGCAAAUAUCUAUGUCUCCAUCUUGAACAUUUUCACGAAUGGAGUUGAAGCGACGCUUGAUGUGCCUGGUCUUCUUGUGAAACCUGGGCUCCUUGGCAAGGGCAAUAGCUCCAGUGUUGUCACAGAAGAGAGUGAUCGGCCCCGACGCAUUGGGUAUGACUCCUUGGUCGGUGAUGAACUCCUUCGUCCAGAUUGCUUCAUGCGCUGCCUCCGAGGCUGCCAUGUACUCCGCUUCACAUGUAGAUCCCACCACGACGCUUUGCUUGCAACUGCACCAGCUUACUGCCCCACCAUUCAAAAUAUACACAUAUCCGGUUUGUGACUUAGAGUCAUCCAGAUUUGUGUCGAAGCUAGCGUCGACGUAACCCUUUACGGCGAGAUCCUCGUCACCUCCAUAUACGAGAAACAUAUCCUUGGUCCUUUUCAGGUACUUCAGGAUGUUCUUGACCGCUGUCCAGUGUUCCAUGUCGGGAUUACUUUGGUAACUACCUACCAAACUCACGUCAAGGUUUACAUCAGGUCUGGUACACAGCAUGACAUACAUGAUAGACCCUAUGGCUGAGGCAUAGGGGACGACACUCAUCUUUUCUCUAUCUUCUGCCGUGGUCGGACACUGAGCUGAGCUCAAUUUCACACUUGGCAACACAGGCAAGAACCCCUUCUUGGACUAAUCCAUAUUGAACUUCUUCAAUAUCUUAUCAAGGUAUGUGCUUUGUGAAAGACCUAUGAGGCGUCUCGAUCUAUCUCUAUAGAUCUUGAUGCCUAAUAUGUAAGCAGCUUCUCCAAGGUCCUUCAUUGAAAAACACUUAUUCAAGUAGGACUUAAUACUGUCCAAAAGUUCUAUAUCAUUUCCCAUCAAAAGUAUGUCAUCCACAUAUAAUAUGAGAAAUGCUACAGAGCUCCCACUCACUUUCUUGUAAACGUAGGCUUCUCCAUAAGUCUGCAUAAACCCAAACGCUUUGAUCAUUUCAUUAAAGCGAAUGUUCCAACUCCGAGAUGCUUGCACCAGCCCAUAGAUGGAGCGCUGGAGCUUGCAUAAAUUGUUAGCAUUCUUAGGAUCGACAAAACCUUCCGGCUGCAUCAUAUACAAUUCUUCCUUAAGAAAGCCGUUAAGGAAUGCCGUUUUGACGUCCAUCUGCCAUAUCUCAUAAUCAUAGUAUGUGGCAAUUGCUAACAUGAUUCGAACGGACUUCAGCUUUGCUACGGGUGAGAAGGUCUCAUCGUAGUCAUUAGCGACAAGUCGAGCCUUAUAGAUGGUAACAUUACCAUCCGCGUCCGUCUUCUUCUUAAAGAUCCAUUUAUUCUCUAUUGCUCGUCGAUCAUCGGGCAAGUCUGUCAAAGUCCAUACUUUGUUUUCAUACAUGGAUCCUAUCUCGGAUUGCAUGGCUUCAAGCCAUUUGUUGGAAUCUAGGCCCGCCAUUGCUUCUUCAUAGUUCGAAGGUUCACCGUUGUCUAACAACAUGAUUUCCAGGACUGGGUUGCCAUACCAUUCUGGUGUGGAACGUGUCCUUGUGGACCUUCGAAGUUUAGUAGCAACUUGAUCUGAAGUACCUUGAUCAUUAUCAUUAACUUUCUCUCUAGUCGGUGUAGGCACCACAGGAACAUCUUCCUGAGCUGCGCUACUUUCUGGUUCAAGAGGCAGUACUUCAUCAAGUUCUACUUUCCUCCCACUUACUUCUCUCGAGAGAAACUAUUUCUCCAGAAAGGACCCGUUCUUGGCAACAAAGAUCUUGCCUUCGGAUCUGAGGUAGAAGGUAUACCCAAUGGUUUCCUUAGGGUAUCCUAUGAAGACGCAUUUUUCCGACUUGGGUUCGAGCUUUUCAGGUUGAAGUUUCUUGACAUAAGCAUCGCAUCCCCAAACUUUUAGAAAUGACAGCUUAGGUUUCUUCCCAAACCAUAAUUCAUACGGUGUCAUCUCAACGGAUUUAGACGGUGCCCUAUUUAAAGUGAAUGUAGCUGUCUCUAGAGCGUAACCCCAAAAAGAUAGCGGUAAAUCAGUGAGUAACAUCAUAGAUCGCACCAUAUCCAAUAGAGUGCGAUUACGACGUUCAGACACACCGUUACGCUGAGGUGUUCCAGGCGGUGUGAGUUGUGAAACAAUUCCACAUUUCCUUAAGUGCGUACCAAAUUCGUGACUUAAAUAUUCUCCCCCAUGAUCUGAUCGUAAGAAUUUUAUCUUUCGGUCACGUUGAUUCUCUACCUCAUUCUGAAAUUCCUUGAACUUUUCAAAGGUCUCAAACUUGUGUUUCAUCAAAUAGACAUACCCAUAUCUACUUAAGUCAUCACUGAGAGUGAGAACAUAAUGAUAGCCUCCGCGAGCCUCAACGCUCAUUGGACCGCACACAUCAGUAUGUAUAAUUUCCAAUAAGUUGGUUGCUCGCUCCAUUGUUCCGGAGAACGGAGCCUUGGUCAUUUUACCCAUAAGGCAUGGUUCGCAUGUGUCAAAUGAUUCGAAAUCAAGAGACUCCAAAAGUCCAUCUGUAUGGAGCUUCUUCAUGCGUUUGACACCGAUGUGACCAAGGCGGCAGUGCCACAGAUAUGUGGGACUAUCAUUAUCAAUCUUACAUCUUUUGGUAUUCACACUAUGAAUAUGUGUAACAUCACGUUCGAGAUUCAUUAAGAAUAAACCAUUGACCAGUGGGGCAUGACCAUAAAACAUAUCUCUCAUAUAAUUAGAACAACCAUUAUUCUCGGAUUUAAAUGAGUAGCCAUCUCGUAUUAAACGAGAUCCAGACACAGUGUUCAUGCUCAAAGCUGGCACUAAAUAACAAUUAUUGAGGUUUAAAACUAAUCCCGUAUGUAAAUGUAGAGGUAGCGUGCCGACGGCGAUCACAUGGACCUUGGAACCAUUCCCGACGCGCAUCGUCACCUCGUCCUUCGCCAGUCUCCGCUUAUUCCGCAGCUCCUGUUUUGAGUUACAAAUAUGAGCAACCGCACCGGUAUCAAAUACCCAGGAGCUACUACAAGUACUGGUAAGGUACACAUCAAUUACAUGUAUAUCACAUAUACCUUUAGUGUUGCCGGCCUUCUUGUCCGCUAAGUAUUUGGGGCAGUUCCGCUUCCAGUGUCCCUUUCCCUUGCAAUAAAAGCACUCAGUCUCAGGUUUGGGUCCAUUCUUUGGCUUCUUCCCGGCAGCUUGCUUACCGGGCGCGGCAACCCCCUUGUCGUCCUUCUUGAAGUUCUUCUUACCCUUGCCUUUCUUGAAACUAGUGGUUUUAUUGACCAUCAACACUUGAUGUUCCUUUUUGAUUUCCACCUCCGCUGAUUUCAGCAUUGAAAAUACUUCAGGAAUAGUUUUGACCAUCCCCUGCAUAUUGUAGGUCAUCACAAAGCUCUUGUAGCUAGGUGGGAGCGACUAAAGGAUUCUGUUAAUGACCGCCUCGUUCGAGAGGUUAAUGUCCAGCUGGGACAAGCGGUUAUGCAACCCAGACAUUUUGAGUAUGUGCUCACUGACAGAACUAUUUUCCUCCAUCUUACAACUGUAGAACUUGUCGGAGACUUCAUAUCUCUUGACCCGGGCAUGAGCUUGGAAAACCAUUUUCAGCUCUUCAAACAUCUCAUAUGCUCUGUGUUGCUCAAAAUGCUUUUGGAGCCCCGGUUCUAAGCUGUAAAGCAUGCCGCACUGAACGAGGGAGUAAUCAUCAGCACGUGACUGCCAAGCGUUCAUAACGUCUUGGUUCUCUGGGAUGGGUGCGUCAUCUAGCGGUGCUUCUAGGACAUAUGCUUUCUUGGCACCUAUGAGGAUGAUCCUCAGGUUCCGGACCCAGUCCGUAUAGUUGCUGCCAUCAUCUUUCAGCUUGGUUUUCUCUAGGAAUGCGUUGAAGUUGAGGUUGACAUGAGCGUUGGCCAUUUGAUCUACAAGACAUUUUGCAAAGGUUUUUAGACUAAGUUCAUGAUAAUUAAGUUCAUCUAAUCAAAUUAUUUAAUAAACUCCCACUCAGACAGACAUCCCUCAAGUCAUCUAAGUGAUACAUGAUCCGAGUCAACUAGGCCGUGUCCGAUCAUCACGUGAGACGGACUAGUCAUCAUCGGUGAACAUCUUCAUGUCGACCGUAUCUUCUAUAUGACUCAUGUUCGACCUUUCGGUCUUCCGUGUUCCGAGGCCAUGUCUGUACAUGCUAGGCUCGUCAAGUCAACCUAAGUGUAUUGCGUGUGUAAAUCUGGCUUACACCCGUUGUAUUCGAACAUUAGAAUCUAUCACACCUGAUCAUCACAUGGUGCUUCAAAACAACGAACCUUCGCAACGGUGCACAGUUAGGGGGAACACUUUCUUGAAAUUAUUGUGAGGGAUCAUCUUAUUUAUGCUACCAUCGUUCUAAGCAAAUAAGAUGUAAAACAUGAUAAACAUCACAUGCAAUCAAAUAGUGACAUGAUAUGGCCAAUAUCAUUUUGCUCCUUUUGAUCUCCAUCUUCGGGCGCCAUGAUCAUCGUCGUCACCGGCAUGACACCAUGAUCUCCAUCAUCAUGAUCUCCAUCAUCGUGUCUUCAUGAAGUUGUCUCGUCAACUAUUACUUCUACUACUAUGGCUAGUGGUUAGCGAUAAAAUAAAGUAAUUACAUGACGUUUAUGUUGACACGCAGGUCAUAAAUGAAUUAAGACAACUCCUAUGGCUCCUGCCGGUUGUCAUACUCAUCGACAUGCAAGUCGUGAUUCCUAUUACAAGAACAUGAUCAAUCUCAUACAUAACAUAUAUCAUUCAUCACAUCCUUUUGGCCAUAUCACAUUGCAUGGCACAUGCUGCAAAAACAAGUUAGACGUCCUCUAAUUGUUGUUGCAAGUUUUUAUGUGGCUGCUAUAGGUUUCUAGCAAGAACGUUUCUUACCUACGCCAAAACCACAACGUGAUAUGCCAAUUUCUAUUUACCCUUCAUAAGGACCCUUUUCAUCGAAUCCGAUCCGACUAAAGUGGGAGAGACAGACACCCACUAGCCACCUUAUGCAACUAGUGCAUGUCAGUCGGUGGAACCAGUCUCACGUAAGCGUACGUGUAAGGUCGGUCCGGGCCGCUUCAUCCCACGAUGCCGCUGAAUCAAGAUAAGACUAGUAACGGCAAGUAAAUUUACAAAAUCAACGCCCACAACAACUUGUGUUCUACUCGUGCAUAGAAACUACGCAUAGACCUAGCUCAUGAUGCCACUGUUGGGGAACGUAGCAGAAUUUAAAAUUUUCUACACAUCGCCAAGAUCAAUCUAUGGAGUCAUCUAGCAACGAGGGAAGAAGAGUGCAUCUACAUACCCUUGUAGAUCGCGAGCGGAAGCGUUCAAGAGAACGGGGUUGAUGGAGUCGUACUCGUCAUGAUCCAAAUCACCGAUGACCGAGCGCCGAACGGACGGCACCUCCGCGUUCAACACACGUACGGUUGGAAAGACGUCUCCUCCUUCUUGAUCUAGCAAGGGGAAGGAGAGGUUGAUGGAGAUCCAGCAGCACGACGGCGUGGUGGUGGAAGCAACGGUGAUCUCGGUAGGGCUUCGCCAAGCUCCAACGAGAGAGAGAGAGAGAGAGAGAGAGAGAGAGGUGUUACGUGGGGAGAGGGAGGCGCCAGGGACUCGGGUGCAUCUGCCCUCCCUCCCCCCCCCCCACUAUAUAUAGGGCCCCUAAGGGGGGGGCGCCGUCCCUAGGAGAUCCAAUCUCCAAGGGGGGGCGGCGGCCAAGGGGGGACUUGCCCCCCAAGUCAGGUGGGGCACCCCCACCCCUAGGGUUUCCAACCCUAGGCGCAGGAGGAGGCCCAUGGGGGGCGCACCAGCCCACUAGGGGCUGGUUCCCCUCCCACUUCAGCCCAUGGGGCCCUCCAGGAUAGGUGGCCCCACCCGGUGGACCCCCCGGGACCCUUCCGGUGGUCCCGGUACAAUACCGAUUACCCCUGAAACUUUCCUAAUGGACGAAACUAGACUUCCUAUAUAUAAAUCUUCACCUUCGGACCAUUCCGGAACUCCUCGUGACGUCCGGGAUCUCAUCCGGAACUCCGAACAACUUUCAGGUUACCGCAUACUAAUAUCUCUACAACCCUAGCGUCACUGAACCUUAAGUGUGUAGACCCUACGGGUUCAGGAGACACGCAGACAUGACCGAGACGACUCUCCGGUCAAUAACCAACAGCGGGAUCUGGAUACCCAUGUUGGCUCCUAUAUGUUCCACGAUGAUCUCAUCGGAUGAACCACGAUGUCGAGGAUUCAAUCAAUCCCGUAUUCAAUUCCCUUUGUCAAUCGGUACGUUACUUGCCCGAGAUUCGAUCGUCGGUAUCCCAAUACCUCGUUCAAUCUUGUUACCGGCAAGUCACUUUACUCGUACCGCAAUGCAUGAUCCCGUGACCAAACACUUGGUCAAAUUGAGCUCAUUAUGAUGAUGCAUUACCGAGUGGGCCCAGAGAUACCUCUCCGUCAUACGGAGUGACAAAUCCCAGUCUCGAUCCGUGUCAACCCAACAGAUACUUUCGGGGAUACCUGUAGUAUACCUUUAUAGUCACCCGGUUACGUUGUGACGUUUGGUACACCCAAAGCACUCCUACGGCAUCCGGGAGUUACACGAUCUCAUGGUCUAAGGAAAUGAUACUUGAUAUUGGAAAAGCUCUAGCAAACGAACUACACGAUCUUGUGCUAUCCUUAGGAUUGGGUCUUGUCCAUCACAUCAUUCCCCUAAUGCCGUGAUCCCGUUAUCAAUGACAUCCAAUGUCCAUAGUCAGGAAACCAUGACUAUCUAUUGAUCAACGAGCUAGUUAACUAGAGGCUCACUAGGGACAUGUUAUGGUCUAUGUAUUCACACAUGUAUUAUGAUUUCUGGAUAACACAAUUAUAGCAUGAACAAUAGACAAUUAUCAUGAACAAGGAAAUAUAAUAAUAAUCAUUUUAUUAUUGCCUCUAGGGCAUAUUUCCAACAAGAACUUCAAAUAAUCAUGACGAUAUCCAGGCAAUGAUCAUUAUAUAGGCAUCACGCCCAAGAUUAGUAGACCGACUCCUGCCUGCAUCUACUACUAUUACUCCACACAUUGACCGUUAUACAGCAUGCAUCUAGUGUAUUAAGUUCAUGGAGAAACGGAGUAAUGCAAUAAGAACGAUGACAUGAUGUAGACAAGAUCUAUUUAUGUAGAAAAAUAGACCCCAUCAUUUUAUCAGCAACGAUAUAUAUGUGUCGGUUCCCCUUCUGUCACUGGGAUCAAGCACCGUAAGAUCGAACCCACUACAAAGCACCUCUUCCCAUUGCAAGAUAAAUAGAUCAAGUUGGCCAAACAAAACCCAAAUAUCAGAGAAGAAAUACGAGGCUAUAAGCAAUCAUGUAUAAAAGAGAUCAAAGAAACUCAAAUAACUUUCAUGGAUAAAAGGAGAUAGAUCUGAUCAUAAACUCAAAAUUCAUCAGAUCCCAACAAACACACCGCAAAAGAGUUACAUCAUAUGGAUCUCCAAGAGACCAUCAUAUUGAGAAUCAAACGAGAGAGAGGAAGCCAUCUAGCUACUAACUAUGGACCCAAAGGUCUACAAAGAACUACUCACGUAUCAUCAGAGAGGCACCAAUGGAAGUGGUGAACCCCUCCAUGAUGGUCUCUAGAUUGGAUCUGGUGGUUCUGGACUCUGCGGCGGCUGGAAUUGAUUUUCGUCGACUCCCUUAGAGUUUCUGGAAUAUUGGAAUAUUUAUAGAAUAAAGAGGCGAUCCGGGGGGCACCCAAGGUGGGCACAACCCACCAGGGCAUGCCUGGGCCUCCAGGGGUGCCCUGGUGGGUUGUGCUCCCCUCGGAGCAGCCCCCAGGUGCUUCUUUGGCCCAUUGGUUGUCUUCUGGUCCAAAAAAAUUCACAAAAAGUUUCGCUGCAUUUGGACUCCGUUUGAUAUUGAUUACAUGCGAUGUAAAAAACAUACAAAAAACAGCAACUGGCACUUGGCACUGUGUCAAUAGGUUAGUACCAAAAAAUGAUAUAAAAUGAUUAUAAAACAUCCAAGAAUGAUAAUAUAACAGCAUGGAACAAUCAAAAAUUAUAGAUAUGUUGGAGACCUAUCACACAUACAUCUAAAUAGAGAAAUCCAGACUAUUACAACCACCAACAAACGAACAGGAGACAACUCUAGACUCGCAACCAGUAGAAUAGAGCAACUCCUGCGAAGAUCGCCAGUCUUCAUGUACCAAAAGCACCAAGGCCGUGCCCAUCAUGUUCCUCCGAUCGGACAACUUGCAUCAUCGCACACCCUCAUCAGUUGCAUCGUGCUUGCCCUAAUCAUCUCGGCACCUGAUCCCAGCUUGUCGAUGUCGCCUCCCUGCUGUAGUCCUGCCCAAUACAAGAGAAAAGAGCAUAUGGAAAGCACAAUUUCAAAGGGGUUUUUAAUCAGUUUCCUUUCAAAAGUAGACGUGUUUCGAGCAAGCCAAAACGCCCAGCAUGCGGCCGCUAGUCCAACAGUAUAGAACUUCUCACCACCUGGGAGGAAAGUGUGGCACCAAGUAAAGAACUGCCAUUAUUAGGGCAUUUGCCAGUGCCAAGCACCAUCCCAAUUGAUGGCCACACAAUUUUGGCCACAGGACAUGUAAAAAGAGAGAUGUUGUGAGGUUUCUACCUCAUUGCAAAAAGAACACACAGGGUUCCCCGGCCAGUUUCUUUUUCUCAUUACUUGCCUGGUCAAGACCGCAUCUUGAGAAAGUUGCCACAUAAACCGUUCUUCUCUGCAUAGCAAUUGUUAAGAAAAUCAACAUGUAAAAUAAACCAUUCUUCUCUGCAUAGCAAUUGUCUUUGAUGUCUUAUUCCUAAGGAUAUUAUUAAUCUUUUGAGGGUUAAAGAGCAAUGUAAAACUGACAUCAAAAGGGAAUUAAACUUUUACAUGGGAAUGCCUACUGGUCUUGGAAAAACAUGCUUACACUUUGCUAUGCUACUUUGCAAGAUAAUGGCGACAAUUUUCUGAACUGGAUAUCCUCAAAAGAGAAAAAAAAAUCUGAACUGAAAAUGGAGGGUAAAUAUUUACGAUGGACUGAACUAUCUGUCAGGACAGCAUGUACCGUGGCCUUUGAUGCCAUAUGAACCUAGCUUGGAUGCCGAAGAAUCAAUUCGUUGAACAUCGAACCUGCAAGAACCGACAAAGAUCCAUCUAUUCUCGUCUAUAUAUGCAUUCAACUAAAGCAGCUGAUAAAAUGCUGAACCUUACCGAGCAAGAUCAUUUGAAGUUAUAAUUUGUUGGAAAACAGAAGGGAACAACAAACAGAAGUAGCCGCUAGAUUCCAAAUAAUUUCUACAUAUAAGAAAGCACCAAUGUUAGGCUUUAGGACACUAUGUACAGAAUCAGUUAAUGUAGAAAUAAGAAGUAAAAAAAAUCACAAAGCCUACUGUUGUGGCGACCUACCAACAAAUCAUUUGGUACAAACAUAUGAUGUUUUUACUGGAAAUUCAUUCUCAGUACAAAUCACCGAGCAGCACGAAAACAAUAGCAGCUGCUGGCAUGGUUCAAGGAUACGGAGAGAGUAGUAUUUUUAGGAAAUAUUAUGGAUACGGAGAGAGUAAUAUUUUUAGGAAAUCAUGCUCAACUUAGACUUCAUCCAGAGGUGGGUGCAAUCAGUAAGUAGUACUGUUUGUGUUGUCACAUUUUAUGUCUGUGGGGGUUAUGUUCUCUUAAGGGAGCAUUUUUGGAGGAGUUUCAGCCAUGGAGAGGGGAUUCGCGUGGAAGACCUUAUAUUCAUUGUACAUGUUUUAGUUAGCAUGAAGGUCUGUCUAGCCUUUUUUGAGGAGCACUGGAAUUUCAAUGGCAACAUUAUUUCUACUAUCAGCAACCCACAGAAGCUUUUCUAUGUUCUGUCAUAAAAAAUAGGAGACAGAUCAAUUUUACAAUUAAAUUUACCAUGAAAAACUUCACAAUGCAAUUAACUAAAGAAACUUCACAAUGCAUAUUGCUUUAACAGUGGAAUAAGAAAGUUGACUGAGCAUGACUUUCACCACCACAUAAAAGAACGUAAAACCACAAAUAUUUAAUGCAGAGUAUCCCUAAAGUCACAAAGGUUCAAUUUGUAAUGCUGCAAAGAAUACUUCUCUCUUAUAUUCUGAGCUCUAACAUAUGCUUCCAGGAUCUAAAUUAUAUCACUCCAAACACUAAAAAGGAAGUUGUGAAGCACCAACAGAAUACUGAUACAAAUAUCCCCUCACAUAGUUCCUCUAGACUAUACUCAUUUUCUAAUCUAGAGAUAGCUCUGUGGCCGUAUGCAGGAAAUACAGAGUACACUCUGCUCUUCUGCACGUGUGACAUGUCCCCAAAUCAUCUCCAACUUUAGAAGGCAAAGUUGAGCUAUCAACAAGGCAUAAUCAUAUAAAAAUGAUGCAUCUAAAUACAAAACAAACAUUAUGAGACGAUUGAACGUUGCUAUGUCCUAUAAGAACAUAUACAGUGCAAUGAAUUGUUAUACAGAGAGGAAACUAAUGUCAACAAAUUUAUGCCACGUACCAGCUAUAAAAAAUAUCAGUGCACUAGAAUAUGAAGCAUUGCGUAUCCAACGAACCGACAAGAACUUCAGCAUAAACAAAACCAUGAAGCAUAGCAGCCCUGACUUCCAUCAACACAAAUUCUUUUCGGUGUCACAAAUUCAAACAGACACAAAGUGACAGGAAUUUCAAGUCAAGGGCAUAAAGCCACAAACAAAAUAUAGGAAGUUAUCAGUGAAGAACAUAAUGCUGGAACCAUAACAGGCGAAGAUCACAUGAACAGGCAAAAAAGCCGCAAAUAAUAAAUCACCUGGAAUUGUCAAUGAACCAGGACAAUGGCAAGAACACAUCACCCAAUUGCUAGACAGACAUUAACUAACAAGAAUAGAGCAAGGAAAAGCAAGUUCAUAGCUAUAACUAGGUAAAGAGCAAAAACAAAAACAAUCGCACCACAGUAUCAGGAACUACCAGUAGACAAUAGGGUACACAAUCUAUGUUUAACAUCUGUUACAUUACGAUACAGAUCAAAAUGUAGCCGUCUCAGCAUCACGACAGAUAAGACGAUUCAUAGACAGAAUUAAUGCAGCUCCCUUAACAAACAAGAGAAAGUAGCAAAACAUGACCAAAAAUUUAGAGCUUGUCCUCAAAAUCGGAUAGGGGAGUCAUCUGUUCCUUGAGACCCUUCCUCUUGCGGAUCUCGGUGACAAGCGUCGCCGACUGGGUCCCAGGGUCCAAAGGAUCGGAAGCCAUGAUGUCCCAGUGGUCAAACACACACUGGGGGAAAGCCUGACCGGACGUCGCAGCCCUGAGGGUGCUCGAGAACCCGAAGGACUCAAUGACAGGCAGGUAGGCCUUGAUGUUGUAGAGCGGGGUACCUUGCCUCUGCAUCUCCUCGAACACGUGACCUCUCUUCUGAUUCAGAACACCAUAGAUACCACCAAGCGCAUUCUCCGGGGCCUGGAUCUCAACC
rnacentral:lncRNA from 1 species